UUCAGGAUAACAAAUUAAGAUGACUGACUGAAGUUGAGCACCACGCUUCAGAUUGGUCAAGAACACACGGACCAGUCUCAUUUUCGGAUGCAAACCAAAUGCUUCAGAUGCAAAGGCAGUGACAAAGAUUCACAUGGUUAAUUCAGCCAUAGAUUCACAGGAGAAUUAAGAUUGAAAGGAUUGCAUCUUUAACCAUUACCACAGAAAUCACAGAUACACAAUGCCGGCCUUGCUCAUCGAGAUCUGAUGAAAGGGGCCACCACACUACAUACAAGAUCCAACUAACUAGGCAACACUGGGUAGGCUAUGGGGACGGCUACUCCUUGGUGGCGGCGGUCUUCUUCUUGGGGGACUUGGUGGAGGUCUUCUUCUUGGGCGACUUGGCCUCCUUCUCGGCGGCGGCGGGGGACUUCUUGGGGAGCAGCACGGAGUUGAUGUUGGGGAUCACGCCGCCGUGCGCGAUGGUGACGCCGGCGAGCAGCCUGCCGAGCUCCUGGUCGUUGCGGACGGCGAGCAGCAGGUGGCGGGGGAUGAUGCGGGUCUUCUUGUUGUCCUUGGCCGCGUUGCCUGCGAGCUCCAGGACCUGAGAUUUGAAGCGCCGAACAAAAUCAGUUAUCUGUCGAACACAAGAAGAACAGAGCAGAACAGAUGCUCGGGGUCGGGGACAGGAAAGAUCUGUGCGUACCUCGGCGGCGAGGUACUCGAGGACGGCGGCGAGGUAGACGGGGGCGCCGGAGCCGACGCGCUGCGCGUAACGGCCCUUCUUGAGGUAGCGCCCGAUGCGGCCGACGGGGAACUGGAGCCCGGCCUUGACGGACCGGGUCACGGCCUUCUUCCUGUCGCCACCCUUCCUUCCGGCCAUCUUGCUUGCUGCUUCUCCGGCGACGAGGACUCACGAGGUGUGGUGUCGGCGGCGGUUGCGCUGGAUCGAGAUGCUCUGAGUUUGUGGGUUUGGACGGCGGCGAGAGCGCGGCUUUUAUCGGAGGGGGAGCGUCGCGGGAGGGGGGAGCGAUCCGCGUGACGUGCUGCGCGCGCCGUUGGAUCUGGGGGAGCUUGCGGGGCAGGGGGAGUGAUCCGUGGGAGGUCCAGAUGAACCAAUCAGAGAGCAGAGAUCAGCCUAUGUAUUUUAUUUUAUUUUGAAAACCACCUCAUAUAUUACUUAACCAACAGAGUUAUUACAAUCACUCAUUACAAAAUUGACCACACAGGCCGGAACAUCAUUAACAAGAAUACCAUCUGACCUAUUGUCAAAACUAUACUUAGCAAUAAGAUGAGCCACCACAUUGGCUGAAUGAUUAAUCUUUGAAAUUUUGAACCUAUGUAGCAUCUUGGAGAUACUCAUUGUUUCCUUCUUCAAAUUAAAUAGCGCUGACCUGUCAAAACUUUCCUUUGCAAGAGACGCACUAACAAACACACAGUCAGUCUCUAAAAUUAUAAGAUUGUGGAGUGUGAUACCUAUAUAGAGACCAGCAAUGCAAGCCCGGAGUUCCGCUUCCUCCGUGCUUUUACAACGCCCGAUGAAAUCCCAAGAGGAAACAAUGGCAUUUCCAAAGGAGUUCCUAGCCACCACACCCACACUUGCAGCGCUAAUGCUCUCCACAAAGCUUGCGUCGACAUUUAUCUACCUGACUCCUCUUCUCCGUUCUAUGUAAAGAUGCACAAUAGCUCUCUGGCUUGCCUCUGGCAAGUCAGAGGAUUCGACUUCACAUAUUUUUGUGGCUCACAUCAACUAUGUCUAUCUUCCACUCACCACCUCUGUCUCCCCAAUCCAGUCUUACCACCUAUGUUGAUGGCUCAUCUGAUCAAAAUCCCCCUUCCACUUUCACCCACACACUUUGCAUUUUAGACACAUAACUGUGCAAUUGUGUAUAUGUGAAGAUUCCAAGAAGGAAAAUAACAUACAUACAAUCCACAAAGCAAUUGAUCAUGAUCAAAUUUGUAAGCCCACUUGGAUAUUGAGCAUUUACCCAUAAGAAUAGGAUUAUUUUCAAUGAGUAGUUGUAGGUGUAACUUCGGAAAAGAGAAUCUGAUAAAGCUUUUCUUGCCUAGAGUCAUUGAUUCAAGCUGGUGUUAAAGAUUAUAAAUUGACUUACUACACCCCAAAGUAUGAAACUAAGAAUACUGAUAUCUUGCCAGCAUUCCGAGUAAGUCCUCAGCCUGGGGUUCUGGAUAAAGUAGUAUUAGUUAAUAUACGUUGAUUCAAACAAAUCAAAAAAAGAGACAAUCUUUUUCCAUACUUUAUGCGGGGACAACCAUUUCGAGCACAACCAAUAUAUAUUAGAACCCCCUUUACUUGCCGAAGCACUUCUUAGAUCUGUAAAUUAUGUUAUGGCCGGAGUCCUAUUCAUAGUGAUUUGGUCGAAUUGGGAGAAGCCAUAGGUAUUAUUGCAGGUCAAUCAAUUGGAGAGCCAGGGACUCAACUAACAUUAAGAACUUUCCAUAUUGGCGGAGUAUUCACGGGGGGGGGGGUACUGCCGACCUAUCGUCGAUAUCCAUCUAGCCUCUACAUGGCAGUAGGAUGAAAAAAAAGUCGAAGACAUAGGAACCUAAGUUGGUCCGGCAGAAGAAAAGGUGGAGAAAACAUGAGUUCACAGGUGGACUUAAAAGAUAUGGUAUGAAUUAUAUCGAAAAGAAAGUGUGACUUUUCAAGAACUCAUGAUGAAUAACGGUAUUAAGCAAAUAAGUGGUUAAAAAAUCAUAUAAUAAACAUCCUUGAGUAUAGUUUAUCAUUGUUUAUGUUUUACAAUAUUCCUCUUAAAUGUGAGCCUUUGCAUAGAACAUUCGCCUUCGCACAACAACGAUGGAUCACUAGGGUUUAGCAGCACUCGUAAGAAGAUUUAUUACUAUCAAGUAAUCCCUCCGUCCCAAAAUAAGUGUCUCAACUUUGUACUAACUUUAGUACAAAGUUGUACCAACAUUGAGACACUUAUCUUGGGACGGUGGAAGUAGUAUAUUGUGAUAACCAUUGGCAUGAGAAGCUAAUGUAUCAUUGUCAUUAUCAUUGUACUAACACUGGAAUGGGAGGUGUUUAGUAUUUAUUCUUCCUAAAGCAGCAAGUUGUAUUGCAUUGACUACACAAAUUUCUAGCAAAGUAAUUCAAGAUAUUUUUAAGAUCCCACAAGUGUUUCUCAUUUUAGGACAAGCGGUAUUAUAGAAUGUAUUUGCAUUGAUCCAAUGUGGCUAGCCCUUGCAGAAUACUGGUACAACACCAGGUUUCACUCGGCUUUGGGGAGGACACCGUUUGAAGUCAUCUAUGGGCAGCUGUCGCGCGAAUUUGGAGUGGACCAGGUUGAGGAAUGCUCAGUACCAGAUUUGGCUGCAUGGUUGAACGAACGAGAAGUCAUGCUUGAACACCUCCAAUAUGAUAGGCAUCAAAGAGGGAUAUAAUAAAACUUUCAUAUAAAAGUGCAUUGAAUACUAUGAGAAGUUUGAUUUCUUAUGAUUGUUUUGAGAUAUGAAGAUGGUGAUAUUAGAGUCAUGCUAGUAAGUAGUUGUGAAUUUAAGAAAUACUUGUGUUGAAGUUUGUGAGCCCCGUAGCAUGCACGUAUGGUGAACCGUUAUGUGAUGAAGUCGGAGCAUGAUUUAUUUAUUGAUUGUCUUCCUUAUGAGUGGCGGUCGGGGACGAGCGAUGGUCUUUUCCUACCAAUCUAUCCCCCAAGGAGCAUGCGUGUAGUACUUUGUUUCGAUGUCAAAUAGAUUUUUGCAAUAAGUAUGUGAGUUCUUUAUGACUAAUGUUGAGUCCAUGGAUUAUACGCACUCUCACCUUUUCACCAUUGCUAGCCUCUCUAGUACCGCGCAACUUUCGCCGGUACCAUAAACCCACCACAUAUCCUUCCUCAAAACAACCACCAUACCUACCUAUUAUGGCAUUCCAUAGCCAUUCCGAGAUAUAUUGCCAUGCAACUUUCCACCGUUCCGUUUAUUAUGACACGCUCCAUCAUUGUCAUAUUGCUUUGCAUGAUCAUGUAGUUGACAUCGUAUUUGUGGUAAAGCCACAGUUCAUCAUUUUUUAUACAUGUCACUCUUGAUUCAUUGCACAUCCCGGUACACCGCCGGAGGCAUUCACAUAGAGUCAUAUUUUGUUCUAAGUAUCGAGUUAUAAUUUUCGAGUUGUAAGUAAAUAAAGUGUGAUGAUUUCAUUAUUAGAGCAUUGUUCCAAGUGAGGAAAGGAUGAUGGAGACUAUGAUCCCCCCACAAGUCGGGAUGAGACUCCGGACAAAAUAAAAAUAAAAAUAAAAGAGGCCAAAAAAUGAGAGAAGGCCCAACAAAAAAUGAGAGAAAAAUAUAGAAGGGACAAUGUUACUAUGCUUUUACCACACUUGUGCUUCAAAGUAGCACCAUGGUCUUCAUGAUAGAGAGUCUCCUAUGAUAUCGCUUUCAUAUAGUAGUGGGAAUUUUUCAUUAUAGAACUUGGCUUGUAUAUUCCAAUGAUGGGCUUCCUCAAAUUGCCCUAGGUCUUCGUGAGCAAGCAAGUUGGAUGCACACCCACUUAGUUUUCUUUUUGAGCUUUCAUAAACUUAUAGCUCUAGUGCAUCCGUUGCAUGGCAAUCCCUACUCACUCUCACAUUGAUAUCUAUUGAUGGGCAUCCCCAUAGCCCGUUGAUACGCCUAGUUGAUGUGAGACCAUCUCCUUCUUUUUGUCUUCUCCACAACCACCGUCUGUUCCACCUAUAGUGCUAUGUCCAUGGCUCAUGCUCAUGUAUUGCGUGAAAGUUGAAAAAGUUUGAGAACAUCAAAAGUAUGAAACAAUUGCUUGGCUUUUCAUCGGGGUUGUGCAUGAUUUGAAUAUUUUGUGUGAUGAAGAUGGAGCAUAACCAGACUAUAUGAUUUUGUAGGGAUAAGCUUUCUUUGACCAUGUUAUUUUGAGAAGACAUAAUUAUUUUGUUAGUAUGCUUGAAGUAUUAUUAUUUUUAUGUCAAUAGUAAACUUUUGUUUUGAAUCUUACGGAUCUGAACAUUCAUGCCACAAUAAAGAAAAUUACAUGGAUAAAUAUGUUAGGUAGCAUUCCACAUCAAAAAUUCUGUUUUUAUCAUUUACCUACUCAAGGACGAGUAGGAAUUAAGCUUCGGGAUGCUUGAUACGUCUCCAACGUAUCUAUAAUUUUUGAUUGUUCCAUGCUAUUAUAUUAUCUGUUUUGGAUGUUUUAUAUGCAUUAAUAUGCUAUUUUAUAUGAUUUUUUGGACUAACCUAUUAACCUAGAGCCCAGUGUCAGUUUCUGUUUUUUCCUUGUUUUAGAGUUUCGCAGAAAAAGAAUAUCAAACGGAAUAAAACUUUCGCGAUGAUUUUUCUUGGACCAGAAGACACACUACAAAAAAAAUACACUUCCGUGAUGAUACGUGUUUGUCAUAGUAGGUCGCGUUUUUUGUCAUGCAUGUACAUCCAUGACAAAUUUAUGAUAGAAUCAAGAUAGUCAUACCUGUGCUGUCGUAGAAGUGUUCCAUGACAUUACCAAAAUUAUCAUCACGGAAGUGUCCACUUCCAUGACGAUAAAUCGCGCGUCACAGAAGUGCUUUUGUCAAGGGCGACCGACACGUGGCAUCCACCGUAACGGAACGCCGUUAAGCUAUCGGGUCGGGUUUUGGAUCCGAUAACCCGUUAACAGCCCCGACCAAUGGGGAUUUUCCACGUGUAAAAUCAUCAUUGGCUGGAGGAGACACGUGUCAGGUCCGCGUUGGCACAGGUGUCACUCAUCCAAUGGGUGAGACGCGCCUAUGAUAUGUUGACACGUGGACCGGCCCAUCAAGUUUAAAUGGGCGGGCCCAACUGAAGGCCCACAAGAUUUUGCGGACCAUAAUGGGCCGGCCCAGCUAAAGGCCCACGAGAUUUUGCGGACCAUAAUGGGCUGGCCCAGCUAAAGGCCCACAAGAUUUUGCGGGCCAUAAUGGGCCGGCCCAGGUAAAGGCCCACAAGAUUUUUGUGUGCCAUAAUGGGCCGGCCCAAGUAAAGGCCCACAAGAUUCUUGCGGAUCAUAAUGGGCCGGCCCAGCUAAAGGCCCACGAGAUUUGGCCGACAUUAAUGGGUCGGCCCAGCUGUAGGCCCACAAGAUUUUGAGGAUCCUAGUAGGCCGGCCCAUUAACUGGCUGCCAUGUUUUGGGCCAAAUACCGGCCCAUAUUUGAUCCGGUCCAUUAAUGGCCUGCCACGCUCCGGGCCUAAUAGUGGCCCAUAUGAGAUCCGGCCCGUUAAAAGCCUACCACGUUCUGGGCCAAAUUACGGCCCAGAUCAGGUCCGGCCCUUUAAGAGGCUUUGGGCUCAAUUAUGGCCCAUAUCAGAUUCGGCCCGUCAACUGGACACUAUGCUUUUGGGCCCACUUGCUAAAGGCCCACUUAGUAAUUCAGCCUGAUAUUAGUUUUGGCCUGUUAAGGGCUCGUUUAACAUUUCGGCCCUAUAUUAAUUUCGGCCUGUUAAAAGCCCGCCAUAUAGUUGGGCCUAACUACGGUCUGGUUUGCAUCCGACCUGCUCGCAGCCGAUAUCUGAUUGGGCCAAACAAGGACCGACAUAAUUUUGGCCUGUUAAAAGCCCGUGAUUUGAUUCGCACAAUCAUGGGCCGGGGUUCAUUUCGGGCUGCUGCCGGCCCGUGAGCUGUUCGGCAGGUUUCAGGCCCAACCUACAUCGUGAUUGCAUGACGGCCCGAUUAUGUACCGUAAUUUUACGGUUUGGCCGGUUUACUGCGAAGACAGGAUAUAUAUACAGUAAAAUAACUGCAGCAUCGUGAAUAAGAAAAAACCUAGACUAUACAACAAAGAAAUUAUGGCAUAUUACAUCCACUGGGCAUCAAAGUUCGCCACUAUGAUAAUAAAGCACAAGCAGACAGCAGAUUACAUACAUUGGGCAUCAAAGAUUGCCACCAGUGCAAAUAAACACGUCGACAAUAUAAUAUACAAAACCGACAGCACUUCAAUAGAGUUCAAGAAAGGUUAGCCCUGCUGGGGAGCUGCAGCGCAAGCAGCUGAGCAAGAUGAUGAGACUGCGCUUGUUCAACACUUAUAUCUUCCUCACUCUGAAAGAUAAACAAGCAGACAGAUGACAGGUUUUGCACAUAAAAGUAUCAGUGCUGACAAUUCAUCACAUUUCUUACUGACGAAUAAAGUGACACAGUUUAAAAUUGCAUUAACACAAUAUGGUAUUGUUCAGGUCAAGACAUGGCAGGAAAUGACAUUGUGAAGGAGUUGGCAGCUUCACGACACCACUGGAUUACAGAUCAAGAACUCAUAAGUAUCAAUGGUUAGUGUGCUGUCAAUUUAUACCAUUUCAGAUUGGCAAAUAAAGAGACGGUUUAAAUAAUAGUAGAAUGAUAUGACAUUGUUCAUAGUUAAGACAUUGCAGAAUAUGACAUUGUGCUGUAGUGGGUAGGUUCACCACACCACUGGAUUACGGAUGAAGAACAGAAGCAUACAUGCAGUGCAAAAGAAGAUCACUUGCUCUGUAUAGUUUAAUUUACAUGGUAUGAAGAAGGAACUUGGUUGUACAACUGAAAACUUAAAUUGAGAAAGGACAAACUUUUGUUUAUGAACUACAUAAUAAACUUUAAACAAGCAAUUUGAUGCAAACACCAAAAAUAAACAGCUGUUGCAGUCAUGCCUAACCAAAUAUAUACAACAAAGUUUGAAGGCUUGAGAUGGACAAACUUACAUUAUUGGUGAAGACAGGCUCUAUAAAGGCCUUGUCCAUGCUGGUGGGGGGGGGGCAAUUCAAGAAGUUUACCACAGAAUCUUCUUCAAAAGUGUAAGGGCAUAUUUAUCCCUAAGAUGUUUUGGUGAUUGAUGACAAUGCUUUUGCGGACUAAUCGUGUGCAUUGAGUGUUUUUCAGAGAUUCAUCCUUUUUGGCACGAGACGAUUCCCUCCCCUCGGAGCUUGAAGCGAAGACGGUGUAGUCCUUUCGAUUAGUUUGGUGGACUAGUUUCAUAGGGAUCGCCGUUCUAUCAAGAGGGGGUCCGUUUUGGAAAGGCUAGGGCGGAAUCAUCACAUACACUUCCUUUGCCCCUCCCUCUGAGCCUUUCCGUUUCGAUGAUGGGCUCGUUUCUCCUCUCAGGGUGCUCUCUGUGGUCCCAGUGGUAGUACCGCGGGCCGAAGCGGUAGUACCGCUUGGGUGCUACAAGCCGUAGUACCGCUUUGGAGCGGUAGUACCGCUCCAGAGCAGUAGUACCGCUGUUAGCCCCCAACUGUGUGCUCUCUCUGGUCCCAGCGGUAGUACCGCGGGACGGAGCGGUAGUACUGCUUGGAUGCUACAAGCGGCAGUACCGCUCGGGGAGCGGUGGUACCGCUCCAGAGCAGUAGUACCACUAGUAGCCCCCAGCCGUAGUACUGCGGUGGUCUCGGGCUAGUACCGCCUCGAUUCGAGGGCUCUUUUUUCGUGUCGGGUUUUACGGUACUGGCCGCGGCAGUGGGGGGCCGUAGUACCGCUCGUAUGCGGUAGUACCGCCCUCCCACCGCGGUAGUACCGUUGUGGGCCAAGCGGCAGUACCGCGAGGGGGAGCGGUAGUACCGCUUAUAGUGGCAAGCGGUAGUACCGCUGGCACAGCGGCAGUACAGCUCUCUGCGGGGCAGAAGUGGGGGUAACGGUUGGUUUGUUCCCCCCACUAUAUAAGGGGGUCUUCUUCCCCAAAGUUGACCAACCUCUUCCCCCAAAAGCUCCAUUGUUGCUCCAAGCUCCAUUUUCGCCCGAUCUCUCUCCCUAGCCAAUCAAACUUGUUGAUUUGCUCGGGAUUGGUUGAGAAGGCCACGAUCUACACUUCCACCAAGAGAAAUUUGAUUCCCCCCACUUAUCCCUAGCGGAUCUUGUUACUCUUGGGUGUUUGAGCACCCUAGAUGGUUGAGGUCACCGCGGAGCCAUAGUCCAUUGUGGUGAAGCUUUGUGGUGUCGUUGGGAGCCUCCAAUUAAGUUGUGGAGAUUGCCCCAACCUUGUUUGUAAAGGUCCGGUCGCCGCCUUCAAGGGCACCAAUAGUGGAAUCACGGCAUCUCGCAUUGUGUGAGGGCAUGAGGAGAAUACGGUGGCCCUAGUGGCUUCUUGGGGAGCAUUGUGCCUCCACACCGCUCCAACGGAGACGUACUUCCCCUCAAAAGGAAGGAACUUCGGUAACACAUCCUCGUCUUCACCGGCUCCACUCUUGGUUAUCUCGUCCCUUUACUUUCGCUAUUUUACUCGUGUUAUAUCUCUUAUUUGCUUGCAUGCUUGUUGUCAUUGCAUCAUAUAGGUUGCUCACUUAGUUGCAUAUCUAGUCAACCUAUUUUGAUGCAAAGUUUAAUUUGGUAAAGAAAAGCUAAAAAUUGUUAGUUGCCUAUUCACCCCCCUCUAGUCACCUAUAUCGAUCCUUUCAAUUGGUAUCAGAGCCUCGUCUCUUUAUUAAGGACUUUACCGUCCAAAGAGUAUGGUUGACGUCGUAGACGGUGUGGAGGAGCACUCCGGUGUGAAUCCGGUCUCGUCUACGGGAGAUGGGGGAACCUCGGUCUCUCGUGAGGAAUUCAAUGUGGCGUUGGACACAUUGAAAACCUCCAUGACGACCGUGGUCGAAAGCAUGUUUAAUAAAUUCUUAGAAGGGCUUAAACUUACCACCGCACCGUUGAAGUGGGUGAUCCCGCUAACAAGGUGACGAAUGCUACCUCCGACAAGGGGGAAGCUACUAGCGAGAAAGCUCCUUCUUCUAGUGGUAAAAAUGGGACCGGCAUCUUUGCCCAUGUGGAACCUCCACCUGUCUAUGGUGGACCGCUCCCUUCCACUCAUUUGAAUCAUGCCGGCCCGGCCCCUAAUAUUGAGAAGAAUGUCGAUUUUGAUUCUUGGGUCUAUCGUUUUAAGCGUCAUUUAAAUCAUGUGAACACUAACCUUUGGAGAAUCAUUGAAGAAGGUCAUUGCAGUGUUUAGCUUCAAGAAUGGACUGCUGCUAGUGCGACACAAAGCAGCUACACAGAUCAUAGUGUAGAUAUAACGGGAAAACCUUAAGCAUCAGAGUAAAAUCAGCAAAGUCGAACUUGCUGGAAUAUAUGUGCUAGUAUUGCCGGUACGGCUAGAAAGGCUUCGGAUACCAGCUCUCUUCAAGUGAAGGUGCGGUACUGUUAAUAUCAGUGUAACUCUCAAAGGCGACACAGCUCCCCGCAUUUCCUUACUAUUCUUAUAGGAUUCAAGUGGGCAGGCCACUACAAAUCCUAUUCCUAUGUUUACAAGAUCCUACGAAUCAAAGAGGCUCAAAGUGUCCAUCACAACCGAUCGUAUAGACCUCUACACUGCAAAUGUCCCUACUCAUCUUCAGUACAAGGAACAUACUGUACUACUAUCAUACUCCCUCCGUUCCAAAAUAUAAGUCUUGGUAGAGAUUUCCACUAUGGAUCAUAUACAGAUGUAUCCAGAUACAUUUUAGAGUGUAGAUUCACUCAUUUUGCUCCAUAUGUAGUCCAUGGUGGAAUCUAUACAAAGACUUGUAUUUAGGAACGGAGAGAGGACAUAUUAAAGAAGAACGAAAGAGGAACAUGGUAAAGAAGAGCAAGCAGAUUUUGGAUAAUAAAAUGUUGGUUGCGCAGUGCCCACACAUGAUGAACCAGAGCACAUUAAGAAUGCAACUCUCAGCUGUCUCUCGACCAUUUCAGGCGGUUGGAUGAAGAUCCUACGUCUCCUAACCCUUCUUCUUCCUCGUCUCUGAUUCUUCCCAUACAGAACACCGCACGGGCCGCCGGCCGGACCACCGGCCCCCACCGCCUGUGUUCCUCCGCCACCCCCACCCCCGCCCCAACCCCCACCCGAGUCGAGUUUUCUUUGUUCGGCGAGGCCCCACAACCACCCGAGCCCCUUCGAUCGCACCGGCGAACUCCGGCGAGCUCUGAAAAAUCGACUGACCCAAUUUUGAAAUUUAGUCUACUGUGAUUUAACUAGUGUGGAAUAUAAAAGGGGAAAACCAUAAGCAUUGGGAGUAUAGUGUUGAGCGUGCCAUGGCGGAUCUGAAGGUGCAAACCGGACAAAGGCAACUUCUCAACCAAGACAAGAAAUCAGAGUAAAGCAGUGGUGAUCUAUUUUCUUGCUGCGAUAAAUAAGUUGAGCAGAUACGAAAGAGUACCGCCUCUGGUGCGGCGCCGUGUACGCAUCUGCUGAGAAUUUGACGGUGCUGCGAUAGCGAUGGUUGUCGGCAGCGUGGAAGCAGAUCUAGGAGGGUAGACGGUGGCGGUGGGGCGCAGUGGACGAGACGGUCGUAGGAGCGGCGCCGGCAAGGUGGACGACGACGAGGAUGAAGCGAGAGGACGGGAUGCAAGGAUCCCGGUCCGAAGCCGUGGAUGAGAGAGGUCGAUCUCUUGUAAUGGACGGCGGCGUCGGGGUACCAGCUCCGGCAUGGUGGAGGAGGACGGCGGUGGAUGGGGUGGCGGACGGCGGCGGACGGAGGAGGGUGGGGUGGAGAGGGUGGUUUGGCGCCCACGGAGUACGAAUGGGCAAAAGGGAGGUAGAGAGGAAGGGGGGAACCAUGUAUUUAGGGCGCGCUUGUCUCAAAUGCGAGGAAAUUUACAAACUUAGCCCCCGUUUCAAAUUUCUACUACAUCACAACAACAUUAGUCGGUUGGGGAUAGGACGGUAAUCUCGCAUACACCGAAUAUUUGCCGACGAGAGUUUGUUUUUGGCGCCCACCAUGUAUGAAUAUGAAUCGGGGAGGGAGUCGAUUUCGGCCGAGGACACACUGUGUUUUGGCGCCCACCGUGUAUGAAUCUGGGUGAGAGGCGGCUACGUCACGUUUGGGUGAAAUUACAAACCUACCCCUAUCGAAACCUAUAGAAAUCCAGCAGAUAGGCUUUGCGUGGCAGGGAUAGGCAGUAGUGAUUUCCAUCUCGCAGAUUUUGGUUUCGUACGGUUACUGCGACUUUCCCCGCUUCGCUCAAAUUUUUGCAGAGUGCACGUUUACCGUGCCAACUCAAUUCGAAUCCCGUUUGUAUUCUAUUUUUUUUUCGGGCGGGAUCCAUUUUCAAUUGGAAUUACAUUCUAUGUACAUAAAUUUUUUAUAUAUACUUUCAAAAGCACAACAAAGAAUUCUGCUCCUUUAUAUGUAUAAUAUGAUUUACAAAUACAACGAUCUCGAAAUCUUAAGGUUGAAUUCGAAUUUUUUUAACCAAAUUAUGUUCUACUAAAAUGUAUGGAUCAGUAAUAUCUACAUAUUAAAUAACAUAGAUGUGCGUGAAUUCAUAUGAGUAUGCAUGUUUGAUAGAUCAAUUUUGGUUCGAGUAUGGAUUACAUGUAUCAUCAUCUCGAAUUCAAAUAUUUGAAUCCCUUUUUUGUUCACUCCUUUCACGCCCAUCUCUCUCGCAUGCAUGCUCCUUCAGGUAGCUAUCACUCUCUUUUCUCCAGCUCACCCGCAUGCUCACUUCAUGUUUCUCCUAUCCUCGCAAACAUGGUCUCUCGACGUCUCCCUUGAGAAGUGUCACACUCUCCCUAUCAUUAUACAUUACACGGUUUUCAUUAUCUCUCACGUCUCUACUGUUCUCUGGUAUCACUCGGUACCUAAGCUUUCUUUUUCACCGCCACACACACAGUCUCCACUCGUCUUUCACUUUGUCUUUCUCUCUAUGGGAUUCUCUCACACACCCUAUAUGUCUCUACAUAUGACUCAUACCACUAAAAUUACUCUCUCUCUCUCUCUCUCCCGUAGACACAACAUUUGUUGCGGUCUCCUUUUCGUCUCCAUCCCAGACUGACAUUAUUCAUUUGUUUACCGAUCAAACAACCCCGACUACCGUCUCCUCUCUCUCUCUCUCACACAGACACACACACACAACUCCUGCUUCCACUCCCCUUCCCGACUACCGUCUCUCUCUCACACACACAAAACUCUCGCUUUCGCACCCCGACUCGUAUUUCUCUCACAAACAUUUAUCGACUAGCUAGCCUCUAGAUAGGUUUAUACACCCGCACACUCGUGCUUCCACCAUCGCAUACAUGUCUCUCUCCCGCUCCUUGUAUCUAUGUAGAUUUUUCUUCCCUUCUUGAGACACGCCCUCUCGAUCGUGCACACACACACUAUCGCCUCAUUUUAAGCUGAUACCUAUCGCACACACACUCCUUGUCUUUGUCACACAUGCACUCCGUCCUCCUCCACUCUCCCUCUCUCUCACACACACAUGGGCUUUUUGCAACAACUAGCAAGAUGCCCAUGCGUUGCACGGAACAUCAAGAUGCAUUUGUAUGAGUAGUUUAUCUUGUGGGGGGAAAGGAUGAACGAGGGAAGGCCUUAUUUGCAAAUGUGGAGAGGGGUGUGGGUAUCUUUUUGCAAAAUUGCCAUAGUUUCCUUCCUAUCCGUCAGAUAUAGAUCGGACGGCCUAUAUUGCAGGAUGGCAGGCACACGAUCAUCACCGACAAUGCUUUUUAUAAGAGUAGGGAUAAAAAAUAGAGUUGGUGAUGAUGGUGGGCAUGCCAUCCUGCAAUGUAGGUCGUCCGAUUUAUAUCUGACGGAUAGGAAGGAAAAUAUGGCAAUUUACCCGCACUCUUCACCACAUUUGCAGAUAAGGCCUUCCCUCGUUCAUCCUUUUCUCCCACAAGAUCUUGAUGUUCCGUGCAACGCACGGGCAUCUUGCUAGUAAGAGUAGAAAUUAGACAUAUACCACUUCUCGAAUCUUGAAACCAACAACAUUCCUCCCUUAUCUCAUCAAAACCGCCAAAGGAAUAUAUUUUGAGUGAAACAUAACAUAUUUUUAGUGAUAUACGUAUUUCAAAACUAGAAUUUUUUUCCUAUCAAAUCGGUGAAUAUGUAUUAAUCUACUUUGAUCGUGUGGCAACGCAUUGGCACAUUGCUAGUAGUUAUUAUAAUUUUUUGGACACCAGACAAACGGUGGAGUACAUAUACGAAGAGAAGAGGCGCACGCACGCAGUCGGCCUCUCGCUGUCUCGCACACAUGAGUGUUACGUAAAGGCGAAGUUAACAAAUGAACCCUAAAACCCUAGGUGCACGAUUGCUGCAUUCGCGGGUACCGGGUACGUGGUGGAGCACCUUUGUAGGAAUAGUCAGCUCGCGUGAUAAUUUGAUCCGUAGGAGUUGAUGGUCGGGACCACAGGUGAACGACUUGGAGCGCGGUGGCUCACCAGUUGCCACAGAUCAAGUAGCCACGUUUAAAAUAUCAUUUUUUUUAGUGGGGUUAAGAGUUCCGAUUUUCAAUGGCGCGUUAUAAGUAGUAAGUAGUUUUUAGAACGAUUGGUAUGGAGCGAAAAUGGAAUUCAUAGUACUACGUACCUCCUUGGCGUAUGGUUGUAUGGUUUUUUUUACGAUGGAGGUUGUAUGGGUUUAUGUUGCGAGAUGUUGAACCUGGUAGUUCUAGGGCAAAUACUAUGUGUAAGGGCAUAUUUAUCCCUAAGAUGUUUUGGUGAUUGAUGACAAUGCUUUCGUGGACUAAUCGUGUGCAUUGAGUGUUUUCAGAGAUUCAUCCUUUUGGCACGAGACGAUUCCCUCCCCUCGGAGCUUGAAGCGAAGACGGUGUAGUCCUUUCGAAUUAGUUUGGUGGACUAGUUUCAUAGGGAUCACCGUACUAUCAAGAGGGGGUCCGCUUUGGAAAGGCUAGGGCGGAAUCAUCACGUACACUUCCUUUGCCCCCCUCCGAGCCUUUCCGCUUCUAUGAUGGGCUCGUUCCCCCUCUCAGUGUGCCCUCUCUGGUCCCAGCGGUAGUACCGCGGGCCGGAGCGGUAGUACCGCUUGCGUGCUACAAGCGGUAGUACCGCUCUAGAGCGGUAGCACCGCUGGUAGCCCCCAGCCGUAGUACCGCUGCGGUCUCGUGCUUGUACCGCCUCGAUUCGAGGGGUCUUUUUUCGUGUCGGGUUUUACGGUACUUGCCACGGCAGUGGGGGCCGUAGUACCGCUCAUAUGCGGUAGUACCUCCCUGACCACCGCGGUAGUACAGACUGGGGGAGCGGUAGUACCGCUGUGAUCAGCGGUAGUACCGCUGCCUCCUGCGGUAGUACCGCUCUCUGCGGGGCUGGUGUGGGGGGUAACGGUUGGAUUGUUCCCCCCACUAUAUAAGGAGGUCUUCUUCCCCAAAGUUGACUCACCUCUUACCCCAAAAGCUCCAUUGUUGCUCCAAGCUCCAUUUUCGCCCGAUCUCUCUCCCUAGCCAAUCAAACUUGUUGAUUUGCUCGGGAUUGGUUGAGAAGGCCCCGAUCUACACUUUCACCAAGAGAAAUUUGACUCCCCCACUUAUCCCUAGCGGAUCUUGUUACUCUUGGGUGUUUGAGCACCCUAGACGGUUGAGGUCACCGCGGAGCCAUAGUCCAUUGUGGUGAAGCUUUGUGGUGUCGUUGGGAGCCUCCAAUUAAGUUGUGGAUAUUGCCCCAACCUUGUUUGUAAAGGUCCGGUCGCCGCCUUCAAGGGCACCACUAGUGGAAUCACGACAUCUCGCAUUGUGUGAGGGCGUGAGGAGAAUACGGUGGCCCUAGUGGCUUCUUGGGGAGCAUUGUGCCUCCACACCGCUCCAACGGAGACGUACUUCCCCUCAAAAGGAAGGAACUUCGGUAACACAUCCUCGUCUUCACCGGCUCCACUCUUGGUUAUCUCGUCCCUUUACUUUCGCUAGUUUACUCGUGUUAUAUCUCUUAUUUGCUUGCAUGCUUGUUGUCAUUGCAUCAUAUAGGUUGCUCACUUAGUUGCAUAUCUAGUCAACCUAUUUUGAUGCAAAGUUUAAUUUGGUAAAGAAAAGCUAAAAAUUGUUAGUUGCCUAUUCACCCCCUCUAGUCAACUAUAUCGAUCCUUUCAAUUGGUAUCAGAGCCUCGUCUCUUUAUUAAGGACUUUACCGUCCAAAGAGUAUGGUUGACGUCGUAGACGGUGUGGAGGAGCACUCCGGUGUGAAUCCGGUCUCGUCUACGGGAGAUGGGGGAACCUCGGUCUCUCGUGAGGAAUUCAAUGUGGCGUUGGACACAUUGAAAACCUCCAUGACGACCGAGGUCGAAAGCAUGUUUAAUAAAUUCUUAGAAGGGCUUAAACUUACCACCGCACCGUUGAAAGUGGGUGAUCCCGCUAACAAGGUGACGAAUGCUACCUCCGACAAGGGGGAAGCUACUAGCGAGAAAGCUCCUUCUUCUAGUGGUAAAAAUGGGACCGGCAUCUUUGCCCAUGUGGAACCUCCACCUGUCUAUGGUGGACCGCUCCCUUCCACUCAUUUGAAUCAUGCCGGCCCGGCCCCUAAUAUUGAGAAGAAUGUCGAUUUUGAUUCUUGGGUCUAUCGUUUUAAGCGUCAUUUAAAUCAUGUGAACACUAACCUUUGGAGAAUCAUUGAAGAAGGUUUUUAUCCGCAUGACCGAAGUAACUUCACUCCUAGAGAAGUUGUGGAUCAUCAAUUCAAUGAGAAUGCUCUCUUCAUCAUCCAAGAAGCAAUCCCACCCGAAGAUCUUCCUCAUCUCCGGCCUUACACCGUGGCCAAAGAUGCUUGGCUCCAAGUUGUUUCCCUCUAUCGGGGAAGCGCAAGCAUUCAACGCUCCAACUAUGAAGUGGUGCAAGAUGAAGCCGACGAGUUUGCAAUGAAAGAAGAUGAAGAACCUCGCGAGCUUUUUCGGAGAGUAACCAAACUCGCGGUCUCUCUCCGAGAUCAUGGAAGUAAGGACACGGAUGACAAUUGGAUCAAGCGCAAAUUCCUCAAGGCAAUGAUGCCCUACCAUAAGCCAUGUCCUCCGUAAUUCGUCAAAGGCCGGACUUCCACACCUUGUCAUCAAGUGAAGUGUUGGAUGAGUUUGUUGCUAUGAGCAUGUUGGACAAGACCGCCGACAAUGCGGUUCUUCGCUCUCAAAGAGUAAAUAAGCCCAACCUUGCUCUAAAGGCCAAGGUUAGUAUGGAGGAAGAGGAUGAAGAGGAAGAAGAGGAGGGCAACCUCGAAGAUACGAAGUAUGCCUAUCAUGAACACAUGGCUCUUGCUUCAAGGCAAUUUUGGAGCAAGAAGAACAUAAGGCCAAACUUCAACAAGAGCAAUUCAAGUGGCGCAAAGGGCAAGCAACGGGUGUGGACUUGCUUCAAUUGUGGCAAUGUGAGCCACUUUGUUGCGGAGUGCCCUUACGAGAAGAGGGAAGACAAUGGUGGCAAGCUCAUUAGAAAAGACAAGGCCAAGUCGUUCCCCAACAAGAGCAACUUCACUAAGAAGACUCCUCCCAAGGCAUUGGUGGUACAAGAAGAGUACAAUGAGGAUGAUGAUGAUGAUGAAGAUGGUGAGUCGGUUGCCAUGGCCUCCGUUGCCAUUGCGAAGACUCCACGGCUGUCUCUCUUCGACUCACGCAAUGAGAACAUCACCGCCAAGUGCCUCAUGGCUAAAGCCACCAAUAAGGUAACCUCCAACAUCAAAACUACCAUCAUUCAUCAUCCCUCUUUGACGGAUAGCAUUGAUGAACAUGAGGGGACAAAUGUGGAGGAAAAUGAGUUUGAGAUCUUUAUGAGUAAACUCAAGGGUAAAUCCAAGAAGCACUUCGUUGCUCUCUUGGAGCAACUUGGUGAAGCCAAUGACAUGAUCGAGGCUCACGAAGAUACCAUCUCUAAGAUGGAGGGGCAUAGUCGUGACUAUGCCGAUGAGAUUUCGGAUCUUUCCAAUGCUCUUGACGAAGAGCGUGGUCUUCGUUUGGCUCUUGAGGAGUCAUACAACGAUGAUCAUGCUAAGUUAAAGAAAGAUCUUGAUCAUGCUCUUGUUGUGUCUCGUGUGCUAAACUCCGAGAAGGCAGAAUUUGGGGUUGAUCUUGCUAGACUUAAAGAGGAGUUUGACAUUCUCGACAAGGCUCACAAAGUCUUGAAGGGUGCUCAUGCUAGCCUCAAGGAGUCUCAUGAUCAACUCCAAGUAAAGUUAACUAAGGAGAAAGCCACCUUUCCUCAUAUGGUGUUAAUUGAUAAUGCAAAUGCUACUAAUUCUUGUUGUGAGCAUGUGCAUCUUGUUGAGGAGAAUGCUAAGUUGAAGGAGCAACUUGAGAAAGGCCUUGUGUCAUGCAUACAAGGUGAGAAGAACCUCAACGACCUUUUGAGAAACCAAUAGGAAGUUGUGGCCAAGGAGGGGAUUGGGUUCGCACCCAAGCCCAAGAACAAGAAGAAGAAUGACAAGACCAAACGACCUCCCCCUCUCAAGCAAACUUUUGUGAAGGAGGGAGAGGGUACUUCCAAGGAGAAGAAGAACAAUGCGAAGGGUGACGGUGUCAAGAAGGGCAUUUCCACCCCACCCAACAAAGCCGGCGAUUUUAAUCCUUCUUAUGUGUUAUGUCGUGCAAGUGAUGGGCAUGUUUAUGCCAAAUUUGUUGGUUCACCUCAUGAGUACAUUGAAUGGUCCAUUUGGGUUCCUGAGACCCUUGUUACUAACAUCAAAGAACCCAUUACAAAAUGGGUACCUAAAACCAAGCAUUGAUCUCUUGUAGGUGUUUGCUUCCGGUGGGGGAUCAUGGUUGCUCGAUAGUGGAGCUACAAAUCAUAUGACCGGAAGCAAGGACUUGGUGGUGGACGUGCACAAGAUUCCAUCUAUGCCCACCAAUGUCAAGUGGGGUGAUGCCUCGUCUUCUAAGGUAUUGGGACUUGGCAAAGUUGUCAUUUCUCAUGAUCUCACGAUCGAGAAGGUCAUGCUAGUUGAGUCCCUUGCAUACAAUUUACUUUCCGUUCGUCAACUUGCUAUCAUGGGCUUUGCCACUUUCUUUGAUAUUGAUACCGUGGCCCUCUUGUGGAGCAAGACUCUUAAAGUAGCCUUUGUUGGGCAUGUCGAGAACGGUUUCUAUGUGAUUAACUUUUCGGAGCGACCCACUAAGACCGCGACAUGCCUAAUGGCUAAAGUUGACGUGGGAUGGCUUUGGCAUCGCCGUUUAGCCCAUGCCAAUAUGAGAUCUUUGCAAAGUCUUCUCAAGGGGGACCAUGUCCAUGGACUAACGAACGUUAGUUUUGCUAAAGAUCGUGCUUGCAGUGCUUGUAUCGAAGGAAAGCUUCAUGAGAAGGCUCACCCUCCCACGACUCUCAUUUACUCGAAGAGGCCCUUGGAGCUCCUUCAUUUGGAUCUCUUUGGGCCUCCAUCCUUUGAUAGUCUUGGGGGUAGAAAAUAUUGCUUGGUAAUUGUGGAUGACUAUUCUAGAUACACUUGGGUGUAUUUUUUUCAAGAGGAAGAGUGAGACCCAACAAACAGUCAUUGACUUUGCAAAUGAAGCCCAACGUCAACACAAUGCAAAGAUCUUGACUAUAAGAAGUGACAACGGCACCGAGUUCAAGAACUACACCCUGGAUGAGUUUCUUAGUGAUGAGGGGAUCAAGCAUCAAUAUUCCGCACCUUAGACCCCUCAACAAAAUGGUGUCGCGGAGAGGAAGAACCGGACGUUGAUGGAUGCGGCAAGGACCAUGAUGGCGGAGUUCAAGUCUCCAUACAACUUUUGGGCCGAAGCCAUCAACACCGCGUGUCAUGCUUCAAAUCGGCUCUAUCUCCGCAAAGGCUUGAACAAGACUCCAUAUGAGAUACUCACUGGUAACAAGCCCAACCUCAAGUACUUUCGGGUGUUCGGGUGUAAGUGUUUCAUUCUCAAGAAAGGUGUUCGUUUGUCUAAAUUUGAGACUAGAGCUCAUGAGGGCAUAUUUGUUGGUUAUGCUACAAACUCCCAUGCUUACCGUGUUCUCAAUAAGUCCACGGGACUUAUUGAGGAGACGUGUAACGUGGAGUUUGAUGAGAAUAACGGCUCCCAAGUGGAGCAAAGUGGUACUUGUGAUGUAGGUGAUGAAAUUCCUCCCCAAGCCAUAAGAAGAAUGGGUGUUGGAUAUAUCCUACCCAUUGAGGAACCCCUUGUGGCCGAAGGAGAAGGACAAUGCUCCACUCAAGUGGAGCCAUUACCAACCCAAGACCCACACGCUUCCGAAGAACAAAGUGAAGGCCCUCAACCUCAUGAACAAGAUCAAGGGCAAGAUCAACCUCAAGAUGUUGGUGAUCCACCAAAUGAUGCCCAAGGUCAAGUUCCUUCCCUCGAGCAAGUUGAAGAUCAAGAACAAGCUCAAGACGACACUCAAGAUGAUCAAGUAACUCCUCCUCACUUCACUUCCGAGGAGGAAUUGGAGCGUCGUGCCGCUAAGAUCGCUUCCAAGCUCACCACCAAAGGUCAUCUCAUGGAGAAUGUGGUUGGAAGCCUAAGAAAGGGGGUAAGCACUCGUAGACAAUUAGCAAACUAUUGUGAACAUCAUGCGUUUGUUUCUUGUGUCGACCCCCAAAAGGUUUAUGAAGCGCUCGAGGACCCGGAUUGGCUCAAUGCCAUGCAUGAAGAACUCAACAACUUCGAACAUAACCAAGUGUGGAAAUUAGUGCCAAGGCCAACCGGGAACCAUAAUGUCAUUGGAACCAAGUGGAUAUUCAAGAACAAGCAAGACGCUCAUGGAAUCAUUGUUCGCAACAAGGCUUGUUUGGUGCCACAAGGCUACUCCCAAGUCGUGGGUAUCGACUACGGUGAAACCUUUGCUCCCGUCGCUCGCCUUGAAUCUAUUCGUUUGUUGAUUGCUUAUGCUUCUCAUCAUAAUUUCACAUUGCAACAAAUGGAUGUGAAGAGUGCUUUUCUUAAUGGUCCCGGAAAUGAGUUGGCAUAUGUCAAACAACUCCCCGGGUUCGAAGAUCCCUAUUUCCCCGAUCAUGUGUAUCAACUCCACAAGGCGCUCUAUGGCCUUAAACAAGCCCCACGUGCGUGGUAUGAGCAUCUUACGGAGUUGUUACAAGAUCGUGGAUUCAAAAUCGGGAAAAUCGACCCCACUCUUUUUACUAAGAAGGUCAAAGGGGAGUUGUUUGUGUGCCAACUAUAUGUUGAUGAUAUCAUUUUUGGUUCCCCUAACAAAGCCUUCAAUGAAGAAUUUGCCGCUCUCAUGACCUCAAAGUUCAAGAUGUCUAUGAUGGGAGAGUUGAAGUUCUUUCUCGGAUUCGAAAUCAAACAAAGAAGAGAAGGAACCUUCAUCAACCAAGCCAAAUACACUCAAGACAUGCUAAAGAGAUUCAAGCUAAGUGAUGUCAAGCCGGCUUCCACUCCGAUGCCCACCAAGUGCCAACUUGACAUUGAUCCCAAUGGUAAAGCGGUGGAUCAAAAGGUAUAUCGCUCCAUGAUUGGAUCCUUGCUUUACCUUUGUGCAUCUAGACCGGAUAUCAUGUUGAGUGUGGGAAUUUGUGAACGGUUUCAAGCCGCACCUAAGGAAAGCCACUUUGUGGCGGUCAAGCGAAUCUUUCGAUAUUUGGCUCAUACCCCAAACUUUGGCUUAUGGUACCCAAGAGGAGCAAACUUCAAGCUUGUAGGUUAUUCGGACUCCGAUUGGGCAGGAGACAAAGUGGAUAGGAAGUCCACUUCCGGAGGGUGCCAAUUUCUUGGUUGCUCUUUGGUAAGUUGGUCUUCUAAAAAGCAAAGUUGUGUGUCUCUCUCGUCCACCGAAGCAGAGUAUGUGGCAGCCGGGAGUUGCUGUGCACAACUCUUAUAGAUGAGGCAAACUUUAAAGGAUUACGGUGUCAUUUGUGACAAAGUGCCUCUUUGGUGUGACAAUGAAAGUGCCAUCAAGAUUUCUCUCAACCCGGUGCAACACUUCAAGACGAAGCAUAUUGAGAUUCGGUAUCACUUCAUCCGGGAUCAUAUUAGGCGAGGGGAGAUCGAGCUCAACUAUGUCAACACUCAUGAUAACCUUGCAGAUAUUUUCACGAAGCCAUUGGAUGAAGCAAGAUUUCGCGAGUUAAGGCAUGAGCUAAAUAUCAUUGAUUCGAGCAAUGUGGUUUGAACCUUUGCACACCCCUCACAUUCAUUGUGCAUUCUUGUCUAGGUGUAGGCAUGGACUUAGGGGGAGUGUUGUUCUCUCAAUGAACUCUUCCUCCCCCCAUAAUGCAUAAACUAAUCUCACUCUUUCACAUUAGCCAUUUUUGAUGGUACUUGUGCUUCAAAGACGAGUUUUGGUCAUGGGCCCAAGGAUAAUGCUUCGCGGUGCCAUACCAAUUGACUCAAACAUAGAUGGCCUCGGCCACCGCCCUCUCGUGUAGAGGUGUGUGGUUCUUGUUCUCCUGCUGGUGCUCUUGUUGCUUUGUGUUGGUUUUCUCUUCUUGCCGUCGUUUCCCUUCUUUUCUUUUUGUGCCAUAGGUGUCGAGUCUAGUUUUGAGUUGCGCUGGGCGGUACUACCGCUGUGAAGGCGCGGUACUACCGCUGGAGCGGUACUACCACUCUACGGAGCGAUACUACCGCUUAUGUGGCUAAGCGGUACUACCGCCCAUCACCACGGUACUACCGCUGAGGGGCGGGGCCAGGGGGUUAAGUCGUGGGCAGGGGUGGUUUCCUCCCCGCAUACCCAUUUGCUUCGUCCCCUGGUUCCUCGUCCUCUCUCUCCAGCGCCAUCUCACCGCGGGAGGGCUCCGGCGGCCCUCCGUCUCCGGACCGUUCCUUCCCAUUUCCUUCGGUGGAGUCGAUCCCCACCUCGUCCUCUUGCCAUGGAUGCCGGUAUUGCCCCCGUUCCUCUGCUCUUCUUUUCUAGUUUUCAGAUCUCGCGUUUUAGGGGCAAUAGUAGUUGCAUCUCUAGAUAUUUGGCCAAAUCUAGGCUUGAGUAGGAUGGAGAAGGCAACUAGACUCUUUGGAUUGAUGUUUGGUAGGUUUAUUUUUGAAUUUGGCAUCCCCGGUAGUGCCGGAUCUGACCACGGCAGUAGGGAUCCUCCGUGCCCCGUCUCGAGCGGUACUACCGCUCAUAUGGCGCGGUACUACCGCUGGAGCCGUACUACCGCUGCGGAAGCACGGUACUACCGCUGCUGCGGUACUGCCGCUGAGCAGGCACGGUACUACCGCUGGAUGCCCAGUUCCAUUGUAUCUACCACAUGUUGAUCCAUAUUUGUUGUGUUUAUUUGGUUUUGAUCGCUCUGUCUAGUUGUUUCUUGUGUCCGUGUGUUUGGUUCCAGGUGAUGAACAUCCUGAGCUGCAAGUCCGCCGUGUCAACCCAGGGCGUUCAACGUCAAAGCGGUACCGCUCAUCUGAGACUGCAGGUGGUUCUUCCAGUGCUCCACCGCCGCCAGGGGGUGCUUCCUCCAGUGCUAAUCCUCCUCGCAAGAAGAAGAUUGCCAACCGACCGAAGCCAAGUGGCAAGAAGGUGACUGAGAUGUCUAGCAAGGAAUUCUGGGAGAGGCGUCGGCGCAACCCAUAUGAGGAAGACCAAGAACCCAACCUUGUCAAUCGCCCGUUCUGGAACCGGUUUCAGUAUGCCACAUACUUUGAUGUGAUCAAGGCUAAGAAGAACCUCUUUGUCAAUGUUCAUUCCAUCAACACGGAUGUUAUGGAGAAGGACCCUGAGUACUUUGGUGAUGCCCUUCAGAUGUGCUCUCAGUUGAACAUUCUCAGGAUCAUGCAGUUCAACAAGGACUUUGAUGCAGAUUUGCUGGCACAGUUCUUUGCCACUGUUCACCUAGGAACUGAUGCAGACAGGACUCUGACUUGGAUGACUAAUGGAAAGGUGCUAGCUGUCAAGUGGCAGGCCUUCAUGGGGGUGCUUGAGGUGGAAGAUCAAGGGCUCGAGACUCCAGUCGGUUUUCGUCCUCACCAAAAUGUUACCUCCACUCACAAGCAAGCCCUCUGGCCCUACUGUACUCGGAAGGUCAACCCUGAGACCAGGAAGGAAACCUAUGAGUUGUCUGCCUAUCUGGACAUCCUCCACCGUAUCUUCCGCGAGACUCUCUUCCCUCGUAUUGGGAAUCUGGACAUGGUACACUCUUAUCUUGUGGACAUGCUUCUCUUCUGCCAGCGUGAGAAGGAAGCAAACACUGGCGAGUCCCUGGACAUCUCUCAUGUCAUGUGGUCUGAACUUCUUGCUGCUGUUUCUGAGCGCAAGUGCCCAAUUUAUGGUCCGUUCAUUAUGUUGCUUAUUGAGAGGGCCUGGAGACAUACCUAUCCUGAGGAGCAGCUGGAAACUGGAGAGUUGGUUUCUCAUGAGAUCAAGCGUCUGAGGAAGAAGGGUAAUUGGGGUAGAUCUGGAGUUCCAUCUUCUGCUGCUGCCAUGGAGACCGAGGACGAGGCUGAUGCCGGUGAUGAUGAUGAGGAUUAUGUGCCUUCUCGGACAGAGCCUUCUGCGGCAGAUCCCUCUUGGGCAAAGAAGCUCAAACACAAGAUGAAGAAGCUAUUCUGUAUGGAGUCUCACGGUCAGUACAUGACUCAUGUGGCUGAGAAGAAGGCAAGAGGACGUCACAAGGAGCUUAUGCGUCAGAUGGGUGCGACAGUCACCAGCGGCUCUGAGGGUCAAAUCACUGAGGAGGAGGAGUGGAUCCAGCAGCACUGUCCGUGGACCGAUUCAGAUGCCGAGCAGUUUCCGGGCGAGGACGGCAGUGCAGAUGAUCACGCAGAGUCCUGAUGUUCGAGAUCCUCAGCAUGCUCUCACCUGGAGCCAUAGGUUAGCUCUUUGCCCCUUUUGGUGUCUCGAUGCCAAAGGGGGAGAGAGUUUAGGGAUUUGCGUCGUUGUGUUGCGAGUGUGUCUUUGCCUUUGUGCUUUCGUUGUGUGCUACCUGGUGCUUUGCUUGGUUUUGUGUUCAGUGAGACCUUAGUCCAAGUCAUAUGGUGUGAGACAUAUGCUACCCUAUCCUUAUCAUAUCUUUAUCUUUGUCUCUAGUCAUUUGAUAUCUCAUGAGUUACAUGCUUUAUUAUGUUAUAUAUCCUGCUAUCUUGUAUCUCGCUUAGGUUGUUGAUCUCUAAAAUACAGGGGGAGUGUUGAUCCUAGUAUGUGUGUCGUGCAGUCCAAAGCACUUAUCUUGAUGGCACACAUCUAGGGGGAGCCCGUCUAUAUUUUAGAGAUUUGGGGUUUGCUUAUGUCCUUUGUCUUUUCCCAAUUGUGCAAAUCCCGUAUUGUCAUCAAUCCACCAAAAAGGGGGAGAUUGUAAGGGCAUAUUUAUCCCUAAGAUGUUUUGGUGAUUGAUGACAAUGCUUUUGCGGACUAAUCGUGUGCAUUGAGUGUUUUUCAGAGAUUCAUCCUUUUUGGCAUGAGACGAUUCCCUCCCCUCGGAGCUUGAAGCGAAGACGGUGUAGUCCUUUCGAUUAGUUUGGUGGACUAGUUUCAUAGGGAUCACCGUUCUAUCAAGAGGGGGUCCGUUUUGGAAAGGCUAGGGCAGAAUCAUCACGUACACUUCCUUUGCCCCUCCCUCCGAGCCUUUCCGUUUCGAUGAUGGGCUCGUUUCUCCUCUCAGGGUGCUCUCUGUGGUCCCAGCGGUAGUACCGCGGGCCGGAGCGGUAGUACCGCUUGGGUGCUACAAGCCGUAGUACCGCUCUGGAGCGGUAGUACCGCUCCAGAGCAGUAGUACCGUUGUUAGCCCCCAACUGUGUGCUCUCUCUGGUCCCAGCGGUAGUACCGCAGGACGGACCGGUAGUACCGCUUGGGUGCUACAAGCGGUAGUACCGCUCUGGGAGCGGUGGUACCGCUCCAGAGCAGUAGUAUUGCUAGUAGCCCCCAGCCAUAGUACCGCGGUGGUCUCGUGCUAGUACCGCGUCGAUUCGAGGGCUCUUUUUUCGUGUCGGGUUUUACGGUACUGGCCGCGGCAGUGGGGGGCCGUAGUACCGCUCGUAUGCGGUAGUACCGCCCUCCCACCGCGGUAGUACCGCUGUGGGCGAAGCGGCAGUACCGCGAGGGGGAGCGGUAGUACCGCUUAUAGUGGCAAGCCGUAGUACCGCUGGCACAGCGGUAGUACCGCUCUCUGCGGGGAAGAAGUGGGGGUAACGGUUGGUUUGUUCCCCCCACUAUAUAAGGGGGUCUCCUUCCCCAAAGUUGACCAACCUCUUCCCCCAAAAGCUCCAUUGUUGCUCCAAGCUCCAUUUUCGCCCGAUCUCUCUCCCUAGCCAAUCAAACUUGUUGAUUUGCUCGGGAUUGGUUGAGAAGGCCACGAUCUACACUUCCACCAAGAGAAAUUUGAUUCCCCCCACUUAUCCCUAGCGGAUCUUGUUACUCUUGGGUGUUUGAGCACCCUAGACGGUUGAGGUCACCGCGGAGCCACCAUUGUGGUGAAGCUUUGUGGUGUCGUUGGGAGCCUCCAAUUAAGUUGUGGAGAUUGCCCCAACCUUGUUUGUAAAGGUCCGCUCGCCGCCUUCAAGGGCACCAAUAGUGGAAUCACGGCAUCUCGCAUUGUGUGAGGGCGUGAGGAGAAUACGGUGGCCCUAGUGGCUUCUUGGGGAGCAUUGUGCCUCCACACCGCUCCAACGGAGACGUACUUCCCUUCAAAAGGAAGGAACUUCGGUAACACAUCCUCGUCUUCACUGGCUCCACUCUUGGUUAUCUCGUUCCUUUACUUUCGCAAGUUUACUCGUGUUAUAUCUCUUAUUUUCUUGCGAGCUUGUUGUCAUUGCAUCAUAUAGGUUACUCACUUAGUUGCAUAUCUAGACAACCUAUUUUGAUGCAAAGUUUAAUUUGGUAAAGAAAAGCUAAAAAUUGUUAGUUGCCUAUUCACCCCCCCCCUCUAGUCAACUAUAUCGAUCCUUUCAAAAAGCAUUGCCUUUAUUCUACAUUUUGUUAAGAGUAAAUAUAGAUGUGAUAAUAUACGAAAAAAUGGAGAAUAUUUAAGAUAAGAUGAAGAGUGAUGCUACAUAACCAAGUAGCUAUAAAUAUAAGUGCAGCGAUACAGGCAGAAGGUACAACCAAGAGCAAUGCAUAGCUAAACUUCUUCAGUACCAACCUUAUGGUAAGAGUAAAUAUAGAUCUGAUGUGUAGAAAAUGGAGGGCAAAGGAAAAUAAGCUGCAGUGUGAUGGUACAUGAACAACUACCUGUCAUUAUAAGUACACUGAUAAAGGACAACAUGUACUUACAAGAACAAUGCAGAGCUAAAAAAACAUUGGCAUUGGAUAUAUUCUACACUAAUGUAACCAUUCAUACAUAUCAGAUAAUUUGGAGCGAACAAUUGAUAAGCAAGCUAUCAUGCAUACUGCUGUCACAUAAUGAACCAGGUAUGUAUGCAAGUACAGUGAUACAGGACAACAUGUACUAACAAGAGCAAAGCAGCGGGCAGCAUAUUUGCGAUAUCCUGUCGUUCUUGUCAAACCGGAAUUCUUCUUCGAGCAGAAUUCCUGCAAAAAAGAUCCGUAAGGCACAUGCAGAAAAGUAGAAGUUCAAAUUGUCAUGUGAUUUCAUAGACAGUACCUCAUCCUGGGAACGAGACCAGUGCAUAACAAGGUUUUUCCAUUCAAUGUCUUCUAAAUUUAGCACAGGAGACUUCACCGGAAAUUCGUUUAUAGACUUGCCAUCAAAGUGUGAUUUCCUCAGGUAACACCGAUACUGCUGCAAUGCUUCCUUGAAAAGCACAAGCAAGCUUUGCUCGUCAUGACUAUCCAGAUUGACCCUCGCCUAGUUACAACAAUGUAAUGUAAAUCAUUGAUGUGUUCAAUCAGCAGAAAACAGGAAAAUAAUAACCAUGAAUAAUAGCACUUACACGUAAGUUGGAUAGGAAGAUGUGAAAAUGGUGUUUGUCUUCACAAUAAUCUUCCCAUGAUGGGAAUAUAUGCACGUAGUCCCUAACAACAUUGAAAGCAUUGUCUUUUAAACUGGGAAUAAAUGGAAUGGGGUUCCAAUCUGCAGGAAUUGGACGUCUCUGCAGUUGGGAUAGGUCUUCGGCCGGUGGACUUGCUGUACUUUUUGCUGGAGUGGGAUUUUUCUGUGGUACAGCUGGUGCUAUGGCAAAUGAAAUCGGUAUACCUUUUGCUGGAGUGCAGGUCCUGUGUGGUGGGGCUAGUGGUGUGGCCAGUGAAGUAUGGGUACAGUCUGCUGGAGUCGGUCCUACGUUUUGUGUCACUGGUUGUACAGCCAAUAUAAGUGGGGUGCUGUCUGAUUUCUCCGGCACCACCACGUUUUUCAAGGACUUUGCUGGUGCUCCUUCAGGUUCGGCAAUCACCCUCUUACUUUUUGAUGUCUGAUGCACAAGAACAACAUUUGAGUGGAAAAACAUGGUAUGAUGACAGAUGGAAUAUAUAUUGAUAAUGGAUGGGCAUGGCAUCUCGACAUAUAUGAUGAGUAAACUAAGCAGAUGGCGGUGCAACAAAGUAGAAGAAAUGCAAGACAACAUAUGCAAGAUACCCGCAAUCAAUAAAACAUUGCCAAAUUAGAACAUGCACCUUGAUGGGUGAACAGGACAGGCCAUCUGCCUUUGACUCCUCGAGGUUAGAAUAGUCAUUAGGAUCAUAUUCUGAACAAGAAUCAACAGGUGGGGAGCGUAUGAGUUUCAUUGCAUCCAGAAUGGCACUCAAUGCCUUGGUGCCAAUUUUGUAAGUCAUUGCAGUGUUUAGCUUCAAGAAUGGACUGCUGCUAGUGCGACACAAAGCAGCUACACAGAUCAUAGUGUAGAUAUAACGGGAAAACCUUAAGCAUCAGAGUAAAAUCAGCAAAGUCGAACUUGCUGGAAUAUAUGUGCUAGUAUUGCCGGUACGGCUAGAAAGGCUUCGGAUACCAGCUCUCUUCAAGUGAAGGUGCGGUACUGUUAAUAUCAGUGUAACUCUCAAAGGCGACACAGCUCCCCGCAUUUCCUUACUAUUCUUAUAGGAUUCAAGUGGGCAGGCCACUACAAAUCCUAUUCCUAUGUUUACAAGAUCCUACGAAUCAAAGAGGCUCAAAGUGUCCAUCACAACCGAUCGUAUAGACCUCUACACUGCAAAUGUCCCUGCUCAUCUUCAGUACAAGGAACAUACUGUACUACUAUCAUACUCCCUCCGUUCCAAAAUAUAAGUCUUGGUAGAGAUUUCCACUAUGGAUCACAUACAGAUGUAUCCAGAUACAUUUUAGAGUGUAGAUUCACUCAUUUUGCUCCAUAUGUAGUCCAUGGUGGAAUCUAUACAAAGACUUGUAUUUAGGAACGGAGAGAGUACAUAUUAAAGAAGAACGGAAGAGGAACAUGGUAAAGAAGAGCAAGCAGAUUUUGGAUAAUAAAAUGUUGGUUGCGCAGUGCCCACACAUGAUGAACCAGAGCACAUUAAGAAUGCAACUCUCAGCUGUCUCUCGACCAUUUCAGGCGGUUGGAUGAAGAUCCUACGUCUCCUAACCCUUCUUCUUCCUCGUCUCUGAUUCUUCCCAUACAGAACACCGCACGGGCCGCCGGCCGGACCACCGGCCCCCACCGCCUGUAUUCCUCCGCCACCCCCACCCCCACCCCCGCCCCAACCCCCACCCGCGUCGAGUUUUCUUCGUUCGGCGAGGCCCCACAACCACCCGAGCCCCUUCGAUCGCACCGGCGAACUCCGGCGAGCUCUGAAAAAUCGACUGACCCAAUUUUGAAAUUUUGUCUACUGUGAUUUAACUAGUGUGGAAUAUAAAAGGGGAAAACCAUAAGCAUUGGGAGUAUAGUGUUGAGCGUGCCAUGGCGGAUCUGAAGGUGCAAACCGGACAAAGGCAACUUCUCAACCAAGACAAGAAAUCAGAGUAAAGCAGUGGUGAUCUAUUUUCCUGCUGCGAUAAAUAAGUUGAGCAGAUACGAAAGAGUACCGCCUCUGGUGCGGCGCCGUGUACGCAUCUGCUGAGAAUUUGACGGUGCUGCGGUAGCGAUGGUUGUCGGCAGCGUGGAAGCAGAUCUAGGAGGGUAGACGGUGGCGGUGGGGCGCAGUGGACGAGACGGUCGUAGGAGCGGCGCCGGCAAGGUGGACGACAGCGAGGAUGAAGCGAGAGGACGGUGUAACGCCCGGAUAAUCAUGCCACAGUAAUCUCACGUUAAUGAGGGCACGUCACCUCUGUCACUGUAAUUAAUCUCGGGUUAAUUCAAAACCAUUUCAAAUUUAAAUUUUAAAUAAGUCAAACGACAAAAGUUUUCAAAUAUUAAAAUAAAAAUGUUCGGGAGAUGCCAUAUUUUGCAUAAGUAAAUAUGGUGUGGUAAACACAUUUUUAUAAAAUGCCUAAAUAGUUUAAAUUGGAAUAAAACAGAAAAGAAAAUAAAUAAAAGGAAAAGAAAAUGCAACAGAGAAAACAAACAGAAAAAAGAAGAAGAAAGGAGGAACCCCCCUCCCCCCACUGGACCCUGGCCCAACUGGGCCGACCCCCAGGCCUAGCCGGCCGGCCCACCCCUCUCACCUUAUCCCCUCACCCCCACCCACUCACCGACAGCCCCCCCACUCCCCCCGAAAUAUCCCCCCUCUCCCCUCGAUCUGGAUCGGGGAGGGCUCGACCCCGCCGCCGCUGCCUCACCUCGCCCCCGAAUCGCCCCCNNNNNNNNNNNNNNNNNNNNNNNNNNNNNNNNNNNNNNNNNNNNNNNNNNNNNNNNNNNNNNNNNNNNNNNNNNNNNNNNNNNNNNNNNNNNNNNNNNNNNNNNNNNNNNNNNNNNNNNNNNNNNNNNNNNNNNNNNNNNNNNNNNNNNNNNNNNNNNNNNNNNNNNNNNNNNNNNNNNNNNNNNNNNNNNNNNNNNNNNNNNNNNNNNNNNNNNNNNNNNNNNNNNNNNNNNNNNNNNNNNNNNNNNNNNNNNNNNNNNNNNNNNNNNNNNNNNNNNNNNNNNNNNNNNNNNNNNNNNNNNNNNNNNNNNNNNNNNNNNNNNNNNNNNNNNNNNNNNNNNNNNNNNNNNNNNNNNNNNNNNNNNNNNNNNNNNNNNNNNNNNNNNNNNNNNNNNNNNNNNNNNNNNNNNNNNNNNNNNNNNNNNNNNNNNNNNNNNNNNNNNNNNNNNNNNNNNNNNNNNNNNNNNNNNNNNNNNNNNNNNNNNNNNNNNNNNNNNNNNNNNNNNNNNNNNNNNNNNNNNNNNNNNNNNNNNNNNNNNNNNNNNNNNNNNNNNNNNNNNNNNNNNNNNNNNNNNNNNNNNNNNNNNNNNNNNNNNNNNNNNNNNNNNNNNNNNNNNNNNNNNNNNNNNNNNNNNNNNNNNNNNNNNNNNNNNNNNNNNNNNNNNNNNNNNNNNNNNNNNNNNNNNNNNNNNNNNNNNNNNNNNNNNNNNNNNNNNNNNNNNNNNNNNNNNNNNNNNNNNNNNNNNNNNNNNNNNNNNNNNNNNNNNNNNNNNNNNNNNNNNNNNNNNNNNNNNNNNNNNNNNNNNNNNNNNNNNNNNNNNNNNNNNNNNNNNNNNNNNNNNNNNNNNNNNNNNNNNNNNNNNNNNNNNNNNNNNNNNNNNNNNNNNNNNNNNNNNNNNNNNNNNNNNNNNNNNNNNNNNNNNNNNNNNNNNNNNNNNNNNNNNNNNNNNNNNNNNNNNNNNNNNNNNNNNNNNNNNNNNNNNNNNNNNNNNNNNNNNNNNNNNNNNNNNNNNNNNNNNNNNNNNNNNNNNNNNNNNNNNNNNNNNNNNNNNNNNNNNNNNNNNNNNNNNNNNNNNNNNNNNNNNNNNNNNNNNNNNNNNNNNNNNNNNNNNNNNNNNNNNNNNNNNNNNNNNNNNNNNNNNNNNNNNNNNNNNNNNNNNNNNNNNNNNNNNNNNNNNNNNNNNNNNNNNNNNNNNNNNNNNNNNNNNNNNNNNNNNNNNNNNNNNNNNNNNNNNNNNNNNCCGCAGCGCCCAUUCAGGCAAUGCCCGACGCCCGACCCGCUAUGGCCCUGGGCCACUGCCAAACGGGGCCCGCGCCCCCCCACAGAACGUUUACAAAAAAAAGGAAAAUGAAAUGAAAAAAUAAUAAUAAUAAAAAUAAAAAUAAUAAACUAGUUAAUAAAAAUUAAUAGAUAAAUAAAUAAAUAAUAAAAAUAAAAUUAAUAGUAAACAAAUAAUAAAAAUAAAUUUAGUUAGUUAAUUAAUCCUGUUUAAAUUAAUCUAAUUAGAUAAUUAAUUUAACUAAACAGUAGUUAAUUAGGUAACAGCCCCUCACAGGUGGGACCCACCUGUCAGGUUGACCAGGUCAACGGUCAACGUUGACUGCUGACGUCAGCAUGACAUCAUGCUGACGUCAUAAAUCCAUUUAUUCCAGAAAUUAAUAAAAUCUUUAGAAAAUCAUAUCUUUUAAUCCGUAACUCGGAUUAAAAUAUUUUCAACAUGAAAGUUGCUCAGAACGACGAGACGAAUCCGGAUACGCAGUCCGUUCGUCCAUCACACCUCCCUAACCUAUCGAACUCGCAACUUUCCCCCUCCGGUCCAUCUGUCCGAAAACGCAAAACAUCGGAAUACUUUCCCGGAUGUUCCCCCCCUUCGCCGGUACCACCUACUGUCGCGUUAGGACACACCUCGCACUACUCAUUGUCAUGUCACGCAUCGUCAUGUUUAUGUUUACAUUGUAUUUACUGUUUCUUCCCCCUCUUCUCUCCGGUAGACUACGAGACCGACACUGCUGCUGCCCAGUUCGACUACGGAGUUGAUGACCCCUCCUACUUGCCAGAGCAACCAGGCAAGCCCCCCCCUUGAUCACCAGAUAUCGCCUAUUCUUCUCUAUACCGCUUGCAUUAGAGUAGUGUAGCAUGUUACUGCUUUCCUAUAUCCUAUCCUGAUGCAUAGCCUAUCCUUGCUACUACUGUUGUUACCUUUACCUGCAAUCCUACAUGCUUAGUAUAGGAUGCUAGUUUUCCAUAAGUGGCCCUACAUUCUUGUCCGUCUGCUGUGCUAUACUAUCGGGCCGUGAUCACCUGGGCGGUGAUCACGGGUAUAUACUUAUAUACUAUAUACAUGACACAUGUGAUGACUAAAGUCAGGUCGGCUCGUAGGAGUACCCGCAAGUGGAUCUUUGUGGCGGAGCGACAGGGCAGGUUGAGACCGCCUAGGUGAGAGGUGGGCCUGGACCUGGUCGGCGUUCGUGGAUACUUAACACGCUUAACGAGAUCUUGAUAUUUGAUCUGAGUCUGGCCAUUUGGUCUAUACGCACUAACCAUCUAAGCAGGAGUAGUUAUGGGUAUCCCGGCGUCGUGGUAUCAGCCGAAGCCUUCGUGACGUCAGCGACUGAGUGGCGCGCGCCGUGUUGGACCGCUUUGACGUAACCGCCGUGAUCGUGUGGGUUGCUAGGUCUGCUCGCGGCCGCGUUCGCAACGUGCAGGUGUGCAUAGGGCGAUGGGCCCAGACCCCUGCGCGCUUAGGAUUAGACCGGCGUGCUGACCUCUCUGUUGUGCUUAGGUGGGGCUGCGACGCGUUGAUCUUACGAGGCCGGGCAUGACCCAGAAAAGUGUGUAUGGCCAAAUGGGAUCGAGCGUGUUGGGUUAUGUGGUGCACCCCUGCAGGGAAGUUUAUCUAUUCGAAUAGCCGUGUCCCUCGGUAAAAGGACGACCCGGAGUUGUACCUUGACCUUAUGACAACUAGAACUGGAUACUGAAUAAAAUACACCCUUCCAAGUGCCAGAUACAACCCGGUGAUCGCUCUCUAACAGGGCGACGAGGAGGGGAUCGCCGGGUAGGAUUAUGCUAUGCGAUGCUACUUGGAGGACUUCAAUCUACUCUCUUCUACAUGCUGCAAGAUGGAGAUGACCAGAAGCGUAGUCUUCGACAGGACUAGCUAUCCCCCUUUUAUUCUGGCAUUCUGCAGUUCAGUCCACUGAUAUGCCCCUUUACACAUAUACCCAUGCAUAUGUAGUGUAGCUCCUUGCUUGCGAGUACUUUGGAUGAGUACUCACGGUUGCUUCUCUCCCUCUUUUCCCCCUUUCCUUUCUAUCUGGUUGUCGCAACCAGAUGUUGGAGUCCAGGAGCCAGACGCCACCGUCGACGACGACACCUACGACACUGGAGGUGCCUACUACUACGUGCAGCCCGCUGACGACGACCAGGAGUAGUUAGGAGGAUCCCAGGCAGGAGGCCUGCGCCUCGUUCGAUCUGUAUCCCAGUUUGUGCUAGCUUUCUUAAGGCAAACUUGUUUAACUUAUGUCUGUACUCAGAUUUUGUUGCUUCCGCUGACUCGUCUAUGAUCGAGCACUUGUAUUCGAGCCCUCGAGGCCCCUGGCUUGUAUUAUGAUGCUUGUAUGACUUAUUUAUGUUGUAGAGUUGUGUUGUGAUAUCUUCCCGUGAGUCCCUGAUCUUGAUCGUACACAUUUGCGUGCAUGAUUAGUGUACGGUCAAAUCGGGGGCGUCACAAGUUGGUAUCAGAGCCGACUGCCUGUAGGAAUCCCCUUUCCACACUCCUUGACCGAAGUCGAGUCUAGACAUUACAAAACUUUUACUAACAUGGCUGUGUGUCUUACGGGCCCACGUCGCCAUAGGGUGGUACUAGGAUCUUUUACUCCUCGACCUUCACUCUGGGACUCUGAACUCUCUUCUACUCGGGUUAAACGAAUUUACUAACUCUAACACUAGGAUCCCGUGACCGCAUUCACCCCAAAGUUGGAUAAGCCAUAGUUGUUUCUUAGAAUAGUAUUUUGAACAAUUCACACACUGUCAUUUGACUCCUUUGAAACGUCUUUGCUUUCAGAUGGAACCCACGAGGCAGGUCGUGCGCCACACGACGGCCAUUGGUGCCUCGGGAUCACCGGCUGUGCUAGCUGAGAUGAUGACCUAUCUGGGUUAUCGCUGGCACCCUGAGUACACCGUCUACGAGGAGUACCAGGACUUUAACCAGGAGCAGUACCGUGCCAUCGUCCACCUCUACUCGCGGGAGUAUGACUCCACUACUGUGCUGCACACCGCACGUGGUGUUGGUGUGACCAUCGAUAUGGCUGUCCACGAUGCUGCCUAUGCUGCUCUGACACGUCUUCGUGGAGAGUAUCGGGAGUUGGACACCUCCCCUUUCAGGCACAUUGCUAUCGCAUCUGAUGUUGGUGCGGAGGGAUACUAUACUGCUGCCUACUCCACUGUCACCCGAGAGCCCUUCUACCAUCAGAACCUGGUUCUGCAUGCUGAUGGGCUGGAUCGAGCUAACCGAGAUCUUCGCCACGAGAUGUACACCACCCGUCAGCACCUUUACCGUGCUCUGACGCUGCUGCACCCCUUUGUCCGAUCUGGACAGCUACCGCGUACUGCGAUCUACCCAGCCAGGACCGUGAUGCCCCACGGUGUCGGUUGGCCAGAGGUGGGAGGCUACUCUCCCGCACUUGGUCCUCUUCUGCCACCUGAGCGUCGGGCUCUACACCUGAGUAUCCGCGGCCCCCAGUCUGCUGACGUGGAGGGCUAUCCGUUGCCUCACUACCAGCUGUCGGGCUACGAUUACCUCCACAGUACCUCUUGGGACUGAUGUAGGCUUGUUUGUAGUGUUAGAUGCAUUCGCCGCGAGCCUGUGUGCCGCCUAUGUUGUUUUAGUCUAUGUACUGAACUCUAUGCAUGACCCCUUUUGUAAGUUAUGCCGACUACUAUGUAGUAGCUAUCGUGCUCCUUUCAUUAUGCAUGUUUCAUCAUGAAUGAUUCUUGUCUUUGCAAAUUUUCUCAAUGCUGAACUACCCCUGUUAUAUAUUAGCAGGAUGGUUAGACCAGGUGGUCGUGGUCGUGGUGGCGAUGCCCCACCACCACCUGAGUACAUGGCUGGUAUGAUCCAACAGUUUGAACUGAACCGCCAAUUCAUGGAAAAUAUGAUGGCUCAGUUUCCUCGCCCCAAUAUGGACCAGCAACCAACCCCAGUAACUCUGCAGGAAUUCAUGCGCCUCAAUCCAACUAUGUACCGCAGCUCAACUCAGCCUCUGGAUGCUGAUGACUGGCUUCGUGACAUCACCUAUGAGAUGGAGUCUGCCAAUGUAGCCCCUGCCAGCUAUGUCAACUUUGCUUCCUUCUUUCUGAAGGGACCCGCAGCUCAAUGGUGGGACAGCCACAGGCGUACUCUGCUAGCUGGAAUAAUCAUCACCUGGCCAGACUUCCAAGCUGCUUUCCGUGCCCGCUUCAUUCCUCAAGGAGUCAUGGACUGGAAGAAGCGUGAGUUCCGCAACCUCACCCAAGGCAACAAAACUGUUGAAGCUUAUCAGCGGGAGUUUCUGGACUUGUCUCGCUAUGCUGAGGAGGACAUUGCAACUGAUGCACGCAGACAUGAGAAGUUCCGUGAUGGCCUCCAGGCUGACAUCAAGCUCGCACUUCUAGUGCAUGACUUCGCCGAUUUCGCCACCUUGGUGAAUAAGGCCAUCAAUGUCGAGACUGGUCUGCAGGAAUACCAGAGCUCUCAGAGGCGCAACCAUGACACGGGCUCAUCUUCGGGCCCGCCCUCGCAGAAGCGAAAGAUAUGGAUCCCGAACAGCAUGUACCGUCCAAAUGCACCUGCUCCAAGGAAAUCUUAUGCUGCACCGCGUCUGCCUCCUCCACCAUCUAGGCAGUCAAAGCUACCAGCUCCCCCACCUGGGGCUCCGGUUCCCACUCCCGAUAAUGGUCUGUGCUUCAAGUGUGGUCAGCCGGGUCACUUUGCCAGGAACUGCUAUCAGAAUCAGAACCAGAAUCAACUGGCCCUUCCAGCAGCUGGGCGUGGUAACAACCAGCCCCGCAACAACAAUGCUAAGUCUUAUGGUCGUGCUCAUGCCAACCACGUUGAUCUCAACGAAGCUCAAGACCAGCCUGCUACUGUGAUGGGUACACUCCUCGUAAAUUCAGUACCAGCAUCCGUUUUAUUUGAUACAGGAGCAUCCCAUUCAUUCAUAUCAGCAGAAUUUGCAUUCCUGCAUGGCAUUAAAUACGAAGAGAUGAACACUCCGCUAGUGGUACACACCCCUGCGGGCCAAUGUCAAACCUCUAUGGUUAGUCACGACGUUCCUGUUGAAAUUGAAGGACUGGAAUUUCUUGUCUCUCCCAUCGUACUGAAGUCCUGUAGCAUUGAUCUCAUUCUGGGAAUGAAUUGGUUAAAAGUGCAUACUGCUUCAAUCGUUUACACCACUAAGACCGUCCAUCUGCUACACCCUUCAGAUGAGAUAGUUACUUACCAAGCCCAUCUGGUGCAAAAUGCCGAGGCCAGGCUCUAUGCAUUGAAUGCAUUGAACGCUGCACCACUCGAGGGCAUUGAAAACAUUCCCGUCCUGCGUGAAUUCCUCGACGUCAUCCCUGAAGAACUUCCAGGGAUUCCCCCUGCUAGAGCUGUCGAAUUCAUCAUCGACUUGAAACCAGGCACCACUCCUAUAGCCAAGCGACCCUACAAAAUGCCGCCGCAUGAACUCCUUGAGCUUAAGGAGGAAAUCGACAAAUCUCUUUGCAAAGGAUUCAUUCGCCCAAGUUGCUCUCCUUGGGGAGCACCUUCUCUCUUUGUCAAGAAGAAGGAUGGGACAAACCGAUUAGUUCAAGACUACCGUCCUAUAAACCAAGCUACCAUUCAGAACAAGUAUCCUCUUCCUCGGAUCAAUGAUUUGUAUGAUCAACUGGCUGGUUCGUCAGUGUUCUCUAAGCUCGACUUGAGGUUGGGUUACCACCAGAUCCGUGUUCGCGAAGAGGAUAUCCCAAAGACCGCCUUCGUGACUCGCUAUGGUUCAUACGAGUACACCGUCAUGUCUUUCGGUCUAACCAAUGCUCCAGCCACCUUCUCUCGUCUGAUGAACUAUAUAUUCAUGGAUUACCUCGACAAGUUCGUCGUGGUUUAUCUGGAUGAUAUCCUGGUAUUUUCCAAGAACGAAGAAGAACAUACUGAACAUCUUCGACUUGUGCUGGAAAAGCUACGAGAGCAUCAACUAUAUGCCAAGUUCUCCAAAUGUGAAUUCUGGCUACCGGAAGUAACCUAUCUUGGGCAUGUCAUCUCUAAGGAUGGUAUUGCCGUCAACCCUGAACGAGUCCAGGCUAUCCUAGAUUGGACUCCUCCCAAGAACGUUAAGCAAGUCAGAAGUUUUCUCGGUCUCGCCAGCUAUUGCCGUCGAUUCGUCGAGAACUUCUCCAAGAUCGCCAGGCCUCUAACUAACCUGUUGCAUAAGGGCGUCAAGUUCCAAUGGACAGACAAAUGUCAGGAAAGUUUCCAGGCACUCAAAGACAAGUUGACUUCUGCCCCAGUUCUAGCUCCUCCUGAUACUAAGAAGGACUUCGUCAUUUACUGCGACGCUUCCCGUCAAGGAUUAGGCUGUGUCCUAAUGCAAGACCGCAAAGUGAUUGCUUAUGCCUCUCGGCUAUUGCGCCCUCACGAAGAGAACUACCCAGUUCACGACCUCGAACUUGCUGCCGUCAUUCAUGCGCUGAAGCAGUGGCGACAUUACCUUCUCGGUAAUCGUUGCGAGAUCUUCACUGACCACCAAAGUCUGAAGUAUCUGUUUACUCAGCCAGACCUGAACCUCCGUCAGCAGAGAUGGAUGGAGCUUGUUGCAGACUUUGACUUGGGUAUUUCCUAUACGCUAGGCAAGGCUAAUGUAAUGGUUGAUGCCUUGAGCCGCAAGUCUUACUGCAACCACCUCCAGGUUCACAAAGUUCAGCCCUCGCUUGUUGAAGAAUUCAGGAAGCUGAACCUCCAUAUUGUCCCUCCGGGUGCACUCGCUCCCCCUCCUAAGGAGUUUGGCAAGGUGAACCUCCACGUUGUUACCCAGGGUUCCCUCAACACCCUAGUUGCUAAACCAGAUCUCGAGGACAGCAUCAAAAGGCUACAGAAGUAUGACUCUGAAGCCCACAAGAUUAAGCGCUACCUCGCAGAAGGAAAGCCCUCAUUCUUCACCAUUGCUGAAGAUGGCACCUUAUACUUCAAGGGCCGCCUAGUGGUGCCAUGUGCAGAGAAAAACCUGGAUAUGACACAGGAAGUUAUGAAAGAAGCUCAUGAUACGCCUCUAUGUAUCCAUCCUGGUAGUACAAAGAUGUACCAAGACAUCCGUCAGAGAUUCUGGUGGUCUAAUAUGAAGCAAGACAUUGCUCGUUAUGUUGCUGAGUGUGACGUUUGCCGUCGUAUCAAAGCAGAACAUCAAAGGCCUGCUGGAACUUUGCAACCUAUCUCUAUUCCUGAAUGGAAAUGGGACCAUGUUGAGAUGGACUUCGUCACUGGAUUUCCCAAAUCACAGAAAGGUAAUGAUGCUAUUCUUGUCGUCAUUGACCGGCUUUCCAAAGUUGCACAUUUCCUGGCGGUCAAAGAAACGAUCACUGCUACUCAGCUGGCAACGCUCUAUAUGUCCAGGAUUGUUUCACUCCACGGUAUUCCAUUGGUUAUCAGUUCAGACCGUGGCAGCUUAUUCACUUCAAGAUUCUGGGCAAGUUUCCAAGAAGCUAUGGGAACUCAUCCGUCAUUCAGUACUGCAUUUCAUCCUCAGUCGCAAGGGCAGGUUGAACGCGUCAACCAAGUUCUCGAAGACAUGCUUCGAGCUUGUGUUAUUUCCUUCAGCAAGAAAUGGGAGGAAUCUCUCCCGUAUGCUGAGUUCUCUUAUAACAAUAGCUAUCAAGCUAGUCUGAAGAUGGCCCCCUUCGAAGUGUUAUAUGGACGAAAGUGCCGAACCCCUCUGAACUGGUCAGAAACUGGGGAACGUCCACUCUUCGGUCCGGAUAUUAUCCAACAUGCCGAAGAACAAGUCCGCAUUAUUCGCGAGAAUCUCAAGACUGCUCAGUCACGUCAGAAGAGUCAGUAUGACCGUCAUCAUAAAGACAUGGUCUAUCAACCUGGCGAAAAGGCUUAUCUUCGAGUCACACCUAUGAAGGGUGCUCACCGCUUCGGGAUCAAGGGCAAACUAGCUCCUCGCUAUAUUGGCCCAUUCACUAUUCUCGAAAGGCGUGGAAAAGUGGCAUACCAACUGGAGCUUCCGCCGAACCUUUCUCAGGUUCACGAUGUGUUCCAUGUGUCACAGCUCCGCCGUUGCUUCAAGGACCCAAUCCGAGCAGUGGAUCAUGAAGUGCUCGAAUUGCAGCAGGACCUCUCCUAUAAGGAGCAUCCGGCCCGCAUUCUCGACCAAGCUGAACGCCGCACACGUCAGAAGGCGAUCAAGUUUCUCAAGGUCCAGUGGUCGCACCAUUCUGAAGAUGAGGCCACUUGGGAACGAGAGGAUCGUCUACGCGAAGAAUACCCUGCACUGUUUCCUUCUACCUCCUAAAUCUCGGGACGAGAUUUCUUGUAGUGGAGGAGAUUUGUAACGCCCGGAUAAUCAUGCCACAGUAAUCUCACGUUAAUGAGGGCACGUCACCUCUGUCACUGUAAUUAAUCUCGGGUUAAUUCAAAACCAUUUAAAAUUUAAAUUUUAAAUAAGUCAAACGACAAAAGUUUUCAAAUAUUAAAAUAAAAAUGUUCGGGAGAUGCCAUAUUUUGCAUAAGUAAAUAUGGUGUGGUAAACACAUUUUUAUAAAAUGCCUAAAUAGUUUAAAUUGGAAUAAAACAGAAAAGAAGAUAAAUAAAAGGAAAAGAAAAUGCAACAGAGAAAACAAACAGAAAAAAAAGAAGAAAGGAGGAACCCCCCUCCCCCCCACUGGACCCUGGCCCAACUGGGCCGACCCCCAGGCCCAGCCGGCCGGCCCACCCCUCUCACCUUAUCCCCUCACCCCCACCCACUCACCGACAGCCCCCCACUCCCCCCGAAAUAUCCCACCUCUCCCCUCGAUCUGNNNNNNNNNNNNNNNNNNNNNNNNNNNNNNNNNNNNNNNNNNNNNNNNNNNCUCGCCCUCCCCCACGUUCACUCCCCUCUCCCCUUGAUCUGGAUCGGGGAGGGCUCGACCCCGUCGCCCCUGCCUCACCUCGCCCCCGGGCUCGACCCCGCCGCCGCUGCCUCACCUCGACCCCGAAUCGCCCCCAUCGCAGCGACGACCGCGUCGCCCGUCGCCACCACCACCUCGCUGAAGCCCCUCGCCUCCUCAUCUCCUCCUCGUCCCGAGCCGAGGCCGCCGUUCCGGCGCCGCGCCCUUGACCCUGUCACCCCGCCGCACUCGUCGCCGGCGACCCGAACGCCGCCCCUUCCUCGUCCCGCUCUCCGAGCCUGCUGCCCAGACCCCACGAACGCCGGUGAGGCCCCCGGCCUCUUCUCUCCCCUCGUCCCCGUACGCGCUCGCACGCCCCUGACCAUCGCCUGUACGCGCACCGACCGCGCUCACCGCGACCUCGCCUCGCCCGGCGUGCCGUCGCGUGCGCCCACAGCCGCCCGCCCGCGGUGGCCUCNNNNNNNNNNNNNNNNNNNNNNNNNNNNNNNNNNNNNNNNNNNNNNNNNNNNNNNNNNNNNNNNNNNNNNNNNNNNNNNNNNNNNNNNNNNNNNNNNNNNNNNNNNNNNNNNNNNNNNNNNNNNNNNNNNNNNNNNNNNNNNNNNNNNNNNNNNNNNNNNNNNNNNNNNNNNNNNNNNNNNNNNNNNNNNNNNNNNNNNNNNNNNNNNNNNNNNNNNNNNNNNNNNNNNNNNNNNNNNNNNNNNNNNNNNNNNNNNNNNNNNNNNNNNNNNNNNNNNNUAAAUUUAAUAGUAAAACAAAUAAUAAAAAUAAAUUUAAUUAAUUAAUUAAUUAACUAAAUUAAUUAAGUUAAUUAAUCCUGUUUAAAUUAAUCUAAUUAGAUAAUUAAUUUAACUAAACAGUAGUUAAUUAGGUAACAGCCCCUCACAGGUGGGACCCACCUGUCAGGUUGACCAGGUCAACGGUCAACGUUGACUGCUGAUGUCAGCAUGACAUCAUGCUGAUGUCAUAAAUCCAUUUUCGAAUUAAAUUAAAUAAUUAAUUAAAUUCCAGAAAUUAAUAAAAUCUUUAGAAAAUCAUAUCUUUUAAUCCGUAACUCGGAUUAAAAUAUUUUCAACAUGAAAGUUGCUCAGAACGACGAGACGAAUCCGGAUACGCAGUCCGUUCGUCCACCACACCUCCCUAACCUAUCGAACUCGCAACUUUCCCCCUCCGGUCCAUCUGUCCGAAAACGCAAAACAUCGGGAAUACUUUCCCGGAUGUUCCCCCCUUCGCCGGUACCACCUACUGUCGCGUUAGGACACACCUCGCACUACUCAUUGUCAUGUCACGCAUCGUCAUGUUUAUGUUUACAUUGUAUUUACUGUUUCUUCCCCCUCUUCUCUCCGGUAGACUACGAGACCGACACUGCUGCUGCCCAGUUCGACUACGGAGUUGACGACCCCUCCUACUUGCCAGAGCAACCAGGCAAGCCCCCCCCUUGAUCACCAGAUAUCGCCUAUUCUUCUCUGUACUGCUUGCAUUAGAGUAAUGUAGCAUGUUACUGCUUUCCGAUAUCCUAUCCUGAUGCAUAGCCUAUCCUUGCUACUACUGUUGUUACCUUUACCUGCAAUCCUACAUGCUUAGUAUAGGAUGCUAGUUUUCCAUCAGUGGCCCUACAUUCUUGUCCGUCUGCUGUGCUAUACUAUCGGGCCGUGAUCACCUGGGCGGUGAUCACGGGUAUAUACUUAUAUACUAUAUACAUGACACAUGUGAUGACUAAAGUCGGGUCGGCUCGUAGGACUACCCGCAAGUGGAUCUUUGUGGCGGAGCGACAGGGCAGGUUGAGACCGCCUAGGUGAGAGGUGGGCCUAGCCCUGGUCGGCGUUCGCGGAUACUUAACACGCUUAACAAGAUCUUGGUAUUUGAUCUGAGUCUGGCCAUUUGGUCUAUACGCACUAACCAUCUACGCGGGAGUAGUUAUGGGUAUCCCGGCGCCGUGGUAUCAGCCGAAGCCUUCGUGACGUCAGCGACUGAGUGGCGCGCGCCGUGUUGGACCGCUUUGACGUAACCGCCGUGAUCGUGUGGGUUGCUAGGUCUGCUCGCGGUCGCGUUCGCAACGUGCAGGUGUGCAUAGGGCGAUGGGCCCAGACCCCUGCGCGCUUAGGAUUAGACCGGCGUGCUGACCUCUCUGUUGUGCUUAGGUGGGGCUGCGACGCGUUGAUCUUACGAGGCCGGGCAUGACCCAGAAAAGUGUGUCAGGACAAAUGGGAUCGAGCGUGUUGGGUUAUGUGGUGCACCCCUGCAGGGAAGUUUAUCUAUUCGAAUAGCCGUGUCCCUCGGUAAAAGGACGACCCGGAGUUGUACCUCGACCUUAUGACAACUAGAACUGGAUACUAAAUAAAAUACACCCUUCCAAGUGCCAGAUACAACCCGGUGAUCGCUCUCUAACAGGGCGACGAGGAGGGGAUCGCCGGGUAGGAUUAUGCUAUGCGAUGCUACUUGGAGGACUUCAAUCUACUCUCUUCUACAUGCUGCAAGAUGGAGAUGAUCAGAAGCGUAGUCUUCGACAGGACUAGCUAUCCCCCUUUUAUUCUGGCAUUCUGCAGUUUAGUCCACUGAUAUGCCCCUUUACACAUAUACCCAUGCAUAUGUAGUGUAGCUCCUUGCUUGUGAGUACUUUGGAUGAGUACUCACGGUUGCUUCUCUCCCUCUUUUCCCCUUUCCUUUCUAUCUGGUUGUCGCAACCAGAUGUUGGAGUCCAGGAGCCAGACGCCACCGUCGAUGAUGACACCUACGACACUGGAGGUGCCUACUACUACGUGCAGCCCGCUGACGACGACCAGGAGUAGUUAGGAGGAUCCCAGGCAGGAGGCCUGCGCCUCGUUCGAUCUGUAUCACAGUUUGGGCUAGCCUUCUUAAGGCAAACUUGUUUAACUUAUGUCUGUACUCAGAUUUUGUUGCUUCCGCUGACUCGUCUAUGAUCGAGCACUUGUAUUCGAGCCCUCAAGGCCCCUGGCUUGUAUUAUGAUGCUUGUAUGACUUAUUUAUCUUGUAGAGUUGUGUUGUGAUAUCUUCCCGUGAGUCCCUGAUCUUGAUCGUACACAUUUGCGUGCAUGAUUAGUGUACGGUCAAAUCGGGGGCGUCACAGACGGGAUGCAAGGAUCCCGGUCCGAAGCCGUGGAUGAGAGAGGUCGAUCUCUUGUAAUGGACGGCGGCGUCGGGGUAUCAGCUCCGGCAUGGUGGAGGAGGACGGCGGUGGAUGGGGUGGCGGACAGCGGCGGACGGAGGAGGGUUGGGUGGAGAGGGUGUUUUGGCGCCCACGGAGUACGAAUGGGCAAAAGGGAGGUAGAGAGGAAGGGGGGAACCAUGUAUUCAGGGCGCGCUUGUCUCAAAUGCGAGGAAAUUUACAAACUUAGCCCCCGUUUCAAAUUUCUACUACAUCACAGCAACAUUAGUCGGUUGGGUAUAGGACGGUAAUCUCGCAUACACCGAAUAUUUGCCGACGAGAGUUUGUUUUUGGCGCCCACCGUGUAUGAAUAUGAAUCGGGGAGGGAGUCGAUUUCGGCCGAGGACACACUGUGUUUUGGCGCCCACCGUGUAUGAAUCCGGGUGAGAGGCGGCUACGUCACGUUUGGGUGAAAUUACAAACCUACCCCUAUCGAAACCUAUAGAAAUCCAGCAGAUAGGCUUUGUGUGGCAGGGAUAGGCAGUAGUGAUUUCCAUCUCGCAGAUUUUGGUUUCGGACGGUUACUGCGACUUUCCCCGCUUUGUUCAAAUUUUGCAGAGUGCACGUUUACCGUGCCAACUCAAUUCUAAUCCCGUUUGUAUUCUAUUUUUUUUCCGGGCGGGAUCCAUUUUCAAUUGGAAUUACAUUCUAUAUACAUAAUUUUUUUAUAUAUACUUUCAAAAGCACAACAAAGAAUUCUGCUCCUUUAUAUGUAUAAUAUGAUUUACAAAUACAACGAUCUCGAAAUCUUAAGGUUGAAUUCGAAAAAAUUUAACCAAAUUAUGUUCUACUAAAAUGUCUGGAUCAGUAAUAUCUACAUAUUAAAUAACAUAGAUGUGCGUGAAUUCAUAUGAGUAUGCAUGUUUGAUAGAUCAAUUUUGGUUCGAGUAUGGAUUACAUGUAUCAUCAUCUCGAAUUCAAAUAUUUGAAUCCCUUUUUUGUUCACUCCUUUCACGCCCAUCUCUCUCGCAUGCAUGCUCCUUCAGGUAGCUAUCACUCUCUUUUCUCCAGCUCACCCGCACGCUCACUUCAUGUUUCUCCUAUCCUCGCAAACAUGGUCUCUCGACGUCUCCCUUGAGAAGUGUCACACUCUCCCUAUCAUUAUACAUUACACGGUUUUCAUUAUCUCUCACGUCUCUACUGUUCUCUGGUAUCACUCGGUACCUAAGCUUUCUUUUUCACCGCCACACACACAGUCUCCACUCGUCUUUCACUUUUUCUUUCUCUCUAUGGGAUUCUCUCACACACCCUAUAUGUCUCUACAUAUGACUCAUAUCACUAAAAUUACUCUCUCUCUCUCUCCUGUAGACACAACAUUUGUUGCAGUCUCUUUUUCGUCUCCAUCCCAGACUGACAUUAUUCAUUUGUUUACCGAUCAGACAACCCCGACUACCGUCUCCUCUCUCUCUCACAGACACACACACACAACUCCUGCUUCCACUCCCCUUCCCGACUACCGUCUCUCUCACACACACACAAAACUCUCGCUUUCGCACCCCGACUCGUAUUUCUCUCACAAACAUUUAUCGACUAGCUAGCCUCUAGAUAGGUUUAUACACCCGCACACUCGUGCUUCCACCAUCGCAUACAUGUCUCUCUCCCGCUCCUUGUAUCUAUGUAGAUUUUUCUUCCCUUCUUGAGACACGCCCUCUCGAUCGUGCACACACACACUAUCGCCUCAUUUUAAGCUGAUACCUAUCGCACACACACUCCUUGUGUCUUUGUCACACAUGCACUCCGUCCUCCUCCACUCUCCCUCUCUCUCACACACACAUGGGCUUUUUGCAACAACUAGCAAGAUGCCCAUGCGUUGCACGGAACAUCAAGAUGCAUUUGUAUGAGUAGUUUAUCUUGUGGGGGAAAAGGAUGAACGAGGGAAGGCCUUAUUUGCAAAUGUGGAGAGGGGUGUGGGUAUCUUUUUGCAAAAUUGCCAUAGUUUCCUUCCUAUCCGUCAGAUAUAGAUCGGACGGCCUAUAUUGCAGGAUGGCAGGCACACGAUCAUCACCGACAAUGCUUUUUAUAAGAGUAGGGAUAAAAAAUAGAGUUGGUGAUGAUGGUGGGCAUGCCAUCCUGCAAUGUAGGUCGUCCGAUUUAUAUCUGACGGAUAGGAAGGAAAAUAUGGCAAUUUACCCGCACUCUUCACCACAUUUGCAGAUAAGGCCUUCCCUCGUUCAUCCUUUUCUCCCACAAGAUCUUGAUGUUCCGUGCAAUGCACGGGCAUCUUGCUAGUAAGAGUAGAAAUUAGACAUAUACCACUUCUCGAAUCUUGAAACCAACAACAUUCCUCCCUUAUCUCAUCAAAACCGCCAAAGGAAUAUAUUUUGAGUGAAACAUAACAUAUUUUUAGUGAUAUACGUAUUUCAAAACUAGAAUUUUUUUUCUAUCAAAUCGGUGAAUAUGUAUUAAUCUACUUUGAUCGUGUGGCAACGCAUUGGCACAUUGCUAGUAGUUAUUAUAAUUUUUUGGACACCAGACAAACGGUGGAGUACAUAUACGAAGAGAAGAGGCGCACGCACGCAGUCGGCCUCUCGCUGUCUCGCACACAUGAGUGUUACGUAAAGGCGACGUUAACAAAUGAACCCUAAAACCCUAGGUGCACGAUUGCUGCAUUCGCGGGUACCGGGUACGUGGUGGAGCACCUUUGUAGGAAUAGUCAGCUCGCGUGAUAAUUUGAUCCGUAGGAGUUGAUGGUCGGGACCACAGGUGAACGACUUGGAGCGCGGUGGCUCACCAGUUGCCACAGAUCAAGUAGCCACGUUUAAAAUAUCAUUUUUUUAGCGGGGUUAAGAGUUCCGAUUUUCAAUGGCGCGUUAUAAGUAGUAAGUAGUUUUUAGAACGAUUGGUAUGGAGCGAAAAUGGAAUUCAUAGUACUACGUACCUCCUUGGCGUAUGGUUUUAUGGUUUUUUUACGAUGGAGGUUGUAUGGGUUUAUGUUGCGAGAUGUUGAACCUGGUAGUUCUAGGGCAAAUACUAUGUGUAAGGGCAUAUUUAUCCCUAAGAUGUUUUGGUGAUUGAUGACAAUGCUUUCGCGGACUAAUCGUGUGCAUUGAGUGUUUUCAGAGAUUCAUCCUUUUGGCACGAGAAGAUUCCCUCCCCUCGGAGCUUGAAGCGAAGACGGUGUAGUCCUUUCGAAUUAGUUUGGUGGACUAGUUUCAUAGGGAUCACCGUACUAUCAAGAGGGGGUCCGCUUUGGAAAGGCUAGGGCGGAAUCAUCACAUACACUUCCUUUGCCCCCCUCCGAGCCUUUCCGCUUCUAUGAUGGGCUCGUUCCCCCUCUCAGUGUGCCCUCUCUGGUCCCAGCGGUAGUACCGCGGGCCGGAGUGGUAGUACCGCUUGCGUGCUACAAGCGGUAUUACCGCUCUAGAGCGGUAGCACCGCUGGUAGCCCCCAGCCGUAGUACCGCUGCGGUCUCGUGCUUGUACCGCCUCGAUUCGAGGGGUCUUUUUUCGUGUCGGGUUUUACGGUACUUGCCGCGGCAGUGGAGGCCGUAGUACCGCUCGUAUGCGGUAGUACCGCCCUGACCACCGCGGUAGUAUCGCUCUGGGCCCAGCGGUAGUACCGCCGGGGGAGCGGUAGUACCGCUGUGAUCAGCGGUAGUACCGCUGCCUCCUGCGGUAGUACCGCUCUCUGCGGGGCUGGUGUGGGGGUUAAGGGUUGGAUUGUUCCCCCCACUAUAUAAGGAGGUCUUCUUCCCCAAAGUUGACUCACCUCUUCCCCCAAAAGCUCCAUUGUUGCUCCAAGCUCCAUUUCGCCCGAUCUCUCUCCCUAGCCAAUCAAACUUGUUGAUUUGCUCGGGAUUGGUUGAGAAGGCCCCGAUCUACACUUUCACCAAGAGAAAUUUGAUUCCCCCCACUUAUCCCUAGCGGAUCUUGUUACUUUUGGGUGUUUGAGCACCCUAGACGGUUGAGGUCACCGCGGAGCCAUAGUCCAUUGCGGUGAAGCUUUGUGGUGUCGUUGGGAGCCUCCAAUUAAGUUGUGGAGAUUGCCCCAACCUUGUUUGUAAAGGUCCGGUCGCCGCCUUCAAGGGCACCAAUAGUGGAAUCACGGCAUCUCGCAUUGUGUGAGGGCGUGAGGAGAAUACGGUGGCCCUAGUGGCUUCUUGGGGAGCAUUGUGCCUCCACACCGCUCCAACGAAGACGUACUUCCCCUCAAAAGGAAGGAACUUCGGUAACACAUCCUCGUCUUCACCGGCUCCACUCUUGGUUAUCUCGUCCCUUUACUUUCGCUAGUUUACUCGUGUUAUAUCUCUUAUUUGCUUGCAUGCUUGUUGUCAUUGCAUCAUAUAGGUUGCUCACUUAGUUGCAUAUCUAGUCAACCUAUUUUGAUGCAAAGUUUAAUUUGGUAAAGAAAAGCUAAAAAUUGUUAGUUGCCUAUUCACCCCCCUCUAGUCAACUAUAUCGAUCCUUUCAAUUGGUAUCAGAGCCUCGUCUCUUUAUUAAGGACUUUACCGUCCAAAGAGUAUGGUUGACGUCGUAGAUGGUGUGGAGGAGCACUCCGGUGUGAAUCUGGUCUCGUCUACGGGAGAUGGGGGAACCUCGGUCUCUCGUGAGGAAUUCAAUGUGGCGUUGGACACAUUGAAAACCUCCAUGACGACCGAGGUCGAAAGCAUGUUUAAUAAAUUCUUAGAAGGGCUUAAACUUACCACCGCACCGUUGAAAGUGGGUGAUCCCGCUAACAAGGUGACGGAUGCUACCUCCAACAAGGGGGAAGCUACUAGCGAGAAAGCUCCUUCUUCUAGUGGUAAAAAUUGGACCGGCAUCUUUGCCCAUGUGGAACCUCCACCUAUCUAUGGUGGACCGCUCCCUUCCACUCAUUUGAAUCAUGCCGGCCCGGCCCCUAAGAUUGAGAAGAAUGUCGAUUUUGAUUCUUGGGUCUAUCGUUUUAAGCGUCAUUUAAAUCAUGUGAACACUAACCUUUGGAGAAUCAUUGAAGAAGGUUUUUAUCCGCAUGACCGAAGUAACUUCACUCCUAGAGAAGUUGUGGAUCAUCGAUUCAAUGAGAAUGCUCUCUUCAUCAUCCAAGAAGCAAUCCCACCCGAAGAUCUUCCUCAUCUCCGGCCUUACACCGUGGCCAAAGAUGCUUGGCUCCAAGUUGUUUCCCUCUAUCGGGGAAGCGCAAGCAUUCAACGCUCCAACUAUGAAGUGGUGCAAGAUGAAGCCGACGAGUUUGCAAUGAAAGAAGAUGAAGAACCUCGCAAGCUUUUUCGGAGAGUAACCAAACUCGCGGUCUCUCUCCGAGAUCAUGGAAGUAAGGACACGGAUGACAAUUGGAUCAAGCGCAAAUUCCUCAAGGCAAUGAUGCCCUACCACAAAGCCAUGUCCUCCGUAAUUCGUCAAAGGCCGGACUUCCACACCUUGUCAUCAAGUGAAGUGUUGGAUGAGUUUGUUGCUAUGAGCAUGUUGGACAAGACCGCCGACAAUGCGGUUCUUCGCUCUCAAAGAGUAAAUAGGCCCAACCUUGCUCUAAAGGCCAAGGUUAGUAUGGAGGAAGAGGAUGAAGAGGAAGAAGAGGAGGGCAACCUCGAAGAUACGAAGUAUGCCUAUCAUGAACACAUGGCUCUUGCUUCAAGGCAAUUUUGGAGCAAGAAGAACACAAGGCCAAACUUCAACAAGAGCAAUUCAAGUGGCGCAAAGGGCAAGCAACGGGUGUGGACUUGCUUCAAUUGUGGCAAUGUGAGCCACUUUGCUGCGGAGUGCCCUUACGAGAAGAGGGAAGACAAUGGUGGCAAGCUCAUUAGAAAGGACAAGGCCAAGUCGUUCCCCAACAAAAGCAACUUCACCAAGAAGACUCCUCCCAAGGCAUUGGUGGUACAAGAAGAGUACAAUGAGGAUGAUGACGAUGAUGAAGAUGGUGAGUCGGUUGCCAUGGCCUCCGUUGCCAUUGCGAAGACUCCAUGGGUGUCUCUCUUCGACUCACCCAAUGAGAACAUCACCGCCAAGUGCCUCAUGGCUAAAGCCACCAAUAAGGUAACCUCCAACAUCAAAACUACCAUCAUUAAUCAUCCUUCUUCGACGGAUAGCAUUGAUGAACAUGAGGGGACAAAUGUGGAGGAAAAUGAGUUUGAGACCUUUAUGGGUAAACUCAAGGGUAAAUCCAAGAAGCACUUCGUUGCUCUCUUGGAACAACUUGGUGAAGCCAAUGACAUGAUCGAGGCUCACGAAGAUACCAUCUCUAAGAUGGAGGGGCAUAGUCGUGACUAUGCCGAUGAGAUUUCGGAUCUUUCCAAUGCUCUUGACGAAGAGCGUGGUCUUCGUUUGGCUCUUGAGGAGUCAUACAACGAUGAUCAUGCUAAGUUAAAGAAAGAUCUUGAUCAUGCUCUUGUUGUGUCUCGUGUGCUAAACUCCGAGAAGGCAAAACUUGGGGUUGAUCUUGCUAGACUUAACGAGGAGUUUGACAUUCUCGACAAGGCUCACAAAGUCUUGAAGGGCGUUCAUGCUAACCUCAAGGAGUCUCAUGAUCAACUCCAAGUAAAGCUAACUAAGGAGAAAGCCACCUUUCCUCAUAUGGUGUUAAUUGAUAAUGCAAAUGCUACUAACCCUUGUUGUGAGCAUGUGCAUCUUAUUGAGGAGAAUGCUAAGUUGAAGGAGCAACUUGAGAAAGGCCUUGUGUCAUGCAUACAAGGUGAGAAGAACCUCAACGACCUUUUGAGAAACCAAAAGGAAGUUGUGGCCAAGGAGGGGAUUGGGUUCGCACCCAAGCCCAAGAACAAGAAGAAGAAUGACAAGACCAAACGACCUCCUCCUCUCAAGCAAACUUUUGUGAAGGAGGGAGAGGGUGCUUCCAAGGAGAAGAAGAACAAUGCGAAGGGUGACGGUGUCAAGAAGGGCAAUACCACCCCAUCCAACAAAGCCGGCGACUUUAAUCCUUCUUAUGUGUUAUGCCGUGCAAGUGAUGGGCAUGUUUAUGCCAAAUUUGUUGGUUCUCCUCAUGAGUAUAUUGAACGGUCCAUUUGGGUUCCUAAGACCCUUGUUACUAACAUCAAAGGACCCAUUACAAAAUGGGUACCUAAAACCAAGCAUUGAUCUCUUGUAGGUGUUUGCUUCCGGUGGGGGAUCAUGGUUGCUCGAUAGUGGAGCUACAAAUCAUAUGACCGGAAGCAAGGACUUGGUGGUGGACGUGCACAAGAUUCCAUCUAUGCCCACCAAUGUCGAGUGGGGUGAGGUAUUGGGACUCGGCAAAGUUGUCAUUCCUCAUGAUCUCACGAUCGAGAAGGUCAUGCUAGUUGAGUCCCUUGCAUACAAUUUACUUUUCGUUCGUCAACUUGCUACCAUGGGCUUUUCCACUUUCUUUGAUAUUGAUACCGUGGCCCUCUUGUGGAGCAAGACUCUUAAAGUAGCCUUUGUUGGGCAUGUCGAGAACGGUCUCUAUGUGAUUAACUUUUCGGAGCGACCCACUAAGACCGCGACAUGCCUAAUGGCUAAAGUUGACGUGGGAUGGCUUUGGCAUCGCCGUUUAGCCCAUGUCAAUAUGAGAUCUUUGCAAAGUCUUCUCAAGGGGGACCAUGUCCGUGGACUAACGAACGUUAGUUUUGCUAAAGAUCGUGCUUGCAGUGCUUGUAUCGAAGGAAAGCUCCAUGAGAAGGCUCACCCUCCCACGACUCUCAUUUACUCGAAGAGGCCUUUGGAGCUCCUUCAUUUGGAUCUCUUUGGGCCUCCAUCCUUUGAUAGUCUUGGGGGUAGAAAGUAUUGCUUGGUAAUUGUGGAUGACUAUUCAAGGUACACUUGGGUGUAUUUCUUCAAGAGGAAGAGUGAGACCCAACAAACCGUCAUUGACUUUGCAAAUGAAGCCCAACGUCAACACAAUGCAAAGAUCUUGACAAUAAGAAGUGACAACGGCACCGAGUUCAAAAACUACACCUUGGAUGAGUUUCUUAGUGAUGAGGGUAUCAAGCAUCAAUAUUCCGCACCUUACACCCCUCAACAAAAUGGUGUUGCGGAGAGGAAGAACUGGACGUUGAUGGAUGCGGCAAGGACCAUGAUGGCGGAGUUCAAGUCUCCAUACAACUUUUGGGCCGAAGCCAUCAACACCGCGUGUCAUGCUUCAAAUCGGCUCUAUCUCCGCAAAGGCUUGAACAAGACUCCAUAUGAGAUACUCACCGGUAACAAGCCCAACCUCAAGUACUUUCGGGUGUUCGGGUGUAAGUGUUUCAUUCUCAAGAAAGGUGUUCGUUUGUCUAAAUUUGAGACUAGAGCUCAUGAGGACAUAUUUGUUGGUUAUGCUACAAACUCCCAUGCUUAUCGUGUUCUCAAUAAGUCCACGGGACUUAUUGAGGAGACGUGUAACGUGGAGUUUGAUGAGAAUAACGGCUCCCAAGUGGAGCAAAGUGGUACUUGUGAUGUAGGUGAUGAAAUUCCUCCCCAAGCCAUAAGAAGAAUGGGUGUUGGUUAUAUCCUACCCAUUGAGGAACCCCUUGUGGCCGAAGGAUAAGGACAAUGCUCCACUCAAGUGGAGCCAUCACCAACCCGAGACCAACACGCUUCCGAAGAACAAAGUGAAGGCUCUCAACCUCAUGAACACGAUCAAGGGCAAGAUCAACCUCAAGAUGGUGGUGAUCCACCAAAUGAUGCCCAAGGUCAAGUUCUCCCCCUCGAGCAAGUUCAAGAUCAAGGACAAGCUCAAGACGACGCUCAAGAUGAUCAAGUAACCCCUCCUCGCUUCACUUCUGAGGAGGAAUUGGAGCGUCAUGCCGCUAAGAUCGCUUCCAAGCUCACCACCAAAGGUCAUCUCAUGGAGAAUGUGGUUGGAAGCCUAAGAAAGGGGGUAAGCACUCGUAGACAAUUAGCAAACUAUUGUGAACAUCAUGCGUUUGUUUCUUGUGUCGAACCCCAAAAGGUUUAUGAAGCGCUCGAGGACCCGGAUUGGCUCAAUGCCAUGCAUGAAGAACUCAACAACUUCGAACAUAACCAAGUGUGGAAAUUAGUGCCAAGGCCAACCGGGAACCAUAAUGUCAUUGGAACCAAGUGGAUAUUCAAGAACAAGCAAGAGGCUCAUGGGAUCAUUGUUCUCAACAAGGCUCGUUUCGUGGCACAAGGCUACUCCCAAGUCGAGGGUAUCGACUAUGGUGAAACCUUUGCCCCCGUCGCUCGCCUUGAAUCUAUUCGUUUGUUGAUUGCUUAUGCUUCUCAUCAUAAUUUCACGUUGCAACAAAUGGAUGUGAAGAGUGCUUUUCUUAAUGGUCCCAUAAAUGAGUUGGUGUAUGUCAAACAACCCCCCGGGUUCGAAGAUCCCUAUUUUCCCGAUCAUGUGUAUCAACUCCACAAGGCGCUCUAUGGCCUUAAACAAGCCCCACGUGCGUGGUAUGAGCAUCUUACGGAGUUGUUACAAGAUCGUGGAUUCGAAAUCGGGAAAAUCGACCCCACUCUUUUUAAUAACAAGGUCAAAGGGGAGUUGUUUGUGUGCCAACUAUAUGUUGAUGAUAUUAUUUUUGGUUCCCCUAACAAGGCCUUCAAUGAAGAAUUUGCCGCUCUCAUGACCUCAAAGUUCAAGAUGUCUAUGAUGGGAGAGUUGAGGUUCUUUCUCGGAUUCGAAAUCAAACAAAGAAGAGAAGGAACCUUCAUCAACCAAGCCAAAUACACUCAAGACAUGCUAAAGAGAUUCAAGCUAAGUGAUGUCAAGCCGGCUUCCACUCCAAUGCCCACCAAGUGCCAACUUGACAUUGAUCCCAAUGGUAAAGCGGUGGAUCAAAAGGUAUAUCGCUCCAUGAUUGGAUCCUUGCUUUACCUUUGUGCAUCUAGACCGGAUAUCAUGUUGAGUGUGGGAAUUUGUGAACGGUUUCAAGCCGCACCUAAGGAAAGCCACUUUGUGGCGGUCAAGCGAAUCUUUCGAUAUUUGGCUCAUACCCCAAACUUUGGCUUAUGGUACCCAAGAGGAGCAAACUUCAAGCUUGUAGGUUAUUUGGACUCCGAUUGGGCGGGAGACAAAGUGGAUAGGAAGUCCACUUCCGGAGGGUGCCAAUUUCUUGGUUGCUCUUUGGUAAGUUGGUCUUCUAAAAAGCAAAGUUGUGUGUCUCUCUCGUCCACCGAAGCGGAGUAUGUGGCGGCCGGGAGUUGUUGUGCACAACUCUUAUGGAUGAGGCAAACUUUAAAGGAUUACGGUGUCAUUUGUGACAAAGUGCCUCUUUGGUGUGACAAUGAAAGUGCCAUCAAGAUUUCUCUCAACCCGGUGCAACACUUCAAGACGAAGCAUAUUGAGAUUCGGUAUCACUUCAUACGGGAUCAUAUUAGGCGAGGGGAGAUCGAGCUCAACUAUGUCAACACUCAUGAUAACCUUGCAGAUAUUUUCACGAAGCCAUUGGAUGAAGCAAGAUUUCUCGAGUUAAGGCAUGAGCUAAAUAUCAUUGAUUCGAGCAAUGUGGUUUGAACCUUUGCACACCCCUCACAUUCAUCAUGCAUUCUUGUCUAGGUGUAGGCAUGGACUUAGGGGGAGUGUUGUUCUCUCAAUGAACUCUUCCUCCCCCCAUAAUGCAUAAACUAAUCUCACUCUUUCACAUUAGCCAUUUUUUAUGGUACUUGUGCUUCAAAGACGAGUUUUGGUCAUGGGCCCAAGGAUAAUUCUUCGCGGUGCCAUACCAAUUGACUCAAACAUAGGUGGCCUCGGCCACCGCCCUCUCGUGUAGAGGUGUGUGGUUCUUGUUCUCGUGCUGGUGCUCUUGUUGCUUUGUGUUGGUUUUCUCUUCUUGCCGUCGUUUCCCUUCUUUUCUUUUUGUGCCAUAGGUGUUGAGUCUUGUUUUGAGUUGCGCUGGGCGGUACUACCGUUGUGAAGGCGCGGUACUACUGCUGGAGCGGUACUACCGCCCAUCACCACGGUACUACCGCUGAGGGGCGGGGCCAGGGGGUUAAGUCGUGGGCAGGGGUGGUUUCCUCCCCCCAUACCCAUUUGCUUCGUCCCCUCGUUCCUCUUCCUCUCUCUCCAACGCCAUCUCGCCGCCGGAGGGCUCCGGCGGCCCUCCGUCUCCGGACCGUUCCUCUCCAUUUCCUUCGGUGGAGUCGAUCCCCACCUCGUCCUCUUGCCAUGGAUGCCGGUAUUGCCCCCGUUCCUCUUCUCUUCUUGUCUAGUUUUCAGAUCUCGCGUUUUAGGGGCAAUAGUGGUUGCAUCUCUAGAUUUUUGGCCAAAUCUAGGCUUGAGUAGGUUGGAGAAGGCAACUAGACUCUUUGGAUUGCUGUUUGGUAGGUUUAUUUUUGAAUUUGGCAUCCCCGGUAGUGCCGGAUCUGACCACGGCAAUAGGUAUCCUCCGUGCCCCGUCUCGGGCGGUACUACCGCCCAUCUGGCGCGGUACUACCGCUGGAGCGGUACUGCCGCUGUGGAGGCACGGUACUACCGCUGGUGCGGUACUGCCGCUGUGCAGGCACGGUACUACCGCCGGAUGCCCAGUUCCAUAGUUUCCUACCACAUGUUGAUCCAUAUUUGUUGUGUUUAUUUGGUUUUGAUCGUUCCUUCUAGUUAUUUCGUGUGUCCGUGUGUUUGGUUCCAGGUGAUGAACAUCCUGAGCAGCAAGUCCGCCGUGUCAACCCCGGGCGUUCAACGUCAAAGCGGUAUCGCUCAUUUGAGGCUGCAGGUGGUUCUUCCAGUGCUCCACCGCCGCCAGUGGGUGCUUCCUCAAGUGCUAAUCCUCCUCUCAAGAAGAAGACUGCCAACAGGCCGAAGCCAAGUGGCAAGAAGGUGACUAAGAUGACUAGCAAGGAAUUCUGGGACAGGCGUCGCCGCAACCCAUAUGAGGAAGACCAAGAAUCCAACCUUGUCAAUCGCCCGUUCUGGAACCGGUUUCAGUAUGCCACCUACUUUGACGUGAUCAAGGCUAAGAAGAAUCUCUUUGUUAAUGUUCAUUCCAUCAACACGGAUGCUAUGGAGAAGGACCCUGAGUACUUUGGUGAUGCCCUUCAGAUGUGCUCUCAGUUGAACAUUCUCAGGAUCAUGCAGUUCAACAAGGACUUUGAUGCAGAUUUGCUGGCUCAGUUCUUUGCCACUGUCCACCUAGGAACUGAUGAAGACAGGACUCUGACUUGGAUGACUAAUGGGAAGUUGCUAGCUGUCAAGUGGAAGGCCUUCAUGGGGUUGCUUGAGUUGGAAGAUCAAGGGCUCGAGACUCCAGUCGGAUUUCGUCCUCACAACAAUGUCACCUCCACUCACAAGCAAGCCCUCUGGCCCUACUAUACUCGGAAGGUCAACCCUGAGACCAGGAAGGAAACCUAUGAGUUGUCUGCCUAUCUGGACAUCCUUCACCGUAUCUUCCGCGAGACUCUCUUCCCUCGUAUCGGGAAUCUGGACGUGGUACACUCUUAUCUCGUGGACAUGCUUAUCUUCUGCCAGCGUGAGAAGGAAGCAAACACUGGCAAGUCCCUGGACAUCUCUCAUGUUAUGUGGUCUGAACUUCUUGCUGCUAUUUCUGAGCGCAAGUGCCCGAUUUAUGGUCCGUUCAUUAUGUUGCUCACUGAGAAGGCCUGGAGACGUACCUAUCCUGAGGAGCAGCUGGAAACUGGAGAGUUGGUUUCUCAUGAGAUCAAGCGUCUGAGGAAGAAGGAUAAUUGGGGCAUUCCUAGAUCUGGAGUUCCAUCUUCUGCUGCUGCCAUGGAGACCGAGGGCGAGACUGAUGCCGAUGAUGACGAUGAGGAUUAUGUGCCUUCUGGGACAGAGCCUUCUGCGGCAGAGCCCUCUUGGGCAAAGAAGCUCAAACACAAGAUGAAGAAGCUGUUCUGCAUGGAGUCUCACGGUCAGUACAUGACUCAUGUGGCUGAGAAGAAGGCAAGGGGACGUCACAAGGAGCUUAUGCGUCAGUUAGGUGCGACAGUCACCAGCGGUUCUGAGGGUCAGAUCACUGAGGAGGAGGAGUGGAUCCAGCAGCACUGUCCGUGGACCGAUUCAGAUGCCGAGCAGUUUCCGGCCGAGGACGGCGGUGCAGAUGAUCACGCAGAGUCCUGAUGUUCGAGAUCCUCAGCAUGCUCUCACCUGGAGCCGUAGGUUAGCUCUUUGCCCCUUUUUGGUGUCUCGGUGCCAAAGGGAGAGAGAGUUUAGGGAUUUGCGUUGUUGUGUUGCGAGUGUGUCUUUGUCUUUGUGCUUUCGUUGUGUUUGCUACCUUGUGCUUUGUUUGGUUUUGUGUUCAGUGAGACCUUAGUUCCAGUCAUAUGGUGUGAGACAUAUGCUACCUUAUCCUUAUCAUAUCUUUAUCUAUGUCUCUAGUCAUUUGGUAUCUCAUGAGUUGCAUGCUUAUUAUGUUAUAUAUCCUGCUCUCUUGAAUCUCGCUUAGGUUGUUGGUCUCUAAAAUAUAGGGGGAGUGUUGAUCCUAGUAUGUGUGUCGUGCAGUCCAAAGCACUUAUCUUGAUGGCACACAUCUAGGGGGAGCCCGUCUAUAUUUUAGAGAUUUGGGGUUUGCUUAUGUCCUUUGUCUUUUCCCGUUUGUGCAAAUCCCGUAUUGUCAUCAAUCCACCAAAAAGGGGGAGAUUGUAAGGGCAUAUUUAUCCCUAAGAUGUUUUGGUGAUUGAUGACAAUGCUUUUGCGGACUAAUCGUGUGCAUUGAGUGUUUUCAGAGAUUCAUCCUUUUGGCACGAGACGAUUCCCUCCCCUCGGAGCUUGAAGCGAAGACGGUGUAGUCCUUUCGAAUUAGUUUGGUGGACUAGUUUCAUAGGGAUCACCGUACUAUCAAGAGGGGUCCGCUUUGGAAAGGCUAGGGCGGAAUCAUCACGUACACUUCCUUUGCCCCCCUCCAAGCCUUUCCGCUUCUAUGAUGGGCUCGUACCCCCUCUCAGUGUGCCCUCUCUGGUCCCAGCGGUAGUACCGCGGGCCGGAGCGGUAGUACCUCUUGGGUGCUACAAGCGGUAGUACCGCUCUAGAGCGGUAGCACCGCUGGUAGCCCCCAGCCGUAGUACCGCUGCGGUCUCGUGCAAGUACCGCCUCGAUUCGAGGGGUCUUUUUUCGUGUCGGGUUUUACGGUACUUGCCGCGGCAGUGGGGUCCGUAGUACCGCUCGUAUGCGGUAGUACCGCCCUGACCACCGCGGUAGUACCGCUCUGGGCCCAGCGGUAGUACCGCUGCCUCCUGCGGUAGUACCGCUCUCUGCGGGGCUAGUGUGGGGGGUAACGGUUGGAUUGUUCCCCCCACUAUAUAAGGAGGUCUUCUUCCCCAAAGUUGACUCACCUCUUCCCCCAAAAGCUCCAUUGUUGCUCCAAGCUCCAUUUUUGCCCGAUCUCUCUCCCUAGCCAAUCAAACUUGUUGAUUUGCUCGGGAUUGGUUGAGAAGGCCCCGAUCUACACUUCCACCAAGAGAAAUUUGAUUCCCCCCACUUAUCCCUAGCGGAUCUUGUUACUCUUGGGUGUUUGAGCACCCUAGACGGUCGAGGUCACUGCAGAGCCAUAGUCCAUUGUGGUGAAGCUUUGUGGUGUCGUUGGGAGCCUCCAAUUAAGUUGUGGAGAUUGCCCCAACCUUGUUUGUAAAGGUCCGGUCGCCGCCUUCAAGGGCACCAAUAGUGGAAUCACGGCAUCUCGCAUUGUGUGAGGGCGUGAGGAGAAUACGGUGGCCCUAGUGGCUUCUUGGGGAGCAUUGUGCCUCCACACCGCUCCAACGGAGACGUACUUCCCCUCAAAAGGAAGGAACUUCGGUAACACAUCCUCGUCUUCACCGGCUCCACUCUUGGUUAUCUCGUCCCUUUACUUUCGCUAGUUUACUCGUGUUAUAUCUCUUAUUUGCUUGCAUGCUUGUUGUCAUUGCAUGAUAUAGGUUGCUCACUUAGUUGCAUAUCUAGUCAACCUAUUUUGAUGCAAAGUUUAAUUUGGUAAAGAAAAGCUAAAAAUUGUUAGUUGCCUAUUCACCCCCCCUCUAGUCAACUAUAUCGAUCCUUUCACUAUGGUUUAGAUUUAGAUGCUGGUUUUCAGUAAUGAAAAUCGGAAGGGGAAACCCUUCUUUGAUUAAAAAAAACUACUACCUCCAUUCUGGUUUACUAGUCCCCAUCGUACUUUGGGUCAAAGUUUGUCCACGAAUUUUACUUGUAAAAUGUGAAUGGAAAACGAGAUUUUGUUAUACCCAAACAAAAAAGGACUGGAGGGAGUGAUUGCUCUGACACGGACGCGACCUCUCAUAGCGCAGGCAUUGAAUCGGCGCGCCGGCCAAGAGGGCCGCACUCGCUGCAGGCCCGGCUGAGCACGCCUCCUCGCCGCGUGCAACCAGCUUAAGACUGCCCCGCCUGCCUUCAUUGAAUCCGCGCGUGUGCCGGCAACACGUCCUUCCGCGAGCCGGCAGGCAUUUUAGAACACAAAAAAUGACUAAAAUAUAAUUAAUUUACGCAUGGUCUUGACUUGUUGUGCUCGCACUGGUAGCAGGAACUAGUAGAGGAUUUUCUUUAUUUAUAACUCUCCUCACAUUUUUUUUGGCUUUGAAGUGAAUCAUGGUUGUGGACAUUAUGUAUGAAUGUGCAGAUAUCUGUGAACAUGAAUUUGAUGUGGAAGUUGAACUUGGAAUGUCGGGCUUGCGCGUGAACUAUACCAUGUCCAAUGCUUCGUCUGUUAUUGUUUGAAAAGUAAUUGCUGUUAUUACAUGACCCGGAAAAAACAUUUUGUGCCACAUCAGUAGAUGCACGGACAUCACAACAGGCAUGCUGACUGGAUAAACAUUUGAACCUAGCUAUUAUGAAGGAAAUUUUGUAUUGACAACAGUUUUAGAUAGCAGGAGACGCCUAGCCUGCUCUGCCUCUGCUAGCUUAUUUCUGGCUUCUUCCAUAUCUUCUUUGGCUUGGGUGAAGAGAGCAUGUGAUUGCUCUUUUCGCUUCUUCAGGAACUCAGCUACAUUCUCAAGGGCUGCUGCACGCUUUCUUUCAGCCUUUACUAAUGCCACGAGGACACGAACAGCUGACGACUCCACCUGGCUUGUGUGUAAUCCAGCAUCAUCUGGGAAUUUGCACCUUGUGUCUAAUCCAGCAUCAUUAGGGAACUGGCACCUUGUGUGUAAUCCAGCCUCAUUUUGGAAACAUGAUCUCGAGGUUGACCAUACUUCCCUCCUCGCAGGAACUGCAUCCUGACAUGAAGUUACUUCUUUUUUAGAUCAAUACUCAGAGCAACCUAGAUCCAUUUAGUAGAAGCCAGAUAAACAGAACUCGGAGAAGUGAAUUCAAAAAGGAAAAAUAAAAUAAAAACAGACUACAAGGUGAGAACACCCACUUCCUACAUCAAGCUAAAAACGAAAGCAUUAGUCGAUAUCCAUCUAGCCCCUACAUGGCAGUGGGAUGAAAAAGAAAAGUCGAAGACAUAAGAACCUAAGUUGGUCUAGCAGAAGAAAUGGUGGAGAAAACAUGAGUUCACAGGUGGACUUAAAGAUAUGGUAUGAAUUAUAUGAAAAGAAAGUGUGACGUUUGAAGAACUCAUGAUGAAUAACGGUAUUAAGCAAAUCGGUGGUUAAAAAAUCAUAUAAUAAACAUCCUUUGAGUAUAUUUUAUCAUUGUUUAUGUUUUACAAUAUUCCUCUUAAAUGCGAGCCUUUGCACAUAACAUUCGCCUUCUCGCAACAACAAUGGAUCACUAGGGUUUAGCAGCACUCGUAAGAGGAUUUAGUACUAUCAAAUACUCCCUCCGUCCCAAAAUAAGUGUCUCAACUUUGUACUAACUUUAGUACAAAGUUGUACCAACAUUGAGACACUUAUUUUGGGACGGUGGGAGUAAUAUAUUGUGCUAACCAUUGGCAUGAGAAGCUAAUGUUUCAUUAUCAUUAUCAUUGUACUAACACUGGAAUGGGAGGUGUUUAGUAUUUAUUCUUCCUAAAGCAGCAUGUGUAUUGCAUUGACUACACAAAUUUCUAGCAAAGUAAUUCAAGAUAUUUAUAAGAUCCCACAAGUGUUUCCCAUUUUAGGACAAGCAGUAUUCCAGAAAGUAUUUGCAUUGAUCCAGUGUGUUCCCCUUAUCAAUUGUGAUGAGGUUCCAACACAAGGACUCAUGGGUUGAAGAUAACCCAUGUGAUUUUCAGCGGUGAGGAUUUUGGAGGGUUCCACAACCUUGGGAGUAACAGGUACAACUAUUUUUAUACUAACUUGUGUCCCCAAUCCAUAACUAUAGAUGGAAAACAACUAAGAUCAGGAAAAUAACUAUUUGGUGAUAAAGCCAACAAGCGCACACGAGAUAUCCACCAUAUGAUAUUGCUCCCCGGCAACAGCGCCAGAAAAGAGCUUGAUAUUCUCCAAGUACAAGGAAUUGUCGUAGCACUUUCCAAAGGUGGAUGUGAUAAGUAUGGAGUGUGGAACUGACUAGGAGCUGAAGGUAGGAUUAAUAUUUUGUCAGGUCCUAUCUGCCACUGGUACAACCCCACGUACACUAAACUUUUGCUUUACAUAGGAAAUGAACUAUAACCACGUUGUAGGUACAAAAGGAUAGCUUUUCAAGAUAAUAGAUAACUAGAAAAUAAAGGUAGGUGUUGUUUAAGUAAAAGUACAAUAAAAUAAAGAUAUCGAUGGUGAAAAAGCAGUGAUAGGAUGUGCGAAAUUGUCCCUAGGCAUUUGGCUAAAUUACAAGACUAAUCGUCAUCAUUGCAGUUUGAUAUGUGGGAGAGGCCUCUGUUGACAUAUAGUUCGUACCUGGAAUCAUACAUGCUUAUGAUUAGAAUUACUAGCAAGCAUCUGCAAAUACUAACACGUUCAUUAAAGUAAACUCAAUCAUAGCAUUAAGAUAUGUAUUGGUCCCAUUCAUCCCAUAUGCAUCAUGACGAAAACAAUAACUCAACAAUACAUACAUGUGUCUUGAAUAUAUAAUAAACAUCCUAGAAGAUCCAUCCAUGGUAAAGAAAAGUAUAAUAGAAAAUUAUCAAAUCUCGUGAGAAUUUUUCACCUAUCUCCUAUUCCCAUAAUAUGAGCCCAUGCAAACUUUUGCAUUUUUUUCAACCAUAUUGGUUGAUUCCUAGUUUUUGGAUGACCUAAAAGUAGCAAAUCAAAUCUAAAAAACCUAGGAAGUUGAAAUUAUUUCCAAUAUGUAAUUUAAUUCAUGUAGAAAAAGUGACUCCAACUCGCUUUGUCAGGCGUCGGAUGUAGCUGCUUCUGCAGAGUGUCAGGAGAUCUGGGCUGCUGUUGCUCACUGACUUGAACCGAGGUAAGUUAACUUGAUUUUCCUGUAUUUCAUGGUCGAAACAGAGAAGAACUUAAGGGACACAAGAGGGAAAACAUGAAAAACUUUGGCAAGAUGUACAUGCUUGUGUUGAUCAGUGCUUUAUAUUUACAUGGAGAUGAAUGAAUUGGAUAUUUGGUUCAAAUAGGAUGGAUAUCUCUAAGCAUAUUGCCACUAGGAAAAAUUCAUCCUUCCAAACGAGUUUUACUUGAUUAAAAUUGGAGGUUAAGAUAGCUUUUUUUCACUGGUAUUAGACUUAUGUUUUACUUAGAAAGUCUAGUUGCCUAUCUCUCAAAAAAAAGAAAAAUGAACCUAAUUAGUCUGAUGUAAAUUUUCUGCUACACUUGUGCACAGAACUGGUUCACCUGGCCUGUUACUGAGGAAAGAGAUGGCAUUUUUAAGAGAUGGUGUUUUGGAUUAAGGAUGACAUUUUUUAUUUAUUAAGAGAUUGCAUUUUUUAUUUUAAAGAGAUGAAAAUUUUAUAUUAAGAGAUGACAUUUUUCUUUUAAAGAGAUGAGAUUUUAAUAUUAAGAAAUGGUAAUUAUUAUUAUUAAAAUAUGUCUUCCUUUAGGUACAUAGCAUUUUUUUCUUUAUUUUUACAAGAAAAAGAUACAUAUUGUUUCGUCCACGACAUUUAGAAAAAACUAGUAAACUGGGCCCUAUGGGCCAAUGGGGGUUCGCCCUGGUGAACAAUCGAUGGGAGCAGCUCGCCCGAGCGACAAAUUCAGUGCCUCCCUCCCUGGCGAUUGAAUUCCGGAUAUAUGUGACCAUUAUCUAUUACAUGGUAGAAGAAAAAAGAUCCAUUUAUGUAACCGAGUACUAGUAAAGUAAAAGAUAGUACACUGUAUAUAGUCAAAAUUCCAAAAAAUGAAAUUGUUUGCAGAAACGAAACAAAGAAAUGCAAGAAAACAUAUUUCACAUAAAAUAAAUAAAUGAUGUGGACCAAAAACUGGGGAAAAUGAAAAAUAUAAAGAGAACCAGAAAAAUGGAUGACAGAUAAAAUAAUGUGGAUACGAACCCAUUCACACGCAGGCCCAUCAAACUCUGGUCCAAUCCACCAAAAGAACGACAACCCAUUCACUCCGGCAAUCCAUCGUUGUCUCAAAAAAAACAAUUGCAAUCCAUCGAAAGCAUCUGCGCCGCCGCCGCCGCCGCCGUCCGCCGUGGCCGCCGCUCCUGCGCCAUGCUCCGGCUCCGGGAGUGCGUCGUUUCCCGUCUCCUCUCUUCGCCCUCCAACUCUGCCACCUCCCCACUCUGCCGCCUCCUCUCGGCCACCGCGUCGGCCCCCAUUUCCCCGAAUCCCAGUGGCUUCGCCGUGGAGGAGUACCUCGUCGCCACCUGCGGCCUCACCCGGGCCCAAGCCAUCAAGGCCUCCCCGAAGCUCGCCCACCUCAAGUCGCCCGCCAAUCCCGACGCCGUGCUCGCCUUCCUCUCCGGCCUCGGCCUCUCCGGCGCCGCCGCCGCCGCCACCGUCGCCAAAGACCUCUGCGCCAAAGUGGACAAAACCCUGGCCUCUAAGGUCGCCGGGCUUACCGGCAUAGGCCUCUCGCGCCCUGAGAUCGCCCGCCUCGUCUCCCUCGGCCCCGAGUGCUUCCGCUCCAGACACAUCGUCUCCAAGCUGCAGUACUACCAUCCCCUCUUCGGCUCCUUCCACAACUUCCUCCGGGCGUACGAGCGCUCCUCCUAUCUUCUCUCGCGGGGCCUUGAUAAGAUGAUCAAGCCCAACGUUGCGUACCUGCACGAGUGCGGGCUAGCUGCUUGUGAUAUUGUCAAGCUGGUCAUGUACAGGCGGGGGAUCCUGACCACCAACCUGGGGCGCCUCCGGGCGAUGGUUGCAUGCGCCGAAGGUAUAGGCGUGCCCCGUGGCUCUGGGAUGUUCAGACAAGCGCUGUAUGCUGUCGCAUUCCAAAGCGAGGAGAAGAUUGCCGUCAAAGUGGACUACUUGAAGACCACGCUCAGGUGGUCUGCUGCUGAGGUGGGCAUCGCUGUGUCUAAGGCUCCGAUGCUGCUGAGGAGGUCAAAGGACACGCUGCAGAGCAAGUCCGAGUUCCUGGUAUCUGAGGUGGGGUUGGAACCAACGCUCAUUGCUCAUCGCCCGAUAGUACUCACUUACAGCCUGGAGGGCCGGCUCAGGCCCCGGCACUACGUUCUAAAGUUUGUCAAGGCAAAUGGGUUGCUAGAUCGUGAUCAGAGCUACAUCUGCGCGGUCGGUUUGACGGAGAAUGUUUUCGUGAAGAAGUUCGUGCGCCCUCACAUCGAAGCUGCGCCGCACCUUGCUGAAGACUACGCGGCUGCCUGCCGAGGAGAAGUACCCACUAGGUUCAUAUUUGAUUGAACCAGGACCCUGCUGUUAAAAUGUGUAACUGUGUAUGGCACAGCAAAGUUUACAUUCUGUGCAGUAAACUGGUUAGUCCCUUUCCUGUGUUGUUCGCCAAAACAGACAGACGCUUGUUAUCUUCUCUAAAAUGGCAGUUCGGUCUUCAGUGAUUAGAUUAUGAUUUUUUGUAUGCUUAUUAUGCCUUUUGGUUUCUUUCACCUUAUGUAUUCUUAAUGAUGGAUUAUCUUUGUUCCCAAGUCCUGUAGGCUGUAGAUGGCCCUACUUUCGCUGGGUUUUUUUCUUCCAAAUUUGAUAAAGUAACCUGCUAAAGCAUGACCAACAGAUUAGUCUAAACCAUUAACAUCUGUCAUUUAUUGUGAAACUAAGCUAGUGAAGAUGGCAUGAAUCGGUCUUGUCAGAGUCUACUAUUCAGUGCUUGCAUAUGCGAUUUUACAGCUGUUCACAAAACUGCAUCUAUCUUUUCACAACAAAAUGGUCGAUGAACUGUAGAUUCAGAAAAUCAGUUUGCCAUAGUUCAAAACUAUCUGCCUUGUGUGACUCAAAUCAAAGUUGUUCGAUAUCAUGAAAUAAGCAACAUGCUUUUUGUCAAACCAUAUUCUAAAUUUGCAAUUUGCAAACUGGAUUUUUGUUUCUCAGGCUCUGUCUUUUCAAUUUUCAUCAGGACUUAGGGCCAUAAUUAAUAGAAGGUGCAAUCUCUAUUUUAUCAAUAAUUUCCUUUACCACACCCGCGUCUGUAUGGCAUGAGUUCUUAUGGUUUCAGAGCACUCUGUCUGGGCUUAACUAAUUCUGUUGAAAAAUCACUUCCUUAUUAUCCUAAAAUACAUUGGUGAUUACUGAAGUUCAAGAGAAACAUACCUUUUAUUGUUUCCGGAUGAUGUGGCAAAGCCCUUCAUGGGGUUCAAGAGAAACAUGCAACAUAUGUGGUGCCUUAUGUAAGCUAAGCUGGGCGUAAUUAUUCUCUAGGUAUUCCAUUACACUUUCUUAAUAUGAUAUUGAUACAGCCAUGAUGGCUCCUCUGUUCCCUUUGUCGGUUUCGCAUACACUAGUUGCCCACUAGCUUCUUAGCAGCAGUUUAGCGUCGUUUGCAGUUAUAUAUGCCUGUGAGCUGCAGCAACCAUCGUGUCCCACAAAUUGUUUCUAUGCAAUGCUAAUUCCUUUAUCGCUCAAUUUUUGGGGUACUCGGCUUUUUAUUUCAGACCUACAUUCAGUCAGCCAUCCAUUAGCAGUUUAGUACUGUGAAGCACCUAGAUUGUUUGUCGACAUCUCAUUUACUUACAGAAGAUGGAAAUUAUCCAUGUGCCUCCACAUACUUUGUCUUGCAUAAUUUUGUUGGCUUCUAUAAAUGGUCUUGCUGGCGCACCAAUGCCUGAUUAAUUGUAUUGGUUUCUGUUCAAGUGCCAUAAUGCAAUCUUCUGUCUUUGAUUGUAAACUCCUUUAGUUGCAUGGUUCAGUGAAACAGGAUUAGGUUUGCCCCUACAAAAAAAGGAAAAAUCAGUGGAAAAGUAGAAUGCACAUCACUGUAGGAAGCCUGCUGCUGAAGAGACUAUCCAGGGACAUCUGUAUCUGCUGCAGAGUCAUGUUCAGGGUUUUGCUGCAAACAUUCAAAUAUGGAUGGAUAUGAGAAGCUGACUAUAUUAUGUUUGGUGUCCCUAUUCUUUAGUGGCAUGGCUUAAAAGUUAUCUGCCUUAACUCAAGAGAAAGUUGUUCGAUAUCAUGAAAUAAGUCAUAUGCUUUUGUCAAAGCAUAUUUUAAAUUUGCAAGCUAGAUUUUUGUUCUGCUGUUUUCUCAUGCUUUGGCUUUUAAAACUUAAUUGUGACUUAGGGCGAUAGUAAGGUGCAAUCUCAGCCAUUUUUUCAUAUGCUUCAGCUUAGACUCUUCAGAGACAGAGCCAGAGCCAGAGCUAUUUUAUCAAUAUUUCCUUUACCACACCAGCAUAUGUAUGACAUGAGUUCUUAUGUUUUCAGAGCAUCGGGACUGAGCUUAAAUAAUUCUGUUGAAAAAUCACUUAUCACUUUCUUCUCUUAAAAUAGAUCAGUGAUUACUGGAGUUUAAGAGAAAAGUUCUUUUGUGCCUUCAUGGGAUUCUUGGGAAACAUGCUACAUAUGUUGCGCCUUCUGUAAGCUAAGCUGGGAUAUUGAAGUAAUUUUGCUUUAGGUAUUCCUUUAUAUUUUCUUUAUAUGAUGUUGAUCUAGCCAUGAUGGCUUCUCUGUAGUGUUUGGUUUUCUUAAACAAAAUUCCUUGUCCUGACAAAAUAGUAGACGUGUGUGUGAGAUUCCUUCAUCGGUUUCACAAACAUUACUUGCCCAGUAGCUUCUCAUCAGUGGCUUAGCUUUACUUGCGGCUAUAUGCUCGCAAGCUGCAACAACCAUCAUGCUCCGCAAAAUUGUUUCUAUGCAAUGCUAAUUUUAUUUUUGUUGCCCAUUUUGAGAGUACUCAUGUGAUGACAUUUUUUGUGCAUCAACUUUUGAGUUUCUGUUGUGAGAACUAGAGUUUUAUUUGUGGAUAUUGUUGCACACUUAAAUAUCCAUUCUGUCUCACAAUUGUGAUAUGAAGAAAAACCUUGGAGAGCUGCACAUGAACAGCGGCUGGCCUUACAUUGCGUGUGCUAAGACGGGUCCUCCCCGAGCAUCUGGAGGGAGUACUUUGAAAAAUGAAGACAAAGUCAGAAACUGUGUCAGGCAGUUAGUUAACUAAUCCAUUGAGGUUAACUUGAAUCUCUAUGUAAAUAGAAUAUGUGGUGCAAUGAUAAAAAACACGAUCAGCGAAGAUAAUCGUGGCAAAAUUUGAUAAUUUUGGUAGAUUGUGGGCUUUAUAGUUAAAAUUACGCAGCUCAUGAAUGAAGGUGCGGGUCGUAAAGGACUUGUAUCGCCAUUCAAUCUCGCUGACCAUGUCACUAUAUAAUUCCUCGAGUUCCAUUCUUGAUAUCAUCAACCACCAUUAUGUCCAAUGGCGGAGCUAUGUGUUGUNNNNNNNNNNNNNNNNNNNNNNNNNNNNNNNNNNNNNNNNNNNNNNNNNNNNNNNNNNNNNNNNNNNNNNNNNNNNNNNNNNNNNNNNNNNNNNNNNNNNNNNNNNNNNNNNNNNNNNNNNNNNNNNNNNNNNNNNNNNNNNNNNNNNNNNNNNNNNNNNNNNNNNNNNNNNNNNNNNNNNNNNNNNNNNNNNNNNNNNNNNNNNNNNNNNNNNNNNNNNNNNNNNNNNNNNNNNNNNNNNNNNNNNNNNNNCCUCCCCCCCGCUUUGAACCAAAUUGUGAAAGGAAAAUUGUAGGAGGACUUACAUAAAAAACUUUUUUAGCUUUUGGCCCCUCCAAACUCAAGAUGGGAACGGGUCAGGUCCAUGAGUGAUGCAGAGUUUGAUUUGUCCAUGAGUGAUGCACAGUUUGAUCUCCAUGCGCGAGGCCAAACUCCGCGUGCACUGUCAGUGUAAAUACUUCGUGCACGGUUUCAGUACAGCACAUGGCAAACUCUCGAGUUCAAGACUUGCGAAGUAAGGAGUAGCACGUUGAGAGGAAGAUGCAAGGCGGCGAGGAAGCGGAUCCUGUGCUCGAGGGAGCGCACGCCAGGAGGGCUCGCGCCAUCGCUUCUGCUGCAAUGCGGGGCUUGGCAGGUGCCACUGCAACGACCGCAGCGCUUGUGAGCACCCGCGGCAGGAUGCUCCCCACUGACGUCGAGGCCGGCGUGCUCUCCUCGAUCCUGCAGGUACGUAGGGAUUUGAGCCGAUCAUGUCAGUCAAAUUCGAGUUCAUUUUGAGCCUGUUUCUUUUUUUUUUAACUUUUCCACUCCCUGGCUGCAGGGCAUGGUACAUGUGACCUUCGGCGAGAUCGCUGGCGGACCGCGCGACGUGUUGAUGACGAUGCGUCUGUUGGGUCGGCCUCGUAUAGGAAUCGGUCCAGUAGAGUCGGCACUGGUUGACCCAUUGGAUCGGCACUGGUUGACCCAAGGCAAUCGCCACCCCCGACCCCCGUCCAUUUCUACCGCGGUGGCGGCGCUGUCUCCGGCUCCUCCCGCUCAGCGUCCUGCUCACCGUACCUCCCAGCAUCCAGCUCGGCGUGUUGCUGGUCUUCUAGCUCGUCGUCCCGCUCGCCUAUCAGCUAGCCAUUCACCUCGUCUUCCAGCUCCCGAGCCCCUCGCCGUCCAGCUCUCGUGCCCCUCGCUGUCCAGCUGCUUCUCCUGCUCGUGCUACUCUGGUCUGCUUACCCUUCCUCAAGCCGCUGCCAAAGCACAGGUGAAACUUGCCCCCAUAGCCUCCGUAUAGGAAUAUGUUGCUCGACAUAUAUCCUCGUCACUGACCUCAGUGUCCCCUUUCCACAUUCUACUCGUAAAAUUAAACGGAAUGAGAUGGCCAAGCCUUUCAAUUUGGAGUGCCAACUUUGUUGCAUGGAAGAACCGUAUUGUAAAAUAAGUUGAUCUGAAUUUUUUUUACGUAUAGAAGUUGAUCCGAGUUUGCAAUAGUGCAUUUCUGCUACUAAAUCCGACAUCUUCAUAAUGCUCUGGUCCUGCCUUAUGUAUCUAGGAUGGUUGCAUCAUGGUGUGUAUCUUAAUUGUUAUGGACAUGCUUUAAAUGUUGUAAAAGUAGUUUGCAAAAGUAGUGUAUACAUAGCUAAAAAGCUGUGGAAUUCUAGUUCAGCCCUGGGGCACCCAAUGGGCCAGCGAGGCCACAUGAUUUUGUCAGAAUGGGUCGACCCGUGACCCCUAAAAUUGGCCUUGAGGCCAUGGGUCCAGGUCCAAGGCCAGGUCCAGGCCGACACAUUCCCAUCUUCUCCAAACACUCGGAUUUUGUCAUUGCCCCCAGCAGAAUCCGUCUAGCUCUAGCUCCGUCGCUGCUUCUGCCAAUGCGAAAGCUUCGUCCAUUGGCAGAGAUGUAAGAAAUAUUUUAUGUGGGCCUAUCAAAACUCCGGUCGAAUAGAGCCCACAUACACACGACAAACGGAAGGAUUGCAGCCCAUUCACACUGCCACCACCACAGACACGCUGCCUGUUGCAACCCAUCGGAGAUGCCUCUGCCCUGCUCCGUCCGCCGCCGCCGCCGUCGUCGCCGCCAUGCUCCGCCUCCGAAGCUCCGUCCCCACCCUUCUCCUCCUCUCCUCGUCCUCCGCCGCUCCCAGCUCCUCUCUCUGCCGUCUCCUCUCCGCCGCCGCAGACCCCAUUUUCCCGAACCCUAGCAGCUUCGUCGUGGAGGACUACCUCGUCGGCACCUGCGGCCUCACCCGGCCCCAAGCCCUCAAGGCCUCCAAGAAGCUCUCCCACCUCAAGUCCCCCGCCAACCCCGACGCCGUCCUCGCCUUCCUCUCCGGCCUCGGCCUCUCCGGCGCCGACGCCGCCGCCGUCGUCGCCAAAGACCCGCUCUUCCUCUGCGCCAAAGUGGACAAAACCCUGGUCCCCGUCGUCGCCGGGCUCGCCGGCCUCGGUCUCUCGCCUCCUGAGAUCGCCCGCCUCGUCUCGGUUGCCCACUACUGCUUCCGAACCAGGCCCAUCGUCUCCAAGAUGCGCUACUACCUGCCCCUCUUCGGCUCCUUCGACAACUUCCUCCGGGCGCUCCAGCGCUCGUCCUGCCUACUCUCGUCGGACCUCGGCAAGGUUUUUUUUGGAACAUAGACGCUAGCAGCGUCCGGCUUUAACUUAAUAAAGCCACCAGGCAGAAUCCACACAUAGAGUCUUACAAGCCAAAUAAAGACAGUCAAACGAGCACAUGGCUCAAGAUAAAGCUAAGUAGAUCGCAGCCACAAGUUCGGUAACACAAAUGCAGAACAUCAAGGCCAAAGCUAGCAAAACGAGGAGGAUCAUGGUGCAGCCAUCAUCCCUUGCCGCGCCUUCACCAUGUCGGCAAGGUGAUCAAGCCCAAUGUCGUGUUCCUGCGGGAGUGCGGCCUAAGUGACUGCGAUAUUGUCAAGCCGAGUGUCCCUGUGUCGAGGAUGCUGACCACCAACCCGGAGCGCGUCCGUGCGAUGGUGGCAUGUGCUGAAAGAUUAGGCGUGCCGCGUGGCUCUGGGAUGUUCAGGCAAGCGCUGCAGGCUGUCGCGUUUCUCAAUGAGGACAAGAUCGCCGCCAAAGUGGACUACUUGAAGAACACCUUCAGGUGGUCUGCUGCUGAGGUGGUCAUUGCUUUGUCUAAGGCUCCGAUACUGCUCAGGAUUUCUAAGGACAUGCUACAGCGCAAGUCCAAGUUCCUGCUAUCUGAGGUGGGGUUGGAGCCCAUGUACAUUGCUCAUCGACCGAUAAUUACUUGUCUUAGCCUGGAGGGCCGGGUCAGGCCCCGGUACUAUGUUCUCAAGUUCCUCAAGGAAAAUGGAUUGGUAGAUCGCGAGCUGAGCUUCUAUACUGCAGUCAGUACGCCUGAGAAGUAUUUCGUGGACAAGUACAUAUGCCCUCACAAGAAAGCUGCACCACACCUCGCUGAGGACUAUGCAACCGCUUGCAAAGGGGAGAUACCAACUAAUUUCUUGUUUAGAUGAACCAGGAAAGUUUUCACUCUGCAUAGUAAGCUGGUAACUCCUGCCUCGUUGUUCUAUGCCUAACUGGACGCGGGCUAUCUCUUGUAGUGUGUUUUUUACAUGCCAGUUUGCUCAUUGCUGACAAUUUGAUUCCUGAACCCUGAUAUGCUGUUUGUUGUCAUUCCUUAGAGAAGAUAUCAGUGUAGUCUGCUUUCAUGGCAACGUUUAUCUAGCAUGUUCCCUCUUGACUUCAUUGUAUUUUCAGUUACAUCAUAUUUCAGUUAGUACUAAGUUUGCAGUUCAAUGUUCAGUAUUUGGAUUAUUCUUACAAAUAUUGUGACAGUUAGUACUAAAGUUUGCUUAGAUAUAUAUUUCGAAUGGAUGUCUGUUCUUUUUUAACCUUUUGUUUUCUUCCUCCUUACUUGUUCCUAAAUACCAUAGUUGACCUUUUUUCAGUUUGGAAUUUUUCAAAUUUCUACAUAUGAAUCAGUCUUAUCAUUUGCAUCCGCCAUUAAUUGUCAGAAUAAACCAAUGGAGGUGCCAUGUAUAACAAGCAAAUCCAAUGAAGGUUGAACUAACAUUUGUUCUUGUUAACAUAUGAAGAAGAAAAUGAUAUGAGAUUUUCCCACUACAACCUACAGCUUGCACUGAGGGCAAAAGUUUUUUCUUCAUAUCUGUCUACAAUUGAGUGAAAUCGUAGAUUUAAUAAUAUAUUUUGCAACAAAAUUCAUCACAGUUUGCUGCCUUGAGCCGACACUGAGACCUUCAACCUGUUGUCCAUCCUAACAUAAAAAGUUGCAAAUUGUUUUGUUUAGCAAGGAUUAAGAUUUAAGAGUUGCUCGACUAGUACUUGUCUUGCAACCAAACUAGUGUCACAGCAUGUCCACGAGUCGGUGACCUGGGCACUUGUAAUCCUUGGUGUUUAGUGAUGUAUAUAUCUGUUCUGAUUGUGUUUAAUGAGCAGCAGGGAUAACUAACCGUGCUGCUGUUACCAUGGCAUUAUAUGCAAACAUUUUUCCUGUUGAAACAUGAUCACAAUCAUAUCGAUCUGAAAAAGAAGAGAAAAAUGAGAAAUAGUAUAUAUUCAGUAAAAGCGAAAUAUUAAUUCAUGAAUUAGUAAAGGUUAUACCUCGGUGAUGAAGUGUACAUCAGUGUGGUGACUCCAACUCGCUUGUCAGCCAUUGAAUGUAGUGCGCCUCUGUUCUGUUGCUUCUGCAGAGCGUCAGCAGAUCUGGGCUGCUGUUGCUAUUUUUUGUUCUGCUCAGUGACUUGAACUGAGGUGAGUUAAAACACUAGGACGGAUGUACAUGCUUGUGUUGAUCAGUGCUUUAUAUUUAUGUGGGGACAAAUGCAUUGGAUAUUUUGUUCAAAUAGGAGGGAUAUAUCUAAGCAUAUUGCCACUAGGAAAAAGUCACUCUACUCUUCAGAUUCAUAACUUCCGUAAACAGAACAAAAUUGGAGGUUAAGAUAGCUUGAUUUUUUUCACUGGGAUUAGACUUAUGUGUUUACUCCGAAAUUCCAGCUAAUAUCUCUGAAAUAAAAGAAAAACGACCCUAAUUAGUCUGAUGUAAAUUUUCUGCUGGACAUAUGCACAGAACUUAUUCACCAUACUAUUUCUGAGGAGUAUCUCCAUACUAUUUAACCGUCACAACCACAAAUGCCAAUCUUUCAAGACUCCUCACAGGAAGAAAAAUUGGUAUAGCAAAUCAGGAAUAUUUAUGCAUGGAAGGUCACUGCAUGCAGAUAGAGAGCAUUCCUUACUCUAUUUACACAUAUAUUAUAUUCCUUCUGCAUGGUUGGCAUAUAUGGUUUAUGGGGUCAGUUCUGUCUGGUCGAGCAUGUUACUGUAUCAGGGGAAGACUGAAUUCUGAGAUCAAUUGACAUGUUAAUCUGGAACAAAAGAAAAUGGCACAAAGCUUCUCAACAUGGAUAUGCUCGAGAGCUAGGUAGUUAUAUAAAAUAUUCUUAUCUAUAUUUACUGAAGUUUAUGUAUGUAUGCAUGUAUGUCAAAUUUAUCCAUUAAUGAAGUUUAUCUACAUUCAAUGAAUUUUUUUCUCAAAAAAAAAAUCCAUUAAUUUACAUCCUUGGUCCUUGUGGUGCUGCCACUGAAGUAGACCAUAUGCAUUUUACUGAAGUGGGAGUAAUGCCAGUUCUCCACUCAGCGUAAUGUCCCUCUGAUAUAUAUGAAUCUACUUUUCAUUGAUGCAACUGAUGUACCACACAAGGACAAACACUUUAGUUGUGUACUAGAGGAAAAACAUGAUUCUUCCAUCCUGUGACUGAGUGGUUGUAUUCAGAGAACUGCAAAUAUUUUCUUAUGAUUGCCUUGAAUAUUAAUAGUAUACUUCAAUUCCACGCGCCUAAAAAAAUUAAGUUGACCAAACUGGUUCUUUUGUAAGUUUGUAACCCAGGUAACUAAUUCUGGAACAGAGGAAGUUAGUACUUCAGUAUGAGAUAGUUACCACAUUUAAUGGAAGAUGAAAGAAAAAAUAGAUAAUAGCUCAGUUUUUUUUUUUUUGCUCUACUAAUAUGCAAUGAUAUUAUGUAAGGUCUCGCCAGAUCAAUACUCUUUGCCGUCUGAUCAAGAUUCAACUGGUGGAGCUGUCGAAUCCAUGCCUCUGCACACACCUGCUGGACAAUUUUCCAGGUCUAAACAGAGUCUCAGUGUGCCAUCAUGUUUCUUGUGCCCUGCACCUCCAAGGCUCCAACUAGUAUUUUCAUUACCGACUUCAUGUUAUCAAAUAGUGCCAACAAUAGCCAGGGAUCAACUUGUCUGUAAGGCCCUGUUUCACACUCUAGACUUACAAGAACACUUUACUGGUAUUCUUAUAUUUAUGGCCUCUAUCACACAGAGAUCUGCCUUUACACUGUAUUAUCUGUUAUUCUAGAUGCUACUGUCUUCUCUUUCUUGCUGUGAGGUGACCCCAUUGCUAUUGGCGAUCAUAUCUCAAUGACUCCAUCUGGUGACUGGUGCCCAAGUUGAUGACAAACUCAUCCUAUUCUGGGGGACAAGGAGCCACCUUUGUCACCCUGGGAUUGCGAGAGCACGCUGAGGAGGUUGGGUUCGCAGUGUGGGAAGAAGCCAAGCAUGAUGGCGAUGGGUAGUAGUUCAUGAUCCAUCUGGGUCACCCCCUAGGUGGUGAGCCAGAGCAGGUGUCUGACAAAACAAAGUGUGUGCCUGUACCGGUAAAAAGCCAAACUCCUUGCCAGCCUGGAUGACAUGGCUGAAUGGUCUCAUCUAAUUAUAUUUUUCUAAAUCAUGGCUGAACGAAUUAUGUGUUGUCAGUUCCAUUAUUUUAAGAGUAAUUUGGGAAGUAUCAGUGUUCAGUGAUGGGCCAUCUUCAGAUACUGGUCAUUGCUUGAUUUCAUUGGUGAACUUCUGCACUUGCUUCUCUUUUCCUCAUCACUUGGUGUCAUUAGUUAAUUUCAUGCCUUGCAGUUAGCUUUUCAUAGCUGCAGAAUUACAGAAAGUUCCAUCCAAUAGUUUGCAAACUACUGGCAACAAUAUCAUGUGGUAAAUUUAUAUUGUCAUGGUUAUAUUUUCCUCUGUUUUUAUGUUGUUAUGUUUCUACUUGCCAUCUUUGUUUACGGAUUCUUUGUAAGUGCUCCUUUGUAUUGAUGGUCUUAUGCUUUGUAUUUAUCAGAUUAGCACACACAAAAAACACAAAUGAUCUUAGAAACCAAACACAAUUGGUUUGAAUGAUAUUUUGUUAUAUUUUGAGGAACUGCCAUACUAUAAAUUUUACAGAUUAAGAACAAUAAAGUUGUAUUCAGAAAAAGUUUUCUGUUGUACUCUAAUCAUAUAUUUAUUUUGAACUUCCAAUGAUCUCUACCUAGCAUUUCGGAACCUUGGGUACAAACCAUUAAUAACCUUCUAUCUAUGAAUAUUAUUUGAGGAGCAAAAUCAGCAUGAAAGAAAACAUAAAUGAUUAUAUAAACCAAACACAGCUGGCUUUGUUUUUGAGAAACGGCCAAAUUAUAAAAUUAAAAGAUGGAGAGAAAAACAAUUAUUAUUCGUAAAAAAAACUCUAUUUUAUUCGCAGCAUAUCUGGGCUUAAAAUUUGUACAAAUGAAGCACCUUGAGGAUUUCUGCACGUCUUUUGGGGGUGAAUGUUGUUGACUUGAUGGCUAAAUCUGUUGCAUUGCAGGAUGAGAAUCCAAAACCGCACAUGGAGGAGAUGCGAACCACAACUGGACUGAAUAAACGAGGUCGGGAUGGAACUUUUGUCGGCGCAAGGUCGUUUUCUGCAUCAUCAUCAGGGAUACUAUGUAUCAAGUCAGAAAUGGAAGACCAAGGAUUUUGGUAUAUGCCGCCAAGGAAGUGUCCGAGAUCGGAUGGCUAUCUUCACUACAGAAAGAAAACAAUAACUGGUAGUCUUGUUUGUGUUGGGCACGCUGAUUAUUACAUGUUGCUACGCUCAUUUGCCAAGCUUGCGGAAGUUGAUAUUAGGGUUAUUCAUGCCAGUGUGCUAAAAUUUGAGAGGAGACUUGCGUGGAUAGAAGAAAGAAUAGGCAGAAGCUUGGAUGCCUUGCAGAAUCUACCUAGCUAAGCAAAUGAUGCUCAGAGACAUGUUUCAGGCUGCAGUUUUUGAUGGAUUGCCAAUUUGCCAAGUCAGUGAACUGGUGAUGGGUUAUCGUUCUAUUGUCGAGAAAAGAGAUUAUGUUUGUAGUUGGGGUCUCAUUAUCCUGAACCAAAAGGGUCCAAAACAGCGGACUCUCUUGCAAGAUCUUGUUGACAAACUGACCAGGAACACCAAACUGUAUCUGUACUUGUACCAAUAAUUCCCACGAAGAUGCUCGUAGACCCAAAAAGUUCAUCGAAAUGUUUUGUAUCUGUAGUUGUGACAACGAUUCCAACGGAGAUGCCCGUUGUUAUGACCGGCAUAUUACAGGUUUAGCCCAGUGAGUUGUGGCCCAAGUUAUCUUAUCAUUAUUAGGGGCUUAGCUCAAUUAUUUUAUUGUUAUUAGGAUCGUUUGCUUAGGAAUCAAGUAAACCUCUCUAUAUAAGAAGAGGAGAUAUAUCAAUCUAAUCAAGCAAGAAGCAAUCAUUAUUUGCUCGGCUUCCCAAAGGGAGCCGGGAGACCUAACCCUAGCCGCCUCUUGCGCCGCCGCCGCCUCUUCUUCAUCGCGCCACGGCGCCCCGCCGCUGGCAGCCGUGAUCGCAUCUCCGUCAACCCUCCCCCUUCCCGUACAACCUUCGCCCUAGACCAGGUAGGAUCCUAGCUCCUACGAAUUUGGUAUCAGGUAGCUCGGUUCUGAUCAUGUCUGCAUCACCACCCAACCCGCCGCUGCCCGUCACCACCGCGCCGCUGGACUCCACCGGCCAGAUGCCGCCACCCUCCACCGCGCCGCUCGUCGCCAUCUACUCGUCGGCGGAGAUGACCGGGAUCCUUAAUGACCUCGUCACCGCCGUCCAGGGCAUCCGCCUCUACCUGGCCGGGCCGUACGGGCAGCCGCCGGCCGCCGCGACCGGGCCAACCGCCCUGCCCUGGUACGCGGCCACCACGGCGCUGAUCGGGCUUCUACACCNNNNNNNNNNNNNNNNNNNNNNNNNNNNNNNNNNNNNNNNNNNNNNNNNNNNNNNNNNNNNNNNNNNNNNNNNNNNNNNNNNNNNNNNNNNNNNNNNNNNNNNNNNNNNNNNNNNNNNNNNNNNNNNNNNNNNNNNNNNNNNNNNNNNNNNNNNNNNNNNNNNNNNNNNNNNNNNNNNNNNNNNNNNNNNNNNNNNNNNNNNNNNNNNNNNNNNNNNNNNNNNNNNNNNNNNNNNNNNNNNNNNNNNNNNNNNNNNNNNNNNNNNNNNNNNNNNNNNNNNNNNNNNNNNNNNNNNNNNNNNNNNNNNNNNNNNNNNNNNNNNNNNNNNNNNNNNNNNNNNNNNNNNNNNNNNNNNNNNNNNNNNNNNNNNNNNAGCCGCAGCUGUUGGCCCCGCCACCGCCCAGCACGGGGCCCGGGUCACCCACGCAGGGAGGCGUACCGAUCCAGCACGUGUGCUUCCCGCCGUCGCCGUCCCUGAUACCGGCCUGGCUGACCGAAUCAUCACCGCCACCCGUCUACACGUCGGCUGGAGACCCGCCGGCGCCCACUCUGCAGUUCGGCGAUCCCUCCGGCUCGGCGGGGCACUCCACGGGCCACGGCCAUGCUGACCGAGCGCUCCAAUCCUCGCUGCUUCGCACCUCCGAGCCAGUCGGCCACGGCGCCCCGACUCGGACACCGCCGCGGUUUGCCAAACUAGACUUCUCCACCUAUGACGGUUCGGAGGACCCCCUCAACUGGCUCAACCAGUGCGAGCAGUUCUUUCGCGGGCAGCGCGCCCUCGCCUCGGAGCGUACCUGGCUUGCCUCCUACCACCUCCGCGGCACGGCACAGACCUAGUACUAUGCCCUCGAGCAGGACGAGGGCAGCAUGCCUCCUUGGGAGCGCUUCCGCGAGCUCUGCCUCCUUCGUUUUGGGCCACCGAUCCGCGGGAGCCGCCUGGCAGAGCUAGGCCGCCUUCCCUUCACCUCCACGGUUCAGGACUUCGCCGACUGUUUCUAGGCCCUGGCAUGCCACGCGUCGGGCGUGACGGCGCAGCAGCGGGCCGACCUCUUCGUCGGUGGACUUCCGGAUCACAUCCGCGUGGACGUGGAGCUUCGGGGACCCCAGGAUCUCCAGACGGUCAUGUACUACGCCCGCGCGUUCGAGCGCCGCGCGGUGGCCAUCCAGCAGGAAUCAGCGUCCUGGGCCGCUGGGUCGCUACCCUGGCCGGAUGUUCCCACGCAGGGUCGGCCUGCUCAGGCUUCCGCAGCACCCCUCGCCGCGACCGCAGCGUGCCCGUUCCGCCGGCUCACCUCGGCCGAGCUACUCGAGCGUCGCCGUCAAGGGUUGUGCUUUAACUACGACGAGCCCUACACGCCCGGCCACGUCUGCCAGCGACUCUUCUACCUGGAGGCUGCAGACUACAUUCCGGAGGACGCCGUCGCCGCCGACCUGGCCGCCCCAGCUGUCGCGAAGGUGUUUGAUACUGGCUGAUCACCUCGAGGAGUUCAGCAAGCACUUCCCCACCUUACAGCUCGAGGACGAGCUGUUUGUGCAGGUGGGGAGAAGUGUUAUGACCGGCAUAUUAGGGGUUUAGCCCAGUGGGUUUUGGCCCAAGUUAUCUUAUCAUUAUUAGGGGCUUAGCCCAAUUAUCUUAUCGUUAUUAGGAUCGUUUGCUUAGGAGUCAAGUAAACCACUCUAUAUAAGGAGAGGAGAUGUAUCAAUCUAAUCAAGCAAGAAGCAAUCAUUAUUUGCUCAGCUUCCCGAAGGGAGCCGGGAGACCUAACCCUAGCCGCCUCUUGCGCCGCCGCCGCCUCUUCUUCAUCGCGCCCCGCCGCCGGCAGCCGCGAUCGCAUCUUCGUCAACCCUCCCCCUUCCCGUACAACCUUCGCCCUAGACCAGGUAGGAUCCUAGCUCCUACCACCCGUAGACACAAAUGCGGACUCUCUUUGGUGGCAAGCUUUGCCAAAAAGUUCUGUAUAGUCAUCGCCUGCCAGAUUUACCAGCUGCAAUGUGAGAAAUAUCCAUGGCCAAGGCCGCUAUGAAGUUCCUUUUAGUUUACCAGUUUUCACUCUUUCUUAUUAAUGGGAAACCCUCGUCACGGUUUGUACCUAGGCAUAUGUUGCUGUACCAGAUUCUUUUCGCCUCAUGUCCAUGGAGCCUUGGUUGUUUCUUAGGUUAUUGAUUUGUUUUGUACUACUGGGUUUAGCUAGGAAAAACUAAUGUAUUAAGGUAUACCUCAAGUUGUAUUGGUUCUGCCAUAUAAAAAAAAAUUGUAUCUCAACUGCAUCUUUAGCGCUAGCUGCAAGUUGUUCCUUCAGACAAUCAAUUAUUUUUCCCCGCUCCACCUUUUCUGCUUGUGGAGCUUCAGUCCCCCUCUAAUCAUUUCUCUCAUUCGGACUUGUGUUUUUUGGUUGCAAAAUUCGUUCAUCUGCAUUUGUGGCUUUUGCAUCCAUUUUGACAUUCACAGCAGGAGCUCUGCUUCUGCAUUAAGAGGGGAAGGGAUCAUUUGCUAAAGAUGAAGAAAAUUGGAAAUGAAAACGAUUCAAACAGGACCCAAAUAACUCUCUCAACACACAUGAGCAUCUUUCACCUGCUAAAACAGCCUAAUUUGAGGUGCAUUGCAUUCACCUAGCAAUCCUCUCCAAAUAUUCAGUCAAACUCGCUAUGAUAUCCGCAAGGUUUGAAUGCAUGUCAACUAGAGUUGCCGCUCAAAUGCUUCUGUUCCUGGCAGUGCUUGCUGCACCCUCCAAAAGUUCAAAUUCCUCCAGGCUGGCUCGCAGCACGACGUCCGGGUGCUUUGAUGUGGUGCCAACGGUAGAGGUUUGAAUUUUUUAUACGGCGCCAAAAUGAGUAGAGAAAAUGAGAAAGCUAACAAAGCCUGGACAAUGGUAAGAUUCAUGAACUAACUUCAGAAAUUCAAACUUAAAACUUGUAUGCAAAGAAUCUGAUUUGACAUGCAAGCACACCAUGAACAUUAAUUUAAGCAGCAGCAAUACUAUUUCUUCAGACUCACGCGGCACAGCUCUUACAUGAUAGUACCAUCAUCUAACACAAAUGAGGAACAGCUCCCGUUCCCAAAGAUGGCGAUGGUGAAUUCAUAUAUCCAUACAAAUGUACAUAAACGUAGAGAAAUGAAGCAUUAGAAAAACUUUGCACAUUCACAAAAUUGGUGGCUUCGUGAUCACAAAAUUACCAAGUGUAGUAGCAGAAGAAAGAAAAAUUAGCUAGUGCAGUAUAAACAUAUUUAGAGAAAAAAUUCAGGUGUCUCACUACUCAAUAGCAGCAACAGCAAGCUUUCUGUGGGCCAUCCUAAGAAGAUGAUGGUUGCAUCUGUCAUGUUCCUUGACUCUAAAACAUGGGUGCACUGCCUCUAAUUUAUCUCUUCUUCUUUUUUUGGCAAAAAGUAGCCUCUAAUUUAUCUCAAGAAGCUGAUCUGAAUCUAAUGCAUUCUGAACACUAGUUGGCAAGCUGUUCUUGGCUUCUUGCCAUAUGGAUGACAAGUCCACUGAGGAAAAAACUUGUAAUGUUCCGUCGGAAAUUAACAAGGCUCACCAACUUCAGUUUUACUCAAAUGGCAGCAACAGUAUAGGUUAAAAAAAACUUACAUGCCGCCAAAAGAGGGGGGGGGAAAUAACAACACAUAAACAACUGCAAAGUUCAUGAAUUUGCCUACAGAAUUUCAAACUUCAAAUAGUACGCUAGAUUUAAAAUUAGAGGUUUCUAUCUGUCGAUCUGGAACAUAAUUAAAUUAUCACAGUAGAUAAAAUGGCAGCAAAUUAAAAUUAGAUAAACUAUCACAGUAGAAACUUGCUGACAUAAACAAAUAGCAUCAAGAAGAGUCUGAACUCUGAAGCGACACGCAAGCACAGACGAACAUUGAUUCAAACAGCAACAUCACUAUUUCUUCAAGGCCGCAAGCAGCACAAUUCUUACAGAGAUUGUAACAUCGUACUGCUGCCAACUACAUGCACGACGCCUGCCGCCAUCAAUCCAUGAAACAGACGACGAAACCUAUGAUGAUGUGAACUUGGUGACGGCCUUGGUGCCCUCGGAGACGGCGUGCUUGGCGAGCUCGCCGGGGAGGACGAGGCGGACGGAGGUCUGGAUCUCCCGGGACGUGAUGGUGGGCUUCUUGUUGUAUCGCGCCAGCUUGGCGGACUCGCCGGCGAGCUUCUCGAAGAUGUCGUUGAUGAAGGAGUUCAUGAUGGACAUGGCCUUGGAGGAGAUGCCGACGUCCGGGUGCACCUGCUUGAGCACCUUGAAGAUGUAGAUCUUGUACGUCUCCACGCCCUUCUUGGCCUUGCUGCCCUUCUUCCGGCCCCUCGUCUUCCCCUCGCCGCCGGCCUCCUUGGUCGCCGCCGCCCGCUUCUCCGCCUUGGGCUUCUUCCCCGCCGCCGUCUUCUCCGCGGCCACCGCCACCGGCUUCUUCUCCGCCGCCUUGGGUGCCAUGGGUGCUGGUGGUGGUGGUGGUUCGAGCGUGGGGCUUGGCGUGGGAUGUGAGGGGAGCUGCUGAAGUGCUGAUGCUGAGAUGCGUAGAGACGGAGGGGGCGGCGAGGUUAUGUAGGGAGCGGGGGAGGAGGAAGGAGCUGGGCUGCGGUUGGCGGAGAGGAUGGUGCCUCGGAUCGAUGCCGUGGAGUGGAUCCAGCCGUUCGGUGAUGCUUGAGACGGACGGAGCCGAUGCGCUUUCGCGCGGAUCGAUGACGUGGCGAGAACGUGCGCGGGNNNNNNNNNNNNNNNNNNNNNNNNNNNNNNNNNNNNNNNNNNNNNNNNNNNNNNNNNNNNNNNNNNNNNNNNNNNNNNNNNNNNNNNNNNNNNNNNNNNNNNNNNNNNNNNNNNNNNNNNNNNNNNNNNNNNNNNNNNNNNNNNNNNNNNNNNNNNNNNNNNNNNNNNNNNNNNNNNNNNNNNNNNNNNNNNNNNNNNNNNNNNNNNNNNNNNNNNNNNNNNNNNNNNNNNNNNNNNNNNNNNNNNNNNNNNNNNNNNNNNNNNNNNNNNNNNNNNNNNNNNNNNNNNNNNNNNNNNNNNNNNNNNNNNNNNNNNNNNNNNNNNNNNNNNNNNNNNNNNNNNNNNNNNNNNNNNNNNNNNNNNNNNNNNNNNNNNNNNNNNNNNNNNNNNNNNNNNNNNNNNNNNNNNNNNNNNNNNNNNGUACAACUUUGCACUAAAGUUAGUACAAAAUUGAGACACUUAUUUUGAGACGGAGGGAGUACAAUGAUUAGAACCACGCAAAAAAAAACAUUCACGGCCUCUUUAAUUAAACAUGAUUCUAAAAUUGCGGGAAAAAACAUAAGAUUGAAAUGUUACGCUCAUCUUAAUCUUACAAGAUUUUGGUUUGUUUGAUUGUAUAGUAGGAAAAACAAAAAAUUCUUUCAGAUAGGUUGGAGUGGAUGUUAGGAAUCAUAUGGGAAGUAGUACAAAGAAAUCCCUGAAUAAAUUCCCUAUAGGAUUCGAUCAUAUGAAUCAAACAACCAACAUAGAAAAGAUUUCUAAAGAUUUUAAUCCUCCAAAAUUCCUAUGAAAAUCAUUUGAAUCAAAAGAAGCAUCGAUCAUAAAUGGGUAUUAAAAAACACCCCGAAGAAGCAAUGCACUGCACAAGCAUGUGCCAGAAAAGAAGGAUGAAAAAAAAGGGUUGUGGGUUUAUUGAGGAAAACUGGGCAAAAUCUAAACAGUGAGGCCUAGCUAGACUGGGCCUGAAGCACGACAAUACAUACAACAUGCCGGAAAGGCAACACCUAGAACACACCCCGCCACGCACUCGAGCGCCUUCGCUGCUACCAGACUUGACACUGAAAAACGUUGCAUUAGUUCGGGCUUGUCACGAGAUUGUCCGUGAACCAUGACGACACUAGAGAGGAAUGAUAUGUCCGACAAAUCAAAUAUAUGCCGCUUCGAUCCCACGAGGAGGACUGACAUGGCUCACCCGACGCACCUCACAUGUGAAGGACGCUCCUACUGCCCACCGACGGCGAAUCGUCAUCGUCGACCCCACGUUCGCCCACGGGCGAAGCCACGAGUCCAUCGGACCGGCACCUCCAAAACUAUGCCCUCAAGAGGGAAUGCGCGCAACGCCAAGCAAUGCUAACAACGUUGCCAUCGCCCAAUUCGGUAAACCAGAUCUACGUUUUCCCUCGUUGCUUGUCGGGAGGGAAAGUGAGGAUUGCCACCUUGACGCCUCCAGCAAGGAAACGACACUCGGAAGGCGCGGUCACUGGAGUACAGCUUUCGUCGACAACCUCACCCUCCAAGCCCCAGGACUCGGUCAGUCGCCCUAACAAGCCAUCUGCGCGUCGGACCACUCGCUUAGCAUCCCUCGUCCAACUCCUCCACCGCACUGCAAAGUGCACACACGCGAGCAAGACGCCACAUGCCAAUAAAAGAAACUCAUUCCUCCAUUAAAAAAAAUGUAUACGCUAUACCCACUCUGCAUUUAACCUAUUUUUUUUCUAUUUAUCAGUUUUACUGAAAUUCUUGCUUAUUAUUUUUCCAACCGUUCAACAUCAACUUGCUUCGCGAAUCAACCUGUGGUUGAGAUGGUUAGGUGGACAGUGGUAUCCUCAACCCAUCAGGGUUCAAAUCCUGGUGCUCGCAUUAUUCCUGGAUUUAUUUAAGGAUUUCCGGCGAUGCGCUUUCAGUGGGAGACGUUCCCGUCGACGACGAGGCGCCUAUGGUGGCUUCGUAAAUCUCAAGAUGAUAUGCCAGCUCAGUCUCUCGGAGGUGCUCAUAGGGGUAGAGUGUAUGUGUGUGUGCGUUCAUAGGGGUGAGCGUAUGCGCGUAUAUAUGAGCGCUUGUGUCUGUACUGAUGCUCAAAAAAAAAAUCAACUUGCUUCUUUACCCAGGAAUCUUGUGCACUCUCGUGAAGAACAUUUUUCUACUGGACUCUUUGAAGGGCCUGACUAAUCCUAUCUAAAUUUCUCAAUAUCUGUUUCUGCUUUAGCUCAUUACACAAAAUCAGCACCUCACCUGGCAAGUUAUUUUAGUUUGCUGCCAAAACGUUCUCAGAUCUAUGGUUUGUUACCUGCAUCAAACAACUAUCCAAACUUGAGUUCGCAUGUAGUCGGCUCAACUACAGAGGUUACAUUGUCUGCAAAAUGCUUCGGCAUGGUCAAGAUCUAAUUUGAAAUGUUUGACCGCAGGACUUCUGAAGCAUCUUGCUUAUCCAAUUUAAUUAGCACCAUCAUCAAUUUAUAAGCUGCGACGCAGGGAGAGGUGGAGGAUGAUUGGGAAUCCCAAGUGCUAGUUCUUCAUAGAUUCAAUUUCUCGCAGCUUGAUUAGAUAAAUGGCUCAAAUUACAGAUGCUAGAAGAGAGAAUUUCGUAGUACAAGAUUGAGAUGAUUGCAUCUUUCGCCAUUGUCACAGAAAUCACAGAUACAAUAUCAUCCUUGCUCGACGAAUCUGACGGGCACUACAGACUAGCAGGCAUUACAUACAGGGUCUCAUCUUAGUCCAUGAGAAAUGGAUCUAAGCAACACUGGCCAGGCUAUGGGGGCGGUUACUCCUUGGUGGCGGCGGUCUUCUUCUUGGGGGACUUGGUGGAGGUCUUCUUCUUGGGCGACUUGGCCUCCUUCUCGGCGGCGGCGGGGGACUUCUUGGGGAGCAGCACGGCGUUGAUGUUGGGGAUGACGCCGCCGUGGGCGAUGGUGACGCCGGCGAGCAGCUUGCCGAGCUCCUGGUCGUUGCGGACGGCGAGCAGCAGGUGGCGCGGGAUGAUGCGGGUCUUCUUGUUGUCCUUGGCCGCGUUGCCGGCGAGCUCCAGGACCUGCGAUCCAAAACGAAAUCUGUCAGUCAUCCGUCGAACAGGGCAAGAACAGAGUAACAGUGGCUCAAGAACAGAGUAACGGCCGCAUACCUCGGCGGCGAGGUACUCGAGGACAGCGGCGAGGUAGACGGGGGCGCCGGAUCCGACGCGCUGGGCGUAUCGGCCCUUCUUGAGGUACCGCCCGAUGCGGCCGACGGGGAACUGGAGCCCGGCCUUGACGGAGCGUGUCACCGCCUUCUUCCUGUCGCCGCCCUUCCUUCCGGCCAUCUUGCUUGCUACUUCUUCGGCGACGGGGAUUGUCGGGGUGUGGUGUUGGCGGCGGUUGCGCUGGAUCGGAGUGCACUGAGUUUGUGGGUUNNNNNNNNNNNNNNNNNNNNNNNNNNNNNNNNNNNNNNNNNNNNNNNNNNNNNNNNNNNNNNNNNNNNNNNNNNNNNNNNNNNNNNNNNNNNNNNNNNNNNNNNNNNNNNNNNNNNNNNNNNNNNNNNNNNNNNNNNNNNNNNNNNNNNNNNNNNNNNNNNNNNNNNNNNNNNNNNNNNNNNNNNNNNNNNNNNNNNNNNNNNNNNNNNNNNNNNNNNNNNNNNNNNNNNNNNNNNNNNNNNNNNNNNNNNNNNNNNNNNNNNNNNNNNNNNNNNNNNNNNNNNNNNNNNNNNNNNNNNNNNNNNNNNNNNNNNNNNNNNNNNNNNNNNNNNNNNNNNNNNNNNNNNNNNNNNNNNNNNNNNNNNNNNNNNNNNNNNNNNNNNNNNNNNCGUGGGAGGUCCGGACCAAUCAGAGGUAACAUCAUUGGCACACCGAUUUAUUUUCAAGACACUCAAAUUUUGGAACAUCUCGACGAUACUCAGAAUCUCUUUCUUCAGAUCAUAUCUGUCAAGUUUGUCAUUCGCAAGGAAAUAAUGUACAAAAGCACGAUCAUUCUCUAAAAUAAUAGACUGAUGAAUGGUAAUACCGAUAUAAAGACCUGCUAGGCACACGCGGAGCUCAGCUUCAUUGACACUAGUACACAGACUAAUAAAAUCCCACGAGGACAUGAUAAUUCCGCCGGACGAAUUCCUAGCGGCAACCCCCACACUGGCAGCAUUAAUACUCGCCACAAAACUAGCAUCGGCGUUGAUCUUGAUACAAUCCACAGGAGGCGAUUUCCACACCUCAUGCUCUUUCACCGAUGCCAAAUCCGCAAUAACACCUCGCACCUUUUCCUUACCUUUGUUACAAGAAUCCAACGGUAUAGUGUUGUGAUUGCUCGCAUAAGAGGACCAAUAAUUUUCCACGUUAGUAAUGGAUUCCUUUCCCUUUUCGAAAAUUAAAUCAUUUCUCAGAUGGCAAGCUCGCAAGAAAAGGAAUAAAAUUUGCUCUCGCUACUGCAAGCUCAACUGAUCCAGCAAACUCAAAAGCAAGUCCAGUCCUGAGCAUUUGAAUAACUCUUCAUCCGGAAUAUUCCAAGAAUCUCUUAAGGCCAACCGCAGGGCACGAGAUUUAGAACACCUCACCAGAGCAUGGAAAGUGCUUUCAUCUUCCAUACCACAAAUAGAGCACAUACAUGAGUUAGUCUGAUGGUGUUUAACUCUAUUCAUCUGGACUGCCAAACUAUUCGUAGCAGCACGCCACGCAAAAAUCCUAAUCUUCUGAGCAAAUACGAGUUUUUUAUUUAGAAUAGCUAAUUGUAUGUGCAUUGCAACAUGGGCAUACAUAUGUUUGUGGUUCACAUCAACUAUGUCUAUCUUCCACCCACUACCUCGGUCUCCCCGAUACAAUCUUUACCACCUAUGUCAAUGACUCAUCCGGUCACAAUCCCCCUUCCACAAUCCACACAAUUUGGAUUUUGGACACAUGAUUGUGCAGUUGAUAUUCAUCUAGUCUCUACAUGGCAGUAGGACAAAAAGAAAAGUUGACGACAUAGGAACCUGACUGGGUAUAGCAAAGAAAAAGUGGAGAAAACACGAGUUCACAAGUGAAAUUUGUGAACUCUAAGAUAUGGUAUGAAUUAUAUCGAUGAGAAAGUGUGACUUUUUGAAGAACUCGUGAUGAAUAACAGUAUUAAACAAAUCUAGUUAAAUACUCGGCUAACCAAUUUCCUUGAGUAUAUUUUAUCAAUGUUUACAUUUUACAAUAUUUCUCUUGAACACUAGCCUUUGCACAGAACAUUCGCCUUCUCACAACAAUGAUGGGUCACUAGGGCUUGGCAGCACUAGUAAGAAGAUUUAGUACUAUCAGAGCAUCUACAGCCGCAUAUGACAAAUAUGACCCCUCAAACACCCGCGUACGCGCCCGAGCGCGUCCGCAGGCAGUGACUGGUCAGUCCUCAAAUUUGCUCAACUGCAUCCGAACACCUCGUACUAAAAUUCUUAAAUCCGUACAAAAGCAUGCGAAAAAAACCCUACAUACUACGUAGAUCACCUACCCUAGUCCUCGUCAGAGAUGUCGACUAUCUCUGUGCCCGGCUCCGGGUACAUGGGCGGCAGCUGCAGCUCCAGUGCCUCCGGCUGCUCCACUCCGGCCUCCUCCUCUAUCUUCGCGUCAAGUUCGACGAAUAGCGCAUCGGUCGUCGCCCGCUCCUACUGGAGGAACUGCCAGUUAGCCUCCACAUAGGCCUCGUCUUGGAUGGACUCCAUGAUGGUCUGCUGCUCCGCCAUCUCCGCGGCUUGGGCGACGGCGAACUCCGCCUCCACGUCCCUUGAUACAUCUCCGUCGUAUCUACUUUUCCAAACACUUUUGCUCUUGUUUUGGACUCUAUUUUGCAUCAUUUGAAUGAAACUAACUCGGACUGACGUUGUUUUCAGCAGAACUACCGUGGUAUUGUUUUUUGUGCAAAAACAAAAGUUCUCGUAAUUGGACGAAACUUUUUGGAGAUUUUUGAUGGAAUACAAAAAACUGGAGCGAAGAUCCACCGGAGGGGGGCACCAGUUGCCCACAAGGCAACAGGGCGCGGCCACCCCCUGGGCGCGCCCUGAUGCCUUGCGGGGCCCACGUGGCUCUGCUGACCCUAAUCUCAAGCAUGUAAAUUCCUUUUCCCCAAGAAAAAAAUAAGAGAAGAAGUCUCAUCAUGUUUUAUGAUGUGAAGCCGCCGCCACCUCCUGUUCUUCAUCUUUAGGCCAGAUCUGGAGUCCGUUCGGGGCUCUAGAGAGGGGGAUUUGUCGCCAUCAUCAUCACCAACCCUUCUUCAUCGCCAAUUUCAUGAUGCUCACCACCGAGAGUGAGUAACUACUCCGUAGGCUUGCUGGAAGGUGAUGGGGUUGGAUGCAAUUUAUCAUGUAAUCAAGUCAAUUUGUUAGGGCUUGAUACCUAGUAUCCACUAUGUUCUGAAAUUGAUAUUGCUCUGACUUUGCUAUGCUUAAUGCUUGCCAGAGUGCUAUGAUUUUAGAUAUAAAUCCUUUAUGUCUUCAUGAAUAUAUUUGUGUUCUUGAUCCUAUCUUGCAAGUUAUAUGCACCUAUUACGUGUUAUGAUCCGCAUACCCCAAAGUGAUAAUAGUUGGCAUUCUUUCCGGUGAUGACCGUAAUCUGAGGAGUUCAUGUACUCAUCAUGUGUUAAUGCUUUGUUUCGGUUCUCUAUUAAAGGAGGCCUUAAUAUCCUUUAGUUUCCAUAUGGACUCCGCUGCCAUGGGAGGGUAGACAAAAGAUGUCAUGCAAGUUCUUAUUAAAAGCAUGUAUGACUAUAUACAGAAUACAUGCCUACAUUACAUUGAUGAAUUGCAUCUAUUGUGUAUCGCUCUAGGUUGUGACUGUUAUAUGAUGAAUGUCAUCCAACACAAAUAUCCAUCACUGAUCCAAUGCCUACACUUUUUGCAUAUUGAACUUUGCUAAGUUACUUCCGUUGCUGUUGUUGUUACAAUCACUACAAAACUGCAACUAUUACUGUUACCGUUACUAUUGCUAUUGUUACCACUGCUAUCAAAACUAGCAUAUUAAUGUGCUACUAAACACUUUGCUACAGAUAUUUAUUUCUCCAGGUGUGGUUGAAUUGACAAGUCAACUGGUAAUACUUGCAAAUAUUCUUUAUCUCCCCUUGUGUUGAAUCAAUAAAUUUGGGUUAAAUACUACCCUCGAAAACUGUUGCGAUCCCCUAUACUUGUGGGUUAUCAAGACCUUUUUCUGGCGCCGGUGCUAGGGAGCAUCGCUCCAUUUGUUGAGUCACUUGGGAUUUAUAUUUGCUGAUAAUUACGGAGAAUCUGAAAGACACUAGAACCAAGAUCGUAUCCUCUAAGACGAGAGAAGGUAAGGAAUUGCCAUCUAACUCCACACUUGAUUCACCUUCUGUUUUGAGUAGGCUUACGACACCACUGCUUGCUAUUCAAUCUGAUAUGUCGCAAGUAAUUGAUGGUGCUACUUCUGCUAUGAAUGAUGCUAUUGUUGAUGAUAGUACUCUGUUUAAUGAAACUGUGCCACUAGGUGAAUUUCUUGAUGAACAACUUAAUAAAGCCAAAGAACUUGAAACUACUGAAACUGCUGAAAAUUAUGAUUCACCUAUCAUGCCUAGCUCUCCUAGAAUUGAAAUGCCUAAGAUACCUGAGGGUUAUGUUAUGGAUGGGAGAUAGCUAGAGAAUUUCUAGCUUGUAAUGAUAGACAAGAUGUUAAGAAAUUAUUGAGUAAGCUGAAAGAAAAAUCCCUGAAUGCAAGAAUGAAAUAUGAUCCUAAGUUUUCUACUCCACCUAUCUUUGUUACUCAUCAGGAUUAUGAAUUCUCUGGCGAUCCUGAGUUAAUUACGUUGGUUGAAUCUAAUCCUUUUCAUGGUUAUGAAACUGAAACUGUUGCGUCACAUCUUACUAAAUUAAAUGAUAUAGCCACCCUAUUUGCUCAUGACACUACAGGAAACAACUAUUUUGCCGUCUGCCACGGCGGACGGCAAAGGCUCGAACGGCGGACGGCAAAGGCCUUUGCCAUCAGCCGCGGACGGCAAAAGGCUCUGGCAAAGUAGGCCACGGUAAACAGCUGCUUUGCCGUCCGCUUCUUGGCGGCGGACGGCAAAGGCUCUUUGCCGUCUGCCGCGGACGGCAAAGAGAGCGGACGACAAUAAUUGCGCUGUCAGUCCGUUAAGUGGCUAACGGCAGACCUUUGUCGUCCGCCGUUGACGGCAAAAUUUCUAUGGUCUUUGCCGUCCGCCGUAUGAUGUCAUCUACACGUCACUAGAUGGCAGGUUCUUUGCCGUCUGCCGCUGAUGGCAAAGUGCGGGUGGGGGNNNNNNNNNNNNNNNNNNNNNNNNNNNNNNNNNNNNNNNNNNNNNNNNNNNNNNNNNNNNNNNNNNNNNNNNNNNNNNNNNNNNNNNNNNNNNNNNNNNNNNNNNNNNNNNNNNNNNNNNNNNNNNNNNNNNNNNNNNNNNNNNNNNNNNNNNNNNNNNNNNNNNNNNNNNNNNNNNNNNNNNNNNNNNNNNNNNNNNNNNNNNNNNNNNNNNNNNNNNNNNNNNNNNNNNNNNNNNNNNNNNNNNNNNNNNNNNNNNNNNNNNNNNNNNNNNNNNNNNNNNNNNNNNNNNNNNNNNNNNNNNNNNNNNNNNNNNNNNNNNNNNNNNNNNNNNNNNNNNNNNNNNNNNNNNNNCGGCGGGCGGCGGCGGCGGGCGGGCGGGAUGUGCACGGUGGCGGGGCGCGUCGGGGAGGAGAGAGAGGAGAGAACAGAGAGUAACGGGCGGGGGGGUACGGGCCGUUAGGUAAUCGGCUCUUUGCCGUCCGCCAAUCUUUGCCGUCCGCCUUUUUGCCUCUUUGCCGUCCGCUGGUGGACGGCAAAGAGGUGGGGCGUUAAGUUUUUUUCAAACGGGCGGGGGGUGGGGGCCACCUCCCUCUUUGCCGUCUGCUAGCAGACGGCAAAGAGCUGGCAGAUGGCAAAGAGCUUCUUUGCCGUCUGCCAUUUCUUUGCCGUCCGCUUUUUGGUAGCUGAUGGCAAAGAGCUUCUUUGUCGUCAGCUAGCAGACGGCAAAGAGCUGGCAGAUGGCAAAUUAGCUGAUUCCAGUAGUAUGAGGAAAAUUUUUGUUACUACUAUAUCCUUAAGUUGUUUCCUUUCUCAUUAAAGGGUGAUGCUAAGAAAUGUUUAAUACACUUGCUCCUGAUUGUGUGCGUAGUACCCAGGAUAUGAUAUAUUACUUUUCUGAAAAAUAUUUUCCUGCUCAUAAGAAACAAGCUCUCUUACAGGAAAUAUUUAACUUUGUGCAAAUUGAAGAAGAGAGUCUCCCUCAAGCUCAGGGGAGGCUUCUCCAAUUACUUAAUACUUUGCCUGGUCAUCCUCCUAAGAACAAUAAAAUACUUGAUAUAUUUUAUAAUGGACUAACCGAUGCUUCUAGGGACUACCUAGAUAGUUAUGUUGGUUGUGUUUUUGGGUAAGGAUUGAAUAAUAUAUUGAGAAAUGAAAACGAUUGGACACUUCCUGAACCACCACCUAAACCAACUUCGAAGAAAAGAGGUAUCCUAUUCCUCAGCCCUAAAAAUAUGCAAGAGGCAAAGAAAUUUAUGAAAGAAAAGGGUAUUAAAGCUAAAGAUGUUAAGAAUUUACCACCUAUUGAAGAAAUACAUGGACUCGAUACACCGACACAGGUAGUAAAGGUAAAUUCUCUUUAUAGAUUUGAUGAAGGUGAUAUUCCUUAUAAUAAAUCUGAUAGUCAAUGCCUGGAUGAAUUUGAUAAUUACAUUGUUAAUCAGGAACACUUUAAUUUGUUGUUAAGAAUCAAUUGAAACAGAAUGCUAUUUUGAUUGAUCGCUUAAGUGACUUGAUGUUUAGAAUUGCUAAUGAUCUUAAAGGUUUAGGUAAACAUGCAUCCAUGGUUCAUACUCAAUUAGAACAAGUUGCUAAGUCCCAAAAUGAUUUUCUAAAUGAGAUGAAUAAUAAAAUGAAUGAUCAUGUUGUUAGAGUAAUGACCAGAGGAGGUAGAAUGACUCAGGAGCCACUAUAUCAUGAAGGUCAUCCUAAAAGAAUUGAUCAAGAUUCUCAGAGAAUUAAUAUUGAUGCACCUAGUUCAUCUAAAAGAGAAAAAUAAAAAUGAUCGAACUUUGCAUGCUUCUAGUGAACCUGCUGUAAAGAAACCUUCUGAGAAUCAUAAUGAUGUUCAUGUUGAUGCUCAAUGAUGAGACACAAGUAUAGGGGAUCAAUUGCAGCUUUUUUUUUAUAAGUAAGAGUGUCAAACCCAACAAGGAGCAGAAGGAAAUGACAAGUAGUUUUCAGUAAGGUAAUGUCUGCAAGUGCUGAAACUGUAAGUAGCAAUUAGUUUGAUAGCAAGAUAAUUUGUAACGAGCAAGUAAUGAUAAUUGUAACAAGUAUGCAGCAAGGUAGCCCAAUCCUUUUGAGGCAAAGGACAGGCCAAAAUGGUCUCUUAUGAUAAGCAAAGCGUUCUUGAGGGUACACGGGAAUUUCAUCUAGUCACUUUCAUCAUGUUGGUUCUAUUUGUGUUCGCUACUUUGAUAAUUUGAUAUGUGGGUGGACCAGUGCUUAGGUGCCGUUCUUACUUGAACAAACCUCCUACUUAUGAUUACCCUUCCGCAAGCAUCCGCAACUACGAGAAAAGUAUUAAGGAUAAAUCCUAACCAUAGCAUUAAACUCUAGGAUCCAAUCGGUCCCUUACGGAAUAGUGCAUAAACUGGGGUUUAAGUUUCUGUCACUCUCGCAACCCACCAUCUAUUUACUACUCCACAAUGCAUUCCCUUAGGCCCAAAUAUGGUGAAGUGUCAUGUAGUCGACGUUCACAUGACACCACUAAGGGAAUCACAACACACAUACUAUCAAAAUAUCAAACACAUAUCGAGUUCACAUGAUUACUUGCAACAUGAUUUAUCCCGUGACCUCAAGAACAAAGGUAACUACUCACAAACAAUGAACAUGAUCAUGAUCAGAGGGGUGUUAAUAUGCAUAAUGGAUCUGAACAUAUAAUCUUCCACCAAAUAAACCAUAUAGUAAUCAACUACAAGAUGUAAUCAACACUACUAGCCACCCUAGCAACAAUCUAUAGUUCUGGUAACAAGAUUGAAUACAAGAGAUGAACUAGGGUUUGAGAUGAGAUGGUGUUGGUGAAGAUGUUGAUGGAGAUUGCCCUCCCCAAGAUGUGAGAGUUGUUGGUGAUGAUGAUGACGAUGAUUUCCCCCUCCGAGAGGGAAGUUCCCCCGGCAGAAUCGCUCUGCCGGAGGGCAAAAGUGUUCCUUCCCAAGUUCCGCCUCGAGACGGCGGCGCUUCGUCCCGAAAGCCUUCCCGUGAUUUUUUUCUAGGUCAAAAUCACUUAUAUACCAGAAGAUGGGCACCGGAGGUGGGCCGAGGAGGCCACAACCCACCAGGGCGCGCCAGGGGGGCCUGGCGCGCCCAGGUGGGUUGUGCCCACCUGGUGGCCCCCCUCUGGUGUUUAUUGGCUCCAUUAUUUCUUAAAUAUUCCAUAAAAAUUCCUUGUGGAGUUUCAGCUCAUUUGGAGUUGUGCAGAAUAGGUGACCUGACGUAGCUUUUCCAGGUCCAGAUUUUCAGUUGCCGGAAUUCUCCCUCUUUGUGUGUUCCUUGCAAAUUGUGAGAGAAAAGGCAUUAGAAUUACUCCAAAAAGCAUUAUUAUGGAUAAAAACAUUAUAAAUAACAGCAAGAAAACAUGAUGCAAAAUGGACGUAUCAACUCCCCCAAGCUUAGACCUCGCUUGUCCUCAAGCGAAAACCGAAAUCGAAAAACAUGUCCACGUGCUUUGAGAGAGAGGUGUCGAUAAAAACAGAAUACGGACAUAGAAGCAUCAUGUUGAUUAUUAUAACAGCAACAAAAUUUUAACAUAGGACUUUUAUCAUAGACUUGCAUCAUAUACUUCCCAUGAAUAAGUAACAGUUCACCACACAAUCGAAGUAUAAAGCAAAAACUCUAUUAGAAACCAACAAACUAUGUUCUCAGUCAACUUUGAAACUAAAAUUCAUCAUCUUUUCAGGAAGAGUCACGUAUCGGAGCCUUUAAAGCAAGUCCACAUACUCAACCAUCAUAUAGUCUUCUAUGAUUGCUAACACUCAACUAGUACCCAUGAGUAAAACGUUUCAACCGGACACAUAGAAAGAUAGGGGCUUAUAGUUUCGCCUCCCAACAUACUCACCUCAAGGGUGAUGUCAACAAUAGUAACUCAUGCUAUCUAUAUUCAACUGGACAUAUGUGACUAAAUCUUUCCUCACCACAUGAUGCUUGCCAAAAGAGAAAAUAAAAAGGAAUAGAAGGAAAUUUUUUGACUCUUUGCAUAAAGGUAAAUACAUAAAAGUAAAAGAUAGGCCCUUCGCAGAGGGAAGCAGAGGUUGCCAUGCGCUUAUUUGUUUCAAUGCUCAAUCCCUUAGUGCAAGAGAACGUCACGUUGUAUUUCCCCUUAAGAUGACAACCUUUAUUAUGCAGUCUUUCGCUUUUAUUCUUUGUCAUCCAAGUUCGUACAACGCUCAAUUUUCUCUUAUACUAAAUGAUCUCACACUUUUAGUAGCAAUUUUUAUUGCCUUUUUGCACCGAUGACAACUUACUUGAGGGAUCUUUCUCAAUCCAUAGGUAGGUAUGGUGGACACUUGAAAAAGAUUUGGGUUUCAGGGUUUUUGGAUGCACAAGUAGUAUCUCUACUUAGUGUGGAAUUUUUGGCUAUCAAAGAUAGGGGCAAGCACCACAUGUUGAAGGAUCUAUGACAAUAUGACUUCUAUGUGAAUAUAAACAAACAUAAACCAUUAAGUUGUCUUCCUUGUCCAACGUCAACAAUUUUGGCAUAUAAUAUUUUGAUGAGGGUUCACAAUCACAAAAGAUUUCUAGGAUAGUAUAUUUAUAUGUGAAUCUUCUCUUCCCUUAUUAAUUUUUUCAUGAGUUGCAUCAUUGACCAAUGCUAUGUUUGUCGAUCUCUACUAAAAUUUUCUUACUUAUACUUUUCCUUAUGUGGUGCUAUCACCUACCAUAGGAUUAGUAUAUAAUCUAAUUGAUUCAUUUCCUUUCCUUUAUUUAUUUCCUUUCUCCUUUUCUCUCUUUCUUAUUUCCCCCCUUUUUUCUUUAUUUGCAACAUGAAAGCAAAAACUCACACUAAACUUUGUUAUAUAAUUUGCGCACGAUUACAAUGAUAGAUCACUAAGCAAACUCUUUAAUAAGAAAGGAUCGAACUAAAUUAAGUAAAGGCAAAAAGAUAGUGGGAUGAUACGAUACCGGGGCACCUCCCCCAAGCUUGGCAAAAGCCAAGGGGGAUGCCCAUACCAGAUACUCAGUUCUCCUUUGGUGGCGUCCGUAGGCUCCUCCCGCUUAAUCUCGAUCUUCAUCAGCCAAGCAUCUUCUUCCAUGAGGCUGGAGGAGCAGGAAGGCAUGAUACUUGGCUUGAUAAACUUGACCGGAAAUGGCAAGAAAAGAGGACAGAGGAUUUCUUCGCGAUACGGUGGUUAACAGGUUCGGGAAGUAUAAUUAGAAAUUUUUAUCUUGCAGGACAAGCAUACAGAAGAAAAACAAAGUACGGGAGGUGUCCCAGGUGGGCACAACCCACCUGGGCGCGCCAGACAAGCCUGGCACGCCCUGGUGUAUUGUGCCCACCAGGGGACGCUUCCUGGAAGUUUCUUUAUUUCCAAAAUUUUGAAAUAUUACAAAACUGAUAAAAAAUAUUUUUGCAGAUUUUUUGGAGUCCGUUUGCUUGACGUACUACGCACUUCCUUAUUUUGAUGAUUCUGGAGUGUUCCGGAAGGACUCUUUUAUGUAUUCUUCCGGUGUCAAAGUUUGGAUAAUAUUGCUUUCAACAUUAAUAGGCGUACCUGAGAUAUAAUGCUUUAUUCGUUGUCCAUUGACAACCUUCGGGUUAGUACCUUUGGAAUUGUUUAUUUUGAUGGCACCGGACCGGUAAACCUCCUCGAUGACAUAUGGGCCUUCCCAUUUCGAGAGGAGUUUCCCUGCAAAAAAUCUAAAACGAGAGUUGUACAAAAGAACAUAUUCUCCGACUUUAAACUCACGCUUUUCGAUUCUUUUGUCAUGCCAUCUUUUAACUUUUUCUUUGAAUAACUUUGCAUUUUCAUAUGCUUGGGUUCUCCAUUCAUCUAGUGAGCUAAUAUCAAAUAACCUCUUUUCACCAGCAAGUUUGAAGUCAUAGUUGAGUUCUUUAACUACCCAAUAUGCUUUAUGUUCUAACACAAGAGGUAAAUGACAAGCUUUUCCAUAAACCAUUUUAUAAGGAGACAUACCCAUAGGAUUUUUAUAAGUUGUUCUAUAAGCCCAAAGUGCAUCGUCUAAUUUCUUAGACCAAUUCUUCCUGGACCAAUUAACAGUAUUUUGCAAAAUUAAUUUUAUUUCUCUGUUGCUAAGCUCAGCUUGACCACUAGACCGAGGAUGAUAAGGUGAUGCAAUUCUACGGUUAACAUCAUACUUAGCAAGCAUUUUACGGAAAGCACCAUGAAUAAAGUGUGAACCACCAUCAGUCAUUAAAUAUCUAGGGACUCCAAACCUUGGGAAAAUAGCUUCCUUAAGCAUUUUAAUAGAGGUGUUGUGAUCAGCACGGCUAGUUGGAAUAGCUUCUACCCAUUUAGUGACAUAAUCAACAACAACAAAAAUAUGUGUAUACCUGAUACGUCUCCAACGUAUCUAUAAUUUUGAUUGUUCCAUGCUAUUAUAUUAUCCAUCUAGGAUGUUUUAUAUGCAUUUAUAUGCUAUUUUAUAUGAUUUUUGGGACUAACCUGUUAACCUAGAGCCCAGUGCCAGUUUCUGUUUUUUCCUUGUUUUUGAGUAUCUCAGAAAAGGAAAACCAAACGCAGUCCAAUUGACCUGAAAUUUCACAGAGAUUAUUUUUGGACCAGAAGAAGCCCACGGAGCAUCGGAGAUGGGCCAGAAGAGUCCCAAGGCACCCACGAGGGUGGGGGCGCGCCCUACCCCCUGGGCGCGCCCCUACCUCCUUGCCGCCUCGGAGACCCCCUGACUUGUUCCCGACGUCAACACCUCUUAUAUAUACCCAAACUUCCAGAACAUAACCUAGAUCGGGAGUUCCGCCGCCGCAAGCCUCUGUAGCCACCAAAAACCAAUCUAGACCCGUUCCGGCACCCUGCCACGGGGGGAAAUCCCUCUCCAGUGGCCAUCUUCAUCAUCCCGGCGCUUCCCAUGACGAGGAGGGAGUAGUUCACUCUCCGGGCUGAGGGUAUGUACCAGUAGCUAUGUGUUUGAUCUCUCUCUCUCUCUCUCGUGUUCUUGAUUUGACACGCUCUUGUUGUAUCGCGAGCUUUGCUAUUAUUGUUGGAUCAUAUGAUGUUUCUCCCUCUCUACUCUCUUGUAAUGGAUUGAGUUUUCACUACAAAAAAAGACACAUCCAUGACAUUUUGGGCCGAACGAAUUUUUUUCUGUCAUACAUAUGACACUUCUAUGACGAUAAUUGUGACAAAACCCGGUAUCAUCAUAGAUGUGGUGGGCUCCUACUUCUAUGACAAAAAAUCAUGACAGAAAAUGGGCUUUUCGUCCUGGGCGGGCCGGAGACGCAGCUGCAUGACAUUCUUUGGGCCAUCCAUGACCGUGGUAGAAGCGAGGGCGAGGAAAAUUUCGGGGAGUUCCCGGUUACGGUGGGAGGUCGGGGGCCGAGCGAUGCGCGUUUCUCUCGUACACAUACGCGCGUGUGUGCGAGGCGUUGGCUCUAACUGAACCCGAGCGAGGUGUUGGGCUCUAACUGAACCCGAGCGAUUGCACUGCAGGCUACGCGUUACUGAACCCGAGUGAUCGAUCGAUGGCUGUUAACAGAACCCGAUCGAGCGAUUCCUUCGCUACUGCUGCUAACUGAAGCCAAUCGAUGCUGCCUCUGGGAUGAACAGUGAGCGUUGCGGGAGGGGGGGGGUUGGAUGAACAGUGAGCGGUGGCGUUGCCUCUGGAUGAACAGGACCCCGUGGUGUGGAGGGCUGGAUGAACAGUAGACGGUGGAGGGGUGCCCGUGGAGGGGUGGUUGAACACGACCCCGUGGUGUGGAGGGCUGGAUGAACAGUAGACGGUGGAGGGGUGCCCGUGGAGGGGUGGUUGAACAGUAGCCGGUGGAGUAGCGCGCGGUGGAGGCUGGAUGAACAGGAGCCCGUGGAGGCUGGAGGAGGUCGACGGUAGCCCGUGGAGGCUGGAGGAGGUCGACGGUGGAGAUGAACAGUAUCCCGUGGAGUCCCGUUUUGCGGUACGCCACACCCCUCCCGAUNNNNNNNNNNNNNNNNNNNNNNNNNNNNNNNNNNNNNNNNNNNNNNNNNNNNNNNNNNNNNNNNNNNNNNNNNNNNNNNNNNNNGAGGGGUGGUUGAACAGUAGCCGGUGGAGUAGCGCGCGGUGGAGGCUGGAUGAACAGGAGCCCGUGGAGGCUGGAGGAGGUCGACGGUAGCCCGUGGAGGCUGGAGGAGGUCGACGGUGGAGAUGAACAGUAUCCCGCGGAGUCCCGUUUUGCGGUACGCCACACCCCUCCCGAUGAACAGGACCCCCAUUUCGACCGUAGGAGGUCCGUUUCGUCCGUUUUGCGGUACGCCACACCCCUCCCGAUCAACAGGACCCCCGUUUCAACCGUAGGAGGUCCGUUUCCUCCGUUUUGCGGUACGCCAGACCCCUCCCGAUCAACAGGACCCCGUUCCGAACGUAGGAGGUCCGUUUCCUCUGUUGUGCGGUACGCCAGGCCUCNNNNNNNNNNNNNNNNNNNNNNNNNNNNNNNNNNNNNNNNNNNNNNNNNNNNNNNNNNNNNNNNNNNNNNNNNNNNNNNNACGCCACACCCCUCCCGAUCAACAGGACCCCCGUUUCGACCGUAGGAGGUCCGUUUCGUCCGUUUUGCGGUACGCCAGACCCCUCCCGAUGAACAGGAUCCCGUUUCGAACGUGUCCGGUCGAACACAAGACCGUUUCCUCUGUUCUGCGGUACGCCAGGCCUCGUUUCCAUCGCCUGUUCCGUCCAAGCCCUCCCGAUGAACACGACCACGCAUUCCGUUCCGACCCAGCCGAUUGGCUCCCACUCGUUCCGUUGCCUCCCGAUGAACACGACGCAUUCCGUUGCCUCCCCAUGAACACGACGCGUUCCGUUGCCUCCCCAUGAACACGACGACGACGCUGUUUCUCCGUUCCGACCCAGCCAUGUCAACGAGCCCUCGCCGUACAUAUGCGCGAGUAGGCGUUCGAGACCCCGUCCAUAUGUACACAUACGUGGCCGUAUUUUCUUUCUUGCACCCUGGCCGCUCUACGUACGUGUACAUGCUACGUGCACGCCUCUACUACGACACGUGCGCGCCUCUACAUCCACCAGUAUAUAUGUACGUACACGUUCGUGACCAGAAUGACAACGCUACGUACACUUCGACCAGGUGGGUCCCGACUGUCAGGCACUUCCUUGCGUGCGAAGAUGUAGCUGGUGGGUCCCAGCAGUCAGGGGGGUGAAUCGUUUUGUUUUUUUUGCCCAGACGCACUUCCUUGCGUGCGAAGGUGUAGCUGGUGGGUCCCAGCAGUCAGGGGGGAAACGUUUUUUUGCGAAAUACGGUGGCCCGUCCGGUGGGUCCCCGCUGUCCGGUGGAGGAAUAAUUAUUUUACGCGUAAUAAGGAGGUACUUCCUUGCUGCGGCCGUGGACCCAACUGUCAGCGUCUCCACGCACAGUACUCUUCCGAUGGAAGUCGGUCGUUGAACACAUUGACCACGCCGCGCCGAGAGCACCAGGGAAUACUCAGCAGUUGUUUCCCACGCGGAGGAGUACGAGGGUUUACUGGUUCGUCUGCCGUCGCCGGAGAAUAACAACAUGUGUGGGUGAGUAGUGGGAUGGCUAGGCCAGCGAUGGGAGUACGAUGGGGCCGUGAGGCCUGCGCGGCAGCAUAGCCGGCCGCGGGAGGAGGGAGCAGGCAGUCCCGCCGGUGCUUGUUUGAGCGGCUGGAGCAUGAAGAGCAGAGAUUGAAGAAGCACGACAGCCGUUGGAUGAACAUCCAACAGUCACUGCUCUCGUGUGUUGACUAAGUUGACAGGGCGUUGCGUGUGCGUCAACCUUUUUUUAAUAAAAGCAUACGCGUCAACCUGUUGUAGGCGCACAAGUCAGCCUCAAAUCUGUGGAAAACAACAUACAGCCCAACUGCCAUUAUUUCUAAUAAUGUACAGCCCAUUUGCUAAUUCUUAAGAAUUUUUUUGGAGCCCAUCUUCUUUUUGUUAGCAUUACACCCCAUAUUGUGGCCACUGUUAAAAAGUAUACGAAAUUUUGCAUAUUUCGGUGCGGUCAACUGUUUUUAAUCCAGAAAUAUCGAUUCACAUUCAAACUAUUUUGAAAAAUAAUUUAUAUAAAUAUAAAAUCCAAAUAAUUGUCCACGCAUAAAAAUCAAUGGAAUUUAAGAUCUUGUAAUGAAAAAAAAUUGAAACUAAUUCCCGGUUUGAUGUGUUUAAAAAAUGUACAACCCAUUUCUGGGCAAACCGAAUGAAACUCUCCCCGUCUUGAAAGAUUUGCAGCCCAGAAGGGCCGAUAAAGCAAGUAGGCCUUGUUUGGGUAUUUCUUUUAAAAAAUAGAACUGGGCUAGCCAUUUUCAGCAAGAAAAAAACACAACUGGGCUCAUGAUGUGGUAAACAUAAAUAAAACCCUGGCUAGACGGGCCACAGCCCCCGCACAGCCCCGUUGUUACCCUGAUCCGUCGCUAAAACUAGUAUAAAUAACAACUGCUUGUUCCUAAAAAAAACUGCGCGACUUGCUGGGUCCCUGGUGUCAGCCGCUCGUAGUGUAAUUCUCUCGUUUAUUGACUACGUUGACAAUGGCGUGAGCCCCAGAUGUCCAACCAUUAGGAGGAACCAUAUUUUUGGGCUUGUACUAUAGAGGCACUUGCUUGCGUACUGCCAUGACGCUGGUGGGUCCCUACUGUCAUCCUCUCCACGUACAGUCAUCUCCUUGUUCCUCUCGGUUGUUGACGACGUUGACAACACAAGAGGGCGGCGCACCGCGCACGGCGAGCGAACCAAGGCCACAAGGCGUAGGACGACGGCGAGGCCUCGAACGGAACGAACAGGAGCCGUUGAAGAUGCGCCAGUCCAGUCGCAGGUGGAGGGGAGUACGAGGGUUGACUGGUUCGGGCGCGGGUGCGUGUUGGGGCUGACGUCGCCGGAGAAUAACAGGACGUGUGGGGGAAUAGAGGGAGGGACUGGCCAACGUUGGAGGGUACGUACGGUAGGGCAGCGGAGGCGCAGCUAGCCAUGGGAGGCAGGAGCAGGCGGAGCCGACGAGGUGGUUUGGUUUGGGCGGCUGGAGGCAGAAGAAGACAAGAGAUAGAAGAUACACGACAGAUGUUGGAUGUCAAUCCAACGGCUGGUAGGCAGAAUCGUUUGUUGACUGGCUAGUAAGUCGACACCACCUUGGAUAGGCUAUUUCCUCAUGGGUCCCAAAUGUCAGAAUCCAAAUCUGUCACGGUCAUGCAGCCUUUCCUAUGAAAAUUUACAGACCAUUUGAUGUGCUAGUUCGAAAUAAGUUUGUGGGUGCUGGUGGGGGCUAAUCACUUGGCUUCUGUAAUGCACAGUGAGCUCAAGAAGCCGGCGAGAGUGAUGUUAUUUCCCUUGGUUGGGAUUUGUUACAAUAUUUCACUCUAAAUUAAACGAAUGGCAAGCCAUUUGCCUUGUUUCAAAGAAAAUAUGACAGUCACAGCCGAGUUGAAAAGGGCAGGAACAUCUAACUCCAGCUUACAAACUGUACAAAAGCACGAGGGUUAAUUGUUCAUCAGGUUUACAAAAAAAACCAGAUUGAAAAGGGCAACAACAUCUAACUCCAACACUGUUUUCGGCAGUCACAGUCAAAUGGAUCGGUCAGGUCCAUAGAAUGAACAUCCUGGGUCGUAAAAUUUACUGGAUUAUGACCACAAUAUGUUGUAAAUAGAAGCCCGGCACGUUCAGAAGCUCUUUUGCCCACCUGAAACUCCUUUUUUUUCUCUUCGACAUACCCAUCCGUCAAAACCAUGCUGCUGAUAAACUUAAGGCUGAUGGACAAUAGUAACCUCGCAUUCAGCAGGAAGAAUGUGACAAAUCUUGUGUUUGCACGGUUGGCUACAUAUCGUUCUAGCGUUAUUGUCUUCAAUCGAAUCUCAUGAGAAGUGAGAAAAUUCCGAUGCUUACGAAUCCACCGAUUGGUUAUAACUUUCUUACCCCGUCCUGUUGCCUAAAUAGACAUGAAGAUUGAAAACAGUUAAGGUCUAAAAGAAGAGUGUCGAAAGAGCAACAACUGAACGGUUAAUUCUAGUACACUAUAUGCGGGCUUCCAAUGUGCGCGAAAUUAUCACCUUUAUAUACAACUUCUCCAGACAUGGAAAGCAGCAGCAAGCCAAUAAUCUUGUUCAGAUCAAAACUAUUCAUUUGGAUAUAUAAGAUCUUGACAGAAUCCAACACCAUUGAUAGGCCAUCCAUGGAGAAACUCUUCAUUGAGCAUAGAACAUAAUAUUAGUACAAAAUGUGUACUCCAAGAUGAUAUAUAAAUUAUGCGCAGAAAUUUAAAAUGCAGCUUAUGGUUACAAGUGUACAUGAUAAUAUAAAGUACCUGAAGAACUGUGGAGCCAAACACCAUAUUGAAAUGAGCACAGAGAUCAUGUAUUACACCCAAGGUCUCCAGUUUAGGCGCAGAGAGGAUGGUUAUUUGCAACGGUGAAUAACUAGAAUCAAGGAUCAACCUUUGAAGUGAAGGGGCAUCUUGGAUGAUGAGCUGCCUUCCGUCAAAAGAAAUUCCAAUUCUUACAAGGUUAGGCGACUUUAUUUGGAGACAACCGAUUCUAACUGUGAAAACAAGCACCAAGCACUCCAGCGCAGGGCAACUGGAGUGGAUGAUGCUGUGCAAUGAGGCCUCCGAUAUAUGAACCCGCACAAGUGAAAGUUUCUUGAGAAAUGGGAGUCGAAGGUUUAGUACCAGAUUGUCUGGUAGGUAGCACAGCGCAAAGGUGGCGGUGUGGAGAGAGGACGAAAACCGCGAGAUGGACAUCGGUGCUGAGGGCACAAGUUCAUGGCGUUCGGUAUGUGGUAUGUGAUUUCCAGGGGAAUAGUAGAACUCAAGCAGCUGUAGUUCUAUGAAUUCAGGGGAAUUCAGCCAGGCGUCCACCUUGCAGGGCAUGGUAUGCUUUCUCAGGUAGCAUGACGGGAUGCAGAGGCUUUGAACGGAGCCCUGGUGGGAGGAGAUGAUGGCUCUGGGGAUUUCAAAAUCAUUGAAGAGAGAUAGCUGACGACAGUCGAGAUUAAGGGGCACGGCGCGCCAUAGAGGGCGCCACCGAAUUGAGAGGACUUGGGUGCGGCAGCAAUCCUUGGUGGGGAGAAGCGAGAUGAUCUCCCCAAGGACGGCGUCCGGGAGAUCGCUGAUGCGGUCCACCCGAGAUUCUACGGGUUCCUGUGAUCUGGUGGGGGCGGGGUCGCCGCUUCUCCCCGCGCUGCCGGGUGCAGGAUCUACAACAGGCGUCGCCGCUGGCGGGAGCCUCAUCUUCUUGGCGCUGGGGUCAGCCGACUCCAUUUUCCUCGAGGGCGUCGCGUCACGCUCACGGAUUUGAGCAGAGUAACGAAUGACGAGCCUAGUUGUAGUGCGAGCGAAGAAGAAGGGGAGCUGGGGGUUUUCUGUAGGAGUGAGGAAGAAGGGGAGCUGUGGUUUUCUGUAGGAGUGAGGUGAGGAAUUUGGGGGUACGAGUGGAGCGAGCUGACGUGAGGUGGGUGGGAGCGAGGAGGAAGAAGAGCACCCAGGUCUUUUUUGGGGGGAGGGCGGUGUGCUGGGUGUGGGUAGCGCCUCUCAUUCAGUAAAUAUAUGGGCUUUUGAAUUGAUUUUACUAUUUACUAGUGUGGAUGGGCUGUUUUGUCUUGGGCCCAGAGAAACAAUUACUACUAGUACAGUGGAGACACUCUACAGCUACCCAGAAAAACAAUUACUACUAGUACAGUGGAGACACUCUACCGCUUCUGGCUCCUCCUAGGUCAUUGAAACAUCUCCCUCUACUGAAUGCCGUUAUACUUUUGUUCACCGACAUGCGGGCCAUGCAGCACGCGGGCCCAAAUGCCAUCCACCAAAUUAGAAGGCAGUAUGCAGGCGGAGAGUCACCCCGGUCGUAGCGCGACAGUAACGAGCCGUCGUAUCACAAAACCCCACCUCCCCGCAGUCUAAGUUUGACGGACGAAGCAACCAUCAUUUCACUCUUCGCUGAAUCCCCUUCUCCCUCACUGUCUUCAAGAAAGGCAACACUCGCAUCUGCCACUGUUCUUCUCUCCGAACGAAGGGAAGGUAAGCGGAUCCGUGAUGUUGGUAUAUUUUCGUUCAGAGAAAAAAAAGAACUUUUGCAAAGCAGUAACCGAUCCUCACUCUCUUUUUUGUUUCAUUGUCAUUGCGAUUGUGUUUUCCUUUCAGUGGUCUCCUAGUAUUCGUCAGUUUCAUGAUGGACCAAGGAGAACCAGGCAAAGAUCUGCCGAUAUUGGAGUAGACGCGGGAGGCUGAUCCCCACGAGACAGAGAGCUCCAAGAAGAUGGAGGCAACCACCGAGACGACCCCAGAUAUGCUCACGGCUACUACUGAGAUGGUCAACGCCCCGUUUGAGGUUACAGCCCCUGUGGCACUGCAGGAGCAGUUUUCCCCCUUCGAGGAUGUGUCCCCCCCCACUGAGCUGCCCAAGGUGUUUUCCUUCUUUUCCGAUCUCGAUUGUGGUUUUUCAUCUAAGUAUGUGGUGAUUUUUUUAGAAAAGGAAGUAUGUGGUGAUUAAUAAUGCAAAAUUUUAUUAGCUUCGAUGCCAUGCUAUACAUAGUGGUUUAAAUAACUUGUGUUUCUUAUACUGAAAAGUAAUUCAGAAUUUGUUUCUGUUUCAAUUAGAGCCCUUAUGCAGACAAGGAUUGUGUGGUUGUAUAUGUCACUCGCUAUGAGGCGGACGACCUCAAUAUACGCACUGGGAAAACAGAGUUCUUAGGCUGUUGGAUCCUGGAAGCCAUUUGCGGUUAUACCAAUGAAGAGUUGUAUUCUAGCCUCACUGUUGUCAGGCGUGUUGUCCAGGGUGUACUGAAGCACAAGAAGUUCAAAGCUACUCCUUCGUUUGUGAGGCAUACUGUUCUUGUCAAGCUUACGCAGGAAGAUGACGUGGCAUGCCUCCACAAACAAGUUUAUCAGUGGCAAGGCCACAAGGUUGUCUUCAUGAAGGUUCACAGGAUUGAGCUGUUGCGGGACGUCCUCGAUGAUGUUCAUGGCAAGGUCCGUCUUGUGUCCAACCCAAAUUAGAUCGAGGCAUGAGAUAGUUGCCCCAGCUAGUGUUUAAUAGUAGUUUGGAUUGUGUCUAAUUAUCCAAACCUUGCCUGUUAUCGACCCCUCUGGGGCUAGUACUCUGCUUGAAUCCGUCUAUGGGAACUGCUGCUACUUUUGUGUGCCCGUGAAUCAUGUGAGAACCAUCGUAAUUGUUGCCGAAACAGAUGCGUCCUCACUAGUUUUUUCAUGAAUAUGGCAUGGUAAGACAUAAGUUGUCACGGUUUAUCAUACGAGCAGUGUGUGUUUUGAUGAAAUAGAGCACUCGUUCGAGAACCGUGCGCCGACGUAUACAUAAGUACUUGUAAACACUGUUGGUGCUACCCCACUUGUAAGCAGUUGUGCAAAACACGGCACAUUGGCUCAGCUCGCUUCAACACUAGGCUAUCGACCAGCUAACAAUCAACAAUCUGCUGUCUGACAUAUAAGCAACUAUGUAUCUUGUUACAGUGGUUCAUGCAGUUAAUUGAGGCCACAAUGUAAUAAAUUCCAAACAUUCACACGCUAGUCCAGCGCUCAUGUGGAACACUCACAUUAAACUCGUCUUCAUAAAAAACUUGAAAAGCAUAAGUUAAGCAAUUUUAUACAUCUCAAUGAUUCAUAGAACAUAACAAACAUAUACUAGUUCACAGCAAAAGACAAAGUUGUGAGAAGGUUUACAAAUCAGGAAAAAACAAGCAAGGCUUCUCUGAGCAAAGGGCCUCCCGACAGGCUUAAAUUUCCUGGAGUUCACUCUGGUUUUUUCUUGUUGCCACCAUCCAGGGUUAGGUUCUCUCAUUCCAGAAUAACCAAUUAUAAUUGUGGUGUCAGCUGGAAUGUUGAACUGAACCAUGCAGUGUACUGACCAGCUGAAAUGCUUGUGCAUUCCACUAAAUUUAAGCACCGCUAUUUGCAGAAAUAAGCAGACCACAAUGCCUCUUGUCCGCGCACCUGUCCAAAAAACCGCCGUGCAGCCGUGACAGCUAGUCCUCGGUCCAUGGAUGAACUGGUAGAAAGUGCAUUCCGGACUAGGAUGCAGUUGUUUUCGCUCGUCCCUGCACUGCAAUCAGGAAGUAAAACGUAUGAAUCAGCUUCUUUUAGAUUGCGUUGGUCAUUCUACCUUAGUUACUACCAAUGUAGGGAUACCUUGAAGACGGGAGGUUAGACGACGGCAACGAGGGAUAGCCAUCUCAUUUUGCGCAGUUGUACUAAAACUGAGGUGUGUGCUUUUGAUUGCGCGGAUAGAAACGAUACGGAGACAGACAUCCCGAAACGAUAUGGAGACAGACAUCCCUGUUUGCGCAAAUACGAAAUACGGUUAUUUAAACAGUGAAAGAUAUUACUACUUUCCCCCGUUUCCUCUUAGAACCAAGUCCUAGAUUCAUGCUACAGCUUUCCCACUUUCUUCCCUGUUUGAACCAACGCCUUGAGUCGACUGUAUGAACUAGCUUUACUUCUAAUAAUAGUAGAAGUCUAGGUGGCUUUGGAACAGCGGACGGAAGUAGAAAAGGAUCCACACGAAGGGAGCUGGGGCAGUAGAGCAAGGCAGGUUUCGAAGGAAUAUAUACCUGACGGUCGUCGGCAUGUGGCAAAGACGGCGUCGGGAGGCCGCAUCUUGGCCACAAUACCGCAGGGAGGAAGAAGGGGUCGGAGGCCCUCCCGAGCCGGCGCUCUCUCGGAGAGAACGGCACGGCCGCCGAUCGGGACGCGCGGGCAGCCGUUGGUCUCCUCCCUCGCCGCCGACGACAGCGUGAACGAUGCACCUACACCCCUGCCCCGGUCGAGGUUGUCCGGCCGGAUUUGUGGCCAGCCGUGAGUUGAGAGAGAGUGUGGCCACCUAUGUGUUGCUUAGAUCUGGAGAGCAUGAGAGAGUGAACGAGAGGAACCCUAGUAAAGCAAGCGCUAAGGCUCCUGCUUUUAUAUAUAGUGGAGUGAUUUUGUUGUACCAGCUUCAAAAAAAUGCGCUCCUACGUGUACCCGUGAGUGGGUGUGAGAGAACUAGUGCGUGCGUGCACCGCUUCUAUUCGUGAGAGUACAAUAUACUAUGCCCAAAGAACGUUCGCCGCAAGAGUAAUAGUAUAAAUGUGUGACGUGUGAGCUAAAAUAAAAUGUGCGCGUCGUCUUUUGUUUUUUAGAAGUUCUGAGGGUAGGGUGUGAAGAGCACAUAUGUGCGUGACGUCUACCUGCAGAUAGACGGUGAGUGCGACGUGCGAGUCUGCGAGAGGACUCGGGAGAGUCGUGACUCGUGAGGGUGCGUGUGCGUGAGAGAGAGGGGGCACGUAUCAAUGCAAUGCAUGUGUCCGUAAAUCAUUAUCCGACAAUCGUUCGCCACAAGCCUUUUCCUGAACGCCGUAAGAACCGUUAGAUCGGCAUUCGACAGUGUCAGUUUUGCCAUGUCAUUUAACAGAACAACCACUCCUCCUACACACAAAUCUUCCACGUGAGUGUUAGCAACUGCCGUAUGCUCCCUCCGUUCCGAAAUGUAGUGUAUAGAGCUUUAUUGAAAAUUCGAACCUCGCAAACUUUUACCGAGUUUUCGUGUACCAAAUUGCACAUGUAGAAUACCAUGUAUAUAUCAUUUCAUUCAUCUUCGAGAGGUAACUAUAAAGAUGGGUGAGGAGUCUACAAAGAAAGACCAUCGUAUCACCCGCAGCAAUUUCAAGCAUCCUUUAGUGUCGAGGAAUAUCAUAGGAACUCUAUAUGAUAUGAUUUUUAUAGGAUUUUUUCCUUUAGAGCCAAUUGGUUCAUAGGAAUAGAUUCAUAUACUCCACAUUUCAAAGGAAAUAAACAUGAUAUCAUUUCUAUAGCUUUAGAGCCACUUGGUUCAUAUGAAUGGAUUCCUAUACUCCCUUAAUUUCAAAGGAAAAUAAACAUUAGCGUAUAUUCAAUAGAAAAGUUCCUAUGAUAUGAACCAAAUUACAUCUCUUUUCUAAUCCCUCCUCAUAGGAAUUGAGAUACAUGUCAUCUCUAGAUUCAAUANNNNNNNNNNNNNNNNNNNNNNNNNNNNNNNNNNNNNNNNNNNNNNNNNNNNNNNNNNNNNNNNNNNNNNNNNNNNNNNNNNNNNNNNNNNNNNNNNNNNNNNNNNNNNNNNNNNNNNNNNNNNNNNNNNNNNNNNNNNNNNNNNNNNNNNNNNNNNNNNNNNNNNNNNNNNNNNNNNNNNNNNNNNNNNNNNNNNNNNNNNNNNNNNNNNNNNNNNNNNNNNNNNNNNNNNNNNNNNNNNNNNNNNNNNNNNNNNNNNNNNNNNNNNNNNNNNNNNNNNNNNNNNNNNNNNNNNNNNNNNNNNNNNNNNNNNNNNNNNNNNNNNNNNNNNNNNNNNNNNNNNNNNNNNNNNNNNNNNNNNNNNNNNNNNNNNNNNNNNNNNNNNNNNNNNNNNNNNNNNNNNNNNNNNNNNNNNNNNNNNNNNNNNNNNNNNNNNNNNNNNNNNNNNNNNNNNNNNNNNNNNNNNNNNNCCGUUGGAUAUCAUCAACAUUCCACCAGAUCUGCCACAUGUACAAUUUAGAAGACUCCAUGGUUGAACUUAAGCAUAAUGCACAAACCUCAAAACACAAGCACUUCUCCUUUGUUCUAGAAUCUUCUAUAUCAUAAUUGAUUAUUUUUUUCUAAAUGAAUUGCCAUUAUUUGUUUUUUACUUUAUGAUUUACAAUGCACAACCCCAUGAAUCUUAACAUUUUUAUAAAACUAAUUGAUUUUGAAUGAGAUGAACUAUAAGAACUAAACGAACAUCUACAUCAUGCAUAUAUGACUCAAAGCUUUACAUGCUAUAGUGUGUAUUUAUUCAUAAUUUGGUUUCGAAAUCUCAUGCGUUCAAUACAUGUGUACCUUACUAGUUUUGAGUAGAGUAGCAAAUUUCACGCGGCCCCGGGUAUAUCAAAAUGUAGGGCCCAUGCAUCAUUGCCUUUCGGUCGAACCUACGUCCACAAUUUUUUGUACAUACUAUAUCUCCACUAGUCCCCGAACCCAAAGUGCUGCCUCGUUCCCGUAAAACCAAGCGGCCCACACAUAUUUAAGGCGUCGACUCGAACCCGUUUACUACGACGUGGCCCCGCACACCGUAGUACUCCUACAAACCCUACCGCCGCACUCAUCAUCGGUUUUCUUCAAGAGGACGAGGGAGAAGCCGAUUUGUAGUGGAGGCGCUUAAAAAAAGGAUCUGUAGUGGAGACCCCUACCCUAGGGUGCCCUAGGUAGCUGCCACACGCAUCAUUGUUUUCUCUUUUCUUUAUGCUCUUGCGCCCUAGAGUGAAAUGAUGGUUGCUUUGUCCGUCCAGCUUAAUGCGGGAAAGGUGGGGCUUUGUGAUUUGACCCCUCAUCGCUCAUUUUCUACUACUGCGGCGCUACGACCGGGGUGCCUCCAAUUCCAACCGCUGCUCCGAACUGUAAUUUGGUGCAUCGCACGUGGAACAAGACGGUGGAUGAGCCACAUGUCGGCCAAAGGGGUCCUGUUAAGUGUGUCGCCAUUUCGUGUGCGGACUGACCCUGCUUGAGUUGGUACGCCAACACGACAGGAGCAGCCUACCACUUGGUUUUGCUCCUUGGUGAAUCCCGAGUAUAUUGAUCUAAAAAGAUACGUGCUGAACUACCCUCUCCGUCUCGGUUUUUUUUAUUUUUAGGCGUCUCGGUUUAUAGGGCAUGCACGUAGUUCUAGGUCAUCCAUUUGACUAACUAAAUAUGAGUUACUAUGUCACAAAAAGUAUAUCAUUGGAUUCUUAAGCGGAUGUAGUUGUAUUUAAAAGUCGAGGGCGGGGCUUUUCCUGCGCGGUAGGCGGGGCAGUUCCGCCUAGUCGGUUCGACAGAGACACGAGAAGACGAGGGAGUAGGCUGCUGCAAACGUAGGGCUGUGUGAUUUGACAGCGAGUUACUGCUGGACAGGUGGGGCCCCGUGAUUUGACUUGCCAUUAUCAUUUUAACUGCGGCGCUACGACCGGCGUGAGUCUCCCGAUUCCUGACCACCUCCAUACAGGUGCCUCUCCCAAUGCUCCACCAUGUAGUAGAGGCUGGCUCUUGCAUGAGAGCCCACUUCUCCACUUUUUCCUUGCCUCUCUUUCCUCCACAUAUGCAAAAAUGCCAUGUAAAGCGCACUAUUGUACUUACUUUUACUUGCUCCUACAGGUGCUUAAGCUUGCCACAUAGACAUAAAGUCUGAUGUGGCAAGUUAAUCAAGAAGAGAGAGACUAGUUUGGUGACCCAAGGAAGAAACGGUGCUAAGCGCGUGUACCUAGGUGAAAAGACAAUUUUGAGUCUAUAGCUAAUUAAAUGAAGCAAACUUAGCAACACCAUUUCAUUGGAAGAGGUCACUCCUUGGCAAAUGCAAUAAAUACUAGUACUCCCUGUGUCCCAUAAUAUAAGAACGUUUUUGGCACUACACUAGUGUCAAAAACGUUCUUAUAUUAUGGGACGGAGGGAGUACGAAGAAAGAGAUAGAGAGGAGUAAAAAAAUACACUUAUAGCCAACCUUAUAGCCAACCUUGUUGUAGUAUGAGUGACUAAGUGAUGACUAUGUAUGACAUGCCAACAUCAGAUAGCCUAACGCACCGUCUUAAAUCUCCAAGGGCGCGACCGCGCGAGCGACGCGACGGUCGUGGUAGGCGCGACCAUGAUACGGGCUGCUGGCAGCCCUUGGAUCUGAGAUCAAACGGUCGUAUGCUAAGUUGCUGAAAAUUUGCAGAAUAACCCUCCAGGAUAGGAUAUUCACCCAUAGGUCUAGAAUCACGCCAUGCAACCGUUCGAUCUCAGAUCCAAGGGCUCUCAGAAGCCUGUAUCAUGGGAGAAUGGAAAGCCACUACUGGCAGUUCGCUCCUACUCGUCCCCGCACGUCCUUUAAUACUACGGCGGUUCGCUCCUAGUCGUCCCGUCCAUUCACAUUACGGCAGUUCCACUAAUCCUAACCCUCCUCCCAAAUCCAUGGCGUCCCAAAUCUCCACGAUCGGCGGUGAGUACAAGGUCAGAACCAUCACCGGCGAUGAGUUCGAUGUCAUCUACACCCGUUCUUCCGCGACGGUGAAAGGAUGCCUUUCUCGCUUUAGACGCAUGUUCGAAAACUCAGAUGAUGAGUGGGUCGCUGGGCUAGAUGUUGAGUACACCACAGUCCUGGGACGAGAGAAGGAUCUAAAGGACGAAGAGAGGAAGAAGCCCGCCGUGAUCCAGGUUUGCGUAGAUAACGUUUGCUUGGUCUACCACAUAUGCCAUGCCGACGUUGAGUGCCAGGAUUUUAAGAACUUCCUCAAGGACAAAAUAGUGAAAUUCGUUACUGUAGACUUUAAGAAUGACAAAGAAGUCCUGGGUCGGAUAGGCCUCGUUGUAGGCAACCCCUUCGACCUCCAGAAGAAUCGGCUGGCGCCCUCUCGUCAGCCUUCAAUGCUGACCCUGGCAGGAGCCAUGGUUCAUCCUUCGUACCGUAAACUGGAGAAACCUCAUUACACGUUUCAUCGUCAUGCAUGGCAGCGGAAUGUACUAGAUAUAGACCACAUCCACUACGCUGCAAUGGAUGGCUACCUUUGUUUCAAUAUCUACAAGGGUUGGAUGAAGAGCAACAACCAAGUGUGCGGUUCAAGCAAAGAAGUAUCGGCCAAGAGGAAGAGGGACAAGGACGAAGUCGAGGACGUGGACGAGGACUCCGAGUAAGGUGGCAGUGUCGUUGCUCAUGGUGGUUCUAAACUUCUAAUGCAGUGUCUACCGGAUUAGUUGCAUAGUUUAAUUUCAGGUGUGCUUAGUUUAAUUUGAGGGGUGUGUUGUGCUGAGCCCCCAGCAAAACUAUGUUAUGUUUCUUCUCGUUACUUUAACUCUUCAGUAUGUACAUACUACUAAUAUUUCUUUAAUAGAUUUAGCACCCCAAUUAAGCACGUACUAGCUUUUUUAAUAGUACUAUAUGCAUAAUUUGGCGACGAGCGCUCUCUAUAUGUACCACCUUUUUUUUAAUUUCAAUUUUUGCUCCAUGGCGCAAUCCAUCGAUAGUACUACUGUACAAAAGUAUACAUUUUUUAAAAGGCUAGAGUACUGUUCAUCACAUAUAUAGCCAGUUAAAUUCUCAACCUAGAACGACGUGCAUGCCAUGUAGUAAACCGAUACGGAGCAAGUAUAGUAAAAAUGAGGUGAUUUUACCGAGCGAUGGGCGGGGGAGCAUGGCCUGUCAUGCGGUCCCACGUGUCAUGAUGUACCAAGGCGAUGCGCGUGUCCCUCUUGAGGCAGAAGCAAUACUACGUGGUUUGAGAUGAUGGCGAACCGAAGUGUGAAAUAAUGGUUGCUUCGUCCGUCUGGGAAGGUGUGUGAUUUGACGUCUCAUUGCUCAUUACUACUACUGGGCCGGUACGAGUGGGGUGUGUCCCCCCUGUUGUUCUGCACUGUUAUUUGGUGCUUGAUACGUCGACCCGGUUGCUAUAUGUCCCACAUGUCGGCGAGAGGAAGUACAGAAUUCAUGAAAGGGAGCGUCGACGGAGGAGUAUACUACAGAAUUCAUGAAAGGGAGCGACUUAGUUUUGGAAAAAUCUGUUUUACGGAGUACGUACCCACUAGGGUUUAUAGGGCUCAACUAAAAAACAUUCGUUUUUCCGUUUGAUAAGUCUCAAUUCUACUAUACUAGUAGUAGUACCAUUACAUGUUGGAUUUCGAGGUGUGUUAGAUCACCCGACGCAAGCAGUGUCAAGAGGAAACUAACCAAUGCAUGUACAAGUUCAUGGAAAUUUAGUGGUCAUUCAUGCAUUCGUUAUAAUUAAUGCCUCGGUAAACACAACUUCUUGAGAAAAACGAGCGUACUAAUUACUUGUGCAAACUACGAAAUUAAUUCGACCACUCACCGUCUACCUUGGUUGGAGAGAUUUUGAAAUUGAGCCAUAAACUGGAAAGGAGGGAGUAGUAACUUUUGUCUCGAUUACUAUUUGUGGCCUUGUAUAGAUGCAAAAUGUAUUUUUUUAUAGUGGCCUUGUAUAAGUAAAUGGAGGGAGUACUAACCAAAGAACGUAGUAGGGACGAGGAGUAAACGGAGGGAGUAGUAAAAUUUUCUCCUCGUGCUGCGAGCCACCGCGCGCGUGGGCGAGGGAGCGGGCGUAAAGGCGUACAAUAGUAGUAGUACUAGUACUACUCGUAAGAAAGCUUCACCUCAUCCUGUGAGCCACCGCGCCCGUGGGCGGGGGAGACGGCGCACUAAGCAAGCUUCUCCUCGUUCUGCGAGUUGACGAGACACAUCAAAAGUACUCCAGUGUAUAGAGCCUUGCCUCUAAGGUAGGCCCCACAUGGUUUGCCUCUUUUUUUAAUUUAACAUAACGCGUCAAGUCGCAACUUGUUUGUUCACCCGUGGUAGACGAUCCUCCCUCCACCAAGUGGACAACCAGUACCUGUGCCAAAUUACCACGUGGGCUGCCUUUUUCAUACAGAAAUAAGCUCCACCGUGUACCCGCGCGGGUGUGGUUGGGAAAGAGACGGGAGUACGUGCACCGUGCGUGCACCUCUUCUCUUCGUGCACGUCCCCCACCUACGUGGGUGUGUGUGAGAGAGAUACAAACCUAGACAUAAUGCGCCGUCCAUCCCCAUGCCUCCGCCAAGUCCGACCACCAGUCACCACCACGCCCCACUCCUCCUCACCUUAUCUCUCAUCUUUCUCCCUCCAUUUUUAUAUACAAGGGGCCACUAUCAAAAUUACAAUUUGCAGAUAUACAAGGCCACUAAAACUAAUCGAUGCAAUAUUAAUGGUGUUUGCCUCGUGGUACUAGCAAAGGAGGACAUUAAUUAUCCCUUGCAUGCAUGCGGGAGUUUGUAAAAAAAUGCAUCUUGAUGUUCCGUGCAAUGCACGGGCAUCUUGCUAGUCCAUGAAAACAACACAUGGCAAAAUUCCACGGCGAACGAGGGAUUUGAAUCUGUUGGGAGGGGUUGUUUGGAUCUUGCCAGGGGUAGCCAAAAUAUUGGCGACCCUUUUGUCCACCGGUGCCUUUGCCACAGAUGAACGAGGAAUGGCUCGGGUGCUCAUGCUGUCAUGCAUCCUCCAGCGCGCCACGUUGGAGACGAGCUCGCACGAGCUGUGUUUUUUUGUCCCGCAAUGCCGCCCGAGCAGCCCGUAGACCGACCGGCGACCUGCAAAUUACGCCAUCCAACCGUACCCGCACACAUUAUGACAACAACUCAACCAACCGGACGAAAUUCACGCAAACACGUAGACAAACUGAUAUUUCAUAUAAACAACGACGGAAAUCAUAUAAAAUACCGGAUUUUCAUACAAACAUGACGGAUUUCAUUACAUUGAAAUGAACUACGCGGUGCUAGUUCUGGACAGCACAUGUAUAUAAUACCUGGCCUAAAUGGUCGCCCGCCGAUCGAUUUGUGUUCCUCAUGUCCGGCAGCACGAUCACCGGACUGCCGGGAGCCCCGGAGGUAUAUGCUUCAGCGCAAAGGACGGCUCGCUUCCCCACUGCCCAACUGAUAUCAUUGGCUGGUGCCGAAUAUGACGGUGGCCGGCACCGGUUCGAGUUCAUCACCGGCCACUACUUCGCCAUGGCCGGCACCGGCUCGAGUUCAUCCUAACAUUCCCCUCUUCCGUGGAGCCCAUGCGGGGUCGACGAAGGUCCUCGCAACAAAAGGAUCUGGCAAGACACCUGCUGUGUACGCCGGCGUCGCCUCCACGGUGGCCUUCAUGGGACCCAAGCGGCGGCGGCCUCCCGUGUUCUACUUCUCCUUGAUGAUGGCGGCGGACGCGGAGGCGCUGGCCACCGACUCGUCGCUCUCCGCGCACCCGGCUUCUGGCGCUGCUUGCAUGGCGCGGCCGCCGGCAUGGGAGUCUCGGCCACAGAAACGGGAGACGCGGUACGAGGCGGCGGCGUGGACGGCAGCAACGACGCCCGUGCGCCGCUCCUCGUCGAGCUGGCCUGGAGCGGCGAGUUGCUGAACCGCGCGCCGGCUUGGGGCGGCAACUGGCUCCGUCGGGCGAGGGGAGGGAGGUGGAUCAGCGAGCUGCAUAGCUCGUAUCCGGCGGGCUACCCAGCCGGCUUGGGUGCGGAAUAACUACUCUUCGUAAGCCAUUGUAAGAGUGGACAAAAUGGUGGAGGAGAUAGGGGACGGAGGUGUGCGAUUCUUGGCCGGCGUUUGGACUCGUUUAAAUAGGAGAUUAAAUAGACGGCGAACGGGAGGAGCUCGGCCGGCGUUGCGUUUAACGCCGGCCCGGUCAUGAACGGACGUGUGUCCAGAGUGGGUUUCUCGGCUUCCACACGGGCGGGUUUCAUGGAAGCGUUUGAAUGCGGCACAGAGGCGUGUUCAGUCGGGCGUGCCGCGAGUGGCGCCCUCGACUCUGACCUAGGACACCGUGCCGUUCUUCCACUGACGUGUGGGCCCUUUGGGUGCAUGGCCUGCAUGUCAGUGACCCAACACAGGCAGUGCACAGCAGAGGAACCUUUGGUGGCCCAGGGCGGUCAGAAGCGGGCAUUUCAUAAACCGAUGAUUGUUCAUUGAGUGUGACGUCAUCUUUUUCAUGUAGAUAAGCCUACUAUGUUGAUAGCCCGUUCGAUACGUUGUGAUUCAUAAAGACCGCUGCAAACAUCAAUGUUCUGCUUAUCACAGAUAAGAUUGAUUAAUACCCGUAACAAUCCAUGUCCUUAACAAAGGGUGCAUGCAGGUAUAGGUUGAGCGUGUGUCUUGCGUCGUGUGCUGUGUGCAGGCAGGCGUGCGAGUGUUGCGUGCGUGCAAGGGUACGUUUCAGUGUUGCAUGCAUGGGUGCGUACGUGCGUGUGUUCGUGAGUGCAUGUGUACGUGUCAGUGUUGCACGCCAGCAUGCGUGCGUGUGUACGUGUCAGUCUUGCACGCCUACAUGCGUGCGUGUCUUGCGUGCGUGCAUGUGUACGUGCGGGGUGAGGCUACACGUCAGUCGACUGACUUUUUCAUCUCUGGUCAUUAGAUUUUCCAGCCGUUGGAUACGAAAUCAAGGGCCUCCAGUUUAUCAUCAAACUCCACCCCCCUGAGCCGCCAGCCACCACUGGCCGAACCGCCAGCCCCCGCCCCCCGCGGCCGGCCCGCCCUCCCCAAAACCACUCCCCACCGCCGGUCCGCCGCCGCACCGGCCAUCCCUCUAGCCCCCCCCUCGCCGAGCUUUUUCUCCGGGGAUCCCCACCCCACCGCCCAAUGAACGCCCCCCAACCGCCGGUGACUGCCAACCAGAGGUCUCACGACUUCGAAUACCCACCGACCACUAAUUUAUUACCAUUUAUGUCCUUCAUAUACGCGCUGACGGGUGGGCCCUAUGGUAAUGUGCGCUGCUGAAUGUGGACCGUUUGACUGGUCAAUUGAUCGUGUUAUCAACAAAUUACGGAGCUGUAUGGUGAGCCAAUGACCGUAUGAUCACCCUAAAAUGUACUCCUAUUUUAUUAACACAGUACAGACUCAAACUACCAUUUCUUUCUUUCAUAUACGGGCUGACAGGUGGGCCCCACGGUUACGCGCCCCGAUGGUGCAACACUAGUUGCACCGCGUGGAACGUUUGACUAGUCAAUUGAUUGUGUCAUCAACAAAAUAUGGAGUUGUACGGGUGAGCCAGUGACCGUAUAAUCAUGAUAUGUAUUUGUUUAACACGGUAUAGACGCAAGGGCUCAUAUAUACGCGCAAGCACUCACCGCUAUAAGUGCACACAUGCAAACCCUACCCCUAUGAGCACCUUCGAGAGAGUGGGCCAGCAUAUAUGAUCUUGAGAUUUUACGAAGUCACCAUAGGUGCCUCGUAGUCGAGUGGAACGUCUCCUCCCACUGAACGUACAUCGCCGGAAAAUACUGAAAUUAACACAAGAUAAAUGCGAGCACCGGGACUUUAACCUUGGUGGGCUCGAGAAACCACUGUCCUCUAACCAUCCAACCACAUGUUGGUUAGCACGACAAAAUGUAUGUGGUGACCGUGAUGAGCUUAUUCUGAAGUCCAGUGACCAUAUCGUGCUUUCACUUCAAAUACAAUGACUGUAAGUGUCGUCAACAAAAUACGGAGCACGCAUCAAAUGCAAAGUCCGUCAGUGUCAUCAACAAAAUAUGGAGACGUAUCGUGAGCUAGAUACCGUUGUACUAUUGUAUAUGCUUAUUUUCUUAGUGGCCGAUUGCGUGUGUGGUGUGGUGGGCACAUCAUUUCUAGUUGUGGUGGGUCAACAUGAAGACUCAUGGGUCAGUUCCAUCCUGCGCCACAUAUAGGUUGGACUGAGACGUGUUAUACGAAGACCCAUGUGGAGGACUCGGCGUACAACACGAAGCUACCAGAGUCGCGGAUGACUCUAUCCCCACUGGUGAUAAGCCGACUAUAUAUGAUUUGUAACCCUAGGCCCUUAGUAUGUUAUACAAGCUUGGGGGCUAGUUCGUCGAUAGUAUACACACACGCACAAUGCCUGGUAUUCACGUGUACUUUGUACACACCCCUAUCACUAAUAUACAGUACCAGGAGUAGGCUCUUUCUUCAACUGCAAGGGUCCGAUCCGAACUAGGGUAAAACUUUGCCUCGUAUUACCAUCCAGCCUAACAGCCAGGGAUAUCCUACCGAAUGAUAUGAUGAAAUCAUAUCUGCCAACUACUAAGAGAGAGGUGUGUCGGGGGAGGGGGCAAUGUGUACGAGAGAGGCCUAAAGAUAAUGUGCGUGCGGGAGACACGUAGGCACAUAUAUGUGCGUAUAGAGGGCUAGUAGAGAUCGUGCAUGUGUAUAUAUGCAUGUGAGAGAAAUAGUGUUUUCCAACUGAGAUUAGUGUAAAGAGUGGUACAUAGUAGUCAGAAAGAGAGAGAGAGAAACAGAGAGAGCAUGUGCGUGAGACACCCCGACACCCUGAGAGAGAUUGUGAGCAUGUGUGAAAGAGAAAUGCCGAUGCAUAUAAAGUGUGUGCACUUAUGCGUUAGAUAGAGAGAUAUAUAACGUGUUUGUGAGAACGGGGCGAGGCAUAGUGCAUCUACGUGUAAAAGGCGGUUCUACGCAUUAAAUUAAAAUAUAAAUGGCAUUAUUAUUUUUGGAUGAGAUCAUGAAUUUUGCAAAUUGCGUAUGGACGAAAAUCGGUCUAUCAGACACCCAUACUCUAUUGAAUUCUAGCAUGUGCAUGUGUUUAUUUCAUAUUAUCGAUCCAUAGAGUGAGAGCGGUUUGAAAUACAGGCAAUGGAUGCUUUUGCAAUUCAUAUAUAAACAUUAAUUAGUGCACUCCAUGUUGUUAGUGUGAAGCACUUUAUACAUUUGUCACUUGCAUGGAUACAUUCCAAAUUGGUAGCUACGAAAUAGAAUACAUGUCGAAUUCAACAUAAAGGGGGUUUUGAAGAUUCGAAUUCAUAGGAAGUGCAUUCAUCUAUUUGAACCUGAGAUAAUGGCAUUUGUAAAUCAGAUGUAAAAGGGGGCAUCAAUCUUUGUUGUGAGUUUGAACAUGCUAUAUAUAUUCAUACGCAUAUCUAACUUUUUUUUGCAACCAAGGAGAUUAUAUCUGGAACCAUGCAUGAACUGUGGUAAGUUGCAUAUUUUUUAAUAUAUACUCGUGUACAAUGUAUAUUCAAAUGUACCCCCUCCAUUCCAAAAUAAUCGUAGCUUUAGGAUUUUCAAGAGUAAAGAUUUGUGAAGUUUGACAAAUCCUGAAAGUUCAAUUCAAGAGAAUCGAAAACGUUAAUGCUUCUGCUCCCAAAUAUUGAACGAAGCGCCAAAUAGGCCUCUGGUCACCCGAAACCGCGCGAGAUUAAUGUUUUGGUGGUAGGAAAUUACUGUCCUGACUCUGGCCCGUGUAGCCUAUCGGCCCGAUGUCCAAAGGUCUAAACCGGGGUAGGUUUGUAACUUCACCAAGACGCCAGUCUCAACCGCCUCCGAGAAGCAUUCAUACGCCGUGGGCGCCUACCCAUGCGCUCGGCAGAAAUCUAUCCUGCCCACAUUUGGGACACCUGACAUGACUGUCCUACCCCAACCCGCAAUAUGUCCAAAAUUUUAGAUGGGGGCAAAGUUUGUAACUUUCCCCAAAUUUCAAACAAGCGUGUCUCAAACCAAAACAUUGUUCCCCCUUAGUUCCCCGCCUCCCUCCGUUUCCCCAUUCAUACUCCGUGGGCGGGAAAACGCCCUCUCCACCAGCCGCGAAACCCCAGCCUCCUCCGUCCUCCACCCCAUAGCGGCCAAUCCACCGCCGCCCUCCUCCAUCACGCCGGAGCCGGUACCCUGAUGUCGUCGUCCAACGCAACCACAACCGCAACACCCUCAAGGACUUAGCAGCUGAAGCCGAGGCAGAGCUGCCUCCACGACGCCGACGCCGACGUGCGCCGUACCAGAACCACUCCGACCACGCCGUCCUGCGCCUCACUGCUGCGGCUCCACUGUCGCAACCGUCCACCGCACCGGAGCUGUUCCCGCUAUGCCGUCGUUCGCCGCCUCGGAUCUGCUUCCCCGCCGCCGACAGACGAUCACCGCACCACACUCAACAACUUGGCCAUUGGUUCGUCCAAGGCUACACCGUCCUCCACAACUUCUAGUUUCCGGUGAACAACAAGAAGAUCAUCGGAAAAACAGAAGGAGGACACAUCACUGCCAGCAGAAAGAGGUACUCCUCUUCCCUUAUUCGUGCAAAUCUUACGUCUCCGCUCACACCGUAUUCAUCCCACAAAAGAAACUAGUUGAGCGCUUCUUACUGCAUCUUCUUCGUGAUACUAAAUGCACAAGGUUUCCUCCCUUUUACUAUUUCACCUUUGGUAGAGGUCAGUAGCCCGCCUGGAUUUCAAUUCAGGGUCAGUCGAACCACAAUUAAAAGAAGCAGCACCCGCUUAGGCGCGCGGAGCACCUAGUCCGCCUGUUCCCCGAGGAAGCGACGCANNNNNNNNNNNNNNNNNNNNNNNNNNNNNNNNNNNNNNNNNNNNNNNNNNNNNNNNNNNNNNNNNNNNNNNNNNNNNNNNNNNNNNNNNNNNNNNNNNNNNNNNNNNNNNNNNNNNNNNNNNNNNNNNNNNNNNNNNNNNNNNNNNNNNNNNNNNNNNNNNNNNNNNNNNNNNNNNNNNNNNNNNNNNNNNNNNNNNNNNNNNNNNNNNNNNNNNNNNNNNNNNNNNGGUGAGGUCGAGGGGAGGGCACAGGCAGGGGAGGAAUACUGGGCCGGUGGUCGCUGGCGUUUCGAGGAAGAUCGUCAACACUGACUGGCUGGAGGUAGAUGAAGGCGAUCUGCCCGUUCUUUGUACAUCAGACGGUGCAGAAAAAAUGGACUGACCUAUUUGCUUUCAGUCGACUGUUAUUUUCAUAUAAUCAUGUAGUAAUUUAGUGUGCCAUGCAUGUUGUAGAGCUAUCAUAUGUCUCCCAUCAUUUAUUUCUCACCGACCUGCUAUCUGCUACCUUUACACUAUACUAAUUGUGCACACACUUCACCCAUACUCACACUAUUGUUUUUUUAUGCAUGGGUAUUUCAGACUCUGAUGCAGUGUUGAUGAAUGCAGAAAAGAAAAGACAGAAGUCGCUCCAGCGUAAUUCGAAGAUAAGCACUAAGCGUUUCAGCGCUCUAAUGGGUGCAGUGUCAGCAGUUGGAGACAGUAAACGUAGCUCUGCAGUUGAUGAUCUCAAUUGCCACACACAACCAUCCCAGGUGCUUGCUUUAACUUCGCGCUGUCAAAUGUGGUUGCAUGUUGCAUAUGGUGUCUAGCUUGUAUUGCUUCCAAUUUGGUUAAAUUGCGUCUGCUUACUUUACACAUUAUACCUUUGAUAAUGACAUGCCUUCCUGUUUUUGAUACAUACUACAUAUGUCUAUUAACCAUGUUCGUACAUCAAACUAAUGCUCUUUUGUAUCCCUCGUCAAUCACUUAUGAUGAGACAGUCACCCGAGUGGGUUACUGUGAGAUGCCCUACUCGUUUAAAGAGUGCAGUGUCAUCCUCCCCACAUGAUUCUCAAGAAACAGCAAGGCUAAAUGAAGAUAGUCAACGUAGCUCUCUAGUUGAUCACCGCAAUUCCCCCACACCACCAUCGCAGGUGCUUGCUCUUACUUGGCAGUGUGAUAUGUGGUUGCAUGUUGCAUAUGGUGUCUACCUUGUAAUGCUUCUAAUUAGGGUAAAUUGCAUCUGCUUAGUUAACACAUUAUACAUGUGAAUAUGACAUGCCUUCCUGUUUUUGGUACAUACUACGUCUUUCUAUUAACCAUGUUCUUACAUCAAACUACUUUUCUUGUGUAUCCCUCAUCAAUGCUCCUAAUUUGUUAAAUUGCAUCUCCUUAGCUUACACAUUAUACAUGUGAAUAUGACACGCCUUCCUGUUUUUGGUACAUACUACAUCUGCCUAUCACACCAUGUUCUUACAUCAAACUACUGUUCUUGUGUAUCCUGCGUCUAUCGCUUAUGAUGAGACAGUCACGCGCGUGGGUUAAUAUGAGACGCAAUACUCUUAUAAAGAAUGCAAUUUCAUCCUCUCCACAUGAUUCUCAAGAAACAGCAAGCCUAAAUGAAGAUAUUGAACGUAGCUCUGUACCUGAAGACCGCACUUCCCCUACACCACCAUCACAGGUGCUUGCUCUAACUUCGCAGUGUGAUACGUGGUUGCAUGUUGCAUACGGUGUCUAGCUUGUAAUGCUUCUAAUUAGGGUAAAUUGCAUCUGCUUAGUUUACACACUAUACCUGUGAAUAUGACAUGCCUUCCUAUUUUUGGUACACACUACAUCCAUGUGUUAACCUUGUUCUUACAUGAAACUACCUCUCUUCUGUAUCCUGCAUCAAUCACUUACGAUGAGUCACCUUUAUUCGUUGCAUAUUGCAUAUUAUUUCUAGCCUGUUGCCAUGUAUUGCUUCUAAUUUGGUCAAAUACAUUUGUUAGGGCACCCUUUUAAUUUGGCAGAGUGAUAUUGGUUUCAUCUUUCAUAUGGUUUCUAGCUUGCAUCGAUUCUAACAAGUUCAAGCACCUUGUGCUUAGUUUACACUUUAUACAUCAUACAUGUCAAUAUGUCACGCCGUCCUGUUUUUCAUACAUAUUCCAUCCUCCUAUCAUGCGGCUGCCUUACAUGAAAGUAGUGUUCGUCAGUAUCAUGCAUAAAUGAGUUCUGAAGAGCAAAUUUUAUUCCUUUUUCUUGUGGGUUUGACUUGACAAGGCAAAAUCAAGAAAGAGGAAGGAAAAGAGUAAGGAAGGCGAUGAUGGUGGUCCUCUGCAGCAACGUAAACGAAGCAUCUGUACCGAUUCUCCUUGUACUGAUAGUGCAUUACAAGGUCCAAGUCUCCGCUCCCCUACUCCACCAUCCAAGGUGCUUGCUCUAACUUGGCAGUGUGAUAUCUGGUUGCAUGUUGCAUAUGGUGUCUAGCUCGUAUUGCUCCUAAUUAGUGUAAACUGCAUCUGCUUAGCUUACACAUGAUACAUGUGAAUAUGACAUGCUUUCCUGUUUUUGGUACAUACUAUAUCUGUCUAUCACACCAUGUUCUUACAUGAAACUACUCUUCUUGUGUAUCCUGCAUCAGUCACUUAUGAUGGGACACCUUUAAGUUGGCAGUGUGAUAUUGGUUUGCGUCUUGAAUAUGAUUUCUAGCAUGUAUUGCUUCUAGUUUGAUGAACGCCACCUAUGACGAGACAAUUUUAACUUGGCAGAGUGAUAUUGAUUGCACCUUCCAUAUGGUGUCUUGCAGUGUUUCUAAUUUUUUGAAGUGCCUUCUGCUUAGUUACCACAUCACAGGUGUGAAUAUGUCAAGCCGUCCAAUUUUUUCGUACAUAUUCCAUCCUCGUAUCAUGACUUUGCCUUUCAUCAGAGUAGUGUUCAUCAGUAUCAUGCAUGAAUGAGUUCUGAAGAGCGAAUGAUAUUCCUUUUUCUUGUCACUAUGACCUCACAAUGCAAAAUCAAUAAAGCUGAAGGAAAUUGGCAAGGCAUUGGAUGAUGGUGGUCCUUCUGAGCAACUGAAAUGGAGGUUCUCUACAGAUUCUACUCCGCCAUCCUCCCAACAAGAUUCGCAAGACAACGCAAGGCUAGACAGUCAAUGUAGAUGUGUAGAUGAUGAGCACAUCUCCCCUACUCCACCAUCACAGGUGCUUGCUCUAACUUGGCACUAUUAUAUGUGGUUGCAUGUUGCGUAUGAUGUCUAGCUUGUAUUGCUUCUAACUUUGUUGAAUUGCAUCUGCUUACUUUACACAUAAUGCCUGUGAAUAUGACAUGUGUUCCUGUUUCUACAUCAGACUACUAUUCUUGCAUAUCCCGCAUCAGUCACUUAUGAUAAGGCACCUUUAAGUCGCCACUGUGAUAUUGGUUGUGUCUUGCAUAUGAUUUCUAGCAUGUACUGCUUCUAAUUUGUUGAAACGCCAUACAGUUUGAACUUGGCAGAGUGAUAUUGGUUGCAUCUUUCAUAUGGUGUCUAGCUUGCAGUGCUUCUAAUUUGUUGAAAUGCCUUCUACUUAGUUACCACAUCAUAGGUGUGAAUAUGUCACACCAUCCUGUUUUUUCAUACAUAUUCCAUCCUCGCAUCAUGUGUUUGCCUUUCAUCCGAGUAGUGUUCGUCAGUAUCAUGCAUGAAUGAGUUCUGAAGAGCGAAUUUUAUUCCUUUUUCUUAUCGGUUUGACUUCACAAUGCAAAAUCAUUACAGCUGAAGGAAAUUAGUCCGUCAGUGGAUGAUGGUGGUCCUUCGGAGCAACUCAAACAGGGGGUCUCUACAGAUUCUACUCUGCCAUCCUCCCAACAAGAUUCGCAAGACAACACAAGGCUGGACAGUCAACGUAGCUGUGUAGAUGAUGAGCACAUCUCCCCUACUCCACCAUCACAGGUGCUUGCUCUAACUUGACACUAUUAUAUGUGGUUGCAUGUUGCGUAUGAUGUCUAGCUUGUAUUGCUUCUAACUUGAAUUGCAUCUGCUUACUUUACACAUAAUGCCUAUGAAUAUGACACGUGUUCCUGUUUCUAGAACAUACGUGUACAUGAUGAGCACAUCUCCCCUACUCCACCAUCACAGGUGCUUGCUCUUACUUGGAACUGUUAUACGUGGUUGCGUUUUCCGUAUGAUGUCUAGUUUGUAUUGCUUCUGAUUAUGUUGAAUUGCAUCUGCAUAUACCUGCAACGAUCACUUACCCAUAAGACACAUUUAACUUGGGACUGUGAUGUAGGUUGCAUCUUACAUUGUCUUCUAGCUUGUACUGCUUCUAAUUUCUUGAAAUGGCACUUACGACGAGACACUUUUUACCUGAUAGAUUGAUAUUGGUUGCAUGUUCAUAUGGUGCCUAGCUUUCAUUUCUUCUAAUUUUGUUGAAAUGCCUUCCGCUUACUGUUUUUUCAUACAUAUUCCAUCCUCCUAUCGUACGUGUGAAUAUGAAACACUGUCUUUUUUUGUAUAUAUUCCAUCCUCCUAUCCUGCGCUUGCCUUACAUCAAAGUAGUGUUCGUCUGUAUCAUGCAUCAACCAGUUAUGCAGAGCUAAUUUUAUUCAUCUUCUUGUGGUUUUGACUUCAUAAGGCAAUAUCAGAAAAUAGGAAGGAAAAUAGUAAGUUAGGGGAUGUUCGUGGUCCUCCGCACUGACGCAAACAGAGACUCUCUAGAUUUGCCACUGCUACUGCUAAUGAAGUUGAAGUCCCAAGUCUACAUGAUGAGUUCAUCUCCCGUACUCCACCAUCGCAUGUGCUUGCUCUAAGUUGACAGUGUGAUAAUUGGUUUCAUGUUGCAUAUGUUGUCUAGCCUGUAUUUCUUCUAUUUUGAUUAAAUUGCACCUGCUGAGUUUAUACGUUAUACAUGUGCAUAUGACAUGGCUUUCUGUGUCUAGAAUACACUGCAUCUAUCUAUCAUACCAUGUUCUUACAUCAAAGUACUGCUGUUGUGUAUCCCGCAUCAGUCACUCAUGAUUGGACGCUUUUAACAUGGCAGUUUGAUAGUGGUUGCAUCUUGCAUUGAUUUCUUCGUUGUACUGCUUUUAAUUUUUCGAAUUGCCACUUAUGACAAGACACUUUUAACUUGGCAGAGUAAUAUUGGUUGCAUCUUUCAUAUGGUGUCUAGCUUGCAUUACUUCUAUUUUCUUGAAAAUCCUUCUGCUUAGUUUGCACAUCGUAGCUGUGAAUAUGUCAUGCCGUCCUGUUUUUCUUACAUAUUCCAUCCUCAUACGGUUGUCUUACAUCAAAGUAUUGCUUGUCUGUAUCAUGCAUCAAUGAGUUCUGAAGAGUGAUUUUAUUCUUUUGUGUUGUGGGUACAGCUUGACAUGGCAAAGUCAAAAAAGAGCAAGGAAAAUAAUAUAGUAGGGAGUGCUGUUACUCGUCGGGUGAAACGGAAAAGGUUCUGCCGUCGAGAUUCUGCUGGUACUUAUAGUGCAGUAGAAGGUCCAAGUCCACCGGCUAAAUCUACAAACACAGUAUCACCUGCUCCACCAGCUGCAGCAUCCGCUUCAACUGUACCAGCAUCUCAACCAGUUACUCGUUCGUUUGCUCCGGAACUGGCCAGUUCCCAAGCUGCCUUCACACCUAACACUACUUCCGAAGCACUGCUGACACAACAGGACUUGGCAAGAUCAGAUGAACCUCAUGAGCAUCAACACCAAGACGGUACCUGACCGAGUCAAGUUGCAGUUGCAUGCUCCUUUAUAUGUACUCUCACAGUUUGAUGUACACUAACACUUUCCAUAUUCGUUGUUGAACUAGCACCACGGUGCAAGCGGAAACAGACAUCAGGGAUAAUGCUUGACAGACUAACAAAAUCUAAAGGAGGAAGAAUGGAGAUCCAUUUUGAGGCAGGUUUAAAAAGGCCACGUGAUGCUACAGAGUCAGCCAAGUUAGUAUCAGAGGCAGCCGUUGCCGUUAGGUGUCAUGCACGUAUCCUCCCAACGUGGAUCCAGUACAGGAAUGAGAAAGACAAUACCCAGUUUAACACCUUCCUUGACCAUUUAUCCGUAAGUAAUGUUAUUCAUCGCAAUUAGUAAUAUUGUCUUGCUCUGUCCCAUAAUUUCUAGCUUCCUCCUAAUAAGACUCACAUUCUUUUUUCAACAGAUGAGGUUCAAGUUGGAUCCGAAAGAUGAUGCAACUAAACAAGCAUGCACUCAUGUUUUUCAGUCUGUUCUGUGACAGUAUCGGUACCACCUUAGAAAAUCUCACUUUGAAGGCAAGGCUAACAAUGAAAUCGCCCAAACAUCUCCAGUGGAAUAUAUUACAGAUGAAGACUGGACAGCCCUCAUUAAACACUGGUCUGAUCCAAAGUGUCAGGUAGGCUAUAUGUAUUUGAUCAGACCACAUAUUGAACUUGUAUUUAUGUAUGUGCCUUACAAGUGUAUCUUCUUCUAGGCUAACUGUUUGAAGAACAAAACCAACCGUUCUAAAGUGAAAUUCCAACAGACAACAAGAUCUCGUAGCUAUAUUGCACACUGCGAGGCUCUUGUAAAUAGCUGCUACUUCCUUCUUUUUUUGUGCCAUAUUAUCGUAUCUAUAUUGACUUGUUCCAAAUACAGAGGAAAGCCCGUGCGGACCAAAAAGAACCUGAAGCGAAUGCAGUGCAAAUCUUCAAGGAUUGCCACACCAGCAAGAUGAAGGGCAUGAGCACACCAGUUCAAGCCGCUGUUGUAAGUCCUUACUCCUCCUGCCUUGAACUAAUUGGUACUGUGAUGUGUUCAUUUAACUACUUGGUUUGCAGCCAAUGUCAGUUACUCUAUUCACUUUUAUUCACAGUUGUCUUAACAUAUCAUUUCACCUUACAUGGUUUAAAAGAGAUGAAGGAUAUUCUUUUGGUCUUGAUCUGUAAUCUAGUUGUUAUGUUCACGUGCGUACACAAUGAUAAAAUAGCCUGUUUGUUUUAUAUCUGUUUGCCCAUGAUAUGAAUGAUGUCAUACUAUGUUCAUCCUACUUUAAACCAUGUCUCUUUAUCCUUAGAUGUCAACGAAUGUGAGGAAAUAGACAAUACAGUAGACAUGCUACAUGGACAUAUGUUCCGAAAGUGAUUUUAUUAUGUAGUUGGCACUACAAUACAUGCUAAUGUAUUACAGUAGUUCACCAAAAUAAGUUAUGUAUAAACGUUUAACCUACUUUGUUUGUUUUUGUCUCAUUAGUAACUUAUCUGGUACACUAAUCUACAAGUUCAAACUUUCAGGAAGCUAUGGAACAAAUGAUUGAACAGCCACAACCACCUGAAGGUGACGAGGCUACUACAGACACAAUGUCACCUCUUGCUACAGUGCGUCAGUAUCUCUCCACUAACAGUGCAAAAAGCACCUUCCUGCGUAAUUCUAGGUUGGUUGUCAAGGUAACCUCGUCCAAAUCGCCUACUGAACAAAAUCUUCCUGCUAGACAGAGUGAUAUAUCUGUGCUCCAGACACAAGUCCAAUCCCUAAUGGACUUGUUUCGGAAACAAGAAUAGUGGUUGAGAAAUGUCGUCAAGAUAUGAAUGGUUUUGAAACCAGACUAUCAGACACUGGCUUCGUUGUUCAAGAGCAAUGUCGGAAAAAAGGUGGAGAUCGUGCUGCUCCAUCAGAUUCUACAGCCUGAAACAUUAGCACUCAAGUUAAAUGAUCUGUGCUUCUAUACAUCUGAUGGUGCUUUUAUCUGGAAGGACUGUAAACUUUAUGCCAACAGGCCUUUUGUUGUAUGGUUGGAAUUUAUUUUGUUGUGAUACAACAUUUAUGAUGCUGCCUCAGGCUGCAGUAAUUACGACGCUAUUUUUGUAUAGUGUAGGUUUAUCUUAGUAAUGUAUUUGGCCGAAAGCUUCGUAGGAGCCCAACAUGCCAACAUUCGUCGGGCCCAUUCCAAUUGGGCUAAAAACGAUUACGGGCCGAAAUUGGCAUGUAGCCCACUAAAAAUAUCUGGGCCUAAAUCAGCAUAAGCUUUCAUAUUUUUCUGGUAGGCCUGUGCCCAUAGUGGGCCUUUAACAGGCCUAAACAUAAUUUGGGACCCUCAGUAAAAAUAGGCCGUUUACAUGUGUAAAUAUCUUGAGCCCAUAAAAACAUGGGCCUUUAAUAGACCGAAAGUGAGAUUGGGCCCUGAUUGUGCCAAAUAACCCACUGGACUUAGCACGCCGAAAUGGUGGCCCAUUUACGAUGCGGAUCUUUGACAGGCCGAAAUUCGGACGGGACGUAAAUGCGCCGACCUAAUACACGGGCCUUUAACAGGCCAGAACUUCGGUCAGGCUAGAUUAUCGUCAUUUUUAUAUGGGCCGUUAAUGGGCCCGAUAUGACGUGGGGCCACAUAUGGCCCAUGGUUUACGUUCGGCGUUAACAGGUCGAAAAUGACAACAGGCCGAAAGUGGCCCAAAGCUAUAGUGGGCCUCUAACAGGCCGAAUGUCAGACAUGGCCGAAUAUGACCCAAAUCCUUCACGGUCGUUUAUGGGCCGAAAGUUUUGAUGGCCUGUAAAUGGGCCCAAAUGAAGCCGGACCUUUAACAGGCCGGAAAUACACCGGGCCGUAAUUCGGCCCAAUUACUUAGCGGACUGUUAACGGGCCAGAAGUGACCAUGGGCCGCGUUGAUGACAAGUUUAGGACAGGCCGUUGACGGGCCGAUUUGACAGAGAAUGUUGGGCCUUUAGCUGGGCCGGCCCAUUAUGGUCUGCAGAAUCUUGUGGGCCUUUAGCUGGGCCGGCCCAUUGUGGUUCGCAAAAUCUUGUGGGCCUUUAGCUGGGCCGGCCCAUUAUGGUCUACAAAAUCGUGUGGGCCUUUAGCUGGGCCGGCCCAUUAUGGUCUGCUAAAUUUUGUGGGCCUUUAGCUGGGCCGGCCCAUUAUGGUCCGCUAAAUCUUAUGGGCCUUCGGUUGGGCCGGCCCAUUUAAACUUUGUGGGCCACUUUUGGGCCGGUCCAUGUGUCAACAUAUCAUAGGCCCAUCUCGAUCGUUGGAUGAGUGACACCUGUGCCAACGCGGAGCUGACACAUGGAUCCGUCAGCCAAUGAGAAUUUUACACGUGGAAAAUCGGCAUUGGUCGUGGCUGUUAACGGGUUAUCGGAUCCAAAAUCCGACCCGAUAGCUUAACGGCGUUCCGUUACGGUGGAUGCCACGUGUCGGUCACCCUUGACGAAAGCACUUCUGUGACGCGCGAUUUAUCGUCAUGGAAGUGGACACUUCCGUGAUGAUAAUUUUGGCAAUGUCAUGGAACACUUCUACGACAACACGGGCAUGACUAUCUUGAUUCUGUCAUAAAUUUGUCAUGGAUGUACAUGCAUGACAGAAAACGCGACCUACUGUGACAAACACAUAUCAUCACGGAAGUGUAUUUUUUUGUACUGUUUCCCUUUGAAGUUAUCUUAUCCGACUGAGUCUUUAAGGAUUUGAGAACACUUGAUGUAUGUCUUGCGUGGGAUACCCGUGGUGACAAUGGGGUAUUCUAUUGAUACACUUGAUGUAUGUUUUGGUGAUCAACUUGCGGGUUCUGUGACCUUGGGAAUCUAUGCAUAGGGGUUGGCACACAUUUUCGUCUUGACUCUCCGGUAGAAACUUUGGGGCACUCUUUGAAGUUCUUUGUGUUGGUUGAAUAGAUGAAUCUGAGAUUGUGUGAUGCAUAUCGUAUAAUCAUACCCACGGAUACUUGAGGUGACAUUGGAGUAUCUAGGUGACAUUAGGGUUUUGGUUGAUUUGUGUCUUAAGGUGUUAUUCUAGUACGAACUCUAUGAUAGAUCGAACGGAAAGAAUAGCUUCGUGUUAUUUUACUACGGACUCUUGAAUAGAUCGAUCAGAAAGGAUAAGUUUGAGGUGGUUUCCUACCCUACAAUAAUCUCUUUGUUUGUUCUCCGCUAUUAGUGACUUUGGAGUGACUCUUUGUUGCAUGUUGAGGGAUAGUUAUAUGAUCCAAUUAUGUUAUUAUUAUUGAGAGAACUUGCACUAGUGAAAGUAUGAACCCUAGGCCUUGUUUCAACACAUUGCAAUACCAUUUACGCUCACUUUUAUCAUUAGUUACCUUGCUGUUUUUAUAUUUUCAGAUUACAAAAACCUAUAUCUAUCAUCCAUAUUGCACUUGUAUCACCAUCUCUUCGCCGAACUAGUGCACCUAUACAAUUUACCAUUGUAUUGGGUGUGUUGGGGACACAAGAGACUCUUUGUUAUUUGGUUGCAGGGUUGUUUGAGAGAGACCAUCUUCAACCUACGCCUACCACGGAUUGAUAAACCUUAGGUCAUCCACUUGAGGGAAAUUUGCUACUGUCCUACAAACCUCUGCACUUGGAGGCCCAACAACGACUACAAGAAGAAGGUUGUGUAGUAGACAUCAAGCUCUUUUCUGGCGCCGUUGCCGGGGAGGUGAGUGCUUGAAGGUAUAUCUUCAGAUCUUGCAAUCGAAUCUUUUAGUUUCUUGUUUUAUCACUAGUUUAGUCUAUAAAAGAAAACUACAAAAAAUGGAAUUGAGGGUGCCUCAUAUGCUUCAUCUUUUUAAUAUCUUUCGUGAAAAUGAUGGAAAGGAAAAUUGUGCUCAAUUGCUAGAGGAAGAAUGCAUUAAAAUGUUUGGCACUAAAUCUUUGAAUGAUGAGCAUGAUUGCAAUGUUGUUAGUAUGAAUUCUUUGAAUACCCAUGAUGCUAAUGAUAUGCAAAGCCACAAGCUUGGGGAUGCUAUGUUUGAUGAAGAUGAUAUGUUUAGUCCCCCAAGUUUUGAUGAGCAAAUUUAUUAUGAUGAAAUCAUGCCUCCUAUUUAUGAUGAUUAUUGUGAUGACACGUAUGCUAUAAAGAACAAAGAUAACCAUGAAACUUAUCAUCAUGAUUUUAAUUUUCAAUGGGAUUAUGCCUCACAUGAUAGUUAUUUUGUUGAGUUUGCUCCCACUACUAUUCAUGAGAAGAAAUUUGCUUAUGUGGAGAGUAAUAAAAAUUCUAUGCUUGUAGAUCAUGAAAAGAAUGCUUUAUGUGAUGGUUAUAUUGUUGAAUUCAUUCAUGAUGCUACUGAAAAUUAUUAUGAGGGAGGAAUAUAUGCUUGUAGGAAUUGCAAUAAUAUCAAGUUUCCUCUCUAUGUGCUUAAAAUCUUGAAGUUAUGUUUGUUUUGCUUUCCUAUGCUAGUUGAUUAUUGUUCCCAUAAAUUGUUUGCUCACAAAAUCCCUAUGGAUAGGAAGUGGGUUAGACUUAAAUGUGCUAGUCAUAUUCUUCAUGAUGCUCUCUUUAUGUUUCAAUUCUUAUCUUUUAUGUGAGCAUCAUUGAAAUCAUCAUGCCUAGCUAAAAAGGCAUUAAAGAAAAUUGCUUGUUGGGAGACAACCCAAUAUUUACCCUUACUGUUUUUGUGUGUUCACAUGAUUAUGCUACUGUAGUAAUCAUGUUUUAUAGAUUUUGUUUCAAUAAAGUGCCAAGUAAGACCUUUAGGAUAGCUUACGGUGAUAGUUGUGUUGAUCCUGCUGAAAAUCAGGAACUUUUGCGCCCAGUAAAUUAGUUUUGGUAAUUCACAGAAACGUGCUUUUGAUCUGAUUCUUUUUGCUCUGGAUUGGUACACAAAUUUCUCAUGUUUUCCUAAUUUGGUAGAAUUUUUGGAGUGAUAGAAGUAUUCGUGAGUUACAGAUUACUAGAGUGUUCUGUUUUUGACAGAUUCUGUUUUCAUUGUGUUGUUUGCUUAUUUUGAUGAAUCUAUGAGUAGGAUCGGAGGGUAUGAACCAUAGAGAAGUUGGAGUGCAGUAGAUAUUACACCAAUAUGAAUUUAGAAUGAGUUCACAACAGUACCAAAAGUGGUGAUUUAUUUUCUUAUACUAACGGAGCUUACGAGUUUUCUGUUGAGUUUUGUGUUGUGAAGUUUUCAAGUUUUGGGUAAAGAUUCGACGGACUAUGGAAUAAGGAGUGGCAAGAGCCUAAGCUUGGGGAUGCCCAAGGCACCCCAAGGCAAUAUUCAAGGACAACCAAGAGCCUAAGCUUGGGGAUGCCCCAGAUGGCAUCCCCUCUUUCUUCUUCGUUCAUCGGUAACUUUACUUGGAGCUAUAUUUUUAUUCACCACAUGAUAUGUGUUUUGCUUGGAGUGUCAUUUUAUUUUCUUUUAUUUUUCUUGCUGUUUGAAUAAAGUACUUAAGAUCUGAAAUACUUUAAUGAGAAAGAGUCCUCACAUAGCUAAAUAAUUAUUUGACUACUCAUUGAUCUUCACUUAUAUCUUUUUAGAGUACUUUGUCAUUUGCUCUAGUGCUUCACUUAUAUCUUUUUAGAGCACGACGGUGGUUUUAUUUUGAAGAAAUAGAUGAACUCACAUGCUUCACUUAUAUUAUUUUGUGAGUCUUUUAGAACAGCAUGGUAAUUUUCUUUGGCUAUAAAAUUAGUCCUAAUAUGAUAGGCAUCCAAAAUGGGUAUAAUAAAAACUUCCAUAUAUAGAGUGCAUUGAAUACUAAUGAGAAGUUUGACUUGAUGAUUGUUUUGAGAUAUGAAGAUGGUGAUAUUAGAGUCAUGCUAGUAGGGUAAUUAUGAAUUUGAGAAAUACUUGUGUUGAGGUUUGGAAGUCUCGUAGCAUGCACGUAUGGUAACCGUUGUGUGACAAAUUUGAAGCAUGAGGUAUUUCUUUGAUUGUCUUCCUUUGUGUUUAGGUCGGGAUCGCGCGAUGGUUAACUCCUACCAACCCUUCCCCUUGGGGCAUGCGUGUAGUACUUUGUUUUGAUGACUUGUAGAUUUUUGCAAUAAGUAUGUGAGUUCAUUAUGACUAAUGUUGAGUCCAUGGAUUAUACGCACUCUCACCCUUCCAUCAUUGCUAGCCUCUUCGGUGCCGUGCAUUGCCCUUUCUCACCUUGAGAGUUGGUGCAAACUUCGCCGGUGCAUCCAAACCCCGUGAUAUGAUACGCUCUAUCACACAUAAACCUCCUUAUAUCUUCCUCAAAACAGCCACCAUACCUACCUAUUAUGGCAUUUCCAUAGCCAUUCUGAGAUAUAUUGCCAUGCAACUUUCCACCGUUUCAUUUAUUAUGACACGCUUCAUCAUUGUCAUAUUGCCUUCCAUGAUCAUGUAGUUGACAUCGUAUUUGUGGCAAAGCCACCAUUCAUAAUUUUUCAUACAUGUCACUCUUGAUUCAUUGCCUAUCCCGGUACACCGCCGGAGGCAUUCAUAUAGAGUCAUACUUUGUUCUAGUAUCGAGUUGUAAUCUUUGAGUUGUAAAUAAAUAGAAGUGUGAUGAUCAUCAUUAAUAGAGCAUUGUCCCCCCAAAAAAAGGUCAAAUGAAAAAAGGGCCAAAUAAAAAAAGAAAAGAAAAAGAAAAAAGAGAGAAAGAAAAUAAAGAAAAUAAAAGGGACAAUGCUACUAUCCUUUUUCCACACUUGUGCUUCAAAGUAGCACCAUGAUCUUCAUGAUAGAGAGUCUCUUAUAUUGUCACUUUCAUAUACUAGUGGACAUUUUUCAUUAUAGAACUUGGCUUGUAUAUUCCAACGAUGGGCUUCCUCAAAUGACCUAGGUCUUCGUGAGCAAGCAAGUUGGAUGCACACCCACUAGUUUUUUUUGUUGAGCUUUCAUACAUUUAUAGCUCUAGUGCAUCCGUUGCAUGGCAAUCCCUACUCCUCGCAUUGACAUCAAUUGAUGGGCAUCUCCAUAGCCCGUUGAUUAGCCGAGUCAAUGUGAGACUUUCUCCUUUUUUUGUCUUCUCCACACAACACCCAUCAUUAUAUUCUAUUCCACCCAUAGUGCUAUGUCCAUGGCUCACGCUCAUGUAUUGCAUGAAAGUUGAAAAAGUUUGAAAAUACAAAAGUAUGAAACAAUUGCUUGGCUGAAACCGGUGUUGUGCAUGAUUUGAGUAUUUUGUGUGACAAAGAUGAAGCAUGGCCAAACUAUAUGAUUUUGUAGGGAUGAGCUUUCUUUGGCUAUGUUAUUUUGAGAAGACAUAAUUGCUUGGUUAGUAUGCUUGAAGUAUUAUUGUUUUUAUGUCAAUAUUAAACUUUUGUCUUGAAUCUUAUGGAUCUGAAUAUUCUUGCCACAAUAAAGAAGAUUACAUUGAUAAAUAUGUUAGGUAGCAUUCCACAUCAAAAAUUCUGCUUUUAUCAUUUACCUACUCGAGGACGAGCAGGAAUUAAGCUUGGGGAUGCUUGAUACGUCUCCAACGUAUCUAUAAUUUUUUAUUGUUCCAUGCUAUUAUAUUAUCCAUCUAGGAUGUUUUAUAUGCAUUUAUAUGCUAUUUUAUAUGAUUUUUGUAACUAACCUGUUAACCUAGAGCCCAGUGUCAGUUUCUGUUUUUUCCUUGUUUUUGAGUAUCGCAGAAAAGGAAAACCAAACGGAGUCCAAUUGACCUGAAAUUUCACAGAGAUUAUUUUUGGACCAGAAGAAGCCCACGGAGCAUCGGAGAUGGGCCAGAAGAGUCCCGAGGCACCCACGAGGGUGGGGAGCGCGCCCUACCCCCCUGGGCGCGCCCCCUACCUCGUGGCCGCCUCGGAGACCCCCCUGACUUGUUCCCGACGCCAACACCUCUUAUAUAUACCCAAACUUCCAGAACAUAACCUAGAUCGGGAGUUCCGCCACCGCAAGCCUCUGUAGCCACCGUAAACCAAUCUAGACCUGUUCCAGCACCCUGCCGGAGGGGGGAAUCCCUCUCCGGUGGCCAUCUUCAUCAUCCCGGUGCUCUCCAUGACGAGGAGGGAGUAGUUCACCCUCGGGGAUGAGGGUAUGUACCAGUAGCUAUGUGUUUGAUCUCUCUCUCUCUCUCGUAUUCUUGAUUUGGCACGAUCUUGAUGUAUCGCGAGCUUUGCUAUUAUAGUUGGAUCAUAUGAUGUUUCUCCCUCUCUACUCUCUUGUAAUGGAUUGAGUUUUCCCUUUGAAGUUAUCUUAUCGGAUUGAGUCUUUAAGGAUUUGAGAACACUUGACGUAUGUCUUGCAUGGGAUACCUGUGGUGACAAUGGGGUAUUCUAUUGAUUCACUUGAUGUAUGUUUUGGUGAUCAACUUGCGGGUUCCGUGACCUUGGGAAUCUAUGCAUAGGGGUUGGCACACGUUUUCAUCUUGACUCUCCGGUAGAAACUUUGGGGCACUCUUUGAAGUUCUUUGUCUUGGUUGAAUAGAUGAAUCUGAGACUGUGUGAUGCAUAUCGUAUAAUCAUACCACGGAUACUUGAGGUGACAUUGGAGUAUCUGGGUGACAUUAGGGUUUUGGUUGAUUUGUGUCUUAAGGUGUUAUUCUAGUAUGAACUCUAUGAUAGAUCGAACGGAAAGAAUAGCUUCGUGUUAUUUUACUACGGACUCUUGAAUAGAUCGAUCAGAAAGGAUAAGUUUGAGGUGGUUUCGUACCCUACAAUAAUCUCUUCGUUUGUUCUCCGCUAUUAGUGACUUUGGAGUGACUCUUUGUUGCAUGUUGAGGGAUAAUUAUAUGAUCCAAUUAUGUUAUUAUUGUUGAGAGAACUUGCACUAGUGAAAGUAUGAACCCUAGGCCUUGUUUCAACGCAUUGCAAUACCAUUUACGCUCACUUUUAUCAUUAGUUACCUUGCUGUUUUUAUAUUUUCAGAUUGCAAAAACCUAUAUCUAUCAUCUAUAUUGCACUUGUAUCACCAUCUCUUCGCCGAACUAGUGCACCUAUACAAUUUACAUUGUAUUGGGUGUGUUGGGGACACAAGAGACUCUUUGUUAUUUGGUUGCAGGGUUGUUUGAGAGAGACCAUCUUCAACCUACGCCUCCCACAGAUUGAUAAACCUUAGGUCAUCCACUUGAGGGAAAUUUGCUACUGUCCUACAAACCUCUGCACUUGGAGGCCCAACAACGUCUACAAGAAGAAGGUUGUGUAGUAGACAUCAAUACCCAUUAGAGGAAGGAAAAGGUCCCAUGUAAUCAAAUCCCCAAACAUCAAAUGGUUCAACAGCAAGUGAAUAGUUCAUAGGCAUUUCUUGACGCUUACCAAUAUUACCUAUUCUUUGGCAUUCAUCACAAGAUGAGACAAACUUACGAGCAUCCUUGAAGAGAGUAGACCAAUAAAAUCCAGACUCCAAUACCUUAUGAGCAGUUCUAUCUCCACCAUGAUGCCCUCCAUAAGCUUCGGAGUGAAAUUUCUAUAGGAUUUGUCCCUCUUCAUGCUCAGGUACACAACCUCUAAUAAUACCAUCUACUCCUUCUUUAUAAAGAUGUGGGUCAUCCCAAAAGUAAUGUCUUAAAUCAUAGAAGAAUUUUUUUCUUUUGUUGAUAUGUAAAGCUAGGUGGUAAAUAUUUAGCAAUAAUGUAAUUAGCAUAUUCAGCAUACCAAGAAGUGCUAUUAGCAACAUUUACUGCAGCUAACUACUCAUCAGGAAAACUAUCAUCAAUAGGAAGUGGGUUAUCAAGCACAUUUUCAAGCCUAGACAAGUUAUCAGCUACAGGGUUCUCAGCUCCCUUUCUAUCAAUAAUAUGCAAAUCAAAUUCUUAACAAUAAAACCCAACGAAUAAGUCUAGGUUUAGCAUCUUUCUUUUCCAUAAGAUAUUUAAUAGCAGCAUGGUCUGUGUGAACAGUUACUUUGGAAUCAACAAUAUAAGGUCUAAAUUUAUCACAAGCAAACACCACUGCUAAGAAUUCUUUUUCAGUUGUAGCAUAAUUUCUUUGAGCACGGUCUAGAGUUUUACUAGCAUAAUGAAUAACAUUCAAUUUCUUAUCAACUCUUUGCCCUAAAACAGCAUCAACAACAUAAUCACUAGCAUCACACAUAAUUUCAAAAGGCAAGUUCCAAUCAGGUGGUUGAACAAUAGGUGCAGAGAUUAAAGCUUUCUUGAGUGUUUCAAAGGCUUCAAGACAAUCAUCAUCAAAGACAAAAGGGAUAUCCUUUUGCAAAAGGUUAGUGAGAGGUCCAGAAAUUUUAGAGAAGUCUUUGAUAAAUCUCCUAUAGAAACCAGCAUGGCCUAGGAAACUACGAAUACCUUUUAUGUCCUUGGGACAUGGCAUUUUCUCAAUAGCAUCAACCUUAGCUUGGUCCACUUCAAUACCUUUUUUGGAGAUUUUAUGACCCAAGACAAUGCCUUCAUUCACCAUAAAGUGGCACUUCUCCCAAUUCAAGACAAGAUUUGUUUGUUCACAUCUCUGCAAAACUCGAUCAAGAUUGCUUAAAUAAUCAUCAAAAGACUUCCCAUAAACAGAGAAGUCAUCCAUGAAAACCUCAACAAUCUUUUCACAAAAGUCAGAUAAUAUAGCCAUCAUGCAUCUUUGAAAGGUAGCGGGUGCAUUACAUAAACCAAAAGGCAUACGUCUCUAAGCAUAAGUUCCAAAAGGACAAGUAAAAGUAGUCUUUUCUUGAUCAGGUUGAGAAACAUGUAUUUGCGAGAAGCCAGAAUAUCCAUCAAGGAAGCAAAAAUGUGUGUGCUUUGAUAAUCUUUCAAGCAUUUGGUCAAUAAAAGGCAAAGGGUAAUGAUCUUUUCCAGUAGCUUUAUUUAAUUUUCUAAAAUCAAUUACCAUUCUAUAGCCUGUAACAAUUCUUUGUGGAAUAAGUUCAUUCUUGUCAUUAGGAACAACAGUAAUACCUCCUUUCUUAGGGACACAAUGAAUAGGAUUUACUCAUCUAAUAUGAGCUAUAGGAUAGAUUAUACUUGCUUCCAGAAGUUUUAAUAUUUCCGUUCUUACCACCUCUUUCAUUUUUGGAUUUAACCGACGUUGGUGAUCAACAACUGGUUUAGCAUCAGGUUCCAUAUUAAUUUUGUGCGGACAUAGAGUGGGACUAAAUCCCUUUAAAUCAUCAAGAGUAUAUCCAAUAGCAGCUUGGUGCUUCCUUAGAACUUUCAAUAAUCUUUCUUCUUCAUGUUCUGAAAGGUUAGCACUGAUAAUAACAGGAUAUAUCUUCUUUUCAUCACGAUAAGCAUAUUUCAAAGUGUCUGGCAAUUGUUUUAAUUCAAACACAGGAUCACCUUUAGGUGGAGGAGGGCCUCCAAGAGUUUCAAUAGGCAAAUUGUGUUUAAGCAGAGGACAUUGUUCAAAGAAAAUAUUAUCUAUUUCAUUUCUUUCAUGCAUAUGUAAAUCAUUUUCAUGGUCUAGUAAGUAUUGCUCUAAAGGAUCAGUAGGUGGCACAUGAAUAGAAGCAAGACCAAUGAAUUCAUCCUUACUAGGCAAUUCUUUUUCAUAAUGAUUUCUACUAAACUUGGAAAAAUUAAACUCAUGAGACUCAUCACAAAAGCUAACACCCACAGUUUGUUUCUGGCAAUCAUUCCUAGCAUUAAAUGUGUUCAAGAGAGGUCUACCAAAGAUAAUGGGACAGAAGUCAUCAGGUGGGGUACCAAGAACAAGAAAAUCGGUAGGAUAUUUCGUUUUCCCACACAAGACUUCAACAUCUCUAAAAAUCCCUACUGGUGAUAUAGUGUCUCUAUUUGCAAGUUUAAUAGUAACAUCUAUGUCUUCUAUCUCAACAGGUGCUAUGUCCUCCCUAAUUUCUUGAUAUAACUUGUGAGGAAUAGCACUCACACUAGCACCCAUAUCACAUAAACCAUAAUAACAGUGAUCUCCUUUUAACUGAAAUGACAGGCAGGCCAACAACUAGUCUAUUUUUAUCCCUUUUUCGGGUUUGGCAAUUCUAGUAGCUUCUGCAUAGAAGUAGAUAACAUGCCCGUCCACAUCUUCUUCUAAGAGAUCUUUAACCAUAUCAAUAUUAGGUUCAACUCUAAUUUGUUCAUCUGGUUUAGGUGUUCUAACAGAGCAUUUGUUGACCACAGUUGAAACUUUAGCAUGUUCCUUUAUCCUAAGAGGAAAAAUGAGGUUUCUCAACAUAAGCAGUAGGAACAAUUGGAUCAACAUUAUAGAGUAUAGUUUCUUCUUUAACUGGUACCGGUUCUUUAAUUUCUUCUUUAAUAGGUGGAUGAUAUUUAAGCCACUUCUCUUUAGGGAGUUUAACAUGAGUAGCAAAUGAUUCACAAAAGGAGACUACUAUCUUAGAGUCAAGUCCAUAUUUAGUGCUAAACUUUUGAAAAGCAUCGGUAUCCAUAAAAGAUUUAACACAAUCAUACUUAAGCUUUAUACCUGACUCUUUACCUUCGUCGAGUUCCCAAUCUUCAGAGUUGCGUUUAAUUCUUUCCAAAAGAUCCCACCGGAAUUCAAUAGUCUUCUUCAUAAAAGAACCAGCACAAGAAAUACCCAACAUGGUUUGAUCAUUACGAGAAAGCCGAGCAUAAAAAUUCUGAAUAAUAAUUUCUCUUGAGAGCUCAUGAUUGGGGCAUGAAUAUAACAUUGACUUAAGACUCCCCCAAGCUAGAGCGAUACUUUCUCCUUCACGAGGCCAAAAAUUAUAUAUAUAUAAUUCCGAUCACGAUGAACUAGAUGCAUAGGAUAAUUUUUUUGGUGGAACUCCAAUCUCAAACGAUUCCAAUUCCAUGAUCCAAUAUCAUAGCAUAGCCUAUACCAUGCCAAUGCUUUUCCCUUCAAAGAUAAAGGGAAAACCUUUCUCAUCACUUCAUCCUGGGGUAAACCUGCAAGCUUAAACUAUCCACAAAUUUGUUCCACAUGUAUCAAGUGCAUAUCAGGAUGUUCAGUUCCAUCUCCUACAUAAGGAUUAGCUAGCAGUUGUUCUAUCAUACCCGAAGGAACUUCAUAUUCAAUAUUUUCAGUAGGUGCAGUAGGUUGAGGGGCAAUUAAUUGUGGUUCCGGAUGAGGUGAAGAUACCCCGAACAAACCCCUCAAAGGAUUGUUCUCCAUAGUAACAAGUGACAAUAAAUUUCAGCACACUAUAUAAAUGUUUCCUUAUCGAAUUCCACUUACCAAAGGCGCUUCACUCCCCAGCAAUGGCGCUAGAAAAUUGCCUUGAUGACCCACAAGUAUAGGGGAUCAAUUGCAGCUUUUUUUUAUAAGUAAGAGUGUCGAACCCAACGAGGAGCAGAAGGAAAUGACAAGUAGUUUUCAGUAAGGUAAUGUCUACAAGUGCUGAAACUAUAAGUAGCGAGUAGUUUGAUAGCAAGAUAAUUUGUAACGAGCAAGUAACAAUAAUUGUAACAAGUAUGCAGCAAGGUAGCCCAAUCCUUUUGAGGCAAAGGAUGGGCCAAAACGGUCUCUUAUGAUAAGCAAAGCGUUCUUGAGGGUACACGGGAAUUUCAUCUAGUCACUUUCAUCAUGUUGGUUCGAUUUGUGUUCGCUACUUUGAUAAUUUGAUAUGUGGGUGGACCGGUGCUUAGGUGUUGUUAUUACUUGAACAAACCUCGUACUUAUGAUUAACCCUCCCGCAAACAUCCGCAGCUACGAGAAAAGUAUUAAGGAUAAAUCCUAACCAUAGCAUUAAACUCUAGGAUCCAAUCGGUCCCUUACAGAAUAGUGCACAAAUUGGGGUUUAAGUUUCUAUCACUCUCGUAACCCACCAUCUAUUUACUACUCAACAAUGCAUUCCCUUAGGCCCAAAUAUGGUGAAGUGUCAUGUAGUCGACGUUCACAUGGCACCACUAAGGGAAUCACAACACACAUACUAUCAAAAUAUCGAACACAUAUCGAGUUCACAUGAUUACUUGCAACAUGAUUUAUCCCGUGACCUCAAGAACAAAGGUAACUACUCACAAACAAUGAACAUAUAAUGUAUCUGAACAUAUAAUCUUCCACCAAAUAAACCAUAUAGUAAACAACUACAACAUGUAAUCAACACUACUAGCCACCCCUAGCAACAAUCUAUAGUUCCGGUAACAAGAUUGAAUACAAGAGAUGAACUAGGGUUUGAGAUGAGAUGGUGCUGGUGAAGAUGUUGAUGGAGAUUGUCCUCCCCAAGAUGGGAGAGUUGUUGGUGAUGAUGAUGACGAUGAUUCCCCCCCCCCCGGGAGGGAAAUUCCCCCGGCAGAAUCGCUCUGCCGAAGGGCAAAAGUGUUCCUGCCCAAGUUCCGCCUCAAGACAGUGGCGCCUCGUCCCGAAAGCCUUCCCGUGAUUUUUUCUAGGUCAAAAUCACUUAUAUACUAGAAGAUGGGCACGGGAGGUGGGCCGAGGAGGCCACAACCCACCAGGGCGCGCCAGGGGGGCUGGCGUGCCCAGGUGGGUUGUGCCCACCUGGUGGCCCCCCUCUGGUAUUUAUUGGCUCCAUUAUUUCUUAAAUAUUCCGUAAAAAUUCCUCGUGGAGUUUUAGCUCAUUUGAAGUUGUGCAGAAUAGGUGACCUGACGUAGGUUUUCCAGGUCCAGAUUUCCAGCUGCCGGAAUUCUCCCUCUUGGUGUGUUCCUUGCAAAUUGUGAGAGAAAAGGCAUUAGAAUUACACCAAAAAGCAUUAUUAUGGAUAAAAACAUUAUAAAUAACAGCAAGAAAACAUGAUGCAAAAUGGACGUAUCACUCAACCAGAUAAUGAUAAAUAAUCUGAUAAUGAUGUAAAGAUAGAACCUGUUGUUAAUCUUGAUAACCCACUUCCCAAAAAGAAAAGAUAUCAUGAAAGAGAUUUCAUUGCUAGAAAACAUGGUAAAGAAAGAGAACCAUGGGUCUAGAAACCCAUGUCUUUACCUACCAAGCUUCUGAAAAAUAAGGACGAGGAGGAUUUUGAGCGCUUUGUUGAAAUGCUUAGACCUGUCUUUUUGCGCACUCGCUUGAGUGACAUUCUGAAAAUGCCUCCAUAUGCUAAGUAUAUGAAAGAUAUUAUCACUAAUAAAAGAAAGAUACUUGAAGCUGAAAUUUCCACCAUGCUUGCAAAUUAUUCUUUUAAGGGUGGAGUACCUAAGAAAUUAGGAGAUCAAGGAAUACCAACUAUACCAUGCACCAUUAAAAGAAGUUAUGUCAAAACUACUUUAUGUGAUUUGGGAGCCAGUGUUACUGUUAUGCCUUUCUCUUUACAUAAAAGACUUGAUUUGAAUAAGCUCACACCUACUGAAAUAUCUUUGCAAAUGGCUGAUAAAUCAACUGCUAUACCCAUUGGAAUUUAUGAGGAUGUGCUUGUUGUAGUGGCAAAUGUUACUAUCUUAACAGACUUUGUUAUACUUGAUAUGCCUGAGGAUGACAACAUGUCAAUUAUACUUGGUAGACCCUUUUUGAAUACUGCAGGGGCUAUUAUUGAUUGCAACAAAAGCAAGACCACUUUCAUAUUAAUGGUAAUGAGCAUACAAUACAUUUUCCGAAGAAACAACUCCAAGUGAAUGGUAUCAAUUGUAUUGAAAAGGUUUCGACAAUCGCUAUUAGAGGUUUUUAAUUUCCUAUUCCUUCUGUCAAAAAGAAUUAUGAAACUCUUAUUGUUGGGGAGAUGCAUAUCCCCAUUGAGGUAACCUAGUAUUAUACGGAGAUUCUUCGGUUUCAUGUUACUCGGAAAUAGUUUGUUAAUAAGACUUGAUCAACCUUAUUAAUGGAUCCUUUUUGAGGGGCCUGCGGUCGAUGAAUUUAGCAGGCACAACCUUCUGUAAUCAUAGUUUGCUCUCUAUUAUUUUUAGUUCAAUAAAGUAAUAUGCCAUGAUUAUCCUGUUUUCUGAAUUGUCCGUGCAAUAAAGAUGGCCCAAAAAAUAAAAGUGUCAGGAUGUCGUAAAAUUUUAACAUGUUUUUUAUGGAAUAUUUAAGAAUUUUUUGCACUGAAUACAUUCCAGCAGGGUGCCCCUGUAGCUCACAAGGCAACAGGGCGCGGCCACCCCUCGGUGCGCCAAGAUGCCUUGUUGGUCCCACGGGACCCACCUCACUUCAGCCCACUUCGUCUCUUACCUCCAGAAAAUAAAAUCAUGGGUGCUCUCUCUCUUUCUCUCUCUCUCGUGUUCUUGCUCCCAAAACAGAUAUUUUCGAUCUCUUUGCUUGGAGCUCCGUUUCCGAAACUGUUUUGAGGGAUUGCUCCUUGGUAUGUCACUCAUCCAUUGAUCUAAUUAGGUUUUGCUUUAGUGGAUUAUAUUUUGCAUAGUUUACUGCUCUUGGUGCUACUGAAAUGAGCUUGCAUGUUAACUUCUUUAAGUUCCAAGUAGUUUGAAUGCUUUCUAUAGCCUCUAGACAUCCAUAUAUGAGUAGUUGCUAUCAACCUUAUGAAGUUUUGUUAACAUCUUUUUGUGCUCCAAAACUUUCAGAAAUUUGUUCUUAGGAAAAUGAACUUCUUCCAGAGUGGUUCUUCAGGUCGGAAUGCCAAGGGGGUAGUUGGGGAUGCCCAGGACCAUGACCUUAACAUUCCGCGUAGGAUGGAGGUCCGCCCUGCGAGUGGCCACACAAUGCUUUUAUGAAAGAAGCCUAGUUUCACCAAGAGUUCAAGCAAUUCGUUGCAAAUGCCGGGUUGGCUGACUUCCUCGCAGAUGAGUGUGAUUGGUACCACAUCCUUACAAAUUCCUCUGUGCAAAAUUUCCAUUUCUUGCAUAGGCUCGAGCCUCCCAUGGUGACUUAUAUCCUAAACAUCAUGAGAUACGAUUUACUGAGUUAUGUCAGAUAUGUUUGAUUCCCUCUAAUGGGGAAAUAAGAGAGCCUGGACCGGAAGAGUUCAAGGGAUUCCGCCGUACUUUAACCAUGGGAGAGCGUAGGGGCGUCUCAAAAGUCAGAGCCACUAGCUUGCAUUUUACUGCUGUGCAUUACUUUGCUUUAUUCAUAGGAAAAUGUUUGACUACUAGGGAGGAAGGAGGCACACUCAGUGCCCCUGACCUUGCCAUUUUACGCCACACACUUUUUGUUGACAACACUUAUAGCCUUGGAGCUAUCAUUGCACGCCGCCUGCACACUAAUAGGACUAUGGGUAAAUUUCAUGGUGGUAUUUAUGCUACUCGCUUGGUGUCGUGGAAUAGUCACGGCAGAUGUCCUUAGUGUCAGGACUUAGUCGCGAGGCCAGCGCAUCUAUGUGGUAGCUUGAGAGGGGUUAGGCGGAAUCAAGAGACACAACACAAGACAAGGAUUUAGACAGCUUCGGGCCCCGGGAAACAUCAUCCGGUAAUAGCCCUACAUGUUGUUUGUGGCUAGGUCUCAUUAUGCUCAUGAGAGAGUCGCCGGUAAGCCGGCUCUUUGUGUCUAGCCCUAUAGAUUGUUUCUUGUUCCUUGUCCCUCUUUGGGGUGCCCUGCCCCUCCUUAUAUAAGUUGGAGAGGUGGCUUUACAUGUAGAGUCCUAGUAGGAUUAGAACUAACUUAUUCUCUAUUACAAGUUGGAUACAAGUACGGGUCUUGCUUCCUCGUAAAGGAAAUAUUCCUCAUGCCUUCCGUCUUAAGCCGGCCCAUAAUAACACGUCCCGGCCUACUCGGCCUUGGGCCCUUGUCAUCCGUCUGACCCGCCGUCGGGGCCAUCAUUAAGUCGCCAGGCUCAUGAGUUGCCAAUCUUUCGGCGGGUUACGAUGAAGCGUCAAGUCCGGCCGGGUCAUACCGCGGGGUAUAUCCCCGACAUUAGCCCCCAGUUUAAUUUGGAUUUAUCCAUGUUAAACUGAUCCUGUAAAAUAAACUCAAGAACAAACUUGAUAGGUUGUGCUCCGGGUUAAAUAUUUUCCUGAACCGGCACCUGAUCAUCUUUGAGUCCUUGUCAUUUCCUCCUGGAUGCAUACUCAAGAUCUUAUAGCAAAUCUCUUUUAACAGAUAUGUCCAAACCUUGUCAAUGCAAAAAAUCCAGGCACCUCUUCUAAAAAAAUCCGGGUCAAUAGGCCAGCUUCAUAACCAAUUUGUUGACAUUGGCUCUUGUAGAGAAAUAUUAUAAGAAAUAAUCCAUUUGAGUCGGCCUUCAAUGCUCUGACUUAACAAAAAUAUUGGUCUUGAAAUAUUCAACUGAUAUUCAGCCGGCUUAAAUAUGUAGAUCUUGCCAAUUUAUGAUUGCCAAAAUUGCCGGGUUAUAAAUAAAUGAUGCCGGGUCAUGAUUGUUGCAUACACCGGGUAAUCUGGUCUACUCCAAACUGAGAAUUUGAAGAUUUUUUCUCCCUUAUAUGCAUAUCACCUGUAACCCCCAAGUGCCAGGUUGUCAUGCUUACAGCAACCUGGGACUUGUAAUUGCCUUAUGCACAUAAAAACUUCAAUCAGUGUAGCCCCCAAGGGCUGGGUCAUUAUGCAAUAAUGAGCAGGGACUUUGUAGAUAUAACCAUGUAAACUUGAGCAGCAACGUGUAGCCCCCAAGGGCCGGCUUAGUAAGAUAUUACUGAGCUCGGACUUUGUAUAUGAUUCAUUGAUAAUAACAUCAUAUGAUGUAAUCUCCACCAUGGGGCUUGAACCCACGUCCACAAGGUUAAGAGCUUUGUACUCUACCAACUGAGCAGUGGAUCUUUCAAUAUAAUGGAUUAAAGCUUGUGUACCUUGAAUUUUCGACAGGAGCAAUUGGUAGCCCCCAAGGGCCGGCUCAUUACAAUGUGAUGAGUCGGGUCUUCAAUAAGGCCAGUAAAAAUGACUUUGCAUUAGCCCCCAUGUGCCAUGGUGCAUGCUGGCAGUGACAUGGGACUUGCAUAUUUGAUGUAAUCUCAACUUUGAAUAAUGUAGCCCCCAAGUGUCGGGUCGUAAGCCUGCAGCGACUCGGGACUAUUCCUUCCAUUGCAGAAUAAAUUAUAUCCAUUGAUAAAAUAAUAGCCAUUGCGCCAAAGCGACUUUGAAUACCUCAUCUGUUGAUAAGUAAACCCGGAGUUUAAAUACCCGGCGGCUCUUGGCCGAUGACGAUUUAAUACGCCUCCAUUGUAAACCAGAAUUUUUAUAACCUGGCGGCUUAUAACCUUUGAGAAAAUCCAGAGCGGAUAAUCAUCUUGAAGCAUCAAUUUUGAUGAUGAGCUUGAACUUAAGCAUUUAUAUAAUUCAUAGUUCUGCAAAUCCUGCAGAGUUUAAACAACAUAUGCCCUGGCGACUUAACAUCAAAAGCCAGGGCGGGCAACAACCCAAACAUAAUAUAGUCUUUAUGCACACAAGUAGAUCACAAGAUCCCUUGGCGGUUUACCGCAGGGCGGGUCAUAAUAUCACACAAAUAACCACUAUGAUAUUUAAUUUUCACUUCCGGUUUAUGUGACCUGUGCAGUAAGGGUGAUAACCCAAUCUUUAGAAAUCAAGACUUCCAAAUGUUUAUGAUUGUCAUAUGACAGCGACUUAUCAUCCAAAGUCAAACCGGGUUAAAUAGCAACCACUCAUAUACACUUUAGAUAUGAUCAAAAGAGCUUCAAAUAAAAUCCAAAAAUUGUUUGCAAAAAGAUACUUCAAAAAUUUUGAGGCUUCUGAUUCGAAUACGAUCAUAAAACCGUCCCAAAGGGGUUAAGCUAAGAUUCGAAUACGAUCAUAUAGCCCCCAGUGGCUUUGGCGUUGCCGAUCAAAAGGGUACCGACAGCAAUGUUCUCUUUGGUUCGAAUACGACCUAUGUUUGAACAGGAAGCCCCCAAAUGACCUUGAGAGUUGUUUAACGACGCUGAUUCGAAUACGAUCCACGUCGGUUCCCAAAAGGGGUUGAGCUAUGAUUCGAAUACGAUCAAGAAGCCCCCUAGUGAGCUCGGCAAUGUGCCGAUCAAGAGGGUACCGACAGCUAUGUUCUCUUUGGUUCGAAUACGACCUAUGUUUGAACAGGAAGCCCCCUAGUGACCAUGAGAAUAUUUAACGACUCUGAUUCGAAUACGAUCAGGGUCACACCAAAAGGGUUAAGCUAAAUUCGAAUACGAUCAGCUCCCAAUGGUCAUUAAAGCAGGGUACCUAUGUUUGGGUUGUGCUUUGUAACAGACUCUUUUUGGUCCCUUUAAUUUUUCCUGAAAACUCGAACUUUUGCGAGAGAUAAAUUCUUUUUGAACCGGAAAAACCGGAUAUUGAGAGUUUCAAAGCUUUGUGAUAAACAAAUUUACCUUGAACCGGAUUUGAGAGCUUCAAAACUUUGUGGCAGAUAAAUUUCCCUUGAACCGGAUUUUAAACCGGAUAUUUAAGAGCUUCAGUGCUUUGUGGGAGAUGUCAAGUCUCUUGAGCCGGAUUUAAACCGGAAUCCUUCUUUUUAAGCCGGAAAUUUUUUGACGGCCUUUAAACUUUUCACCAAUAUGGCGGUAGCCUCUAGGACCGGGUUAUUUUUCCCUCCAAUGACCCAGAGUUCUUGAAUGCAUUGAAACCGACCAAUGCUGCCGAGUCAUAUCAUUGUAGCCCCCGAGUCUCAAGACGACUCGAGGAGUUGGCUUUGAGAUUCUCCAUAUUGACCAUAGCAUAAGGUGCAUAUCAUUGGUGUUGAUAGCGCGAUGUGAAUCCACAGAAGGUUGAAGUGACUGCGGCGGGUUAUAAAUGAUCCCGUAUGAGCCGUGUCAGCAACUCGGCCAAUGGUUCCUUCCAACUGGAUGUUUUGAAGUUAACCAAACUGUACUGGCGGCGACUUGUGCGCCUGCCCAUUGAACCAUCCAGUGCAGACGGCGGCUGAUAAUACAUGAUAAUUCCCUUCCAAUUUGUUGGAGGAAAACCGGGCUUCCCAAGCAGUGACUCGCUCAUAUUCAAUAAACAGCUCAUGCAUACAGGUGCGGUUCAGUGUGUUUAUAUAGACCAACCCGCGAGAGACGGAUGGUAAAGACGACCGUUGCAUCAGAGGCGGCACAGACAGAUGAGCCGGCCGUGGUGUUGUAAGCCGGUCCGGACGGGCGAAUCGAUCGCCGGCGCGGUAAGCCGCGUGGAUGGGCAAGUCAACCACGUUGUGUUGAUGUAGUGAGCAAUUGUCCUGUAUCAAAAAAUAUCACACGCCAAAGUAAUUGUUCACACAAAAAUUAAUAUGUGCUAUGAAAACAAACCGGACGGAUAUCACCUGAUGUUUUUUGUUCGGACAACGGAUGAUCCGUUCAUCGCGACAGAGACGGUUUAGGCAGGUCGGCGACUCAAUAUGGUCCCGGCGAUCCAAGUAGAAACCCUCUGGGUUAUUCUCCCGGUCCUUAAACACCCGGCACGGGCGGUGCAGAUGCAUACAUCGCCUCCGACACCGGCGCACGAGGCCGGUUCAUAACGUGGCCAUGAGUUAAUCGACCUGUGUAUACAAUAGCAUACCUCGAAAAAAUCUUUUGAUGAUAUUUAAUUAUACCAAGUAAGAGUUUUAGAAAAAUAGCACCUGAUUGUUUUUUGUUCGGCAAGUCAUUAGCACCCGAUCCAAGCAGAAGCAACCAGGCGGUGCCGCGGCGGUUGCCGUGACUACUAGCCUCAGCAGUGAGCGCUAGAAGGCGGUCCUCCGGCGGCGGUGCUAGCGAAGCGGGCGUGCACGCGAGCGGGCAGUGCUGAGACACGCGCCGGCCCGAUGGUGAUGGGGAGGCCAGCAGGCGGGGUCACGGUGGGCGGCGGUUCAGCCCCGCUACUGCUGAGGCGGGCGGAGACGGAGGUCUUGAAGGCGGACGACGGCGGCCGGCGAGGCCGGCUCGCGGCAGUGAGACCCAGCGGGCGGCUCAACUCAGCAAAGGAGGUGACUCAGCAGGGCCAACCCGGAAUUCAAGGCGGAGGCAGAGUCCGGCGAGUGGGCGGCGGUUUGUCAAAGGCCGGUGGAAGCGGCGGCUCGGGGCCAGCAGUUCCAAGGCGGACGAAGUCGGCGGCUCACGGGCGGCGGCCCGACGGACAUAAGCCGGAGGCGCAGGCCGGCAUCUCUGGCGGCGGCUCAACAGAUGCAGGCGAGGCAGCUCACCACGGCAGAAGCAGAGACAACCGAGGCGGGUUCAUCCUCCUUUUCCGGAUCGGGCAAGGUCCACAGGCGGAGGAGGAAACCGUAGGCCGGUCUGAGGAACGGGGCAGCUCCGGCGUAGCAGCUCAGGAAGGUCCCAGGCGAGGCGGAGCGGCAAAUCGGCAGAGGGUGGAGAGGCGCUGCGAGCCGGCUGCUGGUGGAGAAGGUGGCAUGGCCAGGGCAAGGUGGCCUGUGGCGCAGCUGCAGCAGCGGAGCCCGCGUCGUGGCGAGUCCGAGGCGGAGACCGGAUCUUGCUUUCCUUUUCUUUUCCUUGAGUAGUACUAGCUCACGUAAAUCUCUGCUGGAUCAAGUACACCGCGUUCCUGAUGCAGCUACCCUUCUCUUUUUUUGGAUAGCCUGAGCGUGAACAUAACAGCUGAACACAAAGACUUUUGACUUGUAGUAGAUGGCUUCACGUGAUCAUGGUGAAGUACUGGUACUAGUUUUGAUCUCCACUUGAUUUAUCUAUGUAUCCACGUGGACUGGUAGCACAAUACAGCCUUGGGACUUGAACCUGUAAGCCAGCCGUAGCAAUUUAUGGAACUCGGCGGAUCAGACAGCGGAAAUCUUUUGACCGUUUCAAUGGAAGCUGUGACUUGACAGCUUGCAGCACUCGGCGAAAUCAAUCUUCCCUCGGUUUGGACAGAUCCUCUCACGCCAGUGGCAUAUAGAACGCAAAACCCUAAUUUCUUUAAUCUCAAUCUCGUAUGUUGCUCCGACUGCCUGCCACGAAGACGAGAUGUAUCCUUCUGCGCAGGCUCUUUUUUCAUCUAGCACAUCACGAGCUUCUCGAUCCCUGAAGAGAUCCCUUCAAGAACUUAACACCACCGUGCGCAAGCCCCACGGUGGGCGGCAACUGUCGUGGAAUAGUCACGGCAGAUGUCCUUAGUGUCAGGACUUAGUCGCGAGGCCAGCGCAUCUAUGUGGUAGCUUGAGAGGGGUUAGGCGGAAUCGAGAGACGCAACACAAGACAAGGAUUUAGACAGCUUCGGGCCCCGGGAAACAUCAUCCGGUAAUAGCCCUACAUGCUGUUUGUGGCUAGGUCUCAUUAUGCUCAUGAGAGAGUCGCCGGUAAGCCGACUCUUGUCUAGCCCUAUAGAUUGUUUCUUGUUCCUUGUCCCUCUUUGGGGUGCCCUGCCCCUCCUUAUAUAAGUUGGAGAGGCGGCUUUACAUGUAGAGUCCUAGUAGGAUUAGAACUAACUUAUUCUCUAUUACAAGUCGGAUACAAGUACGGGUCUUGCUUCCUCGUAAAGGAAAUAUUCCUCAUGCCUUCCGUCUUAAGCCGGCCCAUAAUAACACGUCCCGGCCUACUGGGCCUUGGUCCCUUGUCAUCCGUCUGACCCGCCGUCGGGGCCAUCAUUAAGUCGCCAGGCUCAUGAGUUGUAAUCUUCCGGCGGGUUACGAUGAAGCGUCAAGUCCGGCCGGGUCAUACUCCCGGCCGGGUCAUACCGCGGGGUAUAUCCCCGACACUUGGCAAGACGUUUUAAUGUUAAUAUAUGCCACAAGGAUUACUUGCUACCUAAGGUUUAUCUGGAUCAUCAUUUUAUUGAUAACCCUGAGCCUCCUCACCACAUUCGUUACAACUUGGUAUUUUAGUAAGGAUACUCGUGAUAUUAUUUCGUUGUCUGCACCCUCUUUGUUUGAUUUUCAUGCUAGGGACGAUUACGUCAUCAUGCCACUGAACAUCACUACUUACCAGAACAAGUUGGCUGCAGCGGAGAACGAGGCCCAACCUUGGGACGCAAGAGUGCCACUGGCUCACCACUAUCCUACCGGACCCGAUGGUUAUUACGGGUGGUGAUUACCAAGCUAGGCCAAAAGCCUAAGCUUGGGGAAGUAUGUUUUCUCACCGACAUUACAUUCAUGUUCACGCAUUUCAUUUCAGUUGUCGGUGUUCAUCAUUUUUCAUUGUAUAUCCAUGUUAGUUUUAUUUUUGCUUUCUUCUUGUGUGUUUGAAAAACUAUGAAAAUCCAAAAAUAUUUCUCGCUUCUUCUCGGUUUUUCUUUCUUGCUUAGUUACUUUAUAGUAGUAAAAGAAAAUCCAAGAAGAUUUCUCAUUUCUUCUUUUGCUUGUUGGGAGCUUUCCCGUGUAAAUAGUUUUUCCCGUUUUGUUUUCCUUCAUUGAUUUGCUUUCUUCAGAAAAACUAUAAACUCCACAAAUAUUUCAGUGUGUUACUCUGAAUUUAUUUUCUUUUCACCGAGUCGUCGUAAGGAGAAGACCACGAUAAAAUUGUUGAGUGGCUCACAUAUGCAUUAUAGUUGAUCUAAUGAAGAGCUAAUAUUGCCUUGUCUUCUCCUUUAAAUAAAAUGUUUGUAGAUUCCAGCUUAGUCCACGACACUCUUGCACUAUUGUCAUUUUCACAUCAUUCGAUCGUGCAAGUGAAAGGCAAUGAUGAUGAUGAUUUGAUGAAGUGAUUGUGGCAAAGAAAAGUUGGUAUGAACUCUCCUUGUUUUUGUUUUUGUAAAUAUAUUGUACUCAGCUUCCAUGAUUCAACAUAUUAUGAGUGAACAUGUUUAUGUUGACAAUUAGAGAUUAUAGUUGCUCAUGCCAUGCUUAAAUAUCUAGGAGUGGAUAAUGAUUUAUCUUGAGUGUCAACAUGCAUUAAAAUGGUUAUGAUGUAGUAUGAUAGUGUGGUAUCCUCUGAGGGAGUCCUGGAUUAGGGGGUCCUCGGACAGCCGGACUAUAAACUUCUGCCGGACUGUUGGACUAUGAAGAUACAAGACUCAAGACUUCGACCCAUGUCCGGAUGGGACUCUCCUUGGCGUGGAAGGCAAGCUUGGCAAUACGGAUAUGAAGAUCUCCUCCCUUGUAACCGACUCUGUGUAACCCUAGCCCCCUCCGGUGUCUAUAUAAACCGGAGGGUUUAGUCCGUAGGACAACAACAAUCAUACCAUAGGCUAGCUUCUAGGGUUUAGCCUCUACGAUCUCGUGGUAGAUCAACUCUUGUAAUACUCAUAUCAUCAAGAUCAAUCAAGCAGGAAGUAGGGUAUUACCUCCAUCGAGAGGGCCCGAACCUGGGUAAACAUUGUGUCCCCCGCCUCCUGUUACCAUCCGCCUUAGACGCAUAGUUCGGGACCCCCUACCCGAGGUCCGCCGGUUUUGACACCGACAUCCUCCUCUGAAUGUUUCAAGUGGCUUGACUUGGCACAUGUUCACACAUGUAGUUGAUUCAAAACCAACAUAGCCUCCCCUUCAAAUAAUCAUCUGUCUUGUGUGCCCGUACCGCUCAUGGAGCGGCAGGGGGCAGUCAGUAUUUUCCAUGCUAAGAGGGUUAUUCUCAUGAUGGGUGUUUAUCCACUUGUCAUUGCACGAGAGAGUCUGCUAAUUGUGAUGCCUAGUACUGUAAUCAAAAUGAAAAUAAUAUAAUAAAACAAACUCCCCUGGAAAGUUGUUGGUAUGGAGGGCACCCGUGAAUUCGGCUAGCCAUGGCUUGUGUUUGUUGGCUGAUAUGUCUCCAACGUAUCUAUAAGUUUUGAUUGUUCCAUGCUAUUAUAUUAUCCAUCUUGGAUGUUUUAUAUACAUUAUUAUGCUAUUUUAUAUCAUUUUUUGGGACUAACCUAUUAACCUAGUGCCCAGUGCUAGUUGCUGUUUUUUCCUUGUUUUUGACUUUACAGAAAAUCGAUACCAAACGGAGUCCAAAUGGAACGAAACUUUUUGACGAUUUUUCUUGGUCCAGAAGACAACCACAAAGCUUCGGGAGGAGGCCAGAGGAGCCAUGAGGUGGCCACAAGCCUGUAGGGCGCCCCCCAAGCUUAUGGGCCCCUCGGAACUCCCCUAACCCUAAUUCCAGCUCUAUAAAUAGCCAAAUAUUCCCCGAAUACCAGAGGGCACACCAAAAAUAUUUUUCUGCCGCCACGAGCUUCUGUUCUCGUGAGAUCCCAUCUUGGGGCCUUUUCUGGUACUCCACCGGAGGGGAUUCGAUCAUGGAGGGCUUCUACAUCAACCUUGCUGCCCUACCAAUGAUGGGUGAGUAGUUUACCACAGACCUACGGGUCCAUAGCUAGUAGCUAGAUGGCUUCUUCUCUCUCUUUGAUCUUCAAUACAAUGUUCUCCUUGAUGUUCUUGGAGAUCUAUUCAAUGUAAUACUCUUUUGCGGUGCGUUUGUUGAGAUCCGAUGAAUUGUGGAUUUAUGAUUAGAUUAUCUAUGAAUAUUAUUUAAGUCUUUUCUGAACUCUUUUAUGCAUCAUUAAGAUAGCUUUGUAUUUCUCUUUGAUCUAUUGAUUUGGUUUGGCCAACUAGAUUGAUUUAUCUUGCAAUGUGAAGGUGCUUUGUGAUCGGUUCAAUCUUGCGGUGUCCUCACCCAGUGAUAGUAGGGGUAGCAAGGCACAUACUUGUAUUGUUGCCAUUUAGGAUAAAAAGAUGGGGUUUAUAUCAUAUUGCUUGAGUUUAUCCCUCUACAUCAUGUCAUCUUGCUUAAGGCGUUACUCUAUUCUUGUUAACUCAAUACACUAGAUGCAUGCUGGAUAGCGGUCGAUGUGUAGAGUAAUAAUAGUAGAUGCAGGCAGGAGUCGGUCUACUUGUCACGGACGUGAUGCCUAUAUUCAUGACCAUUGUCUUAGAUAUCAUCGUAACUUUGCGCUUUUCUAUCAAUUGCUCAGCAGUAAUUUGUUUACCCACCGUGUGUGUUCUUUCAAGAGAGAAGCCUCUAGUGAAAACUAUGGCCCCGGUUCUAUUUCUCAUCAUAUAUUUUCAUAUCUAUAAAACCAAAAAUACAAAAAUACCUUGCUGCAAUUUAUUUACCUUUAUUUUGUACUUUUACUUAUCUUUUAUACCUAUCUCUAUCAGAUCUCAUCCUUGCAAUUAACGAUGUUUUUAGGGAUUGACAACCCCUUUUUCGCGUUGGGUGCAAGUAUUCGUUUGUUUGUGUAGGUGCAACUAUUGGAGACCUGCGUGUACCUCCUACUGGAUUGAUACCUUGGUUCUUAACUGAGAGAAAUACUUAUCUCUGGUUUGCUGCAUCACCCUUUCCUCUCCAAGGGAAAAACCAAUGCAAUCUCAGGAAGUAGCAUUGGCUGAGGGGGAGUAAUACCUUUCCACUUGGGAACUGCCGAUAAUAUGUUUAGCAUGGAAGAUAUUGAAAAAUCCUCGGUCGUAAUGUUAACACGAAAGGCAUACCUCUCAAAAUUAUAUUUAUCGUUGAUUUAAGCUUUAAGCUCUGGCACAACUGCAAAUCUCUGCUUCCCUCUGCAAACAACCUAUCUAUUUAGUUUUAUGUUAUUUACUUUUAUUGUUGAGUCAUCACCUUCUCAAUUAAAGCACCAGUCCUGAGAGAGCUAUUGUCAUUCUUAUGCAUUGUGUAUAGUUAAUAUUGUGUGCAUCAUGACUGGUUCUCUUCUACCAUGAAUGACAAUGUUUUCUUCGUCUUUGUGUGUCUUGUAGGUGAGAUGGACCUCCCAAGCACUUAGCACGAUGAAAGGAGUUCAAACGGUGGACACCCAGGACCCGGACUUAGCCAUAUCGAAGGUGGAAAAGUCAAUUUUCCAAAGUGUUCCAAAUCAAGAUCUAAAACCAGAAAUGGACCAGCAUCGUUCAUACGAAUCCAAUGAGCCCAAGAACAUUAAAUUCCAAGUUCGUAUGAAGAAAUGACGACCAUUUUACCGGAAGAGGACAAACCAAAAGACGACCAUUCGGCGGUCGUUUGACACCCACACAGCUCUGAAAGUUGCCCUUCCAGAUGGGAUUCUUCAUGGAUUUCGUCCCCGUUUCUUCUGGUGACUUCCUUGGCCUUCAAGGGAUGUGAUUUGGGAGAGGAUUGCGCUCAUCUAGAGCCCUUGGAUCAAAGGGAAGAUGCUACAUCUACGGAGGAGGCUAUGGGAGAGCUCUUAUAUAAACACCUCCAACCCUAGCCUCCGCUAUCGUUCGUCAUUCGCCAUUCUCAUCUCCAAGUCCAGCCACCAUCCACCUCAGGAACACCAUCGUUGCAACCUUGAAGGAGAUCGAAAGGGAGCCGCCCUGGUGGGGCGCGGCCAUGGGCCGCGGCCGCCACGCCACCGUCAUCACCACCAUCAUCCGCGCCGCCGCCAUCAUCACCUCCAUCACCAUCCCUUCUUCCUCCUCCAUCACGGUCUCUGUGAUGGGUUGUAACAACUCUUGAACCCCCUUUUUAUGUGAUGUUAUUUGAGUAAUUGAUGGCUAUGGGUCAGUCGAUUAGUAAGUGGUUAUUUGAUAUGUGUUGUCUAAUUAUGUGUGUUGCUUUGUGUUUUCUAUUUACCUUCAGUAAUUUUGUGAUGGGAUAUGUCCUAUCCAUUGGCAUAAAUGGAGACAUCCAACUCCCCAAGCCACAUAUGAAGUAUAUAGGUGGUUGUGGAAACCAAGGGACCUGCGAUCUGAUAGGUGCAGAUAUCUUGAGGGGAACACGAUUAUUCUAGGAGCACGGUGGUCCAUAGAACCUAAUGCCUCGUCCGGUCUUCAAACCACGAGGACCUUAAUAUCUUUGUGUUAGCCGCCUCAGGUAUGGGACAUGAAGUAGGAUGAAUGAGUUAUCUCAAUAUAGCUCGUCUCGAGAGAUAAUGUUAUGUGAGGGACUGUCCACGAGAAGUAGACCAUAAUAUGCUAUGAUGGAGGUACUAACUUAGUCACAACGUGACAUAGUUGUAAUACCCUAACUCCAUUCACUACAAAAAAACACUUCUGUGAUGAUACAUGUUGUAGGAUCGAAAGUAUGUCUAGAGGGGGGUGAUUAGAGUACUUGACCAAAUAAAAAUCUAGCCUUUUCCCAAUUUUAGUUCUUGGCAGAUUUUAACAACUUAGCACAAGUCAAGCAAUCAACCUACACAUGCAAUUCUAAGAGUAUAGCAGCGGAAUGUAAAACAAUUGCAUAUGAAGGUAAAGGGAGGAGUUUGAGGGAGCAAACGCAAUGUUGACACGGAGAUUUUUUAUCCGUGGUUCCGAUAGGUGGUGCUAUCGUACAUCCACGUUGAUGGAGACUUCAACCCACGAAGGGUAACGGUUGCGCGAGUCCACGGAGGGCUCCACCCACGAAGGGUCCACGAAGAAGCAACCUUGUCUAUCCCACCAUGUCGUCGCCCACGAAGGACUUGCCUCACUAUGGUAGAUCUUCACGAAGUAGGCGAUCUCCUUGCCCUUACAAACUCCUUGGUUCAACUCCACAAUCUUGUCGGAGGCUCCCAAGUGACACCUAGCCAAUCUAGGAGACACCACUCUCCAAGAAGUAACAAAUGGUGUGUUGAUGAUGAACUCCUUGCUCUUGUGCUUCAAAUGAUAGUCUCCCCAACACUCAAUUCUCUCUCAUAGGAUUGGAUUUGGUAGAAAGAAGAUUUGAGUGGAAAGCAACUUGGGGAAGGCUAGAGAUAAAUAUUUAUGUGGUUGGAAUGGAAUAUCUUGACCUCAACACAAGUGUAGGUGGUUCUCUCUCAGAAAAUAUGUAUUGGAAGUGUAGGCAUGUUCUGAUGGCUCUCUCCACGAAUGAAGAGUGGGUGGAGGGGUAUAUAUAGCCUCCACACAAAAUCUAACCAUUAGACACAAAUCACCAAACUCGGUGGGACCGAAUCAGAGAACUCGGUCAGACCGAAUUGGUUCAUAAUGUGACCGUUAGGUGUUUCGGUGGGACCGACAUGUCAACUCGGUGGGACCGAUAUCAUUAGGGUUAGGGCAUAACGUAAUCUCGGUGAGACCGAUUACACAAACUCAGUGGGACCGAUUUUGGUAAUAGUCAAACAGAGAGUUGGUCAGGCAAACUCGGUGGGACCGAUUCGCUCAUCUCGGUUGGACCUAAACGUUACAAAAAGGAAACAGAGUGUUUGCAUUGCAAUCUCGGUGGGACCUAUCGCUCAUCUCGGUUUGACCGAAACGUUACGAAGGGAAACAGAGAGAUUACAAUCCCAUCUCGGUGAGACCGAGAUCCCUAUCGGUGAGACCGAAAAGACUAGGGUUUCUGGCAGUGGCUAUGUCAACUGAACUCGGUGGCGCCGGAUAGAAAGAAUCGGUGGGGCCGAGUUGGACUUGUGGUUUGGGACAUAUGUGGAUAUGAGAAAGUAGUGGAGGGUUUUGGAGCAUAUCACUAAGCAUUUUGAGCAAGGACCUCAUUAGGCAACACAUCAUCCCUUCUUAAUAGUAUUGGCUUUUCCUAUAGACUCAAUGUGAUCUUGGAUCACUAAAAUAGAAAAUGUAGAGUCUUGUGCUUUGAGCUUGAGCCAAUCUUUUGUCCUUAGCAUUUUGAAGGGUCCACUUUCUAAUCCAUGCCAUGCCAAUCAUUGAGCUUUCCUGAAAUAUCUAUCUUGAAAUAGCAUUAGCUCAAUGAGCUAUAUGUUGUUAGGAAUUACCAAAACCACCCAGGCAUAGUUGCACUUUCACGUGCUUGUCACAGUAGGUCACAAUUUCUGUCAUGCAUGUACAUCCAUGACGAUUUUAUGACAGAAUCAAGAUAGUCAUACAUGUGUUGUCGUAGAAGUGUUCCAUGACAAAACUCAAAUUAUCAUCACGGAAGUGUCCACUUCCAUGACGAUAAAUAGCACGUCAUGGAAGUGCUUUCGUCAAGGGUAACCAACAUGUGGCAUCCACCAGAAUGGGUUGCCAUUAUGCUAUCGGGUCUGGUUUUGGAUCCGAUAACCCAUUAACAGCUACAACCAAUGUCGAUUUUCCACGUGUAAACUUCUCAUUGGCCGAACGAACCAUGUGUCAGCUCCGCGUUGGGACAGAUGUCAACUGUCCAAUGGACAGGAGGCGCCUAUAAUACGUUGACACAUGGCACGGCCCAACAGUGGCCCAUUUAUGUUAAAAAGGUCGUCUCGUUUGACUUGGUCAAAAUCUAGCGGGCCGACCCAUGGAAAGCUUGUUAGCAGCAUGUUCGCAUAUAGCCCAUUUACAGUUUGCUAAAUCACGACCCGUUCUGGCCUUUCCGAAAUCAGCCCAGCAGCUCAUGUGGGCCAUCCAAUAUAAUUCCAGCUCGUUGUAAAUUCUGGCCCAUGGAUGGCCCAUGACGUCUUUAGGCCCAUAUGAGGCCCUUUAACGGCCCAUGGUGAAACUGGCCCAUAAUGAACAGUGUAUCACUUUAUACCCAUUAACGACCCAUUUUUUAGUUGGGCCGUUUCCAGCCUUUGUUAUCUUUUAGCCUUCUAAGGGCCCAUUUAUUCUUGGGCUCAUUUCCAGCUCUCGAUUACUUACGGUCCGUUACUAGCCUGUUCCGCUAAUGGGCCAAAUUCAACCCGUGGUUACAGUCGAUCCGUUUGUGGCCCGUUAAACCAUUGGGCCGUUUUCAUCACGUCAUCUAUUCUCGCCCAUUAAUGACCCAUUAUGCAUGUUGAUAGAAUUAAGCUCGCGAUACAUACCGUCGUUUUAACGGCCCGUUAUGGUCGGGCCCAUAAACGGAAUAUUCCCAUUUUAGCCCGUUUAAGGCCCAUAUUGCGGUUUGUUAUUGGUCCACGAAUAGUACGACCCAUGUUUAACCUAUCGAUCAUAUGGGCCAUAGAAGGCCCAUGAAUUCGACAGCCCAUAGAAGGCUGAUACGUCUCCAACGUAUCUAUAAUUUUUGAUUGUUCCAUGCUAUUAUAUUAUCAUUCUUGGAUGUUUUACAACCAUUUUAUAGCAACUUUAUAUCAUUUUUUGGGACUAACCUAUUGACAUAGUGCCCAAUGCCAGUUGUUGUUUUUUGCUUGUUUUUUACUUCGUAGGAAAUCAAAAUCAAACGGAGUCCAAAUGCAAUGAAACUUUUUGGAGAAUUUUGAUGGACCAGAACACCCAGGAUGGGCAAGAGAAGUACCAGAGGGGUGCCCCGAGGGGGGCACUGGUGGGUUGUGCCCACCUCGGUGGCCUCCCGCACCGCCUCUUCGCCCUAUUAAUUGUCAAUUAUUCCAAAAGCCUUGGGGGUAACCCUAGAUCAGAAGUUCCGCUGCCGCAAGCCUCUGUAGCCACGAAAAACCAAUCUAGACCCUGUUCCGGCACUCCGCCGGAGGGGGAAAUCAUCACCGGUGGCCAUCUUCAUCAUCCCGGCGGCCACCAUGAUGAGGAGGGAGUAGUCCAUCCUCGGGGCUGAGGGUUUGUACUAGUAGCUAUGUGUUUAAUCUCUCUAUCUCUCUCGUGUUCUUGAGAUGUCACGAUCUUGAUGUAUCGCGGGCUUUGUUAAUAUAGUUGGAUCAUAUGGUGUUUUCCCCUCUCUAUCUUGUUGUGAAUUGAGUUUUCCCUUUGAGAUUUCGUUUUAUCGGAUUGAAUACUUUUAUGGAUUUGAGAACACUUGAUGUAUGUCUUGCUAUGAAUACUCGUGGUGACAAUGGGGUAUCAUAUUGAUUUACUUGAUAUGUGUUUGGCACUCAACUCACGGAUUCCGGAGGUGACAUUGGGGUAAUCUAUGCAUAGGGGUUGAUGCACGUUCUCGUCUUUGUUUCUCCGGUAGAAAUCUUGGGGCACUCUUUGAAGUUCUUUGUGUUGGAUUGAGUAUUAUGAAUCUGAAAUUGUUUGAUGCGUAUCGUAUAAUUAACUCGUGGAUACUUGUGGUGACAUUGGAGUAUCUAGGUGACAUUAGAGUUGGCUGAUGCGUAUCAUAUGGUGUUAUUUUAGUACGAACUCUUGGAUAGAUCAAAUUGAAAGAAUAACUUUGUGUUAUUUUAGUACGAACUCUUGAAUAGAUCGAACGAAAAGAAUAACUUUAAGGUGGUUUCGUACCCUACAAACAAUUUCUUCUUAUGUUCUCCGCUAGAUAAGAACUUUGGAGUGAUUCUUCAACGCACGUUGAGGGAUGGUUAUAUGAUCCAAUGAUCCAAUUAGAUUAGCAUUGUUGAGAGAUUGCACUAGCGAAAGUACGGACCCUAGGCAUCUUUUUCAAUCAUUGCAAUACCGUUUGAGCUCACUUUUGUUACUUGCUACCUUGCUGUUUUUUAUUGUUACUAUUACAAAAAUCAAUAUCUACUAUCGUUACUACACGUUUAUCACCAUCUCUUCGCCGAACUAGUGCACCUAUACAAUUUGCCAUUAUAGUUGGUGUUUUGGGGACACAAGAGACUUUCUAUUAUUUAGUUGCAGGGUUGUUUGAGAGAGACCAUCUUCAUCCUACGCCUCCCACGUAUUGAUAAACCUUAGGUCAUCCACUUGAGGGAAAAUUGCUAUUGUCCUACAAAACUCUGCGCUUGGAGGCCCAACACGAGUCUACAAGAAUAAAGUUGCGUAGUAGACAUCAAGCUCUUUUCUGGCGGCGUUGCCGGGGAGGUGAGUGCAUGAAGGUAUAUCUUUAGAUCUUGUAAUCGAAUCUUUUAGCUUCUUGUUUUAUCACUAGUUUGGUUUAUAAAAGAAAACUACAAAAAUGGAAUUGAGGUUGCAUCAUAUAUUCAUCUUUAUAAUGUCUUCCGUGAAAAUGAUGGAAAGGAAAAUUGUGCUGAAUUGAUAGAAGAAGAAUUCUAUAAAAUGUUUGACAAAGCAUCUUCGAAUGAUGAGCAUGAUUGCAAUGUUGCUAGUAUAAAUUCUUUGAAUAUCCAUGAUUCUAGUGAUAUGCAAAGCCAUAAGCUUGGGGAUGCUAUGUUUGAUGAAGAUGAUAUUUUUAUUCCACCAAGUUUUGAUGUGCAAAUUUCUUAUAAUGGUAGCAUGACUCCUAUUUAUGAUGAUUACAAUGAUGAAUGUGGGUUUGGAAGAGUGUCAACUCUAGGUAAUGAUCCCACUAUUUUUGAGGGUGUUGAAUCUUUUCACAGUAUUGAUGGAAGUGGAUUUGGAGAGAUCAUGACUUUAUUUAGUGGUGAAUCCACUAUUUUGGAAGAGGUUUCAAUUGACUAUGAGAACAAAGCUGCUAUAUAUGAUGAUUACGGUGAUGACAUGUAUGCUAUAAAUAAUAAUGAUAACCGUGAAACUUGUCAUCAUAAUUUUAAUUCUCAAUAUGAUUAUGCCAAUCAAGUAUCACAUGAUAGUUAUUUUGUUGAGUUUGCUCCCACUAUUAUGAAUCAUAAUAAAUUUGCUUAUGUGGGGAGUAACAAAAUUUCUAUGCUUAUGUAUCAUGAAAAGAAUGCUUUAUGUGAUGGCUAUAUUGUUGAAUUCAUUCAUGAUGCUACUGAAAAUUAUUAUGAGGGAGGAACUUAUGCUUGUAGUAAUUGCAAUAAUAUCAAGUUUCCUCUCUAUGUGUUGAAAAUCUUGAAGUUUUGCUUGUUUUGCCUUCCUAUGCUAGUUGAUUCUUAUUCCCAUAAAUUGUUUGCUCACAAAAUCCCUAUGCAUAGGAAGUGGGUUAGACUUAAAUGUGCUCACCAUGUGAUUCAUGAUGCUCUUGUUAUGUUUCAAUUCUUAUCUUUUAUGUGAGCAUCAUUGAAAGCAUCAUGCCUAGCUAAAAGGCAUUAAAGAAAACCGCUUGUUGGGAGACAACCCAACACUUUUACCUACUGUUUUUGUGUGUUCACAUGAUUAUUCUACUAUAUUAAUCAUGUUUUAUAGCUUUUGUUUCAACAAAGUGCUAAGUAAAGCAUUUGGGAUAGUGUGGAUGAUAGUUGACUUGAAUCUGUGCAAAAACAGAAACUUUUGCUCUCAGUCCAGGAAUUUUCAAAAUUCACUGGAACGAUAUGAAUUUUUUACAGGUGAUAGAUAUACAAAUUCCCUACGUUGUCCUAAAUUUUCAGAAUUAUUGGAGUAGCAGAAGUAUGGUUGUUUUCCAGAUCGUUACAAAUUGUUCUAUUUUUGACAGAUUCAGUUUUCAAUGCAUAGUUUGCUUGUUUCCUAGUUUCUAUGGCUUAUAUUGCUCAAUAUAAGUUGUGGAAAUGAUAAGGUACAGUAGGCACUGUGUGAGAACAAUUAGGAAUCUUGUCUUUGAUAGUACCAAAGUGGAUGAUUUGUCUUUAUCAUACUAACCUAUCUCACAAAGUUUUGUUAAGUUUUGUGUGAUUGAAGUUUUUCAAGUUUUGGGUGAGAUAUCAAUAUGAGGAGAAUAAGGAGUGACAAGACCCUAAGCUUGGGGAUUCCCAAGGUACCCCCAAGGUAAUAUUCUAGGAAUAUCCAAGCAACUAAGCUUGGGGAUGCCCCGGAAGGCAUCCCCUCUUUCGUCUCCAAUAUUAUCGGUAAUCUUACUCGGGCUAUAUUUUCAUUCGUCACAUGAUAUGAUUUUUGCUUGGAGCGUCAUUUUAUUUUGUUUUGAUUUGCUUGCUGAUAUCUAUAAUAGUGUUUUGCAUCUUCUACUUCAAUAAAAAUAUCAAGUAUAGCAUGUGCCAUGCCUAUUUUGCAAGUAUAUGAGUUGCUGUUUCAAAGCAAAAAGUUUAUUGAUGUUGCAAAAAUUCUCUAGAAAAGUCAGAAUGUGAUAAAAUGUUGAAAUUUUUUGCACAAUAAGCUAUGAUAAGUUUUCUACAGUGUGCUAAUGUUUCAAAAAAAUUGAGUUAGGGAAGUAUGGAUCCUCUUGCAUCCUUUACAGACUGUCCUGUUUAGACAGAUUGUUGCUAUGUUUGCAUAUGUUUGCUUGUUUAAUGAUUCUAUUUGAGGAUAGGAGUAUUAAAUAUGCAGAGGCAUUUAGUAGGCAAUGUUGAAUAAUAAUUUUAGUGAUCUGCUACAGUAGAGAAUGAUAAGGUUUUGCAUUGAUUAAUACUAACUUAUCUCACUAGUUCUUGUUGAGUUUUGUGUGGAUGAAGUUUUUGAGAUUUAGGGAAAUCGUGAUAUGAGAGGAAUUAAGGAGACACAAAAGCUCAAGCUUGGGGAUGCCCAAGGCAUCCCAAAUUAACAUUUAAAGAAGUCUCAAGCAUCUAAGCUUGGGGAUUCCCCGGUAGGCAUCCCACCUUUCUUCUUCAACAAUUAUCGGUUAGUAUCGGUUGAGCAUAAGUUUUUGCUUCUUCGCAUGAGUUGUGCUAUUCUUGGAAUGUCAUUUUGUUUUGUUUUGCUUUCUGUUUUAAUAAAAUACUUAGAUCUGAAAGUUUUUAAAUAAGAGAGAGUCCUCAAAUAGCUACCCAUUUACAUAACUACUCGCUUGAUCUUCACUUAUUUCUUUUUGGAGUAGUUUGUCAUUUACUCUCAUGCUUCACUUAGAUUAUUUUGAGAGUUGAAAAUUUUGAAGAAAUACUUAUGCUCUUGUGCUUCACUUAAAUUUAUUUGAGAGCUUGUUAGUAGCAAUGGUAAUAUAUAAAUUUAGUCCCAAAGUGAUAGAUAUUCAAGAGGGAUAUAAUAAAAACUUUCAUGUAGAUCAUUGGAUAUGAUAAGUUUGAUUCCUUGCAAUAGUUUGCGAUAUGGAGAUAAUAAUAUGUGAGUCAUGUUGGUGAGUAAUUAUGCUUUAGUAAGAAUAUUGGUGUUAAGGUUUGUGAUUCCCUAUGCAAGCACGAAAGUCAAUAGUUAUGCAAUGAAAUUGCAUCCUACUUGUGGUGCGUUAUUCGGUGUUAGUUAUGCUUAAUGCUCGCUUAUGUGAUUUUUCAUUUCUCAGUUGGUUUCUUCUCAAACUUUUUGCUAGCAUCUACUUGUACUAAGUAGAAAUACCACUUGUGCAUCCAAAAUCCUUAAACCCAGGUUUGCCAUAUGAGUCCAUCAUACCUACCUAUAUGCGGUAUUUCUGUGCCAUUCUAAGCAAAUUUGUAUGUGCCAUCUCUAAUUUUCAAAAUAAUUUCCUUUUUGUGUGCUCGUAUCGCUCAUGAAGCAGUAGGGGGUGGCCAAUAUUUUCCAUGCUAGAUGUGUUAUUCUCAAGAUGAGUGUUUAUUCACUUGUCGUUGCACGAGAGUACGGCAAAGGUAUUAGGGAUGCCCAGUCCCGGAAUGAAAAAUGAAUUUACUUUAUGUUGUCAAAUAAUAAAUUCCUUGGGAAGUGUUGGUAUGGACGGCACCCAUGGAUUCGGUUAGCCGUGGGAUGUGAAAGUAUGGUGAAAAAAGUAAUAAACUUUAUUUUUUGUUUGGGAACCGCCUAUGAUAUAUCUAGCAUGAAAGUAUUAGAAACUACUCGAUCGUUUUCGUUGACAGGAAAGGCAUGCCACCCAAAAAAAAUUAUCUCUCAAUUUCCUCUUUGAGAUUUGGCACCUCUACAAAUCCCUACUUCCCUCUGCGAAGGGCCUCUCUAUUUACUUUAUGCAAUUUUUUUUAUUUGAGUCUCCAUUUUCUCUCAUAAAGGACCAACUAAGGGGCACUAUGAUCGUACUUGAGCAUUGGGUGUAGCUAAUAUGUGAGUAUGUUUCAUGAAUGGAUCAAUGAUUGAGCAUAAUGGGCUAGGGAUAGCUUGCUUUAGUGUUGAUAUUUUGAAAGACAUGGUUUCUUGUUGAUAUGCUUGAGUGUUGAAAUCUUCAUGUCAAAACUAGACUAUUGCUUUGAACCAUAUAAAAGUCCAAAUGUCCAUGCUACAAAAGAAAAGAAUAUGUGAUGAACAUGUUAGGCAGCAUUCCACAUCAAAAAUUCUAUUUUUAUCAUUUACCUGCUCGAGGACGAGCAGGAAUUAAGCUUGGGGAUGCUAAUACGUCUCCAACGUAUCUAUAAGUUUUGAUUCUUCCAUGAUGUUAUAUCAUCAUUCUUGGAUGUUUUACAAUCAUUUUAUAGCAACUUUAUAUCAUUUUUUGGGACUAACCUAUUGACAAAGUGCCAAGCGCCUGUUGUUGUUUUUUGCUUGUUUUUUACUUUGUAGGAAAUCAAUAUCAAACGAAGUCCAAACGCAACAAAACUUUUUAGAGAAUUUUUAUGGACCAGAACACCCAGGAUGGGCCAGAGAAGUACCAGAGGGGUGCCCUGAUACGUCCAUUUUGCAUCAUGUUUUAUUGCUGUUAUUUAUAAUGUUUUUAUCCAUAAUAAUGCUUUUUAGAGUAAUUCUAAUGCCUUUUCUCUCACAAUUUGCAAGGAACACACUAAGAGGGAGAAUUCCGGCAGGUGGAAAUCUGGACCUGGAAAAGCUACGUCAGGUCACCUAUUCUGCACAACUCCAAAUGAGCUGAAACUCCACAAGGAAUUUUUAUGGAAUGUUUAAGAAAUAAUGGAGCCAAUAAACACCAGAGGGGGGCCACCAGGUGGGCACAACCCACCUGGGCGCGACAGGCCCCCCUGGCGCGCCCUAGUGGGUUGUGGCCUCCUCGGCCCACCUCCGGUGCCCAUCUUCUAGUAUAUAAGUGAUUUUGACCUAAAAAAAUCACGGGAAGGCUUUCGGGACGAAGCACCGCCGUCUCGAGGCGGAACUUGGGCAGGAACACUUUUGCCCUCCGGCAGAGCGAUUCUGUCGGGGGAACUUCCCUCCCGGAGGGGGAAAUCAUUGUCAUCAUCAUCAACAACAACUCUCCCUUCUUGGGGAGGGCAAUCUCCAUCAACAUCUUCACCAACACCAUCUCAUCUCAAACCCUAGUUCAUCUCUUGUAUUCGAUCUUGUUACCGGAACUAUAGAUUGUUGCUAGGGGGUGGCUAGUAGUGUUGAUUACAUCUUGUAGUUGAUUACUAUAUGGUUUAUUUGGUGGAAUAUUAUAUGUUCAGAUCCAUUAUGCAUAUUAAUACCCCUCUGAUCAUGAGGAUGUUCAUUUUUUGUGAGUAGUUACCUUUGUUCUUGAGGUCACGAGAUAAAUCAUGUUGCAAGUAAUCAUGUGAACUCGAUAUGUGUUCGAUAUUUUGAUAGUAUGUGUGUUGUGAUUCCCUUAGUGGUGUCAUGUGAACGUCGACUACAUGACACUUCACCAUAUUUGGGCCUAAGGGAAUGCAUUGUGGAGUAGUAAAUAGAUGGUGGGUUGCGAGAGUAACAGAAACUUAAACCCCAGUUUAUGCACUAUUCCGUAAGGGACCGAUUGGAUCCUAUAGUUUAAUGCUAUGGUUAGGAUUUAUCCUUAAUACCUUUCUCGUAGUUGCGGAUGCUUGCGGGAGGGUUAAUCAUAAGUAGGAGGUUUGUUCAAGUAAGAACAACACCUAAGCACCGGUCCACCCACAUAUCAAAUUAUCAAAGUAGCGAAUACAAAUCGAACCAACAUGAUGAAAGUGACUAGAUGAAAUUCCCGUCUGCCCUCAAGAACGCUUUGCUUAUCAUAAGAGACCGCUUUGGCCUGUCCUUUUCCUCAAAAGGAUUGGGCUACCUUGCUGCAUACUUGUUACAAUUAUCUUUACUUGCUCGUUACAAAUUAUCUUGCUAUCAAACUACUCGCUACUUACAGUUUCAGCACUUGCAGACAUUACCUUACUGAAAACUACUUGUCAUUUCCUUCUACUCCUCGUUGGGUUCGACACUCUUACUUAUUAAAAAGAGCUACAAUUGAUCCCCUAUACUUGUGGGUCAUCAAGGCUAUUUUCUGGCGCCGUUGCCGGGGAGUGAAGUGCCUUUGGUAAGUGGAAUUCGGUAAGGAAACAUUUAUAUAGUGUUCUGAAAUUUAUUGUCACUUAUCACUAUGGAGAACAAUCCUUUGAGGGGUUUGUUCGGGGUAUCUUCACCUCGUCCGAAACCACAAUUAAUUGCCCCUCAACCUACUGCACCUACUGAAAAUAUUGAAUAUGAAAUUCCUUCGGGUAUGAUAGAACAACUGCUAGCUAAUCCUUAUGCAGGAGAUGGAACUGAACAUCCGGGUAUACACUUGAUACAUGUGGAACAAAUUUGUGGAUUGUUUAAGCUUGCAGGUUUACCCAGGGAUGAAGUGAUAAGAAAGGUUUUCCCUUUAUCUUUGAAGGGAAAAGCAUUGGCAUGGUAUAGGCUAUGCGAUGAUAUUGGAUUAUGGAAUUGGAAUCGUUUGAAAUUGGAGUUCCACCAAAAAAAUUAUCCUAUGCAUCUAGUUCAUCGUGAUUAGAAUUAUAUCUAUCUAUCUAUAUCUAUAUCUAUCUAUCUAUCUAUCUAUCUAUAUCUAUCUAUCUAUCUAUAUCUAUCUAUCUAUCUAUCUAUACCUCUAUAUACCUACCUAUACUAAUUACAGACUCCCCAGAAAUUCGCAUGUUAAUUAGAAAAUACCGACCGUUAAUCUGGUGGGACCGAGUUAUAACGGUGCGGAUCGAAUCAUAUAGUCCUUGCAAUCUAAGAAAAAAAACAACUUAACGCAGCUAUUAAAAAAACAAAUCUAGGGUACCUGUAACGUAAAGAAAACCAAUCAAUCAUACUUCUACUACACGAUCGAUCCUUCCCUAAUUUGCCCUAAAAAAUCCUUCAUACUUCUCCUACACGAUAAAUCCUUCCCCAAUUUGCCCUCAAAAAAAAUUCCUUCCCCAAAGAAUCCUCACGCAAAAUAAUCCUUGGGCAAUAUUUUUCUCCCCGUGGCUCCCAUACUACGAAAAUUGUUGCGGAUGAACAUGAAACUCGAUUUGAUAUCUAGAGGAGGUAGAAAAGGGCAGCGGCAUGAAGAUCCUGACAAGGACCAUGGCGUUGCAAAGGCAAGGGGCGGCCACUGGCUGGCUGCACCUGGCGUGGCUGAACUCCUCGAGUAAAAGAUCGUGCGUUCCUGCUUCUCCUCGCAUGAGGAGGGUCAACGGGGACGAUCUGGCGGAGAGGAUAUCAGAGGAAGGCGAGAUUGCAGAGAGGAUUGAGUAGAAGAUGCUGUUCGUAUUGCUCUUGGUCCUCGCUGCAGGAUGGUAGGAGGAUCCACAAAGGAGGUCGGGGAGGAUUGAAGGAGGGAGGAAGAAAUUGCCUUGGACAUAUGUAUAUGUGUAGGAUCAAAAAUAUAUUUUAUUAGUCUUUUAGUGUAGCAUACAAGAUAAAUGCUAAUAAACAUUAAUUAGAGGGUACACAUCUCAAUGUAUAGUUUUGAUGGAACUUAAAAAACACUUUUUCUGUAUUUUUUAGCUAAGCUGAAAGGAGCCAUUCAAGGUUUCUGCCGAAUAUCAUCAUAUAUUAAUGUGAUUGAGUAGUAGACAGUGGAGUUGGCAAGCAAACAAAGUUUUCAAUCGCAUUAUUAAUAAAAGGAGAAAGAUAGUAUUUUGUGAUGAAAAUAUAUUAAGCAUUUUAGAGCAAGCCAUGUGACCAAAUAAAUUAGGGCCAGAGGAGAUCCAAAUCGCACAUAUACAUAUGAAAAAGUUGAUGAAUAUCAUACUAUUGUUGAAGCACGUGUGCGAUUUCAUGUUAUAACUUAAAUACAUUACGUCAAGUGUGUAUCACUUGAGUAUAAAGAUAUCUUUCAACAUGCACGAAUAGAACGCUUAAGCUAGACAUUGUUGUCAUUGAUCCGUGGAGGCUAGGCAGUAGCACCAUCAACUUAACAAUAACCUAAAUUAGCUCCGUGAGCAGUAGGUCUUUAAUCUGUAGUCUCGAUACAAACACAUCAAGGAAUGUACUACCAUCCUUUCAUGCAUGGAGAUCCAUUUGCAAUGGUAACAUUGAAAUCAAUGUUUGUAUCCAUAGAUUGAUCUUUAAUUUCCUUUUUGUAUUGAGGGUUGAUAUAUAAUUUCACUUUUUUCUAUCAGUGCUUGUGGCAAAAUUGAAGUUCUUUAUGUGUCGACUUCACAUGCGUUGCGUUUUGCUGCAGCACAUGCAUGGCAAGGACACAUGGCUCAUUGAUGCUUAGGGGUCAAAUUAGUAUGUAGUGAUAAAACCCUCAUAUAUAUUUCUACAAGUAGUUGAUACAAGCCUCAAAUCGACCAAAUUAGUAUGUAGUGAUGUCAUCCUUAUAUAUUUUCUACAAGUAGUUGAUACAAGCCUCAAAUCACUAAUUCCCAAUAAAUCUUCUCUCCUUCCAGUCCCUAUAAUCAGUUGCUUCAAAUUUCUAUAGUAUGUAAUGACUUUAACACUGAAAAAACAUAAACACGGCAAAAAUAGAUUAUAAUUAUUUAGUUGAGCACAUAUCGGAUAUGCAAAGAAGCAAGGUUACUGAAAACAAAACAAAAAUAAGCGCCAAAGAGUUGGAAGAAAUAUUUUGAAUCAUAUUUUGUCAUUUAGAAUUGAAUCAAUAAAAAAAGAAAAAAUGGAGACACCCUUCAUGUGCUUGAGUUUGACUUGGAUGGAUGGGUGUUUCACUUUUUUCCUUUCAUGAAAGACAUUAAUUAUGCCAAAAUAUAUGCAUAAAACUUAUUGACUAGCCCGUGCGAAUGCACGGGUUGACGACUAGUAUAUAUAAUUUUUGGCCUCGUGAAGGAGAAAGUAUCGCUCUAGCUUGGGGGAGGCUUAAGUCAAUGCUAUAUUCUUGCCCCAAUCAUGAGCUCUCAAGAGAAAUUAUUAUUCAGAAUUUUUAUGCUCGGCUUUCUCGUAAUGAUCAAACCAUGUUGGAUACUGCUUGUGCUGGUUCUUUUAUGAAGAAGACUAUUGAAUUCCGGUGGGAUCUUUUGGAAAGAAUUAAACACAAGUCUGAAGAUUGGGAACUCGAUGAAGGUAAAGAGUUAGGUAUAAAGCUUAAGUAUGAUUGUGUUAAAUCUUUUAUGGAUACCGAUGCUUUUCAAAAGUUUAGCACUAAAUAUGGACUUGACUCUGAGAUAGUAGCCUCCUUUUGUGAAUCAUUUGCUACUCAUGUUGAACUCCCUAAAGAGAAGUGGCUUAAAUAUCAUCCACCUAUUAAAGAAGAAAUUAAAGAACCGGUACCAGUUAAAGAAGAAACUAUACUCUAUAAUGUUGAUCCAGUUGUUCCUACUGCUUAUAUUGAGAAACAUCCUUUUCCUAUUAGGAUAAAGGAACAUGCUAAAGUUUCAACUGUGGUCAACAAAAGCUCUGUUAGAACACCUAAACCAGAUGAACAAAUUAGAGUUGAACCUAAUAUUGCUAUGGUUAAAGAUCUCUUAAAAGAAUAUGUGGAUGGGCAUGUUAUCUACUUUUGUGCAGAAGCUGCUAGAAUUGCCAAACCCGAAAAAAGGGAUAAAACUAGACCAGUUGUUGGCCUGCCUGUCAUUUCAGUUAAAAUAGAUCACUAUUAUUAUGGUUUAUGUGAUAUGGAUGCUAGUGGAGUGCUAUUCCUCACAAGUUAUAUCAAGAAAUUAGGGAGGACAUAGCACCUGUUGAGAUAGAAGACAUAGAUGUUACUAUUAAACUUGCAAAUAGAGACCCUAUAUCACCAGUAGGGAUUGUUAGAGAUGUUGAAGUCUUGUGUGGGAAAACGAAAUAUCCUACCGAUUUUCUUGUUCUCGGUACCCCACCUGAUGACUUCUGUCCCAUUAUCUUUGGUAGACCUUUCUUGAACACGGUUAAUGCUAGGAUAGAUUGCCAGAAACAAACUGUGGGUGUUAGCUUUGGUGAUGAGUCUCAUGAGUUUAAUUUUUCCAAGUUUAGUAGAAAUCAUCAUGAAAAAGAAUUGCCUAGUAAGGAUGAAUUCAUUGGUCUUGCUUCUAUUGCUGUGCCACCUACUGAUCCUUUAGAGCAAUACUUGCUAGACCAUGAAAAUGAUUUACAUAUGCAUGAAAGAAAUGAAAUAGAUAAUAUUUUCUUUGAACAACGUCCUCUACUUCAACAGAAUUUGCCUAUUGAAACUCUUGGAGGCCCUCCUCCACCUAAAGGUGAUCCUGUGUUUGAAUUAAAACAAUUGCCAGACACUUUGAAAUAUGCUUAUCUUGAUGAAAAGAAGAUAUAUCCUGUUAUUAUUAGUGCUAACCUUUCAGAACAUGAAGAAGAAAGACUAUUGAAAGUUCUAAGGAAGCACCGAGCUGCUAUUGGAUAUACUCUUGAUGAUUUAAAGGGCAUUAGUCCCACUCUAUGUCAGCACAAAAUUAAUAUGGAACCUGAUGCUAAACCAGUUGUUGAUCACCAACGUCGGUUAAAUCCAAAAAUGAAAGAGGUGGUAAGAACGGAAAUAUUAGAACUUCUGGAAGCAGGUAUAAUCUAUCCUAUAGCUGAUAGUAGAUGGGUAAGUCCAGUUCGUUGUGUCCCUAAGAAAGGAGGUAUUACUGUUGUUCCUAAUGAUAAGAAUGAACUUAUUCCACAAAGAAUUGUUACAGGCUAUAGAAUGGUUAUUGAUUUUAGAAAAUUAAAUAAAGCUACUAGAAAAGAUCAUUACCAUUUGCCUUUUAUUGACCAAAUGCUUGAAAGAUUAUCUAAGCACACACAUUUUUGCUUCCUUGAUGGAUAUUCUCGCUUCUCACAAAUGCCUGUUUCUCAACCUGAUCAAGAAAAGACCACUUUUACUUGUCCUUUUGGAACUUAUGCUUAUAGACGUAUGCCUUUUGGUUUAUGUAAUGCACCCUCUACCUUUCAAAGAUGCAUGAUGGCUAUAUUCUCAGACUUUUGUGAAAAUAUUGUUGAGGUUUUCAUGGAUGACUUCUUUGUUUAUGGGAAGUCUUUUGAUGAUUGUUUAAGCAAUCUUGAUCGAGUUUUGCAGAGAUGUGAACAAACAAAUCUUGUCUUGAAUUGGGAGAAGUGCCACUUUAUGGUGAAUGAAGGCAUUGUCUUGGGUCAUAAAAUCUCUGAAAAAGGUAUUGAAGUGGACCAAGAUAAGGUUGAUGCUAUUGAGAAAAUGCCAUGUCCCAAGGAUAUAAAAGGUAUUCGUAGUUUCCUAGGCCAUGCUGGUUUCUAUAGGAGAUUUAUCAAAGAUUUUUCUAAAAUUUCUAGACCCCUCACUAAUCUUUUGCAAAAGGAUAUCCCUUUUGUCUUUGAUGAUGAUUGUCUUGAAGCCUUUGAAACACUCAAGAAAGCUUUAAUCUCUGCACCUAUUGUUCAACCACCUGAUUAGAACUUGCCUUUUGAAAUUAUGUGUGAUGCUAGUGAUUAUGCUGUUGGUGAUGUUCUAGGGCAAAGAGUUGAUAAGAAAUUGAAUGUUAUUCAUUAUGCUAGUAAAACUCUAGACAGUGCUCAAAGAAAUUAUGCUACAACUGAAAAAGAAUUCUUAGCAGUGGUGUUUGCUUGUGAUAAAUUUAGACCUUAUAUUGUUGAUUCCAAAGUAACUGUUCACACAGACUAUGCUGCUAUUAAAUAUCUUAUGGAAAAGAAAGAUGCUAAACCUAGACUUAUUCGUUGGGUUCUCUUGUUACAAGAAUUUGAUUUGCAUAUUAUUGAUAGAAAGGGAGAUGAGAACCCUGUAGCUGAUAACUUGUCUAGGCUUGAAAAUGUGCUUGAUGACCCACUUCCUAUUGAUGAUAGUUUUCCUGAUGAGCAGUUAGCUGCAAUAAAUGUUGCUAAUAGCACUCCUUGGUAUGCUGACUAUGCUAAUUACAUUGUUGCUAAAUAUUUACCACCUAGCUUUACAUAUCAACAAAAGAAAAAAAAUCUUAUAUGAUUUAAGACAUUACUUUUGGGAUGACCCACAUCUUUAUAAAGAAGGAGUAGAUGGUAUUAUUAGACGUUGUGUACCUGAGCAUGAACAGGGACAAAUCCUACGGAAAUUUCACUCCGAAGCUUAUGGAGGGCAUCAUGCUGGAGAUAGAACUGCUCAUAAGGUAUUGCAGUCUGGAUUUUAUUGGCCUACUCUCUUCAAGGAUGCUCGUAAGUUUGUCUCAUCUUGUGAUGAAUGCUAAAGAAUAGGUAAUAUUGGUAAGCGUCAAGAAAUGCCUAUGAACUAUUCACUUGUUGUUGAACCAUUUGAUGUAUGGGGACUUGAUUACAUGGGACUUUUUCCUUCCUCUAAUGGGUAUACACAUAUUUUGGUUGUUGUUGAUUAUGUUCCUAAAUGGGUAGAAGCUAUUCCAACUAGCAGUGCUGAUCACAACACCUCUAUUAAAAUGCUUAAGGAAGUUAUUUUCCCAAGGUUUGGAGUCCCUAGAUAUUUAAUGACUGAUGGUGGUUCACACUUUAUUCAUGGUGCUUUCCGUAAAAUGCUUGCUAAGUAUGAUGUUAACCAUAGAAUUGCAUCACCUUAUCAUCCUCAGUCUAGUGGUCAAGUUGAGCUUAGCAACAGAGAAAUAAAAUUAAUUUUGCAAAAGACUGUCAAUAGGUCCAGGAAGAAUUGGUCUAAGAAGUUAGAUGACGCACUUUGGGCUUAUAGAACAGCUUAUAAAAAUCCUAUGGGUAUGUCUCCUUAUAAAAUGGUUUAUGGAAAAGCUUGUCAUUUACCUCUUGAGUUAGAACAUAAAGCAUAUUGGGCAGUUAAAGAACUCAACUAUGAUUUCAAACUUGCUGGUGAAAAGAGGUUAUUUGAUAUUAGCUCACUAGAUGAAUGGAGAACCCAAGCAUAUGAAAUGCAAAGUUAUUCAAAGAAAAAGUUAAAAGAUGGCAUGACAAAAUAAUCCAAAAGCCCAUAUGUCAUUUUUUGCAGGGAAACUCCUCUCAAAAUGGGAAGGCCCAUAUGUCAUUGAGGAGGUUUACCGGUCCGGUGCCAUCAAAAUAAAUAAUUCCGAUGGUACUAACCCGAAGGUUGUCAAUGGACAACGAAUAAAGCAUUAUAUCUCAGGUACGCCUAUAAUGUUGAAAGCAAUACUAUCCAAACUUUGACACCGGAAGAAUACAUAAAAGAGUCCUUCCGGAACACUCCAGAAUCAUCAAAAUAAGGAGGUGCGCGGUACGGUAAGCAAACGGACUUCAAAAAAUCUGCAAAAAUAUUUUUUACCAGUUUUGUAAUAUUUCAUUUUUUGGAAAUAAAGAAACUUCCAGGGAGUGUCCCCUAGUGGGCACAAUACACCAGGGCGCGCCAGGCUUGUCUGGCGCGCCCAGGUGGGUUAAACCCACCUGGGACACCUCCCGUACUCCGUUUUUCUUCUAUAUGCUUGCCUUGCAAUAUAAAAAUUCUAUAUAUACUUCCCUAACUUGUUAACUACCGUAUCGUGGAGAAAAUCCUCGCCCAGGUGGCUUGUGCCAACCUAGGACACCUCCUGUACUCUGUUUUUCUUCUAUAUGCUUUCCUUGCAAGAUAGAAAUUCUAUAUAUACUUCCCUAACUUGUUAACUAUCGUAUCGCGGAGAAAAUCCUCUGUUCUCUUUUCUUGCUAUUCCGGUCAGAUUUAUCAAGCUAGGCAUCAUGUCUUCCUGCUCCUCCAACCACAUGGAAGAAGAUGCUUGGUUAAUGAAGAUCGAGACGAAGAGGGAGGAUCCUAUGGACACCACCAGAGGAGAACUGAGUAUCGGGUAUGGGCAUCCCCCUUGGCUUUCGCCAAGCUUGGGGGAGGUGCCCCGGUAUCGUAUCAUCCCACUAUCUUUUUGUUGUUACUUACCUUAGUUUGAUAUUUUGCUUAGAUGAAUAAAGUUUGGUUCGAUAUUUUCUUCUUUGAGAGGUUGCUUAGUGAUCUAUCAUUAUUAUCGUGUGUAAGUUAUAUAAUAACGUUUAGUUGGAGUUUUUGCUUUCUUUACUUUCAUGUUGCAAAUAACGAAAAGAAAUAAGAAAGAAAGAAAAAGAGAAAGGAAAAAUGAAUCAAUAAGAUCAUAUACUAAUCCUAUGGUAGGUGAUAGCACUACAUAAGGAAAAGUAUAAGUAAGAAAAUUUUAUUAGAGAUUGAUAAACAUAGCAUUGGUCAAUGAUGCAACUCAUGAAAGAAUUAAUAAGGGAAGAGAAGAUUCACAUAUAAAUAUACUAUCCUAGAAAUCUUUUGUGAUUGUGAACCCUCACCAAAUAUUAUAUGCCAAAAUUGUUGACGUUGGACAAGGAAGACAACUUAAUGGUUUAUGUUUGUUUAUAUUCACAUAGAAGUCAUAUUGUCAUAGAUCCUUCAACAUGUGGUGCUUGCCCCUAUCUUUGCUAGCCAAAAAUUCCGCACUAAGUAGAGAUACUACUUGUGCAUCCAAAAACCCUUAAACCCAAAUCUUUUUCAAGUGUCCACCUAUGGAUUGAGAAAGAUCCCUCAAGUAAGUUGUCAUCGGUGCAAAAGGGCAAUAAAAAUUGCUUCUAAAAGUGUGAGAUCAUUUAGUAUUAGAGAAAACUAAGCGUUGUACGAACUUGGAUGACAAAGAAUAAAAGCGACAGACUGCAUAAUAAAGGUUGUCAUCUUAAGGGGCAAUACAACGUGAUGUUCUCUUGCACAAAGGGAUUGAGCAUGCAAACAAAUAAGCACAUGGCAACCUCUGCUUCCCUCUGCGAAGGGCCUAUCUUUUACUUUUAUGUAUUUACCUUUAUGCAAAGAGUCAAAAGUUUUCCUUCUAUUCCUUUUUAUUUUCGCUUUUGGCAAGCAUCAUGUGGUGAGGAAAGAUCUAGUCACAUAUGUCCAGUUGAAUAUAGAUAGCAUGAGUUAUUAUUGUUGACAUCACCCUUGAGGUGAGUAUGUUGGGAGGCGAAACUAUAAGCCCCUAUCUUUCUAUGUGUCCGGUUGAAACGUUUUGCUCAUGGAUACGAGGUGAGUGUUAGCAAUGAUAGAAGACUAUAUGAUGGUUGAGUAUGUGGACUUGCUUUAAAGGCUCUGAUACGUGACUCUUCCUGAAAAGAUGAUGAAUUGUAGUUGCAAAGUUGACUGAGAACAUAGUUUGUUGGUUUCUAAUAGAGUUUUUGCUUUAUACUUUGAUUGUAUGGUGAACUGUUACUUAUUCAUGGGAAGUAUAUGAUGUAAGUCUAUGAUAGAAGUCCUAUGUUAAAAUUUUGUUGCUGUUAUAAUAAUCAACAUGAUGCUUCUAUGUCUGUAUUCUAUUUUUAUCGAGACCUCUCUCUCAAAGCAUGUGGACAUGUUUUUCGAUUUCGGUUUUCGCUUGAGGACAAGCAAGGCCUAAGCUUGGGGGAGUUGAUACGUCCAUUUUGCAUCAUGUUUUCUUGCUGUUAUUUAUAAUGUUUUUAUCCAUAAUAAUGUUUUUUAGAGUAAUUCUAAUGCCUUUCUCUCACAAUUUUCAAGGAACACACUAAGAGGGAGAAUUCCGGCAGCUGGAAAUCUAGACCUGGAAAAGCUACGUCAGGUCACCUAUUCUACACAACUCCAAAUGAGCUGAAACUCCACGAGGAUUUUUUAUGGAAUAUUUAAGAAAUAAUGGAGCCAAUAAACACCAGUGGAGGCCCACCAGGUGGGCACAACCCACCUGGGCGCGCCAGGCCCCCCUUGCGCGCCCUGGUGGGUUGUGGCCUCCUCGGCUCACCUCCGGUGCCCAUCUUCUGGUAUAUAAGUGAUUUUGACCUAAAAAAUCACGGGAAGGCUUUCGGGACGAAUCGCCGCCGUCUCGAGGCGAAACUUGGGCAGGAACACUUUUGCCCUCCGGCAGAGCGAUUCUGCCGGGGGAAAUCAUUUUCAUCAUCAUCAACAACAACUCUCCCAUCUUGGGGAGGGCAAUAUCCAUCAACAUCUUCACCAGCACCAUCUCAUCUCAAACCCUAGUUCAUCUCUUGUAUUCAAUCUUGUUACCGGAACUAUAGAUUGUUGCUAGGGGUGGCUAGUAGUGUUGAUUACAUCUUGUAGUUGAUUACUAUAUGGUUUAUUUGGUGGAAGAUUAUAUGUUCAGAUCCAUUAUGCAUAUUAAUACCCCUCUGAUGAUGAGCAUGUUCGUUGUUUGUGAGUAGUUACCUUUGUUCUUGAGGUCACGGGAUAAAUCAUGUUGCAAGUAAUCAUCUAAACUCGAUAUGUGUUCGAUAUUUUGAUAGUAUGUGUGUUGUGAUUCCCCUAGUGGUGUCAUGUGAACGUCGACUACAUGACACUUCACCAUAUUUGGGCCUAAGGGAAUGCACUGUGGAGUAGUAAAUAGAUGGUGGGUUGCGAGAGUGACAGAAAUUUAAACCCCAGUUUAUGCACUAUUUCGUAAGGGACCGAUUGGAUCCUAGAGUUUAAUGCUAUGGUUAGGAUUUAUCCUUAAUACUUUUCUCGUAUUUGUCGAUGCUUGCGGGAGGGUUAAUCAUAAGUAGGAGGUUUGUUCAAGUAAGAACAACACCUAAGCACCGGUCCACCCACAUAUCAAAUUAUCAAAGUAGCGAACACAAAUCGAACCAACAUGAUGAAAGUGACUAGAUGAAAUUCCCGUGUACCCUCAAGAACGCUUUGCUUAUCAUAAGAGACCGCUUUGGCCUGUCCUUUGCCUCAAAAAGAUUGGGCUACCUUGCUGCAUACUUGUUACAAUUAUCAUUACUUGCUCGUUACAAAUUAUCUUGCUAUCAAACUACUCGCUACUUACAGUUUCAGCACUUGCAGACAUUACCUUACUGAAAAUUGUUGGAAAUAUGCCCUAGAGGCAAUAAUAAAUAGGUUAUUAUUAUAUUUCCUUGUUCAUGAUAAUCGUUUAUUAUCCAUGCUAGAAUUGUAUUGAUAGGAAACUCAGAUACAUGUGUGGAUACAUAGACAACACCAUGUCCCUAGUAAGCCUCUAGUUGACUAGCUCGUUGAUCAAUAGAUGGUUACGCUUUCCUGACCAUGGACAUUGGAUGUCGUUGAUAACAGGAUCACAUCAUUAGGAGAAUGAUGUGAUGGACAAGACCCAAUCCUAAGCCUAGCACAAGAUCGUGUAGUUCGUUUGCUCAGAGCUUUUCUAAUGUCAAGUAUCAUUUCCUUAGACCAUGAGAUUGUGCAACUCCCGGAUACCGUAGGAAUGCUUUGGGUGCACCAAACGUCACAACGUAACUGGGUGGCUAUAAAGGUGCACUACAGGUAUCUCCGAAAGUGUCUGUUGGGUUGGCACGAAUCGAGACUGGGAUUUGUCACUCCGUGUAAACGGAGAGGUAUCUCUGGGCCCACUCGGUAGAACAUCAUCAUAAUGUGCACAAUGUGACCAAGGAGUUGAUCACGGGAUGAUGUGAGUUACGUAACGAGUAAAGAGACUUGCCGGUAACGAGAUUGAACAAGGUAUCGGGAUACCGACGAUCGAAUCUCGGGCAAGUAACAUACCAAUAGACAAAGGGAAUUGUAUACGGGAUUGAUUGAAUCCUCAACAUCGUGGUUCAUCCGAUGAGAUCAUCGAGGAGCAUGUGGGAGCCAACAUGGGUAUCCAGAUCCCGCUGUUGGUUAUUGACCGGAGAGUCGUCUCGGUCAUGUCUGCCUGUCUCCCGAACCCGUAGGGUCUACACACUUAAGGUUUGGUGACGCUAGGGUUAUAGAGAUAUUAGUAUGUGGUAACCCGAAAGUUGUUCGGAGUCCCGGAUGAGAUCCCGGACGUCACGAGGAGUUCCGGAAUGGUCCGGAGGUAAAGAUUUAUAUAUGGGAAGUCUUAUUUUGGUCGCCGGAAAAGUUUCGCGCAUUAUCGGUAUUGUACCGGGAGUGCCGAAAGGGGUCCGGGGGUCCACCAAGGGGGUCCACCAGCCCCGGGGGGCCACAUGGGCUGUAGGGGGUGCGCCUUGGCCUAUAUGGGCCAAGGGCACCAGCCCCAAGAGGCCCAUGCGCCAAGAGAUAAGAAAACCGGAGAAUCCUAAAGGGGGAAGGCACCUCCGAGGUGCCUUGGGGAGGAAGGACUCCUCCCUGGCCGCACCCUUCCUUGGAGGAAGGGCCAAGGCUGCGCCCCCCCCCCUCUCCCUUGGCCCUAUAUAUAGUGGGGGGAAGGGAGGGCAGCAACAUCUAAGCCCUGGCGCCUCCCUCUCCCUCCCGUGACACCUCUUCCUCCCCGCUUGCGCUUGGCGAAGCCCUACCGGGAUCCCGCUACUUCCACCACCACGCCGUCGUGCUGCUGGAUCUCCAGCAACCUCUCCUCCCCCCCUUGCUGGAUCAAGAAGGAGGAGACGUCGCUGCUCCGUACGUGUGUUGAACGCGGAGGUGCCGUCUGUUCGGCGCUAGAUCAUCGGUGAUUUGGAUCACGACGAGUACGACUCCAUCAACCCCGUUCUCUUGAAAGCUUCCGCUCGCGAUCUACAAGGGUAUGUAGAUGCACUCCUUCCCUCUCGUUGCUAGUAAACUCCAUAGAUUGAUCUUGGUGAUGCGUAGAAAAUUUUGAAUUUCUGCUACAUAACCCAACAGUGGCAUCAUGAGCUAGGUCUAUGCGUAGUUUCUAUGCACGAGUAGAACACAAAGUAGUUGUGGGCGUAGAUGUUGCAAAUUCUUCUUGCCGCUACUAGUCUUAUCUUGUUUCGGCAGCAUUGUGGGAUGAAGCGGCCCGGACCGACCUUACACGUACUCUUACGUGAGACAGGUUCCACCGACUGACAUGCACUAGUUGCAUAAGGUGGCUAGCGGGUGUCUGUCUCUCCCACUUUAGUCGGAACGGAUUCGAUGAAAAGGGUCCUUAUGAAGGGUAAAUAGAAAUUGGCAUAUCACGUUGUGGUCUUACGUAGGUAAGAAACGUUCUUGCUAGAAACCUAUACAAGCCACGUAAAAACUUGCAACAACAAUUAGAGGACGUCUAACUUGUUUUUGCAGCAUGUGCUAUGUGAUGUGAUAUGGCCAGAAGAUGUGAUGAAUGAUAUAUGUGAUGUAUGAGAUUGAUCAUAUUCUUGUAAUAGGAAUCACGACUUGCAUGUCGAUGAGUAUGACAACCGGCAGGAGCCAUAGGAGUUGUCUUUAUUAUUUUGUAUGACCUGCGUGUCAUUGAAUAAACGCCAUGUAAAUUACUUUACUUUGUUGCUAAACGCGUUAGCCAUAGAAGUAGAAGUAAUCGUUGGCGUGACGACUUCAUGAAGACACAAUGAUGGAGAUCAUGAUGAUGGAGAUCAUGGUGUCAUGCCGGUGACGAAGAUGAUCAUGGUGCCCCGAAGAUGGAGAUCAAAGGAGCAUGAUGAUAUUGGCCAUAUCAUGUCACUAUUUGAUUGCAUGUGAUGUUUAUCAUGUUUUUGCAUCUUAUUUGCUUAGAACGACGGUAGUAAGUAAGAUGAUCCCUUAUAAUAAUUUCAAGAAAGUGUUCACCCUAACUGUGCACCGUUGCGAAGGUUCGUUGUUUCGAAGCACCACGUGAUGAUCGGGUGUGAUAGAUUCUAACGUUCGAAUACAACGGGUGUUGACGAGCCUAGCAUGUACAGACAUGGCCUCGGAACACACGCAAUACACUUAGGUUGACUUGACGAGCCUAGAAUGUACAGACAUGGCCUCGGAACACGGAGGACCGAAAGGUCGAGCAUGAGUCGUAUAGAAGAUACGAUCUGUUGGAAAUAUGCCCUAGAGGCAAUAAUAAAUGGUUAUUAUUAUAUUUCUGUGUUCAUGAUAAUAGUCUUUUAUUCAUGCUAUAAUUGUAUUGUCCGGAAAUCGUAAUACAUGUGUGAAUACAUAGACCACAACCUGUCCCUAGUAAGCCUCUAGUUGACUAGCUCGUUGAUCAACAGAUAGUCAUGGUUUCCUGACUAUGGACAUAGGAUGUCAUUGAUAACGGGAUCACAUCAUUAGGAGAAUGAUGUGAUGGACAAGACCCAACUUAAGCAUAGCAUAAAAGAUCGUGUAGUUUCGUUUGCUAGAGCUUUUCCAAUGUCAAGUAUCUUUUCCUUAGACCAUGAGAUCGUGCAACUCCCGGAUACCGUAGGAGUGCUUUGGGUGUGCCAAACGUCACAACGUAACUGGGUGACUAUAAAGGUGCAUUACGGGUAUCUCCGAAAGUGUCUGUUGGGUUGGCACGGAUCGAGACUGGGAUUUGUCACUCCGUGUGACGGAGAGGUAUCUCUGGGCCCACUCGGUAAUGCAUCAUCAUAAUGAGCUCAAUGUGACUAAGGCGUUAGUCACGGGAUCAUGCAUUGCGGUACGAGUAAAGAGACUUGCCGGUAACGAGAUUGAACAAGGUAUUGGGAUACUGACGAUCGAAUCUCGGGCAAGUAACAUACCGAUUGACAAAGGGAGUUGCAUACGGAUUGAUUGAAUCCUCGACACCGUGGUUCAUCCGAUGAUAUCAUCGUGGAACAUGUGGGAGCCAACAUGGGUAUCCAGAUCCCGCUGUUGGUUAUUGACCGGAGAGGCGUCUCGGUCAUGUCUGCAUGUCUCCCGAACCCGUAGGGUCUACACACUUAAGGUCCGGUGACGCUAGGGUUGUAGAGAUAUAUGUAUGCGGAAACCCGAAAGUUGUUCGGAGUCCCGGAUGAGAUCCCGGACGUCACGAGAGGUUCCGGAAUGGUCCGGAGGUAAAGAUUUAUAUAUGGGAAGUCUUAUUUUGGUCGCCGGAAAAGUUUCGCGCUUUAUCGGUAUUGUACCGGGAGUGCCGAAAGGGGUCCGGGGGUCCACCAAGGGGGUCCACCAGCCCCGGGGGGCCACAUGGGCUGUAAGGGGUGCGCCUUGGCCUAUAUGGGCCAAGGGCACCAGCCCCAAGAGGCCCAUGCUCAAGAGAUAAGAAAGAAGGGAGAGUCCUAAAGGGGGAAGGCACCUCCGAGGUGCCUUGGGGGGGAAGGACUCCCCCCUGGCCGCACCCUUCCUUGAAGGAAGGGGCAAGGCUGCGCCCCCCCUCUCCCUUGGCCCUAUAUAUAGUGGGGGGAAGGGAGGGCAGCAAGAUCUAAGCCUUGGGCGCCUCCCUCCUCCCCUGCAACACCUCUCUCUCUCUCGCAGAAGCUCGGCGAAGCCCUGCCGGAGACCCGCUACAUCCACCACCACGCCGUCGUGCUGUUGGAUCUCCAUCAACCUCUCCUUCCCCCUUGCUGGAUCAAGAAGGAGGAGACGUCGCUGCACCGUACGUGUGUUGAACGCGGAGGUGCCGUCCGUUCGGCACUUGGUCAUCGGUGAUUUGGAUCACGGCGAGUACGACUCCGUCAUCCACGUUCAUUGGAACGCUUCCGCUCGCGAUCUACAAGGGUAUGUAGAUGCACUCCUUUCCCCUCGUUGCUAGUAUACUCCAUAGAUGCAUCUUGGUGAGCGUAGGAAAAUUUUAAAAUUAUGCUACGAUUCCCAACAGUGGCAUCAUGAGCCAGGCCUAUGCGUAGUUACUAUGCACGAGUAGAACACAAAGUAGUUGUGGGCGUUGAUGUUGCCAAUUCUUCUUGCCGCUACUAGUCGUAUCUUGUUUCGGCGGUAUUGUAGGAUGAAGCGGCCCGGACCGACCUUACACGUACGCUUACGUGAGACAGGUUCCACCGACUGACAUGCACUAGUUGCAUAAGGUGGCUAGCGGGUGUCUGUCUCUCCUACUUUAGUCGGAACGGAUUCGAUGAAAAGGGUCCUUAUGAAGGGUAAAUAGAAAUUGGCAAAUCACGUUGUGGUUUUACGUAGGUAAGAAACGUUCUUGCUAGAAACCUAUACAAGCCACGUAAAACUUGCAACAACAAUUAGAGGACGUCUAACUUGUUUUUGCAGCAUGUGCUAUGUGAUGUGAUAUGGCCAGAAGAUGUGAUGAAUGAUAUAUGUGAUGUAUGAGAUUGAUCAUAUUCUUGUAAUAGGAAUCACGACUUGCAUGUCGAUGAAUAUGACAACCGGCAGGAGCCAUAGGAGUUGUCUUUAUUUUUUGUAUGACCUGCGUGUCAUUGAAUAACGCCAUGUAAAUUACUUUACUUUAUUGCUAAGCGCGUUAGCCAUAGAAGUAGAAGUAAUCGUUGGCGUGACAACUUCAUGAAGACACAAUGAUGGAGAUCAUGGUGUCAUGCCGGUGACAAAGAUGAUCAUGGUGCCCCGAAGAUGGAGAUCAAAGGAGCAAAAUGAUAUUGGCCAUAUCAUGUCACUAUUUGAUUGCAUGUGAUGUUUAUCAUGUUAUGCAUCUUAUUUGCUUAGAACGACGGUAGCAUAAAUAAGAUGAUCCCUCACUAAAAUUUCAAGAGAAGUGUUCCCCCUAACUGUGCACCGUUGCGAAGGUUCGUUGUUUCGAAGCACCACGUGAUGAUCGGGUGUGAUAGAUUCUAACGUUCGAAUACAACGGGUGUUGUCGAGCCUAGCAUGUACAGACAUGGCCUCGGAACACAUGUGAAACACUUAGGUUGACUUGACGAGCCUAGCAUGUACAGACAUGGCCUCGGAACACAAGAGACCAAAAGGUCGAACAUGAGUCGUAUAGUAGAUGCGAUCAACAUGGAGGUGUUCACCGAUGAUAACUAGUCCGUCUCACGUGAUGAUCGGACACGGCCUAGUUUGACUCGGAUCAUGUAUCACUUAGAUGACUAGAGGGAUGUCUAUCUGAGUGGGAGUUCAAUAAUCAGAUGAACUUCAUUAUCAUGAACAUAGUCAAAAGGUGUUUGCAAAUUAUGUCAUACGCUUUAGUUCUACUGUUUAAGAUAUGUUCCUAGAGAAGAAUUUAGUUGAAAGUUGGUAGUAGCAAUUAUGCGGACUGGGUCCGUAAACUGAGGAUUGUCCUCAUUGCUGCACAGAAGGCUUAUGUCCUUAAUGCACCGCUCGGUGUGCUGAACCUCAGCGUCGUCUGUAGAUGUUGCGGAACAUCUGACAUACACGUUUUGAUAACUACGUGAUAGUUCAGUGCGUAAUGCUAACGGUUUAGAAUUGUGGCACCGAAGACGGUUUUGAAACAUCGCAGAACAUAUGAGAUGUUCCGAAGAUUGAAAUUGGGAUUUCAGACUAGUGCCCACGUCAAGAGGUAUGAGACCUCUGACAAGUUUCUUAAGCCUGCAAACUAAGGGAGAAAGGCUCAAUCGUUGAGCAUGUGCUCAGAUUGUCUGAGUACCACAAUCGCUUGAAUCGAGUAGGAGUUAAUCUCCCAGAUGAGAUAGUGAUAGUUCUCCAUAGUCACUGCCACCAAGCUAGUAGAGCUUCGUGAUGAACUAUAACAUAUCAGGGAUAGUUAUGAUGAUCCUUGAGCUAUUCGCGAUGUUUGACACCGCGAGAGUAGAAAUCAAGAAGGAGCAUCAAUUGUUGAUGGUUAGUAAAACCACUAGUUUAAGAAGGGCAAGGGAAAAAGGGAUACUUCAUGAAACAGCAAGUCGUUUGCUGCUCUAGUGAAGAAUCCCAAGGUUGAACCCAAACCCGAGACUAAGUGCUUCUGUAAUGAGGGGAACGGUCACUGAAGCAGGACUACCCUAGAUACUUGGUAGAUGAGAAGGCAGGCAAGAUCGACAGAAGUAUAUUGGAUAUACAUUAUAUGAAUGUGUACUUUACUAGUACUCCUAGCAGCACCAGGGUAUUGGAUACCGGUUCAGUUGCUAAGUGUUAGUAACUCGAAAUAAAAGCUGCGGAAUAAACGGAGACUAGCUAAAGGCGAGAUGACGAUAUGUGUUGGAAGUGUUUCCAAGGUUGAUGUGAUCAAGCAUCGCAUGCUCCCUCUACCAUCGAGAUUUGGUGUUUGCGUUGAGCAUGAUUGGAUUAUGUUUAUCGCAAUACGGUUAUUCAUUUAAGGAGAAUAAUGGUUACUCUUUUAUUUGAAUAAUACCUUCAAUGGUCUUGCACCUAAAAUGAAUCUCGAUCACAGUGAUACACAUGUUCAUGCCAAAAGAUAUAAAAUAGUAAUGAUAGUACCACAUACUUGUGGCACUGCAAUUUGAGUCAUAUUGGUAUAGAACGCAUGAAGAAGCUCCAUGUAGAUGGAUCUUUGGACUCAGUCGUUUUUGAAAAGAUUGAGACAUGCGAACCAUGUCUAUUGGUAUAUAUGCAUGAAGAAACUCCAUGCAGAUGGAUCGUUUGGACUCACUUGAUUUUGAAUCACUUGAGACAUGCAAAUCAUACCACAUGGGCAAGAUGACUGAAAGGCCUCGUUUUCAGUAAGAUGGAACAAGAGAGCAACUUAUUGGAAGUAAUACAUUUUGAUGUAUGCAGUCCAAUGAGUGCUGAGGCAUGCAGUGGAUAUCGUUAUGUUCUUACUUCACAGAUGAUUUGAGUAGAUGCUGAGUGUAUUUACUUGAUAAACACAAGUCUGAAUUAUUGAAAGGUUCAAGUAAUUUCAGAGUGAAGUUGAAGAUCGUCGUGACAAGAGGAUAAAAUGUCUGUGAUAUGAUCAUAGAGAUGAGUAUCUGAGUUACGAGUUUGGCACACAAUUAAGACAUUGUGGAAAGUGUUUCACAAUUAAUACCGCCUGGAACACCAUAGUGUGAUGGUGUGUCCGAACAUCAUAACUUCACCCUAUUGGAUAUGGUGCAUACCAUGAUGUCUCUUAUCGAAUUACCACUAUCGUUUAUGGGUUAGGCAUUAGAGAUAACCGCAUUCACUUUUAAAGGGGCACCACGCAAUUCCGUUGAGACGACACCGUUUAGAGAAACCUAAGUUGUCGUUUCUUAAAAGUUUGGGGCUGCGAAGCUUAUGUGAAGAAGUUUCAGGCUGAUAAGCUCGAACCCAAAGCGGAUAAAUACAUCUUCAUAAGAAUACCCAAAACUGUUGGGUAUACCUCCUAUUUCAGAUCUGGAAGCAAAAGUAAUUGCUUCUAGAAACGAGUCCUUUCUCGAGGAAAAGUUUCUCUCGAAAGAAUUGAGUGGGAGGAUGGUGGAGACUUGAUAAGGUUAUUGAACCGUCACUUCAACUAGUGUGUAGCAGGGCACAGGAAGUUGUUCCUGUGGCACCUACACCAAUUGAAGUGGAAGCUUAUGAUAGUGAUCAUGAAACUUCGGAUCAAGUCACUACCAAACCUCGUAGGACGACGAGGAUGCGUAAUACUUCAGAGUAGUACGUGAUCCUGUCUUGGAAGUCAUGUUGUUGGACAACGAUGAACCUAUGAGCUAUGGAGAAGCGAGGGUGGGCCCAUAUUCCGACAAAUGGUUAGAAGCCAUGAAAUCCGAGAUAGGAUCCAUGUAUCAGAACAAAGCAUGGACUUUGGUGAACUUGCCCGAUGAUCGGCAAGCCAUUGAGAUAAAUGGAUCUUUAAGAAGAAGACGGACAUGGACGGUAAUGUUACCGUCUAUGAAGCUCGACUUGUGGCAAAGAGUAUUUUCACAAGUUCAAGGAGUUGACUACGAUUUUCUCAUCCGUAGCGAUGCUUAAGUCCGUCAGAAUCAUGUUAGCAUUAGCUGCAUUUAUGAAAUCUGGCAGAUGGAUGUCAAAACAAGUUUCCUUACCAGUUUUCGUAAGGAAAGGUUGUAUGUGAUACAAUCAGAAAGGUUUUGUCGAUCCUAAGGAUGCUAAAAGGUAUGCUAGCUCCAGUGAUCCUUCCAUGGACUAGAGCAAGCAUCUCGGAGUCAGAAUAUACGCUUUGAUGGAGUGAUCAAAGUUUUUGGGUUUAUACAAAGUUUGUUAGAAACUUGUAUUUACAAUAAAGUGAGUGGGAGCGCUACAACAUUUUUGAUAAGUAUAUGUGAAUGACAUAUUGUUGAUCCGAAAUGAUGUAAAAUUUCUGGAAAGCAUAAAGGGUUGUUUGAAAGGAGUUUUUCAAAGGAAGACCUGGACAAAAGCUGCUUACAUAUUGGGCAUCAAGAUCUAUAGAGAUAGAUCAAGACGCCCGAUGAUACUUUCGAAGAACGCACACCUUAACAUGAUUUUGAAAGAGUUCAAAAUAGAUCAGCAAAGAAGGAGUUCUUGGCUGUGUUACAAGAUGUGAGUAUUGAGUAAGACUCAAGGCCUGACCACAGCAGAAGAGAGAGAAAGGAUGAAGGUCGUCCCCUAUGCUUUAGACGUAGGCUCUACAGUAUGCCAUGUUGUGUACCGCACAUGAAGUGUGCCUUGCCAUGAGUUGGUCAAGGGGUACGAUAGUGAUCCGGGAAUGGAUCACAUGACAGCAAUCGAACUUAUCCUUAGUAUCUAGUGGACUAAGGAAUUUUCUCGAUUAUGGAGGUGAAAAGGAGUUCGUCGUAAAGGGUUACGUCGAUGCGAACUUUGACACUAAUCCGGAUGACUCUGAGUAGUCAACCGGAUUCGUAUAGUAGAGCAAUUAUUUGAAAUGGCUCCAAGUAGCGCGUGGUAGCAUCCACAAGAUGACAUAGAUAUUCGUAAAGCACACACGGAUCUGAAAGGUUCAGACCCGUUGACUAAUAACCUCUCUCACAAGCAUAACAUGAUCAAACCAGAACUCAUUGAGUGUUAAUCACAUAGUGAUGUGAACUAGAUUGUUGACUCUAGUAAACUCUUUGGAUGUUGGUCACAUGGUGAUGUGACCUGUCAGUGUUAAUCACAUGGUGAUGUGAACUAGAUUAUUGACUCUAGUGCAAUUGGGAGACUGUUGGAAAUAUGCCCUAGAGGCAAUAAUAAAUAGGUUAUUAUUAUAUUUCCUUGUUCAUGAUAAUCGUUUAUUAUCCAUGCUAGAAUUGUAUUGAUAGGAAACUCAGAUACAUGUGUGGAUACAUGGACAACACCAUGUCCCUAGUAAGCCUCUAGUUGACUAGCUCGUUGAUCAAUAGAUGGUUACGGUUUCCUGACCAUGGACAUUGGAUGUCGUUGAUAACAGGACCACAUCAUUAGGAGAAUGAUGUGAUGGACAAGACCCAAUCCUAAGCCUAGCACAAGAUCGUGUAGUUCGUUUGCUCAGAGCUUUUCUAAUGUCAAGUAUCAUUUCCUUAGACCAUGAGAUUGUGCAACUCCCGGAUACCGUAGGAAUGCUUUGGGUGCACCAAACGUCACAACGUAACUGGGUGGCUAUAAAGGUGCACUACAGGUAUCUCCGAAAGUGUCUGUUGGGUUGGCACGAAUCGAGACUGGGAUUUGUCACUCCGUGUAAACGGAGAGGUAUCUCUGGGCCCACUCGGUAGGACAUCAUCAUAAUGUGCACAAUGUGACCAAGGAGUUGAUCACGGGAUGAUGUGAGUUACGGAACGAGUAAAGAGACUUGCCGGUAACGAGAUUGAACAAGGUAUCGGGAUACCGACGAUCGAAUCUCGGGCAAGUAACAUACCGAUAGACAAAGGGAAUUGUAUACGGGAUUGAUUGAAUCCUCAAAAUCGUGGUUCAUCCGAUGAGAUCAUCGAGGAGCAUGUGGGAGCCAACAUGGGUAUCCAGAUCCCGCUGUUGGUUAUUGACCGGAGAGUCGUCUCGGUCAUGUCUGCCUGUCUCCCGAACCCGUAGGGUCUACACACUUAAGGUUCGGUGACGCUAGGGUUAUAGAGAUAUUAGUAUGUGGUAACCCGAAAGUUGUUCGGAGUCCCGGAUGAGAUCCCGGACGUCACGAGGAGUUCUGGAAUGGUCCGAAGGUAAAGAUUUAUAUAUGGGAAGUCUUAUUUUGGUCGCCGGAAAAGUUUCGCGCAUUAUCGGUAUUGUACCGGGAGUGCCGAAAGGGGUCCGGGGGUCCACCAAGGGGGUCCACCAGCCCCGGGGGGCCACAUGGGCUGUAGGGGGUGCGCCUUGGCCUAUAUGGGCCAAGGGCACCAGCCCCAAGAGGCCCAUGCGCCAAGAGAUAAGAAAACCGGAGAGUCCUAAAGGGGGAAGGCACCUCCGAGGUGCCUUGGGGAGGAAGGACUCCUCCCUGGCCGCACCCUUCCUUGGAGGAAGGGCCAAGGCUGCGCCCCCCCCCCUCUCCCUUGGCCCUAUAUAUAGUGGGGGGAAGGGAGGGCAGCAACAUCUAAGCCCUGGCGCCUCCCUCUCCCUCCCGUGACACCUCUCCCUCCCCGCUUGCGCUUGGCGAAGCCCUGCCGGGAUCCCGCUACUUCCACCACCACGCCGUCGUGCUGCUAGAUCUCCAUCAACCUCUCCUCCCCCCCUUGCUGGAUCAAGAAGGAGGAGACGUCGCUGCUCCGUACGUGUGUUGAACGCGGAGGUGCCGUCUGUUCGGCGCUAGAUCAUCGGUGAUUUGGAUCACGACGAGUACGACUCCAUCAACCCCGUUCUUUUGAACGCUUCCGCUCGCGAUCUACAAGGGUAUGUAGAUGCACUCCUUCCCUCUCGUUGCUAGUAAACUCCAUAGAUUGAUCUUGGUGAUGCGUAGAAAAUUUUGAAUUUCUGCUACAUAACCCAACAAAAACUACCUGUCAUUUCCUUCUGCUCCUCGUUGGGUUCGACACUCUUACUUAUCGAAAAGAGCUACAAUUGAUCCCCUAUACUUGUGGGUCAUCAUGCCCCGAGGGGGGCACGACCCACCUGGGCGCGCCUAGGGGCCCAGGCGCACCCUGGUGGGUUGUGCCCACCUCGGUGUCCUCCUGAUACGUCUCCAACGUAUCUAUAAUUUUUGAUUGUUCCAUGUUAUUAUAUUAUCUGUUUUGGAUGUUUUGGGCUUUAAUAUGCUCUUUUAUAUUAUUUUGGGACUAACCUAUUAACCGGAGGCCCAGUGACAAUUUCUGUUUUUUUGCCUAUUUUAGAGUUUCGCAGAAAAGGAAUACCAAAGAGAGUGCAAACGGAAUGAAACCUUCGCGAUGAUCUUUCUUGGACCGAAAGCAAACCAGAAGACUUGGAGAUGAAGUCAGAGACAUAACGAGGCGGCCACGAGGCAGGAGGGCGCGCCCCCACCCUCGUGGGCCCCUCGUAGCUCCACCGACGUACUUCUUUCGCCUAUAUAUACUCUUAUACCCUAGAAACAUCAGGGGGAGACACGAAACCACUUUUCCAAAGCUGCAACCUUCUGUACCCGUCAGAUCCCAUCUUGGGGCCUUUUCCGGUGAUCUGCCGGAGGGGGGAUCAAUCACGGAGGGCUUCUACAUCAACACCAUAGCCUCUCCGAUGAAGCGUGAGUAGUUUACCACAGACCUUCGGGUCCAUAGUUAUUAGCUAGAUGGCUUCUUCUCUCUCUUUUAUUCUCAAUACAAAGUUCUCCUCGAUGUUCUUGGAGAUCUAUUUGAUGUAAUACUCUUUUGCGGUGUGUUUGCCGAGAUCCGAUGAAUUGUGGAUUUAUGAACUUGAUUAUCUAUGAAUAUUAUUUGGUUCUCUGAAUUCUUAUAUGCAUGAUUUGAUAUCUUUGCAAGUCUCUUCGACUUAUCAGUUUAGUUUGGCCUACUAGAAUGAUCUUUCUUGCAAUGGGAGAAGUGCUUAGCUUUGGGUUCAAUCAUGCGGUGUCCUUUCCCAGUGACAGUAGGGGCAGCAAGGCAUGUAUUGUAUUGUUGCCAUCGAGGAUAAAAAGAUGGGGUUUAUAUCAUAUUGCUUGAGUUUAUCCCUCUACAUCAUGUCAUCUUGCUUAAUGCGUUACUCCGUUCUUAUGAACUUAAUACUCUAGAUGCAUGCUGGAUAGUGGUCGAUGUGUGGAAUAAUAGUAGUAGAUGCAGAAUCGUUUCGGUCUACUUGACACGGACGUGAUGCCUAUAUUCAUGAUCAUUGCCUUAGAUAUCUUCAUAACUAUGCGCUUUUCUAUCAAUUGCUCGGCAGUAAUUUGUUCACCCACCGUAAUACAUGCUAUCUUGAGAGAAGCCACUAGUGAAACCUAUGGCCCCCGGGUCUCUUUCUUAUUAUAUUGCAUCUCUUUUAUUUACAUCGCAUCUCGUUUACUAUUUUAUAAUCUUUACUUUCCAAUCUAUACAACAAAAAUACAAAAAAUAUUACUUUACUAUCUCUAUGAGAUCUCACUUUUGCGAGUGACCGUGAAGGGAUUGACAACCCCUUUAUCACGUUGGUUGCAAGGUUCUUGAUUGUUUGUGCAGGUACUAGGUGACUUGUGUGUUGUCUCCUACUGGAUUGAUACCUUGGUUCUCAAAAACUAAGGGAAAUACUUACGCUACUUUGAUGCAUCACCCUUUCCUCUUCAAGGAAAAACCAACGCAUGCUCAAGAGGUAGCACCUCCCGCACCGCCUCUUCGCCCUAUAAAUUGUCAAUAUUCCAAAAGCCCUGGGGGUAACCCUAGAUCAGAAGUUCCGCCGUCGCAAGCCUCUGUAGCCACGAAAAACCAAUCUAGACCCCGUUCCGGCACUCCGCCGGAGGGGGAAAUCAUCACCGGUGGCCAUCUUCAUCAUCCCGGCGGCCACUGAUACGUCUCCAACGUAUCUAUAAAGAGGACUUGAUGCUUUAAUGCUAUGGUUGGGUUUUACCUUAAUGAUCUUUAGUAGUUGUGGAUGCUUGCUAGAGUUCCAAUCAUAAGUGCAUAUGAUCCAAGAAGAGAAAGUAUGUUAGCUUAUGCCUCUCCCUCAUAUGAAAUUGCAAUAGUGACUACCGGUCUUGUUAACAAUUGCCUAGGACAAUUCCGCACACCGAUCCACCAUUAUUCCACACUCGCUAUUUAUAAUAUUUAGUAAUAUAUUCCAUACGAAGUUAUCCUCUUCAUACCCACAACGUAGUUUUAUUUCUCGUUGCUAAUUGGAAGCAAACGUUCGGUGUACGUAGAGUCGUAUCAGUGGCAGAUAGGGCUUGAGAGAAUAUUGAUCUUACUUUUAGCUCCUUGUGGGUUCGACACUCCAUACUUAUCACUUCCACCUUUGGAAAUUGCUACGAUGAUUCCCUGCACUUGGGGAUUAUCAAGCUCUUUUCUGGCGCCGUUGCCGGGGAGCAAUAGCGUGGGGUUGAUAUUCUCGUGUGUGCUUGUUUGCUUUCUUCACUAAGUAGAUUUCAUUUUCCUUUUUGUUUCUGUUUAGUUGUGGGUGAAACAUACAAAAAAAAUAAAGAAUGAAAAUACCAAAAAAAUUACUUGCCUCUCAUGCCUAAAAAGUUUUUCAAAGAGAGAAGUGAUUGGAAAGUUAUGCAUUGAAGAAGUGAGGGUCGACCUUGAGCACUUGUGUUCAUGCUCACGGAAACAAUGUAGAAUUUUUCAUGGAACUUUCUCUGUAAAUAAUUAUCCCCUUGUAUAUAUCCAUUGUAUUAUAAAAAUAAUGUGCCAAGAUUUGGUUUUAGGAUGAUUAGAUUGCUUGUUUACUAUGUGCAGAACAAAAACAGAAACUUUGGCUGUAGUGCAUGAAUUUACAUUUUUUACUGGAAGGUCAAAUGGGUGUGGAAAUUUUUGCACAUUACUUCUGUACAAAAUUUUCAAAUUGUCAAAUUUAUUUCAUAAUUUUAGGAGUUACAGAAGUUUACCAAACUUCCAGAUUACUUCAGACUGUUCUGUUUUUAACAGAUUCUGUUUUGCGUGUGUUGUUUGCUUAUUUCGAUGAAUCUAUGGCUAGUAUCGGGGGGUAUGAACCAUAGAGAAGUUGGAAUACAGUAGGUUUAAAACCAAUAUAAAUAAAUAAUGAGUUCAUUACAGUACCUAAAGGUAGUGAUUUGCCCUAGAGGCAAUAAUAAAUGGUUAUUAUUAUAUUUCUUUGUUCAUGAUAAUUGUCUAUUGUUCAUGCUAUAAUUGUGUUAUCCGGAAAUCGUAAUACAUGUGUGAAUACAUAGACCACAACGUGUCCCUAGUAAGCCUCUAGUUGACUAGCUCGUUGAUCAACAGAUAGUCAUGGUUUCCUGACUAUGGACAUUGGAUGUCAUUGAUAACGGGAUCACAUCAUUAGGAGAAUGAUGUGAUGGACAAGACCCAAUCCUAAGCAUAGCAUAAAAGAUCGUGUAGUUUCGUUUGCUAGAGCUUUUCCAAUGUCAAGUAUCUUUUCCUUAGACCAUGAGAUCGUGCAACUCCCGGAUACCGUAGGAGUGCUUUGGGUGCACCAAACGUCACAACGUAACUGGGUGACUAUAAAGGUACACUACGGGUAUCUCUGAAAGUGUCUGUUGGGUUGGCACGGAUCGAGACUGGGAUUUGUCACUCCGUGUGACGGAGAGGUAUCUCUGGGCCCACUCGGUAAUGCAUCAUCAUAAUGAGGUCAAUGUGACUAAGGCGUUAGUCACGGGAUCAUGCAUUGCGGUACGAGUAAAGAGACUUGCCGGUAACGAGAUUGAACAAGGUAUUGGGAUACCGACGAUCGAAUCUCGGGCAAGUAACAUACCGAUUGACAAAGGGAAUUGUAUACGGGAUUGAUUGAAUCCUCGACAUCGUGGUUCAUCCGAUGAGAUCAUCGUGGAACAUGUGGGAGCCAACAUGGGUAUCCAGAUCCCGCUGUUGGUUAUUGACCGGAGAGGCGUCUCGGUCAUGUCUGCAUGUCUCCCGAACCCGUAGGGUCUACACACUUAAGGUUCGGUGACGCUAGGGUUGUAGAGAUGUGUGUAUGCGGAAACCCGAAAGUUGUUCGGAGUCCCGGAUGAGAUCCCAGACGUCACGAGGAGCUCCGGAAUGGUCCGGAGGUGAAGAAUUAUAUAUAGGAAGUCAUGUUUCGGCCACCGGGAAAGUUUCGGGGGUUACCGGGACCACCGGAAGGGUCCCGGGGGUCCACCGGGUGGGGCCACCUAUCCCGGAGGGCCCCGUGGGCUGAAGUGGGAAGGGAACCAGCCCCUAGUGGGCUGGGCGCCCCCCCCCCAUGGGCCUCCCCCCUGCGCCUAGGGUUGGAAACCCUAGGGUGGGGGGGCGCCCCACUUGCCUUGGGGGCAAGCCACCCCCCUUGGCCNNNNNNNNNNNNNNNNNNNNNNNNNNNNNNNNNNNNNNNNNNNNNNNNNNNNNNNNNNNNNNNNNNNNNNNNNNNNNNNNNNNNNNNNNNNNNNNNNNNNNNNNNNNNNNNNNNNNNNNNNNNNNNNNNNGGAUCUUGGCCGGCGCCCCCCCCCUCCCAGGGGGCCUGUAUAAGGGGGGAGGGAGGGCAGCAUUAAUACAGCCUUGGGCGCCUCCCUCCUCCCCUGCUACACCUCUCCCUCUCGCAGACGCUCGGCGAAGCCCUGCCGAGAUCCCGCUACAUCCACCACCACGCCGUCGUGCUGCUGGAUCUCCAUCAACCUCUCCUUCCCCCUUGCUGGAUCAAGAAGGAGGAGACGUCGCUGCACCGUACGUGUGUUGAACGCGGAGGUGCCGUCCGUUCGGCACUCGGUCAUCGGUGAUUUGAAUCACGGCGAGUACGACUCCGUCAUCCACGUUCAUUGGAACGCUUCCGCUCGCGAUCUACAAGGGUAUGUAGAUGCACUCCUUUCCCCUCGUUGCUAGUAUACUCCAUAGAUGGAUCUUGGUGAGUGUAGGAAAAUUUUAAAAUUACGCUAUGAUUCCCAAUAGUGGCAUCAUGAGCCAGGCCUAUGCGUAGUUACUAUGCACGAGUAGAACACAAAGUAGUUGUGGGCGUUGAUGUUGCCAAUUCUUCUUGCCGCUACUAGUCUUAUCUUGUUUCGGCGGUAUUGUAGGAUGAAGCGGCCCAUACCGACCUUACACAUACGCUUACGUGAGACAGGUUCCACCGACUGACAUGCACUAGUUGCAUAAGGUGGCUAGCACGUGUCUGUCUCUCCUACUUUAGUCGGAACGGAUUCGAUGAAAAGGGUCCUUAUGAAGGGUAAAUAGAAAUUGGCAAAUCACGUUGUGGUCAUACGUAGGUAAGAAACGUUCUUGCUAGAAACCUACAAACCACGUAAAAACUUGCAACAACAAUUAGAGGACGUCUAACUUGUUUUUGCAGCAUGUGCUAUGUGAUGUGAUAUGGCCAGAAGAUGUGAUGAAUGAUAUAUGUGAUGUAUGAGACUGAUCAUAUUCUUGUAAUAGGAAUCACGACUUGCAUGUCGAUGAGUAUGACAACCGGCAGGAGCCAUAGGAGUUGUCUUUAUUAUUUUGUAUGACCUGCGUGUCAUUGAAUAACGCCAUGUAAAUUACUUUACUUUAUUGCUAAACGCGUUAGCCAUAGAAGUAGAAGUAACCGUUGGCAUGACAACUUCAUGAAGACACAAUGAUGGAGAUCAUGAUGAUGGAGAUCGUGGUGUCAUGCCGGUGACGAAGAUGAUCAUGGUGCCCCGAAGAUGGAGAUCAAAGGAGCAAAAUGAUAUUGGCCAUAUCAUGUCACUAUUUGAUUGCAUGUGAUGUUUAUCAUGUUUCUGCAUCUUAUUUGCUUAGAACGACGGUAGUAAGUAAGAUGAUCCCUUAUGAUAAUUUCAAGAAAGUGUUCCCCCUAACUGUGCACCGUUGCGAAGGUUCGUUGUUUCGAAGCACCACGUGAUGAUCAGGUGUGAUAGAUUCUAACGUUCGCAUACAACGGGUGUUGACGAGCCUAGCAUGUACAGACAUGGCCUCAGAACACACGCAAUACACUUAGGUUGACUUGACGAGCCUAGCAUGUACAGACAUGGCCUCGGAACACGGAGGACCGAAAGGUCGAGCAUGAGUCGUAUAGAAGAUACGAUCAACAUGGAGAUGUUCACCGAUCUUGACUAGUCCGUCUCACGUGAUGAUCGGACACGGCCUAGUUAACUCGGAUCAUGUUUCACUUAGAUGACUAGAGGGAUGUCUAUCUGAGUGGGAGUUCAUUAAAUAAUUUGAUUAUAUGAACUUAAUUAUCAUGAACUUAGUCUAAAAUCUUUACACUAUGUCUUGUAGAUCAAAUGGCCCACGUUGUCCUCAAUUUCAACGCGUUCCUAGAGAAAACCAAGCUGAAAGAUGAUGGCAGUAACUAUACGGACUGGGUCCGGAACCUGAGGAUCAUCCUCAUAGCUGCCAAGAAAGAUUAUGUCUUAGAAGCACCGCUAGGUGAAGCACCAAUCCCAGAGAACCAAGACGUUAUGAACGCUUGGCAAUCACGUGCAGAUGAUUACUCCCUCGUUCAGUGCGGCAUGCUUUACAGCUUAGAACCGGGUCUCCAAAAGCGUUUUGAGAAACAUGGAGCAUAUGAGAUGUUCGAGGAGCUGAAAAUGGUUUUCCAAGCUCAUGCCCGGGUCGAGAGAUAUGAAGUCUCCGACAAGUUCUUCAGCUGUAAAAUGGAGGAGAAUAGUUCUGUUAGUGAGCACAUACUCAGAAUGUCUGGCUUGCACAACCGCUUGUCUCAGCUGGGAGUUAAUCUCCCGGAUGACGCGGUCAUUGACAGAAUCCUUCAGUCGCUUCCACCAAGCUACAAGAGCUUUGUGAUGAACUUCAAUAUGCAAGGGAUGGAAAAGACCAUUCCUGAGGUAUAUUCAAUAGGGCUUGAGAGAAUAUUGAUCUUACUUUUAGCUCCUUGUGGGUUCGACACUCCAUACUUAUCACUUCCACCUUUGGAAAUUGCUACGAUGAUUCCCUGCACUUGGGGAUUAUCAAGCUCUUUUCUGGCGCCGUUGCCGGGGAGCAAUAGCGUGGGGUUGAUAUUCUCGUGUGUGCUUGUUUGCUUUCUUCACUAAGUAGAUUUCAUUUUCCUUUUUGUUUCUGUUUAGUUGUGGGUGAAACAUAGAAAAAAAAUAAAGAAUGAAAAUACCAAAAAAAUUACUUGCCUCUCAUGCCUAAAAAGUUUUUCAAAGAGAGAAGUGAUUGGAAAGUUAUGCAUUGAAGAAGUGAGGGUCGACCUUGAGCACUUGUGUUCAUGCUCACGGAAACAAUGUAGAAUUUUUCAUGGAACUUUCUCUGUAAAUAAUUAUCCCCUUGUAUAUAUCCAUUGUAUUAUAAAAAUAAUGUGCCAAGAUUUGGUUUUAGGAUGAUUAGAUUGCUUGUUUACUAUGUGCAGAACAAAAACAGAAACUUUGGCUGUAGUGCAUGAAUUUACAUUUUUUACUGGAAGGUCAAAUGGGUGUGGAAAUUUUUGCACAUUACUUCUGUACAAAAUUUUCAAAUUUUCAAAUUUAUUUCAUAAUUUUAGGAGUUACAGAAGUUUACCAAACUUCCAGAUUACUUCAGACUGUUCUGUUUUUAACAGAUUCUGUUUUGCGUGUGUUGUUUGCUUAUUUCGAUGAAUCUAUGGCUAGUAUCGGGGGGUAUGAACCAUAGAGAAGUUGGAAUACAGUAGGUUUAAAACCAAUAUAAAUAAAUAAUGAGUUCAUUACAGUACCUAAAGGUAGUGAUUUGCCCUAGAGGCAAUAAUAAAUGGUUAUUAUUAUAUUUCUUUGUUCAUGAUAAUUGUCUAUUGUUCAUGCUAUAAUUGUGUUAUCCGGAAAUCGUAAUACAUGUGUGAAUACAUAGACCACAACGUGUCCCUAGUAAGCCUCUAGUUGACUAGCUCGUUGAUCAACAGAUAGUCAUGGUUUCCUGACUAUGGACAUUGGAUGUCAUUGAUAACGGGAUCACAUCAUUAGGAGAAUGAUGUGAUGGACAAGACCCAAUCCUAAGCAUAGCAUAAAAGAUCGUGUAGUUUCGUUUGCUAGAGCUUUUCCAAUGUCAAGUAUCUUUUCCUUAGACCAUGAGAUCGUGCAACUCCCGGAUACCGUAGGAGUGCUUUGGGUGCACCAAACGUCACAACGUAACUGGGUGACUAUAAAGGUACACUACGGGUAUCUCUGAAAGUGUCUGUUGGGUUGGCACGGAUCGAGACUGGGAUUUGUCACUCCGUGUGACGGAGAGGUAUCUCUGGGCCCACUCGGUAAUGCAUCAUCAUAAUGAGGUCAAUGUGACUAAGGCGUUAGUCACGGGAUCAUGCAUUGCGGUACGAGUAAAGAGACUUGCCGGUAACGAGAUUGAACAAGGUAUUGGGAUACCGACGAUCGAAUCUCGGGCAAGUAACAUACCGAUUGACAAAGGGAAUUGUAUACGGGAUUGAUUGAAUCCUCGACAUCGUGGUUCAUCCGAUGAGAUCAUCGUGGAACAUGUGGGAGCCAACAUGGGUAUCCAGAUCCCGCUGUUGGUUAUUGACCGGAGAGGCGUCUCGGUCAUGUCUGCAUGUCUCCCGAACCCGUAGGGUCUACACACUUAAGGUUCGGUGAUGCUAGGGUUGUAGAGAUGUGUGUAUGCGGAAACCCGAAAGUUGUUUGGAGUCCCGGAUGAGAUCCCGGACGUCACGAGGAGUUCCGGAAUGGUCCGGAGGUGAAGAAUUAUAUAUAGGAAGUCAAGUUUCGGCCACCGGGAAAGUUUCGGGGGUUACCGGUAUUGUACCGGUAUUCAUGCAUGCAUGGGUUUCAUUGUAAGCAGCAUAAUUUGGAGAUUGUAGUCUCCUUAUCUAUUCUUGAUUAAAAAGAUCUCCUCUAUAUGAGGGAUACCACAAUUUAUAUUGUAAUGGGCAUAUAUUUCACGUGCUUCUUUCAUAAUAUGCCCAAAUUCAUAAGCUAGAAAUAUAGUGGUAACACGCUUAACGUAAGGGUCAUGAAAUAUUAGAGAAUUCUAGAAGGAUCCUUUGUAUGGAAUGAUACAUGUGAACAAAUUGUCUUUCAUGUUCAACUAUAAGCAAAUAUAUUACAUCUGCAAGACUAGAAGUUUUAUUAAGGAUUUACCCUCCUAGCAUAGGUAACAUACUGGAACAAAUAAAGAAAUCAUGAAUAACACCUUUUCCAAUAAUAUUACCGCUACCUACAAAUAAAGAAUGAUGAUUUUAUCUAAAUUAUACUCCUAAGAGAAGGUCUAAAGUACUCUUAUGGUCCCAAGCUCAAAUGAGCUCGGGAUGAACAGUAGCACGGUCGUACAGGAAAAAUCCCCACCCCUGCUAAGGAUGCUAGCGAGGGUCGCCUUGAUUGAGAAAAUCAUCUGCAGAAACACCACCAUACAUCAAUAUCAGCAUACAACAAUAACACGGCCAUACAUCAUGUGGAAGUGAAAUUACCUUCAGUAGAAAGAGAUCAGAGGGAGGGGACACAAGAGAUGGAGCCCAUCGUCUAGAGAUGGACGACGAAGGCUCGAUUUAUCUAGAGGUGGUUGAAACAGCAAAUCCUGGGUCAGCUGUAGGUUGAGUUGUUGAUGGCUGGACACUGAGUUAGGAAUGGUGGAGCUCGGGACCCGGCGCGCGCNNNNNNNNNNNNNNNNNNNNNNNNNNNNNNNNNNNNNNNNNNNNNNNNNNNNNNNNNNNNNNNNNNNNNNNNNNNNNNNNNNNNNNNNNNNNNNNNNNNNNNNNNNNNNNNNNNNNNNNNNNNNNNNNNNNNNNNNNNNNNNNNNNNNNNNNNNNNNNNNNNNNNNNUUUGGAGGCGGCUGAGGAACCGUGAGGCUCGAGGAUCUACGGUGUCUUAGGAGCUCGGGUGUGGCAAUGUAACUUGGGGACUAUGUCAAAGGAUAAUGCACAAUCUGCUCCAUUUUCAUCUCACAAAGUCACAUGAAUCACACUAAUCAUUAAAAAGAUAACAAAAUACAAAAGUAACAUUAAACACAAAGUUCAACAGAUAAUAGUAACAUGUCAUGCGUAAGAGUGAAAAACAGACAAAUGGCCAGAGUAAUGAAAAUAGGCGAAAAACAAACAAAUGAACAGAGUAAUGAAAAGGCUCGUUAAUAACAAGGGUUAACAAAAAAUCCACACACAAAAGUGUCAUAUACAUGUUCACACAGCUCUUUUUAAACAUACCAUUGACAUUUUUUAGAUGCCAUAGAAACAUUUCACGCACCCAAGCAAAGAACCUUCUAUAUUACUCGCAUGAUUCAUGAUUGUUUUCCCAAUGUGAAACAACUUGCGACGACAUUGACAAUGGCCAUACAGUUCUUAUCCUUACCCAUCCUUAUAUUUUUCACUCCACAGGCUGUACAACGCAUAUACCUUCCAUUUCUUAAACUUCAAGUUUCUAAUCAAAAUUUGCCAAAUUGAACAUUUUAGUCUAUGGAGUGAUGAAAAUGAAUAUGGCCAAUACCCGAUGCUAAAUUGUUGAUCCACACAUGAUGAAUGGGCUUACAACCAAAAAUAAAAUGUGAUUAACUAGAACAACAAACAAUGUUAUACAUAUAAGCAGAUUCGUCUCAGUGAAAAAUCAAUUGGCUGCAAGAUAAGAGUGGAAUUUUUUGUACAAAUGAUGCACAAAGACAAUCAUCAAGUGGUAACAAAAAAUCCCUGCUCUCUGAUUGGCCGAUUAGACCCUCCCACGGAUCGUGCCCCCAAACUGAUCUCCGCCGCCCGCUCCACACAGAUCCAACGGCUGGCGCACCGCAUCACGCGGAUCGCCCCCCCCGCCAGCGACGCUCCCGCCUCCCAAUAAAACCCCCGCCCUCGCCGCCGUCCAAACACACAAGCUCGGAGCAUUCCGAUCCAGACCAGCCGCCCCCGCAUCUCGAGUAGUUUCCAGCUCGCCGGAGAAGCAGCAAGCAGGAUGGCCGGAAGGAAGGGCGGCGACAGGAAGAAGUCGGUGACCAGGUCCGUCAAGGCUGGGCUCCAGUUCCCCGUCGGCCGCAUCGGGCGCUACCUCAAGAAGGGCCGCUACGCGCAGCGCGUCGGCUCUGGCGCCCCCGUCUACCUCGCCGCCGUCCUCGAGUACCUCGCCGCCGAGGUACGCACAGAUCUCUCCCCUCCCCGAGCACCUCUUCUUCUCUGUUCUUCUUGUGUUCGACGGAUAACUGACAGAUUUCGUUUUUGAAUCGCAGGUGUUGGAGCUGGCCGGCAACGCUGCCAAGGACAACAAGAAGACCCGCAUCAUCCCGCGCCACCUGCUGCUCGCCGUCCGCAACGACCAGGAGCUCGGCAGGCUGCUCGCCGGCGUCACCAUCGCCCACGGCGGCGUGAUCCCCAACAUCAACUCCGUGCUUCUCCCCAAGAAGUCCCCCGCCGCCGCCGAGAAGGAGGCCAAGUCGCCCAAGAAGAAGACCACCACCAAGUCCCCCAAGAAGAAGGUCGCCACCAAGGAGUAGAAUUCCGCAUAGCAUAGCCAUUGUUGCUUAGAUCCAUUUCUCAUGGACAAGAUGAGCAGUCUUUUGGUUAGUUAGACGAGUAGUGGUUCUGUCCUUAGAUUCGCUGAGCAAGGGUGACAUUGUGUCUGUGAUUUCUGUAGGAAUGGCUAAAUAUGCAAUCGUUCAGAUCUUGAUUCUCUUGUUCUAUCAGUGGAUGCAAUUGAUCUUGUUAAUCCUCGCUACCUAUGCUGUUUUGUACCAAAUUCUCACUUCUAUCAUCUGAAAAAUUCCCCAAUUCCUUGCUCUCUAAAUUAUGGCGCUCAAUUUCAAACACUGAUUGUAAAUUCCUUAUGAAGAUCCACACAAUCAUAUUACUAUUGAGCUGCAAAGAAAAAUUUGCACCUGAUGACCAGCUUUCUGUCAGUCAGCAUCACCAUCUUAGACUUGCUCAAGCAUGUACCAGCGAACCACAAAAGCCAUGCCAAGACAUUCCGGCAGUUAAUUUCAGCUUGAUCUUUCCCUCAGUAGUUGAGUUCUUUACAUGUUGUAUUCACAGCCCAAACAAAUUCUUCCGGUUGGAGUUGAGCCGGCCGUAUGCAAAGUGAAGUUUGGGGAGUCAGGUGUACGUAACAAACCACAAACCAGAUUUAUGAUUUAUGAGCCACUAGCCAGAUAAGGUACUAAUUUAGAUUGACCUAAAGAGAAACAAACAUUGAGAAAUUAAGAUAGCAACCAUGCUCAUGUAAGAAAACUGAUAUAGCGAUGUUUCACUUCGUUCCAUCAACAAAAAUAUAUUUUCUGAAAGUAAAAUUGGUAACCACCAUGGAAAUACAACAGGUACAAAUCUCAGUAAAAAACACUUGGAAUUGAACACAUCGAUUCUAUUACAACCGAUUCUUCGCUAAAUCACUUGCAACCAAAACUAGUACCGAGUCCGGGGAAGGUCUUGUGCUAAGGAUAUAGUUUUUGUGUACGCUUCUCUUGUUUUUCAUGCUGUUUUCGUGGAUUUAUAUGGUUUUUCCACUAUAUUUUUCUGUUUGUUACAUUUUUCUUUUGCUGAAUUCUUUAUUGUUUCAUUUUUUAUUUUUCCUCUGUUGUCUCUAUUUAUUUUUCCCAUUGUCGUCUUUUGAAGUUUUCCUUUUUACUUUUUCGUCGACUUUCUCAUAUCUUGUUUUUGUUUUGUCUCAGAUUUUUAGUACUUUUUAGAAAUAUUAAAAUGUUUUCCAAACACAUAAUUUUUUAAAAUGGCACAUACAUGUUUUGUAAAAUAGGUGAAUACUUCAUGACAAAACUUUUCAAAUAACCCGUCACUUUUAAAACAUAAUUAUUUUUUCAACACAGCAACACUUUUAAUAACUACAUGAAUAACUUCUAAGAAUUAUAAGAACAUUUAUUCAAUUUUGUGAACACUUCUAGAAAUUAAGAACAUUUAUUUUAAACAUGGAAAUCUUUUUAGAAUUACAUUAGCACAUAAAACAACUGAACAUAAAUCACAAGAACACUUUUUUAAUCUAUUUGGAUAUUUUUUAAUGUAUAAAUUUAUUUCAACUUUGCAGGAGCACUUUUUAAAAAUAUGUGAACACUUUCUUGUAACUUCAUGAACAUAUUUCAGAAUGGAGCAAAUAAUUUUUAAAAUGAUACUAUAUAAAAUACAUGAAACGUUUAUCUGGUUACUUUAACAAUAGUAAGAAAUGCAUGACUAUUAAUCAAAAAACUUGAUUUUUUAAUAUCUGCAUGAUCAUUUUUUUAAACAUACAAAUAUGUUUUGAAAGCCAUGAACAUUAUCAGAUACAUUUUAUAAAAUUACAUAAAAAGUUUAUCUGUGUGAAAAAACUUGUAGCACACAGAUUUUUAUUUUUUACUUAUUUAAUUUACAUUGUACUUAUAAAAGCGACAAAAAACAUAAAACAAUUGAGGUGAAGAGACUCACUCACGCUCGGCCACUCGCAUCUGGUACUCAGAUUUUUCUCGAUGUUUGGACUCAGCUACUCCCUCCAUUCCAUUUCUUGUCGUAGUUUUAGUUCAAAUUUACUGCUUACCAGUUAACUAUACCUUUGCGUUGCAUACAUGGGCUAGUACAAAAUAGAACAUACGCUCGCGGCGCGUGUUUUGAACACUAUACCACCAUUGGCGCCUGCUUGUAAUUACGAUGCUCAGUUGGACGGUGCCCCAAUAGGGAUUGCUCGCUCGCUCUGCCCAAUGUAACAGUGCCAUUCGCAAAGGCUAUAUCUCUGUUACUGUUUCUCGCAAAAAAUACAUUUCUUUUUUAUUGCAAUGAAAAGGGAGUUUUAUUCCAUAUUUAUUGGGUUACAAUCAAAGAGGCAAUAAUUCCUCAAUACAUGGAGGUGUGUGACCUAGUCACACCUCGGUGGCAUGUUCCGAACGACUAUAUACAACCAGUCGAUCUGUUGCACUAUUUUGAUCUCGUCUAAGUUUCUGAGGAUGUAGCAUGUACUCACCUCUGGCGGCGCUUGGGGUGCUCACAUCUUAGUGGGCCAGUCCAUUGAACCCAUUUUGGGGCGGUUCUCAGAAUUGGGUUUUAGAACCUUCCUUGCAGUUUUUUAUUUUUGUUUUUCUAUGUAUCAAAUACUGUACAUGAACAACAUUUUUCAAAUACAUGUUAUGAAAACAGGUUAAAUAUUUUUCAAACACAUGUUGACUAUUUUUUUGAAUGGUAUGAAACAUUUCUUAAAAAAUACAUGAAGAAUUUUCGUACAAUAUAUAAACAUUUUCUGAAAUAUAGGUUUGAAUGUUCUUAUGACUACAUUAAAACUUUUUGCAAAUUCAUGGGAAUUUUUCCAAUGAUACGAAACAAAAAAUUUAAACUAUGUGAUCAUUUUUAUUCAUUGUAUAACCAUUUCUUAAAAUUAUCAUAAACUUAUUUCUGAAAUAUGUGAACAGUUUUUUAAAUUUCACAAUUUCUUUAGAAUGGAACGACUUUUUAAAAGAUACACAUAUAUUUUUUCCAUUGUUCAAACAUUUAAAAAAAUGGUAAGUACAUUUUUUUGAAACACACAAACAAUUUGAAAUUGUCACGACCAUCUUAUUGAAUAAUAUAACAUUUUUUAAAAAUCAUGCAAACAAAUGUUUUAUAUUGUGUUAGCAUUUUCUAAAUGCUAGAGCGGUAUUUAAAAAAAUUCAAGUUAGUUAAUUGUUGAAUAUAUAUAUAUAUAUUACUAUGUUUUCAAAAUCAUAAAAAGGUAAAAAAGAAGAUGGAAAAAAACAAUGAAACAAAUGAAACUAACGAACCUAACACUAUUGGGUCAGCCCACCAUACGUCGUGCUUAAGGCGAGGUGUUGUUGGUCUUGUAGAAGCGAGAGAAAGCAUCACACUGCCCAAUAUAGAGCAUCUUCAACUGCUAACAAGGAUUAUAUAGCGCUUAUUGCGAGAAGUUCCGAAUAAGUAGGGUCAAUAGUUCAGCAUUUAGGCCGUAACAUUUAGCAAAAAAGGAAUCUUAGACCCAACAAGUGCUCUCCGAACCUCACCAACCAACCUGGAUUUUGAUUCUUUCUUGUUAUUCUAACCGGAUAUAAAAACCAUAAGGAUUGUUUCCAGCCGAGAGUACCCAUAUGACAUAAGCGCUCUUAGGUGGGGUGGGCCCUCAUUCUCCAGGUCUUUGAGUGCCCGGCAUACCACGUGGUUGGUACACUAGGCGAAUAGAUACUUACUUUAAGGAUUUGGCACCUUCGCUAGAUGGAGAGUAAGCGACUUCUAUUAGCACAGGACCAUCGAGUCAAAUUUCUCGUGUCAUGUGCUUAGCCUCACCACUAGCGAAGUAGCCGACUCAUUAAACCACUUUUAGGGACGGGAAUACAUAGAAAAGAAAGAAACAAACCAAACCAAACGAAUAAACGAACAAACUUACAACUGGGUCAGCCCACUAGGGAGCGAGAUAUAGCCUUUGUCCCUGACGGGACCUCCUAUUUCACCGGAGGCAACACGCACCAUGUGUGUGUUGAUGGGCCGGCUCAUUAGCAUUAUACUGUAGCAAGCCGGAAAGCAAUCGAGUUUUCUUGCUGAUGUAUUGUAGCGAACCAAUGAACUGUAGAAAACCAGUGUACUGUAUGUAGCGAGCCAAUUUAUAUCAGCAACAGAUGCACUAUAUCGACCGAGAUAAUGUAGCAAGCAUUUUUAAAAUUUUGAGAACAUUUUAUUGAAACUGUGAACAAUUUUUGAAAACACAAACAACUUUUAAAACGCUGAACAAUUUUUGAAAGAUUUGAUAGUUUUCUUUUUUAAAGGAUUUUUAGCAAUUCCAUCCAUUAAAAAAAUUAAUUACAAAACUUUUAAAAGAAUAUGAACAUUUUUCUCAAAAUUUGAACAUUUUUUAAGUUCCAAUUUUUUAACGGUAUGAUUUUUAAAAGAAAUUCUAAACAUUGUAUUAAAUAACAAGGAUGGAUUGUCAUCUAGCUACUGCCAUGUACCCAUAGUCCAAAGAAAACUACUCAUGUGAAAUUAUGGUAGUAGCAAGGUUUAUGUUGAUGGCCGCCGUGAUGAAUUCCCUCAUGGAGAGUAUGGGAAAAUGCAUAUAGAUUGGAUCACAGCGGGACAUAGAGGUGUGGCUGUGAAUUGUUUGCCUCUAUAUAAAAUCGGUGUUUUUUCGCAAUUAUAAAGGUGGAGGUGCCGAGAGGUGGUGGAGCGGAGUCCCAUGGGGCCUACGCAGACACCCCUCGCAUCGUGGAGCCCAUAGGACUCUCCAAGCGGGGCUAGGUGCCUCUGGAAGCUUCUAGACUUGAAUCAUUUUUGGGAAUUCCCCCCCUUUCUGAGCUUGUGAAAAUUGAUUUUACUUAAAAGCCCAAAACUACAAAAAACGACAUAUUGCCCUUGGACCGAAUUAAUAGGUUAGUUCAAAAAAAAAAUUGGUGCUAAAACUAUGGAAAUAACGUAAUUUUAUUAUGAAACAAGCAAAAAUUAUGCACACUUCUAAGACAUAUGAAAAGCACUCGAGUGUAAAUACCAAGAAUUCGCGACAAAAUCAGGGAACCUCGGGAUGGCUGUGAGUACAGAUGGACUAAAUUCGUUUGUGAACUAGCACAUCACAUACCACAUGGCGUGUGUUUGUAUGGUUAUACAACCCCAUGGCUCUAUGUAAAGCGGAAGUAUAUAUACACAUGGUUAUGCUAAUUCAAGGGCCGACACAACCGAGGAAUAAUAUUAACUUGUAUCUCCAGCUAUUGAAGGAUGAUGUACACAUCAUGAGCUGCUCGAGGGGUCAAUACCUGGGAUGCCUACGAAGGGGAUCAUUUCCCUAUAAGAGUUGCAUUGAUCACGAUGGUGCAAUGCUAUCUUGGUUAUGUAUAUGUCUCCUGCAAGUAUGCCAUGGACACUGCAAAUGUGUUUACGUGCAUGGAUGAUACAACUUUUGACGAGACAUCAAAAGCUAGCUCUUGCAAAAUUGUUUUCAUGGGGCAUUGAAGGUGGCUUCAGAAGGAUGAAGUGGAUAACUCGCAAAGAUCUGUUCGACAGUAAAACUCAAGACCGAUUAAAGUCACGUACAAGAAGCAGAGAAAAAAAUCCGCCACAUGUUGAACGACGGAACUAGUGCCUUAAGUUAGGAUAGAAGCGAAAGGCCCCAGAGAAGUCAUUGUUAACAGUAUGAAAAAGGGAGUCUGCUUUUUGGGGCUUGUCGUAUUGGAUAGUCCUCGAUGCACCUCGUUGCCUUGAUGUCAUGCAGCUCACAAUGAAUGUCUGCGAGAGUUUGCUCGGCACAUAGUUUGACAUGUCGAAAAAAGAAAAAAAUGGAUUGAAGGCAAGAUAAGACUUGGAAGACCUCGGUAUUAGGGCUGAGUUGCAUGCAUAUCAUGAGUAGAGGAAACAGUCACGUGCAAAAAUAUUUCCAAAAUUCAAGGAUGACAACUCCCUCCCCCUCCCCCCCCCACACACACUCACUUUACUCUAGAUGAGAAGGAGCCCAGUCAAGUUUUCAAUUGUCUUCAAGGUAUCAAAGUUGGUUCCACUUACUUAGGUAGUAUAUGCAGAUAUGUGCGGUUAAUGGACAAAUGUUCAGCGGGAUGAAGUCUCAUGAUUGUCGCGAUCAUGACACAAAUACUUCCGUUUGCUGUUAGAGGCGUAACAGAUAAGCGCGUCCGCAAAACACUUCUUGUCCUAUGUAAUUUUUUCGAUAUUAUCUCUCCAAAGUCGAUCAACUUAGAAGUGCAAGGCUACACGAGGAAAACAUUAUCAUAUUACGUGAGCUUGAGAACUACUUCCCACCCGCACUCUUUGAUGUUAUGGUUAUAAUCCCCAAGUGCAAAGACUAUUGCAACACUUGCCAAAGUGGAGGUGGUACAUAUGAAGUGUCAAUAUCACAGAGGAGCUAAAGGUAGGAAUCAUAUUCUCUCAAGUUCUAUCUGACACUCACAUAAUCCUACAUGUAUUAAAUGUUGUUUUACCUGGACUUUCUACUAAAGAUACUCCCUCUGUUCCUAAAUAUAAGUCUUUUUAGAGAUUUCAAUGCGGACUACAUACAUAGCAAAAUGAGUGAAUCUACACUAUAAAAUAUGUCUAUAUACAUCCGCAUGUAGUCUUUGUUAAAAUAUCUAAAAAGACUUAUAUUUAGAAACGGAGGGAGUAGUUUGCAAGUUUCUGAGAGGGCGAAUGUGGGGUAGUGGUGGAAGGUGUUGCAAAAUUGUUGCUCACCAAUUGUCUAUGAUACCGGAUCGAUAAUCAUACAUUUUCCAGUUUCAUACGUAGGAGAGGCCUAUGCUAACAUGCAGUAACAUCCAUUGACAUCAUGUUCUUAUUGAUAAACCUUAGCAAGCAUCCGCAAGUACGAAGAAUUUAUUAAGUUAAAGCCCAACCAUAAGAUCUAUGGGUCCCGUGUAUCCCAUAUGCAUGAACUCUUAUACUCACGUGAAAGUGAUAGCAUUGCUUUCUCGAUGCUAAAAAAAUGUUUAAGUCUUUACCCUAAAAAUUUGCAGAUAGCAUUUUGGUGUGACAAUGAACACAUCUAUUUUUUUUUACAUUUGCAAAAUACAUUUUGUGUGCGCAUGAGCGUACGCUCACUAGAGCCAAAUUGGAUUUCUGUGCAAAAAACAUGCAUAUAUAUGGCGCAGAAAGUGAAUCAAGUGCUAAAACAAAAUCUCUGCGCUCUGAUUGGUCGGUAGGACCGUCCCACGGAUCGCGCCCCCCAUACUAAUCUCCACCGUCCACUACGCCAAGAUCCAACGGCGAGCGCAGCAUGUCACGCGGAUCGCUCCCACCUCUGCUUCCCGAUAAAACCCGCGCCCACGCCGCCGUUCCAACUCACAAACUCAGAGCAUUCCGAUCCAGCACAACCGCCGCCAACACAACACCUCGAGAGUCCUCGCCGCCGGAGAAGUCGCAAGCAAGAUGGCCGGAAGGAAGGGCGGCGACAGGAAGAAGGCGGUGACCCGCUCCGUCAAGGCCGGGCUCCAGUUCCCCGUCGGCCGCAUCGGGCGUUACCUCAAGAAGGGCCGCUACGCCCAGCGCGUCGGCUCCGGCGCCCCCGUUUACCUCGCCGCCGUCCUCGAGUACCUCGCCGCGGAGGUAUGCACAGAUCUUUCCUCUCCCCGAGCACCUGCUCUGCUCUGUUCUUCUCGUUUUCGAUGGAUUGCUGACUUCGUUUCUGAUGGUCUUUUAAAAUCUCAGGUCCUGGAGCUUGCCGGCAACGCGGCCAAGGACAACAAGAAGACCCGCAUCAUCCCGCGCCACCUGCUGCUCGCCGUCCGCAACGACCAGGAGCUCGGUAGGCUGCUCGCCGGCGUCACCAUCGCCCACGGCGGCGUGAUCCCCAACAUCAACUCCGUGCUGCUCCCCAAGAAGUCCCCCGCCGCCGCCGAGAAGGAGGCCAAGUCGCCCAAGAAGAAGACCACCGCCAAGUCCCCCAAGAAGAAGGUCGCCGCCAAGGAGUAGCCGCCCGCACCCAUAGCCUAGCCAGUGUUGCUUAGAUCCAUUUCUCAUGGACUAAGAUGAGAUCCUGUAUGUAAUGCCUGCUAGUCUGUAGUGCCCGUCAGAUUCGUCGAGCAUGGGUGACAUUGUACCUGUGAUUUCUGUGACCAUGGCGAAAGAUGCAAUCAUUUCAGUCUGUUGUUCUAUCUAUGGCUGCAAUCAUUUCAAUCUCUUGUUCUACCUAUGGAUGCAAUUGAUCUUGCGAAUGCUUGCUCCCUGCCUAUACGUCUGAAGGUCACUGCUAAAUAGGCUUUACUUGUAAAUUCUCUCUUGUGUCAUCUGUAAAUUUCAGCGAUUUAUCUUUACCUCCUUGUGAAGUUCACUUAAAGCUUAUUCCUAUCAAGCUGCGGGAAACUGAAUCUAUGAAGAACUAGCACCUAGGAUUCCCAAUCAUCCUCCACCUCUCCCUGCGUGGCAGCUUACAAAUUGAGCUGCAGAAGUCCUGCAGUGAAACAUUUCAGUUUAGAGAUUGACCAUGCCGAAACAUUUUGCAGAAAUGUAACCUCGAUCUUUCUCUCUGUAGUUGAGCUGGUUCCAUGUUGCUUUGUUCACGAGCCAAAAGAAUUCUUAAAGUUGGAGUUGAGCCGACAACAUACGAACCUGACAACGUUUUGGCUGCUACUAGAUGCAAAGUAUAAUGAGUAGCCAGAUGAGGUGCUGAUUUUGUAAUCAGAUAUUGAGGAAUUUAGAUAGGAUUAGUCAGGCCCUUGAAAGACUUCAGUACAAAAAUGUUCUUCACUGGAGUGCACAAGAUUUCCUGGGUAAAUAAGCAAGUUAAUGUUGCACGGCGGGAACAAUAAUAAGAAAGAAUUUCAGUAAAACCGAUGAAUAGAAAAAAAGGUUAAAUGGAGAGUUGGUAUUCGGUAUGUUCAUCAGUUAAUUUUUUUUAUCGAUAAUAGGCCCAGUCGCGGGUUAAUUUUUCUCCGUUUUGCUUCCCCGUUGAAAAUUUGAAUUUGUUAGGGAAAACAGGCAUGUGGUAUUUUUGAAGUUCGGCGGAUGAUUGUUUAGAUAUUUUCCGCUUUAGAAAAACAAGCUAGGAAAAAUAAUUUAGAUGUUUCGUUCUAGCUAAAAGUUUUUUAAAGGAGCUGAAGACUUUUCAAUAUUUCCGCAUAUACUAACAGGUAUACUUGAUGCAUGAUGUAGACAUGUUCAAAUGAAACACUUUGUGAACCGGCAUGAGUUGUGAUUCUGGUUCGAUUUGUGGUAUGAUCGAACAUGCUCAUACCACUGCUCGUCUUCUGUUUUGUUAAAUCUAUGGCUUGUGUCCGACUUCUUCUAUCUUGUGGUAUGAGUGGACAGGUUUGCAGACGGACUCGUAUGAGUAUGAGUGCUCGUCAAUCUUUUUGAUAACUUGGUCAUGUGUGGUCUCUGGGGAUACGAGCUACGCUGCGACCGGGGGCUGUUGUAUCACUAGUCAAUUGAUGGUGUUACGGCCCAGGGGUGCCUCACCUUGUCGAUUACCAGUCCAAGUAGGACGGCCCGAGGCCCCCUAGGCCGGUUUCGCUUGGGCCAUCUUGUCAGCCCACUGGCCCUCUAGGAGAAAGAAUUUGAAGCCUUCUGUUCAAGAGAAAGAAGUCGGGUCCGUGGAGGACUCCUCUCCACCGACGUUGUCAACUAUGGCUCUUAUAACCCUAGGGCCCCUGAUAUCUUAUAUAAACCAGGUUUGGGCUAGUUGACAAAACAUCUUAGACAUUACAAUCCUUCGAUAUUACAUGUACUUUGUACACCCAGGUCGAAAUAUACACAAAGUAUGAGUAGGGUUUUACCUCCAUCAUGAGGGCAUGAACCUUGGUAACUCGCUUCUUCUUUCUCCUCUAACCUAAUCACCACACCGGGAUACCCUACCGAGGGAUCUAUCGGAAUCAUCUCCGACACCAUAAAAGGAGCACAUCAGCCGCGGAACAACACCACAUCAACACUGAUACUACAGUACCAUUAGAGGGGCCAACUUUCUGAUAAGGGAUACAUAUCCCAUAAGGAUACUCUCAGGUAGCAUAGAGGUGGAUGGCUGCUCCAGAUCCAGACAGAGGCAUGGCGGGCGCGACGCGGUCCAGUUCCGGGCGUGGCAAGCAGGCGCAUGCAUGCAGACUGGGCGCGACGAGAAGGUGUGCAUGGUCUAGAUCCGCACGGUGCACGACAAGCUGUGACAGGGCGGUGUAUUAGGGCAUGAGCAGAAGGUAUUGCAGCCCAGAUCCGUGUGGUGCAUGCUCAUAGUGGUGUGUUGCUCGUGAGUGUGCACUUUACAACGCGAUGGAGGAGCUUGACGCAGGAUGCUAAGCGAGUGGUGCAACACGUAGAUGGCUUGUUAGGGGGGUUGCCUGGGGCUUGGAGGGUGAUGUCGGCGAAAGUUGUACUCUGACGAUGGCUCCUUCGAGCCCCUUUUCCUUGUUGGAGGUGUUAAGGUGGCAGUCUUCAGUUUUCCUCCCGACAAGCUACGGUGGAAAACCUAGAUUUGGUUUACCGAAUUGGGCAAUGGCAGCGUUGUUAGCUUUGCUUGCUGUUGUGCGCAUUCCCUCUUGAUGGCAUCUUUUCGGAGGUGCCGGUCGGAGGGACUUGUGGCUUGUGGAGUUGGCAGGUAACGACUAGUGUGUUUUUGCCCGUGUGACGUGGUUAAUGAAUUGGACAGUGGGUAGUAGGAGCAUCCUUCACAUGUGACGUGCGUUGGGUGAGGCACAUCAGCCAACCACAUGGGAUCGAAACUGCAUAUGUUCGAUUUAACGGACAUAUCAUGCCUCUCUGGCGUCGUCGUGGUUCGUGGUCAAUCUUGUGACAAGCCCAAAGUAAUGCAAUGGUUUUCGGUGUGCAGUCUGGUAGCGGCGAAGGCGCUGGAGCCGGUUUUCCUCAAUAAACUGAGCGUCCCUUUUUUUUCAUUCUUCUUCUAUAGCACAUGCUUAUUUUUGCGGGGUUCUAAUCAAUGUUUUUUUUUUUCAUUCUCUUUUCAUGCUCUGCAACGUGCGGUAUGUACACGGGGGUGUGGAGCGUACGCUCGACGACAGGCCAUCGAUCCGCGCCGCUCCAGCCCGCGUACGUCCUCGCCACGUCAUCGAUCCGCGCCCAAACGCAUCGGGUCCGUCCGUCCCAAGCAUCAUCGAGCGGCUGGAAUCCCUCCACGCCAUCGAUCCGAGGCACCAGCCUCCCCGCCAACCGCAGCCCGCCUCCCUCCUCCUCCCGCUCCCUACAUAACCUCGCCGCCCCCUCCGUCUCUGCACACCACACCAUCUUCAUCCCCCCUCACAUCCCACACCUCCACACGUUCGAACCACCACCACCAGAAGCAGCACCCAUGGCACCCAAGGCGGCAGAGAAGAAGCUGGCGCCGGCCACGGCAGAGAAGACGACGGCGGGGAAGAAGCCCAAGGCGGAGAAGCGGGCGCCGGCGACCAAGGAGGCCGGCGGCGAGGGCAAGACGAGGGGCCGGAAGAAGGGCAGCAAGGCCAAGAAGGGCGUGGAGACGUACAAGAUCUACAUCUUCAAGGUGCUCAAGCAGGUGCACCCGGACGUCGGCAUCUCCUCCAAGGCCAUGUCCAUCAUGAACUCCUUCAUCAACGACAUCUUCGAGAAGCUCGCCGGGGAGUCCGCCAAGCUGGCGAGGUACAACAAGAAGCCCACCAUCACGUCCCGGGAGAUCCAGACCUCCGUCCGCCUCGUCCUCCCCGGGGAGCUCGCCAAGCACGCCGUCUCCGAGGGCACCAAGGCCGUCACCAAGUUCACAUCAUCCUAGGCUGGCUUCGUCGUCGUCGUUUCAUGAGUUGAUGGCGGCAGGCAUCGUGUAUGUAGUUGGCAGUAGUAUGAUGUUACAACCUUUGUAAGAAUUGUGCUGCUUGCUUGUGGGACUGAAGAAACAGUGAUGUUGCUGUUUAAAUCAAUGUUCGUGUGUGCUUGCGUGUCGCUUCAGAGUUCAGACUGACUCCUCUUGAUGCCAUUUGUUUAUGUCAGCAAGUUUCUACCGUGAUAGUUUAUCUAGUAAUUUUAAUUUGCUGUCAUUUUAUCUACUGUGAUUGUUUCCAAGUCUGCAGAUAGAAACCUCUGAUUUUAAAUCUACAAUCUUUGAAGUUUGAAAUUCUGCAGAUAGAAACCUCUUACUUUUUUCCUCUUUUGGCGCUACGUAAGUUUUCUUAACUUAUACUGUUGCUGCCAUUUGAGUAAAACUGAAGUUGGUGAGCCUUGUUAAUUUCUGACAGAUCAUUCCAAGUUUUUUCCUCAGUGGACUUGUCAUCCAUAUGGCAAGAGGCCAGCAACAGCUUGACCCGCUAGUGCUCAGAAAGUCACAAUGCACUAGAUUCAGAUCAGCUUCUUGAGAUAAAUUAGAGGCUUUUCGCAAAAAAGAGAAGCGAUAAAUUUGAGGCAGCGCACCAAUGUUUUUUAGAGUCAAGGAACAAGCUAGAUGUAACCAUCAUCUUUUUAGGAUGGCAUGCCUGAGUUUUUUUUCUUCUCUGUAUAUGUUUAUACUACAGUAGCUAAUUUUUCUUUGAUCUACUACUACACUUGCUAAUUUGUGCUCACGAAGCCACCAAUUUUGCGAAGUUGCAAAGUUUGUUCUAUUGAUUCAUUUCUCUAUGUUUAUGUACAUUUGUAUGGAUAUAUGAAUUUAAGUUACUUGCAUUGGCAAGAACCAUUCACCACUCGCCAUCUUUGGGUACGGUGCUGUUCCUCAUUUGUGUUAGAUGAUGUUACUAUCUUGUAAGAGUUGUGCCGCGUGAGUCUGAAGAAAUAGUAUUGUUGCUGCUUAAAUUAAUGUUCAAGGUGUGCUUGCAUGUCACAUCAGAUUCUUUACAUAGAAGUUUUUAGUUUGAAUUUCUAUAGUUAGUUCAUGAAUCUUGCGUCAUAUAAAAAAUUAACGUCCAGGCUUUGUUAGCUUUCUCAUUUUCUCUACUCAUUUUGGCGCCAUAUCAAAAAUUCAAACCUCUACCGUUCGUACCAUAUCAAAGCAGCCGGACAUCGUGCUACGAGGCAGCCUGGAGGAAUUUGAAAAUUUUGGAGGGUGCAACAAGCAGUGCCAGGAACAGAGGCAUUUGAGCUGCGACUGUAGUUGACAUGCAUUCAAACCUUACGUAUUUGCCCUUUGACCGACCUUUGACCGCAAGCUCAGAUAUGCUGCGAAUAAAUAAAGAUUUUUAUUAUUAACAAUUGUUUUUCUAUUUAUCUUUUAAUUUUAUAAUUUGUCUGUUUCUCAAAAAGAAAACCAGUUGUGUUUAGUUUCUAUAAUCAUUUACGCUUUCUUUCAUGCUGAUUUUGUUCCUGAAAUAACAUUCAUAGAUAGAAGGUUGUUAAUGGUUUGUACCCAAGGUUCAGAAAUGCUACAUCUAUAGAGAUUAGAAGUUCAAAAUAAAUACAGUAUGUGAUUAGAGUGAAAUAGAAAACUCUUUCUGAAUGGCAACUUUAUUGUUCUUAAUUUUAAAAUUCAUAAUAUGGCAGUUCCUCAAAAUAAAACAAAAUAUCAUUGAAACCAAUUGUGUUUGGUCUCUAAGAUCUUUUGUGUUUUUUUGUUCCGAUUUUGUUCCUGAAAUAGUACCCAUACAUAGAACCUUGUUAAUGGUUUGCACUUCAGGUCCAAAUCGAAAGGCACUAGGCACUAGGCGGGUGUUUUGUGAUAAUUCCUGAUGAAUAUUAUUAAUACAUGAUAAAUAAUUCCAAUAAAGUUUAAUUAUGUUUAAUACCCAAAAAUACAUUUUCUUAGUACACGAAGAACAUUUUUAGUACACGGCCUUUUUUUCAAAACACGUGGAUUAUUGUUAGCGAAAUAUAAAUAUUUUUUACACACUAUAAACAUUUUUUAAAUAAAGUCUUGUCAUUUUCAAUAAACUGUAAAACAUUCUUGAUAUACAUCAAAUAUUUUUUAACCAAUAAACGUUUCCAAUAAGUGAUUCUUUAAUACACAAAGAAAAUCUUUUAAAUAAUUAGGUAAUAUAUUUUUAAUACAUAAUAAAACAAUUAAUACAUGUUGAGCGUUUUUAUAAUACACAUACACAUUUUUAAUACUCCCUCCAUUCCAAAAUGUAGUGCGUAUAGAUUUUUUGAAAAGUCAAACUUUACAAACUUUGACCAAAUUUAUAGAAAAGAAUAUCUAUAUCUAGAAUACCAAAUACUCCCUCUGUCCAAAAUAACUACCGUUCAAACGAAUGUAUUUAGCACUAAAAUACAUCUUGAUACAUCCGUUUGAGCGACAAUUAUUUCUGGACGGAGGUAGUAUGAAACUACAUCUUAUGAUGAGUAUAAUGAUAUAUAUGUUUGGCAAUCUAGAUGUAAAUGUUUUUCUUUAAAAAAUUAGGUCUAAGUUGGUGAGGUUUGACUUCUCAAAAUAUUUAUAUGAGUAGUAUAUUAUGGAACGGAGGGAGUACACGACGAAACAUAUCUCGAAACAUGGGGACCAUUUUUAGAAAGUGGUAUCAUAAAUGGUAUGAGAAAAGGAAAAAAGAAAUAAACGAAAAAAUAGGAAAAAGGGAAACAAUAAAUGUAUAAAAAGAAAAAGGAAUAGAAAAGUAAAUAUGAAAGAAAAAUUAAGGUGAAAGAAACAGGAAAACAAGAAAAAAAGAGAGUGGGAAACGAGAGUUAAACAGAAAACAUAUGCACAUAAACCACCCAUCCCAUAGAAAAGAAGAGACAAAACCAGGGAGGCAAACCCCCAUACGUUGCCCGAGCCAUGACCCAUAUCGAGAUUGCUAGAGGCGAGUACAUGGUAUAUCUAGCAAUAAGCGAGAUAUUCUUCGCAAAAACAAGCAACCAAAUGGGAACCGCUGCCAAUACAUAAGAGAGCGGCUCCAGGCCUCUUUAUGCAUUAGAUCCACGACGAGUAUGGCGUACUUUCGCUAUGAUGCUACCUACUUUGCAUUUGAAUUCCAAAUGCCAUCUUGUUUCCCGAUUGAUGAAGUCCACUCUCCGGACCAACUCACAUCAUUGUCUUUUAAGAGCAUCUCCAAUGGACCCCGAAGACGGGGGGAGAGGGGGAGGGGGUAUUGAACGGUUUUUACAAGGCAUGAUCUGUAAGUGCAUCUAGUGCCCCUUAGUGAUUUUGGUGUAUUGAAGACUUAUAGGUUAAGGGACUAAUGUGUUUAUGAGUGUACACAGGCCUAUAAGUCUAUGAGGAGUUUGAUAUUUACAGAGAAAGUCGACCCCUAAAAAUGAAGUUCUUCGACUGAGGACUUUGGAUUUCUGAAGACUUUCUGAAGACUUUGAUAGUGAAGAAAUUGGUGUGACUUUGAAGACUAGGUAUCCAUUUGAGGAACAUGAAGCAUGAAGACUUUUGUUUUCGUAGUUUCAUUUUCUCUUUCUUGAGUCAUAGGAAACACCGUACUGUUAAAGGGGGUCGAGGAAAUACUAAGGAAAAAUUUCCAUGUGAUGCUCAACUCAAAAUCCUACACCUACCAAUCCCUUCGAGUGAAGCCAUUGGAAAUCUCAUACAGUUCAGUCAAUUUCUUCAGUGACAGAGACGAAGUUCUUCUGGUCUCUGAGGAAUUUGUUCUGACUGAGGAGUUAGGAAUUCGCCAGUGCGGAUUGCCUACACAGUGAGGAACAUGAUAGCCCUGAGGAAUUUGAGCCUCAAAUUUCCGACCGUUGCUGUGCUACGCGCCAGCUGUCCCAAAAUAUCUACCCACAUAACGGUCAUAUCAUUGAAGGGCAUUUAUGUCUUAUCAUGUCGGGCUGCUCCCUAGGCUAUAAAUAGACGCCCCCUACAACCACUAGUUGGUUGGCUGCUCCGAGAGAAACUGACACUUGUCAUUUAAGAGCAUCCCAUCCUCCGAGGACUUUGAGCGAAAAUCAUCGAGUGAGGAAAACCCAAACCCAAACACCUACAAACCCAAAGUGAUUGAGCAUCACUGAAGAGAUUGAUCCUGCGUGGAUCCGACGAUUGUUACCUUUGAAGGCUGUGCUUCUUCCAGACGGUUAGGCAUCAUGGUCUAGAGCAUCCAAGAGGAAUUGUGGAUCGCCGAGUGGCCGAGUUUGUGAAGGUUCGGAAGUCACCUGAAGACUUACCACGAGUGAUUGGGCAAGGUCUGUGUGACCUUAGCUCAGGAGAAUACGGUGAGGACUGUGUGUCCUCAGGUUUAAAUACCUAGCCGCUCCAACCAGAUGUACAACUGAGACAGCAGUUGGAACUGGUCUACCAAAUCAUUGUCUUCACCAAGCCUACUGGUUCUAUUUCCUCAACUCUUUCAUUUCCUCAUAUCUGUGUUUGAAGACUUUGACUAAAGACUUCCUCAAUUUCCUCAGUUCAAUUUCUUCAGUCUGUUUGUCUUCAUCCUGUGUUAUCCUGUGAUUACGCUUUCUGUACUCUGUGCUUGUCUUCAUUUCAUCAUGAUGACCAUGCUUGUGUUCUGUUAUGUUUACUUUUGAGUACUUAUUUCGCUGCUAGUGAAGAAUUCAUAAAAAUCGCCUAUUCACCCCCCUCUAGUCGAUAUAACGCACUUUCAUGAUCCAUCCCCACAAUGAUGCAACCUCAACCCCUCUUAAUAGUGCGACUUUCCUAAGAUUUAAAUAAACCAGAAAAAUACUUCGCGUCCUUCGACAAACCGGCACAUUUUGGGGGAGGGGAGAGGGGUGAACCAUCUCGUUCCUUUUCGUCAAGGAACCAAUAUCGUCAAAUAAAUUUGAUAAACGCCUUUAGUCCUACUAAACAUAUCAUCAUCACAUCAAAAUACAAUUAGGGUCUAUAUGCACUCUCAAAACUGUUUACUUUCCUUUUUUUAGUUAGAUGCACACAACUAAGAAAUAUUUUAAGAUAAAUACAGGUACACAUUGAUGGGUUUUGUGUACUAAUAACAACCACUUGGCUGGUUUUGUGUCUACGAACUCAUAGUUUUUUUUCAGUGAACAAAUAUACAUCGCUUUGGCAGCUCAACGUUCUUAUGGGCCGACCCAAGUGAGCGCCACAACAUUAACACAUGCAAUAGACAUUGCAUAGCAGCGUCUGGUUGUGCCUGGGUGAGCUAUAUCUUGCUUACUGUGAGACAAAUCGUUGUGUGUUCAGUGAGUGGGCUGACUCAUUUAAGCGGAUCUCAGAACCCUACAUGGGAGGCCUGGAUUAGUUUUAGGAACCUUCCGGUUGGUUUUUUGUCCAUUUUUCUCCUUUUCUAUGUUUGUUCUCUACUGCUUUUCAUCGGUUUUCUUUUUGGGAUAAUCAAUUUUAUGCUCCUAGUUGUGUCCCACUCGGUUGUUUUGCCCCUAGUUUCUAAAAAUCCUCGGUCCUGCCCAAGUCAUUUCGCUCCUCUUAUGCAUUGGCCUUUUGACCGUUUGACCGCCACUUUAAAAACUUCAUAACAAAUUCAUAUUAACUCCAAAAAAAUACAAAUAAGAUAUCCAAAUGUUCAGGAAAACAUCACCUAUAUGUGCAUGUCAUUUGCAUUCACGACAAAAGUGUUGUUUAAACUACACAAUGUAUGAACAACACUUUUGUCAUGAAUGCAAAUGACAUGCACAUAUAGGUGAUGUUUUUCUGAACAUUUGAUAUCUUAUUUGCAUUUUCCAAGUUAAUACGAUUUUUUUAUGAAAUUUUCAAAGUGAUGAGCAAACGGUCAAAGGUCGGUCAAAGGGCAAAUACGUAAGAGGAGAGUAGUGCCUUGGGCAAGAAAGAUGACUUUUCAAAACUAGGUUUUCUUUGUUUUUUCCUUUUUCCAAAUAUAUGUCGACUUUUGGUCAAUGUACGUUGAACAUUUUCACUACAUUGGUUGAACAUUCUUCACAUACUCCUUGAUUUUUUUUAAUCUGCAUUGAAUAUUCUUUUCUGUUGAUUUGUUUUGUUUUUCUCCUUUUUAUUUAUAUGUAUUUAUUCUUUAUUUUCAAAUAAAAUUUUAAAUAUUUGAUCGGAUUGUUUAUCAAAGGUGUCUUGCGUUUUUCCUCGAUAUAUACAAGGUUAUAUAUCAUAUCAAGAAUUAUAUUCAGAUGGCUAUGCAUAUACCAAAGAAUUGAUCCAAUGAAGAAAAUAUCGAGAUAGAAUGAAACUUCUAAACUAUUCUCUAUCUUUUCUUUUCUUGAACGGGAAUCUGUAAACUACUAUCUGAUCUUCGAAUCGAACAAAACUUUCAACGGGGAAAAACAAAGGAAGAAAAUGAAAUGAGAGAUGCAGAGAAAUGAUAAUACGAUGGAGGGCUUGGACUGGGUCGGCCUGCUACGUGUUGGGUACAGCUACAGGUCCAAUACACAUAGAGUGAAGGCCCAAUGCCCACAAAAAUUCAUACUAAUCAAUCUUUAGGCGUCCGCAUCGAGACGAUGGGGUAAGAGGGGAGCUAUGCCUCUUAAGAUACAGCCAUAUAGAAGACAUGUCUAAGGUUUAGUUCGCAAUUAGUGAAUUAUAAUGUCAUGUGCUCAUUUUAUAAUUUGUUUUGAAAAAGUAAACACAAAAGUAAGCAAAAACAGGUCAAACAAACUAAAAUAUGGACAAAAAAGGGUGGGCAAACAAGAAUAUGAGAAUACACCCUGAUUCAAUCGCAUCAUGAAGUACCAAGUUCUAUAUUACGGACACUACUAGAAGAAAAUUCACGAAAUAUUGAAGAAAACAUAUUAGCAACUAAUGUCCCCUUGUUUGCUUUUUUCUUAAUGAAUAAGAUGCAAGGUUAGAAGUUGAUGCGCAUUGGGAUGCUUAGCUGUAUUCUGAUGAUAGCAUUUGAUCUUGAGAGCAGAGAGUUACAGUUGGCGCAAAAUGUAAAAGAGAAAGGGGCAAGAGGGGUACUUAUUAGUUUGUAACAUUCUAUGUGAAACCUCUGACUGUUAUUUUCUAUACAGUGGUAACUUUGUUUUCUGAAAAUGGUGUUUUUUUAUUGAUAAUACAUAUGAAGCGCAGCAUCGACUUGAUUAUUUCUCCAGCAAUAUUUGCCAUCCUGUGACAAGCAUUCUUCUACAGGAGUUUCUUGAUUUCUCAGCAAGUACCUGUUUCACAGCCGAAAACUAAUGCUGGUAUCUCAUUUACCAAAGUUUUGUUCGAUUGCCGUGAUUUUGUCAUUUGGCUUGCCAUUUUUGUCUGACAGCAACUCAGGAGUAUCUAAUUUAGUACUGUCAUCGGCUUAAACGGACAAGGUACAAGAUGUUAAUAACCAAAAAGCUGACUGUCUCUGAAGCAAAGGCAGGUAACCAAACAUGCACAAAAUGGAACGCAGCCAUGGAUAAACAAGAGAACAUGAUUGAAAGGAUUGCAUCUUUAGCCAUUCCAGACAUAAAUUAGAGAUAAAUUACAGCCCGUUCAUCAAACCAAUGAAAAAGCCACUACAGACUAGGCAAUUACAUACAGAAUCCAACCAACCAAAGCUCCUCUUCCUCUCCCUGCUAUCGACCUAAGCGGUGUCGCGAUAGUAGUCUAUGGUGGCGGCUACUCCUUGGCGGCGACCUUCUUCUUGGGGGACUUGGUGGAGGUCUUCUUCUUGGGCGACUUGGCCUCCUUCUCGGCGGCGGCGGGGGACUUCUUGGGGAGCAGCACGGAGUUGAUGUUGGGGAUCACGCCGCCGUGGGCGAUGGUGACGCCGGCGAGCAGCCUGCCGAGCUCCUGGUCGUUGCGGACGGCGAGCAGCAGGUGGCGCGGGAUGAUGCGGGUCUUCUUGUUGUCCUUGGCCGCGUUGCCGGCGAGCUCCAGGACCUGAGAUUCAACCAAGAACCAGAUCAGUCAGUUAUCUGUCCGGCACGACGAGAACAGAGUAACAGAGGCUCGAGGAGGGGAGAGAUCGGUGCAUACCUCUGCGGCGAGGUACUCGAGGACGGCGGCGAGGUAGACGGGGGCGCCGGAGCCGACGCGCUGGGCGUAGCGGCCCUUCUUGAGGUAGCGCCCGAUGCGGCCGACGGGGAACUGGAGCCCGGCCUUCACGGACCUGGUCACCGCCUUCUUCCUGUCGCCGCCCUUCCUUCCGGCCAUCCUGCUUCUACUUCUCCGGCGAGGUGGAAACUACUCGAGAUGCGUGGGCGGCGGUGCGGGAUCGGAAUGCGCUCUGCUCUGUGUUUGUGGGUUGGGACGCCCGCGAGGGCGCGGCUUUUAUUGGGGAGAUGAAGCUUCGUGGGGACGGCGGCAGGGGGGAGCGAUCCGCGUGACGCAGUGUGCCUGCCGUUGGAUCUGUGGGGAGUGGACGGUGGGGAUUGGUUUGGGGGUGCGAUCCGCGAGAGGGUCUUAUCGGCCAAUCACAGCGCAGGGAUUUGCAUCACGAAGGGAUUUUGCUUUAAUUAACAGCUGGUUUUCUUUUUGUGCAUCAUUUAGGCAUUUUUUUCACUUUAUCUUGCAUCUAGUUGGUUUUUCAGCUGUAGUAUUUACUUAUAUAUGUAUGUAUGUUUUGCUAUUACCUAACGUUUCGGUUUGGAUGCAUGUGCAAAGGCCCCAAAUUAGAUUUGGUAUUCCCCAAAUUCCAAUCUGGUUGUUUGGGGUGCACAUGAAAUAGUUGUCCGAAAUGGAACGAAUACAUGCAUGAAAUCGCUCACACGUGCCCGAGCCCUCCCACAUUUUUGAGCUCUUCGGCUUAGAUUUGGCUGGGAAUUACCCAUCGUGCAAAGGGUAACGAUUUGUCCCUUCUUUUCCCCAUCGACUACGGCACCCAGUAACCUCCCCUCGCCGGCCAUCCUCCUCCUCCUCCGGGACCUGAAUCCCCGACGUCGCGGCCCGUUCCCCUCCUCCCAUGCCCCCCCCCCCGUCUCCUCCUCAUGUGGCCUCCACGGCCUGGCCCUAGCUGUCUGUCGCCGCUUCUCCUCCAAUAUUAGAAUUACGAAAGGUACAUGAUGUUGAUGAAAGUAAUCAUCCUCACAAUUUGUGCCCACACAAAUUGGCAACGAUAGAACGGAUCCGACAAAAUAGAAAGAGGAAAAAGAGCUCCAAGAAUAACCUUAAGAAAAAUUCUUGGAAGAGCGUAAGGAUGGGCCUUACUAUCCCAAGAAUCUCCAUCCUCUCCACUAAGGUAAAAUAAUUCAAUUUCACUAGCUUAUUCUAACAAAGUUGUGUUGGCUGCAGGUUUUUGUGAAGGGUACGACUGCUGGUACAAGCGUGACUACUCGUACCUCUGUAAAUUUUUACCAAUGCCAAGAGACUCGAUAGUGCUCGUACCAUGGGCCAAAUUCUUCUUUGAACAGAGGCAAUGUCUUUCACGACAUGGUAAGACCUAUGUUACAAGCACGAGCACUCGUACCAUAGGCCGUCUUCCACUUGGAACCCAAAACCUUAAAAGCAUUUCUUUUUCCCAUGUGUUGGCACCCUAGUUAGACCACCAGUACGAGCCUGGCCGCUCCGACUAGAGGUCGUCUUUCUCUCUAGAAAAUAAGAUAGUUUUUGCCAGAACCCAAUACGUACACGGGUACGAGCACCAGCGCUCGACCCACCCUGUCUAUUUCUUUGGUUCUGUGAUAACUUGCAAAUUCUCUAGAAAUUUGCCUGUUUGUUUCCUAAUCUUAUUUAGUUAUCCUUAUCUCAUGAAACCGUGUGGUUAUGCCCUAAGGGGACCACCGGCAGAUUGUUGACCCAAAUUGUCAUUUCUAGUACCGACCAUAUUCUCUUUAGGCGGUUAUGCCCUAAUAAAGAGUCAUACGUCUGGUACUAAUUGGAAGGAUCGAUGUGAUCGACUAGAGGGGGUGAACUACAAGAUUUAGGCUUAUCUUCUAAUUUUAGGAAUUCUGGGUAAUGUAGGUUCUCUAUUUGUGCAACUAUGUGAACACAACCUGUAUGGAAAAUAAGCUCAAAGCAAAGUAUGCUUGGCAACAAUCUAAUUAGCAAGCCAACAAGCAAGCAAGUGAAGGGAGAUAAAUGAUUAACCACCAAUUAGCCAAGGAUGCAUAUAUUAUCUCAAAGUUCACACACUUCUGGGAGUGCUAAUCUCCAUUGGAGCAGUGCCAAAACCCAAGUCUAGAACGCCACCAUGUGGCUCACUAUAUUCUACCUUUGAGUCACCCCAGCAGAUAAGCCUCGAAUCACUCGGGGUUGGUCUCGAUGGCAACCACCACACAUUUACAAACUUCUCCGUGGCACACCAGAUGCAAGGAAACUUCUGGAAGAACCUAUACCACCUAGAUUAGUGAUGGCCGAUGCUUCCCUACACACCUUCACUCCCUUAAGCUUCUGUUCUUCCUUGGCUUUAUUCAGCAAAGCAGUCAAUCCUUCAGUAUGUAACAUAAGCAAAUAAGGUGACAAUUGAUCACCUUGUCUCAAGCCUCUGGAUGGUUUAAAAGUUUCUGUUUCUUUUGAGUUAAAACGUACAUGGUAUUCCACUGUACUAAUACAUUGCAUAACCAGUUUAACCCACUCUUUAGGAAUUUCCUAUUUCAGUAGAAUACCUUCCAAAUACAGCCAUUCAACUCGGUCAUAUGCCUUAUACAUGCCUAGCUUCACUGCACACCAACCAUUAUGGCCAUCUCUCAUGUACUUUAUCGCAUGAAAACUUUCAUAGGUAAUCAAUCACACUCAAAUUAGCUAGAGUAUAGAAGCCCUAAGGCUCCCGCUCCUAACCCUACCCUCACUCCCGCUCCUGUGCCGCGCCGCAUCGGAGCGCCCCCGCCCCUUCCUCCGGUCCUCUCCAACACCAUCUCCCCUACCGCCGCUGUCGGGGGCUCGCGGGCAAAGCUCGUGCGCCGCAGCGGUGGCGGCGACGCUUGUCCUCGGCAAGAUCUGGUCAGGGGCGGCGGUUGAUUGCAUGUAUCUGCGUUGGUAAUUCCCCGAAGAGUAGAGGAGGAUGCAGUACAGCAAAGGUAAGUAUUUCCCUCAGUUAUGAAACCAAGGUUAUUAAUCUAGUAGGAGAACCAAGCAACACUGUGUAAACAACACCUGCACACAAACAACAAAAACUUGCAACCCAACGCGUAGAGGGGUUGUCAAUCCCUCCUCGGUUUUGAGAUAGAUUAAUUGUAUGAGAUUUGAUAAAUAGAUCUAACUAAAACACACACAAAAAAGUGCAGCACAGUAUUUUUAGAUUUAAUAUGAUAGGAAAUAGAGCCAGGGUCUGUAAAUUUCACUAGAGGAUUUUCUCAAGAAAAUAGCAUACGGUGGGUAAACAAAUUACUGUUGGGCACUUGAUAGAAAAGCGAAUAAUCAUGAUGAUAUCCAAGGCAAUGAUCCUGUAUAUAUGCAUCACGUCCAAGAUUAGUAGACCAACUCCUGCCUGCAUCUACUACUAUUACUCCACACAUCAACCGCUAUCCAGCAUGCAUCUAGUGUAUUAAGUUCAUGGAAAAACAGAGUAAUGAAAUAAGAACAAUGACAUUAUAUAGACAAGAUCUAUUCAUGUAGGAAUAGACUCCAUCUUGUUAUCCUUAAUAGCACGACACAUGCGUGUCAUGUCUCUUUCUGUCACUAAGAUUGAGCACCGCAAGAUUGAACCCAUCACAAAGCGCCUCUUCCCAUGGUAAGAAAAAUCAAUCUAGUUGGCCAAACCAAACCAAAGUUUCGGAGAAGAAAUACGAGGCUAUAAAGAUCAUGCAUAAAAGAGUUCAGCAAAGACUCAAAUAAUAUUCAUGGAUAGAACUGAUCAUAAACCCAUAAUUCAUUGGAUCCCAACAAACACACCGCAAAAAGUCAUUACAUCAAAUAGAUCUCGAAGAACAUCGAGGAGAACAUUGUAUUGAUGAUCAAAAAGAGAGAAGAAGCCAUCUAGCUACUACCUACAGACUCAUAUGUCUGUGGUAAACUACUCACUCAUCAUCGAAGGGGCAACAAGGAUGAUGAAGAACCCCUCCGUGAUUGUUGGCCCCUCCGGGAGAGUACCGAAAAAGGACUCUAGAUUCGAUCUAGUGGUUCUGGAACUUGCGGCGGCUGGAAAGGUGUUUCGUCGACUCCCCUAGGGUUUUUGGGAUUUUAGAGUAUUUAUAGAGGUGGAUGUCGGUAGAGAAGCUUCCCAUGGGCUCCACUACCCACCAGGGCGCGCCUGGGCCUUCUAGCGCGCCCUGGUGCCUAGUGGGCCCCACAGGCCUCCUCCCAUGCACUUCUUUGGCUCCCUGGGUGUCUUUUGUCCAGAAAAAAUUCUCCAAAAAGUUUCGUGGCAUUUAGACUUUGUUUGGUAUUGAUAUUCUGCAAAGUAAAAACAAGCAGAAAACAACAACUGGCAUUGGGCACUAUGUCAAUAGGUUAGUCCCAAAAAAUGAUAUAAAGUUGCUAGUAAAUGAGUAUAAAACAUCAAAGAUUGAUAAUAUAACAGCAUGAAACAAUCAAAAAUUGUAGGUACGUUGGAGACGUAUCAGCGGUCCACGCCGGCCGGACAUACGUCAGUGGCGCAGGGCAGCGACGUACGGCGACGGGUCUGGCACCGGUGGCUUGGGCGCCCGAUCUGAUCUCAGAUGGGUUUUGGUGGGCUGCACGAGCUGUUGUCGUGUACCAUCCCUGUUCCGUCAAUGGCAUGUUGGCACUGGGCUCUACCCGCAACACGAGGACGUUGGGGGCUCCGGCCCUGGGCGUGGCGGUGGUGGCCACCUCCUUCGCCGGAGCUGGUUGGCCCGAGGCUGGGUGGUCAGAUCUCAAGAUCCGUCAUCUAGUCCCGGCUGCUAGUUGGGGAGACAUAGUUGCCGAUGAAAACCGAGCCGAUGGCGGCGUUUUGCGUGUUACCUUGUUGAAGGCAUCAUCGUGUAGCUGUUGUUGACCCACUCGUGCUACUUCAUGGAAAACCCUAAGAUCUGGUCUUCCAGAUCGGACGAUGGCGGUACUGCGGUGCCGUUACUCUCUUGGGAGCAUCAUUUGUGGAGCAGCACUAGAAGACAGAGGCAGGAGGUGGAGCGGCUUCGUCUUGCACGGAGCUUCAGUGGAGCUGUCAAAUCAUGCCUGGCCGACGGGUGCUACGCCGAGUCAUGCAUGGUUGGCAGGUGCUACGCACGACUUAUCUUCCAGAGUCUUCGCAUCUGGACAGACGAGCGUAGGGCGAUGGCGCCGUUGGGCACCGUGGUGGUGUCGACGGAUGUCGGAUUGGCAAGGAUGAUGCAGAUCUCUCUCCUCAAGAUGGGUCAAUGGUCGAUGAGGAUGGCGGCUUCUAAAAUGUGUGCAUGUGGUGUGCGCUUUAGGUCUGCUGCACUGGUUGUUGGUUCCGAUACGUUAUGUGAAUGGAUUGGCAACGACACCAGUUUUAGAUAUGGGGAGUGAGAGCACUCUACAUUACCUGUUACAGUUGGCGCUAAAUGUAAAAAAAGAAAAGGCCAAGAACGAAACCUCUGACUAUUCACCGUAGAUUAUUACCUGUUACAUUUUGCAGCCUUUUUUUCUAUCUGAAAGUAGUGUGUGUUUUAUUGAUGAACAUGAAGCGCAGCAUCAACUUAGUUAUUUACCCAGCAAUCUUGGCCCUCCUAGGACAAACAUUCUUGUACUGGAUAAUUUGUCCUUUGAAGGGCCUGAUCUCUGCCCUUAUGUUGAUGAGUCCCAAUAUCUGAUUCUGUUUUCGGUCAGUCCAAAAUUAGCAUUCCACAAGUCUAAAGAACGUCUUGUAUUAAUGUACGGAGAGAGUACCCUGUUUGGUCAGUGGCACAUAAAUAAGACCCUGUUUGGUCAGUUUUUCAGUUUUGUGGUUUGUUACGUACGUAUAUCUGACUAUCCAUGGUUCAGUUUGGAGACCAGCUCUAAAUCACAUGUAAAAUACAGUCCUUACUGGCUUGUUCAUCGAACUAAUGAAACAGCCACUACAGACUAGCAUUUACACACAGGAUCCAAUAAACCAAAAGUCACAUCAUCUUCUCCCUGAUACGGAACUAAGGGUCAGAUAGGCUACGGGGCGGCUACUCCUUGGUGGCGGCCGUCUUCUUCUUGGGAGACUUGGCGGUGGUCUUCUUCUUGGGCGACUUGGCCUCCUUCUCGGCGGCGGCAGGGGACUUCUUGGGGAGCAGCACGGAGUUGAUGUUGGGGAUCACGCCGCCGUGGGCGAUGGUGACGCCGGCGAGCAGCUUGCCGAGCUCCUGGUCGUUGCGGACGGCGAGCAGCAGGUGGCGCGGGAUGAUGCGGGUCUUCUUGUUGUCCUUGGCCGCGUUGCCGGCAAGCUCCAGGACCUGCGAUUCAACCAAGAACCAGAUCAGUCAGUCAUCCGUCGAACAGGACAAGAACAGGAGCGGGCAAGAACGGACGGGGAGGCCGGUAGUUACCUCGGCGGCGAGGUACUCGAGGACGGCGGCGAG
rnacentral:lncRNA from 1 species